rnacentral:lncRNA from 1 species
CAAUUCCCAUGUAAGAAAGGUCAAUGGCUGCGACUCUAUGAUGACGAGCAUUACAAGUGAUACCAAUCCAGUUGCAAACAGAGGUAGAAGUGGACCAGUUGGUUGGGAUGAUCCUUUGAGGAUCGAAAAUUGUGGAUUUGAAGGCUAGAAGUGCAUUCAGAUCGAUAGUGUUGUUUUGGUUGUUGGCAACACUUGCGCUAGCUGAGCUUGUUGUUAUAAAGUGCAACAGUAGCAAGGCUGCAACGAAAAGAAAAUAAGUUCUCUGCAUUGCUUAUAUAGAGGUAAAUAAAACUUGAGGAAUGCCAAACAAAUAUAGAACAUGAGUACAUUGUGACCUUGGGCAGCACUUAUAUAGGCACAUACUUGCGGUUGACUUAAUAUUUUUCCACAACAUGUCGUCGUCGUAUUUCAAUUGCAAAACUGGAUAACCAGGUUGAAUAAAAAAUAUAGCCUUGACUCUAUCUCUGAGACAUAUGUUUUCAAUUUUUCACAAUUUAAAACUAAGUUAAAUACCAACUAUUGACUCGUAAGUGUGAAAUUGUCAUUUGUACCCCACGGCUGACAAUUGUCAUGGUAGAUUUUCAAGUGUAUUCUCGAUCUCUUUCAUUUAGCAUUGAUGGAAUGUAACCCAAGCAACCAAUUCAAGUGUAUUCUCGAUCUCUUUGGGUCUUUCCCAGUAUUUUUGGACAAUUUAAGCAGCUUGUCUUGAUGAAGACCACCUUCACUAAGGACGCUGUCUUGAUGAAGACCUGCUGCUCUAUUCUCUGGAUACUGAUGUUUUGUUGUCCCUCACUUGCUAGGAAUUAAAUGCCCACUGGGGGAAGAUUAAUUCCUCUCUUUGGACAUCAUUGGGUUAGUUCCAAAUAGUAGUAAUAAUGGUUAUGGAGAAUUCUAAAUUGCUUGUCUUGUCACGUUAGUGCAUGCUCUCCUAGUCUAUUGGUGAUAAUCACAUAUCAUUACAAUCACUACCUUUAACAAGACUUGGUCAACCUUGAGGAUGCUAUCUUGACAGAGAACCAUGAGAGUCCAAGUCUCAAAUCUAUUGGGUGUGUUUAUUGAAAAAUAUAUUUGUUGAUGGUUUGUAGUUGAUCCACCUUGAGGAUGCGAUAAAUACAAAUUCGUUUCUAGGUUUCAAGUCAUUAAUAACAAUGAACUAACAAAAUAGAGGGAUAGGAAGUUGUGCAGUGUUAGACUAAAUACAGAAUUGCCAGGCAUGUAUUCUAGAUGAUUUACUUCAAUACUUUCAAAAUUAGUUAUAUUAUUUACAGACUAAGGUCUUGUUAAAUUUUAUCAUUUGAUUGUAGAUUAUUACAGAAUGCUUUUCCAAGUAUUAAAAACACACUUUAAUUACUUCCCAAGAUUACAAAUUCUCAUUUAUCAUCCUAUCCUAUUUUUAGUAACAUUCUCAAUUUUAGCCUUCUCAAUUUCCUCAGACUAGUUUUUAUGUAUUUUUCUUCAACUUUCGUUGUUAUGUUUUGUAGAGUAAUUGAUAUGACAAGCAAUUCCAGUGUUUCACCAUUCUCUGUGGCAUUUUGAGUAUAACAAUUUUCAAGGAAUGAUAAAAGGUAUAUACUACUCCAAGGCAAGCUAAAAUUAUUAUGUCUCUGAAAACUUCAAUAAGAGAAAGAAGAGCUAAAAGCUUGUUGUCCCUUCAUUAUUUUGUGGACGGACAAUUUUAUUCCUUUAUUCCAUUAGUUCAAACUGCAAAAAUUGAUAGAAAGUCCAAAAGUUUACACGUUAAAUUAUUUGGUGACUUAAAUGGUACAUAUUAUAGCUCAGGAGCUAAAAGUGUAUAAAAAUGACGUCUUAGGGAGUUAAGAAUUAUGUGACUUUAUCACAUCCACACAAUUGAAUAGAGUUUUUGUAUCAUAAAUUGUGGAUCCAGAUUCACUUGUGGAAAAAAAAUUACACUAAGAAUAUAUGAUAUAUUAAUUCAUAGUUAUGAUUAUAAAAAGUAAUAUACAUUCCAGAAUACAUGCAUAUAGAAACUAAAAAAUAAGCUACAAUGGGAGCUUUGGUCUACCAUAUUGGGAGAGAAAGGACUAGUCGAAUUUUUUGCUCGUAAGGCUGUUGCUGGUCGUGAAGGAUAUUGGUGGCUAUGUGAGGGCUAAUUCCUUAAAUUAAAACUAAAAAAAAUAUUGAUCAAAUGUUGCUCUGACAAGAAUAGUGUACCAAACUAUAUCCGCUGUGGUAAGGCAAUUUCUCUUCUUUUUUUUUCUAAAUGGCUGACACUACUGUGCUAACUUAGCACAGUAGCACCAGUCAAGUCAAAACAAAAAAGGGUCUGACAGAUUCUUUUCUGGCAGAAGCUGUCAUAGUUGUGCAGCCUUUGACUGGAUUUAAAAAAAAAAAAAUUGUCCCCCGCCGUGUUGACUUUGCAUAGCAAGGGGUUUUUUUUUAUUAUUAUGAGCAGGUCAGAUGUUGAAGAGGGUGAGAAACCGUUUUGGAGGUUAUUCCAGUAUGUAUUGAACUGUAGUUCUGAUGGCAGUAGGACUCAACUGGUUUUCAAGUGCUUGUCUUUUUUCUUUUUUUCCUUCUUCUUGUACUACAUUGAAUGAUUGCCAUUUUUAACAUCAUUCUCAUAUCAUGAGUUAUUAGAUGUGUAAAUUGUUUAUGAGUCUUCUGGUGUGCUUCUGUAGGCGGUUGCCCUGGUUGUUAGAGGGAAAAAGUGGUCAUCAACAAAGUGGAUGCGAGUCCAUGAGUACAAGAUGUAAUUUACUGGGCACAUAGUUAUUGGUAUAUGCAUUUGACUCUUUUCACACAGUCCACAUAGUUCACUGCAUUUAAUUUAAAUACAGAUUUCUGCAUUCUAGUAAAGCAAUUUCUGUUGAAGCUCUUAUAUAUUGCCCAUGCUCAUCCGUCUCCUAGUUGCAACUUGCAAAUGGAUAGACAUACCUGGCAGAUGGUUUAUCAUAGUUCCAAAAUUGUCUGCUUGUAUUCUUCUUUCAAGUUUCAUUUGGUAUACAAAGUCUUUGAUACUGUCAGUUCAUGGUCAUAGUUCAAAUCACUUGAAUGUUUAAGCAGUCAUUCUGUGCAUUCUUCUUAUUUAAUUCAUUUCACUUUGUUAUGUCUAUCGCCCUCCUCUUUACAUAGUUUCAGUCUGCAUUAACUCUAUUAUCCCCUAAUCUUUGCUUUGUAUUCUUUUUUUUCGGUUGCCCGCCCGGUAUCUGAAGCUUUGCUCCGACUAAUCUGGACCCGACCCACGUCGCGCACCUGGCUAUGGUGGAUGAGUCUCCCAACAGGGGUGUUUGCGUAUACUAGGACUCGAACACGAGACCUGCUUAAGCGAAUCCGAGCCGCUUACCACUCGGACCAACCCCUGUUGGUAGCUUUGUAUUCUUUGCUAUAGCAUAACUGGAUAAAUAGUCAUACUUCUUGGCGAAAAGUGUAUAAUGAGUUCUUCUGAAUUGAAAGAGCAUAAAUUGCAUGGGAGGGCGGGUCCUAGUCCAAAAGGUGCAGAAGGUUUUGUUCAUAGUACAAACUACAAAUGGAGAUGUUGAAUUGAAAUGUUAAUGGGCAAAUUCAAAAUUUAGGAAACCAAAGGAGCUAGUUUUUCUGAUGUUUAGCAUCAACUCUUUCUAAUGCCUUUUAGUUAGCACUACACAAUUCUUGGCUGCCGUGCUUAGUCAGCACGAAAGCUUUGGCCUUUAAAAAAAAAAAAAGGAGUGGAGUACCCUAUCGUACUUCGUUAGCAUGACAGGUAUAAUUUGGUACACCAUCUUUAUCAAAGUAACAUUUGGCCGACUUUUUUUUUAAAACUAUAAUCUAAGGAAUUAGCCGUGUGUGACCAAUUGGAGGAACGGUCACAAACCAGGGGAAAAUCAAUGCCACGUGUUGGACUUCGUCUCAGAUGUGCAGGUUAUUUUCAAAUGAUAAAUGAUAGUAAUAGUUAUGGAGAAUUCUAAAUCGCUUGUCUUAUCAUUUUAGUGCAUAGUUUCCUAGUCUAUUAGUGAUAAUCACGUAUCAUUGCACUCAAUGCCUUUAUCAAGACCCGUUCAACCUUGAAUGCUGCUAUCUUGACGAAGAAGCACGAGUGUCCAAGGGUCAAAUUUUCUAUUUCCCUGUUUUUUUUUUCCAAUCCAAAUCAAAGGAAGAGUAGGACAAGAGAGAAUAAUUACAGGUCUUGGCCAAGAUAGUGUGAUUGUAAUGUUUCGGUAAACGGAUUAGCUGCAGAUUAAUGCUUAGGCUUUGAAAAAUAUUUUUGCUUAUGUAGUUAUAACUAACGCACCUUGCUGGGAUAAAUAUAAACUCGUUGCCAGGUUACAAGUCAUUAAUUAAAAUGAACUCACAAAAUUGUACAUUGUACAUAGUGGGAUAAAAAAUUGUACAUUGUCACACAAAAUAUAUGAGUAAGCUAUAAUAUGCAUUGUUUAAGCUCUUAAACAAGGCAAUGCGUAAGUCUUUUGCUCUUUUGUCAAUUUGUGCUGUUUGAUCUAAUGGAAUGGAGGGGCAAAAUUGUCCUUUAAUAAAAAGACAAAUGUGGAGAAGAUGAAUGAAAAGGAUCAAACCACUCUAUCUAUCGUCAUUCAUAUAGAAUCUCAUAAAAAUUAGGACUAAAGGAUGGGAGAAUGCGCGAGAAAUAAGAGAAAGAAGAGUUAAAAAUCUGUCAUCCCUUCAUUUAUUUUGUGGAUGAACAUUUUUAUUCCUUUAUUCCAUUAGCUCAAAUAGCAAAAGUUGAUAGAGAGGUCAGAAGCUUGCACAUUACACAUUAAAUUGUUUAAGAACUUAAAUGAUACAUAUUAUAGAUUAGGGGCCAAAAGUGUAUAAUAAUAAUAGUUUGGGAGCCAGCUGAACAAUUUACUCAAUAUACAAUUGCGAUUCAUGUAUUCCGGAUGUUUAUUCCUUUAACCUCAGCCUUGUUUAUUCGCAGGCUUUUAUUAGACUUCAUUUGACUAUUGACGCACACCAUAAAGGACCCUAAUUUGUGUAUGGCAUUCAUUGGGUGGAAAGACGAGUUGCGGUCAAGAACCUUCCUGUCUCAGUCUACAGACUGGAGAGUGGAGAGUCAACUCUUGACUUAGUCCACAGACUGGAGAGUCAAGAAUUGGAGCUAUUCACACAAUUGUGUUUGUUUCCCUUCGAGAAAGACAUCAACCUGUUUGAAUUGCUAUUUUUAGAAUUUUUAUAAAAUAAUGUAGUGUACCGUUUUGAUAUAUGUGAGGUGAUAAAUGUGUUUAUGAAAAAAGCAAAAGUUUUUCUGAAAAAAAUCACAAUCCAAAUAAAAUCUAAAAACUCUAAGUGAUGGUAUUCAAGCGAAACUAGUGGACAGUCGUAGAAUGACGCAAAUGCCCAGUAUUCAAAGCACUUAUCUCUCUUGAUGUUUGUCCGAAUUACACACCGAUCUAGAUUUUUCCUAUAUGAUGUGAAGUUCUAUAUUUGUUUGUUUCCUUGAUAAAUAUUGUGCUGAUUUAGUUUACACAUAAGAAUGGAGAUGCCCUAAACACUUUGUGGUUAGAGGCUUACAUAGUGAAUGACAGUUUAAUGUGCUUAUAUUCACCAUAUUUCGUUUAGAUUCCUAUGAUCCCAUUCUAUCGUUCGAUUACAUGGAGAAUAAAAGUCAAAUUGCGCGUUUCUUGUCCAGUUUUCCCAUGUUUAGUCAUUAUCUGAAUGAUUAUUUUUAUGGUUGGUGCAUCAGAAAUGAGAAACACAAGAUUGACAGAAAGUGCAAGAAAUGAGUAUCAAGACUCGCCAUCAUCUUGAACGCUUUUGAACAGACCACACUUAGAAAACGAUAAUUAAGUUGAGAUAGACUGAUUUUUCAAAAGGUUGGUAACAAAAACUUUUCGUGCCCGAGGCUCCUUCCACCAAGUCUCCUUUGGAAUCUAUUGGAAUAUAGAUGAGGGUUUGAACGUGACAAUUAAACCCAAGAAUUUGGACUUAAUUAGCCCAAGCCUUUAUGGACGCAAACAAUUGACUUGGAAUUGAGAAUUUUGUAAAGGGUGUUCAAAAUUGAUAACAGAAAUGAAUAAGUAGAUAAAUAGGCGCCAUGACUCCACUAGUAAAAAAAAAAUAAAAAAAAAAUAGUUAACGUUACCAUGAAAUCCGCUUAGACCAAAUCUUCAUCGGGCAACUUGAUGAAUUCUUAUUAGAUAAUGAUUUUGUGUUUAUCAGAAACUUUUUUUUUUUUUUUUGGAGAAAUUCUCAUUGAACAAUGAAAAAAUGAGGGUGCCUUGCAUGUAUUUAUGUAUCCUAGCUGCUUACGUCAUUUAUUUAUGAAUUCUAUAUAUAUGUAUCGAUUCAUCCAGCUCUAGGUAUAUGUACUCCAUUUUAAAGUACUUGCGCUUAAAGAGUAUAGCGAAACUUUUUGUAUUUAAUCUUUAAUUGUUCAUUUAAACCUCUAAAUACAAUACAAAAUUUUUUAAAUCAUUGCCCCUUAUAACUAUAAUUUAAUGCACUAAUAUACAUGAUUUGGUGUAAUUUAAGAAAAAUUGUUUGAAUCUUUCUUAAAUAUAUAUUGUUAUAGGUAAAAAGUUUUAGUUUAUAUCAAUUCUUUGUACAUGUUGAAGCAAUGUCCUAUUCAAAUUUAAUGUCCUAUUCCCGAUUUAAUUAUUUGAGAAAAAUACAAAAUUUUUAAGGGUCUUAUUAAAUGUUAAGGAAGAGAAAUGACUCCAUUAAAUAAAAGUCUCUCUCUCUCUCUCUCUCUCUCUUAAACAUUGAUUUACUUUACAUGGAAUAUUUUAACGUACUAGGUCAAGAUAAUUUGCUUAAUAUAUUACCUUUUUACUUCAAAUUUUACAGAAAGCAUUUAUGUCUCGUGCAAUUUGGUGAUGUCCAUGUAAAACGAUUGAGUAUGUAUGAAAACUAAAAAAUGCAUAAAAAAAAAAGGAACUGAUGCUAGAUUUUGUGGUUUCUAUAUGAAGUGGGAAUUGAAGCAGCAAACCAACCAGCAUAACUCAAUGAAGUAGUAUCUACUCUUGAAAAUAUAUUGUUGAAAACAGUCUUCACAUAUUAAUUUUGUCAUGAAUUUACUUACCUGCCUGGGAAGAUUUAUGUCCCACGUUGGUGAUUGGACCUCCUCAUGCAUGAACUAUAUAUUUUUUAUUUAUUUUUCUUUCUUGGUUUCAUAAGAUUUUUUUAAUAGGCUAUUGUUUAAAGGGUAUUAUUCGAAGUCCAAAAAGAAUCCAAAAAAAGAGUAACUGAGAAAGCUGAAUUGAUUCAAAUCAAAAAAUAGGGUAAUCAACUCAUAGCUUUUAAAAUAAUUAGGUUACCAAACCUACUUAAAAAUGUAGAUUAGAGCAUGAUUUUCGAUUUUUAAAAACCGAAGUGACUACAUUUUGAUUAUCAUCACCCAAGCGUUGACACUUUUAGGACUUGCCAUUUCGAAAGACAAUAUUCAUGAGAUUGCAUAGGCUAUCAAGUUCUUAUGAUAAGUGAGUUGUCCAUUCAUGCCUUGUUUAUGCUGUCUUUACAUGCAUCUCGACUCUCUCUCUUCCUAAGAUGAGUUACAGACGAUCAAUUUCAUAGGACAGUUCCAGGAUAUGAUUUGCAAGCUCAAGAUACAGCGACAUAACCAUGUAGCAAAAUUAAGCACCAACAUAUUUCUUCGGAGGAAAAUGCAAAUUGUUGAUGACAUUACAAACAAACCACUGUUAAAAAGCUACCUGAAUCAGCAAUGCCGCAUCAGGAAAUACAGUAAUUAACAUCCCUUUUGAAACCCCCCACCCAAAAAGAAUUUGUUUCUUGCUCCUGUCCUGAACUUGAAGCAUUUGGUUGGUGUGCACGGAGUCAAAGGAAAGGAUUCACCACAAUUACACCAUACGCCUCUGCCAUAUAUUCAGAACAGAAGAUACUUAAAAGUAAUGCAUCAACAAAUACUUUUUUUUUUGAAUAAUUAUCUGAUAUGUCAUAAAUUUAAAAAAAAAAAAAAUUGCAAUUUUUAGUUAUCUUUAUAUAACAGUUAUAUACCUGCUUCAAAGGUUUGAGCCCCUCAGAGAAUUGAAGUUUAAUCUUCUGGAGUGCUUUAAGGACAUCUUUCAUGUUCAUUCUGUCCUCAGAAGCGUCUGCUGUACAACAUAAAGCAAGUUCCAGGAUAGAUGAUAUGCAUGCUAUCUUAUUCUUUACUGGUCCAUCCUCAAGAUGAACUAAGUUCAUGUCCAUAAGCUGAAUCACAGAAUCUGGUAAGCAUUCUUGUACCCAAUGCUGCAGGCUUAACUCUUCACUAAACAUCUCAUCCUUAGGCCUCCUUUAGUAAAUGUCUCCAUCAAUGUGAUCCCAAAGCUAUAUACAUCACAACUUGUUGCAACCAGUCCUUCUAGUCCAUACUCUAGCAUCAAUGUUGAAUUAAAUUCGUUUGCUAAAUUCAAUUAAUAACGUGAAUUCAGAACUUCGGUACUGAAUAAAAAAAUUUUAAUUAGUUAAAAGUGGAAACAUCAUUUGACUGACAUCAAAAAUUGGAAUUGCAAUCAAGAAGAGUUACCUGGGGCAAUAUAUCAGAAUGUAGCGAGAGCCUUUGUUUGUACCACACUUUCUCCAUCUCCCAACAACUUAGCAAUUCCAAAGUCACAAACAUGACCAACCAUAUCUCAAUCUAGUAGGAUAUUGCUGGGCUUCAAAUCACAGUGAAUCACAGGAGUUGAAUAACCAUAGUGGAGAUAUUCCAAACCACAAGCUACAUCUAUCAUAAUGUCUAGUCUUUGGAUGAUGUUCAAGAUUUGAGUGCCUGAAUAAAGCCAUUUCUCAAGGCUUCCAUUGGGCAUGAAUUCAAGUAUCAAUGCUUUAAAGUCGGGAUUGGAGCAAGCACUGAUGACGUUAGUCAAAUUAUGAUGACGAAGACACCGUAAGACUUCACAUUCCCUGUCGAAGCUUUUAAAUGCACCAUCGAGCUGCAAAUCGAAAACCUUUAUAGCCAAAGUCAUCCCAUUUUCUCGUAUUCCUUUGUAAACAGAACCAAAGGUUCCGGAGCCAAGUAAUGCACUCUCACUGAACCCGUUCGUUAUUUGUCUGAGUUCGUGGAAUGGUACCCUCUCAAAUGUUGUAUCUGGAUCUAAGUUAGAUGGAGACACAAUUUUUCUUCUCCACUUUCUUAACACCAAAAACGAAACUACCAUGGCUACAACUGCUGAUCCAAGUGCUAACAACACAACAAGACUGUCUUUUUCCUUGAACUUUGUUCAAAAGUUUGACAAGGUUGGAGCCAAGGAGCAUCACAUCACACAAUGCUUCGUUUGAGAGAAAAGAUAGCUUCGUAAAGUUGGCAAAAGGUCCUCCAUGUGGAAUUGGUCCUCUAAAUCUGUUGAAGGACACAUUGAAGUAUACAAGAUUCUGGAGUACUUGCAGUGAAUUGGGAAUUUCACCAGUCAAAUUGUUAAAUGACAAAUCCAGAUACUGUAAUUCGAACAUAUUCUUCAUAGAUUCCGGAAUAAAUCCUUGCAGCCUAUAUGCUUCAAGGAUAGGGCCUGUAAACUCUGUAGUGCUCCUAUGGCUGUGGGAAUAUCUCCAAAAAAGUUAUUGACAGAUAGGUCCACAAUUAUUAGUGCCUUCAAAUUUUCAAUUUCAGAGGAUAAUGAACCGCAGAAAGAAUUUGUGGACAAAUUAAGCUCCAAGAUAUCCCUGAGUCUCCACAAAUUUGAGGGCAAGUUAAAACUUAAAUUGUUGGAGUCCAGAUCUAGAUAUCUUAAGGAAGUAAUAUUCCCUAUGCAACUAGGAAGUCUACCAGAAAUCAGAUUGCUGCUCAAACUUAAUCGUCCUAAGUUCAAUAAAUAAAAUAAUUCACUAGGACAGGGUCCUUGAAAUUUGUUAUAUCCAAGCUCCAUUUCCUGAAGUUUCAAUAGCCCUCCAAAGGUUGGUGGAAUUGUCCCUUCCAAGGCAUUCUGAGACAAAUUCAGGUCUGCCAAGUUACUUAAAUUUCCUAUGGAAUUUGGUAUUUGUCCACAAUCAUUCAUAAAUAAAGAUUCCAGAUUACUAGAAAUUAAAGAUUUCCAACAGAAACUGGAAGGAACCCAUUGAAAGGAAUCUCAUCUAGCACACAACACCUUUAGAUAUUUGCAAUUUGACAGGGAAUUCGAAAAGCUUAAUUCCCCAGAAUGAGAUUCAUAGGAAAAACUGUUGUUCGCAAGACACAAAAUUUUUAGAAGGCUCAAGUCACGAAGAGAACGAGGAAUUACACCUGUGAACUGGUUAGAUGUAAAGUCUAAAUGAGCAAGUCUUGAAGCAUUGGAGAUAUAUGUUAGUACGACUCCACUUAGUCUGUUUCCCCCAAUAUAAAGUUCUUCAAGAUUGGGUAACAUGGCACCCAAACUUGAGGGAAGACUGCCCGAGAGAUCAUUUUCUGCCAUGGAUAUUACUCGUAGCGAAGACACAUUAAACAGUUUGGAUGGGAUGGGACCUGUAAACCUAUUCAUGUCUAGUAUUAUUUCCUCCAACUUGUUAAGGUAACCAACCGCUUCAGGUAUCUCGCCUGAAAAUUCCAAGAUUACAAUUCACUUGCUAGAUGAUAGAAGGAAAUAUACUGAGUUGCUUACAGUGUGAUAUUGGACAUUUUAGUCACUUCUCAACUAUUUAUUUUUUUUUAUAGGACUAAAUUACUUGUUUAACUUUUCAAAACCUUCACUAUUUUAUUUCUUCUUUUUUUGGGUAGGUUCGUGACAGGGUGUCGAACCUGUGCAAUAAUAAUUACCUACUCAAGAAAAAUACAGAUUUUGUAUAUAGCGGUGAGCAGGGUCGAAUCCACAGGGACUGGGGAUAAUUCGUCUCUUCUAGAGUUCAGUGCAUGGGGGAUUUUUUGGAAAAUAUAAAAUUACUAAUUAAUUAACUAAUGAAAUACUAAUAGAAAUAAACAAGAAUUAAUCAAUAACCAAUAUGACUCUAGCCAAAGGUGCAACUUUUUAGACACGAUCCAUGCAACUGAUCAUCGAUGCAAAGAUAAUUCCAUUACUCAUUACUAGAUUGGUUAUAGUUGUCAUACACGCGAUGAACAACCAGCCUUUUCUUAAUUUCUCGAUAGUUAAGGUACGACCGUUAACUAUUUCUCUAACCAAAAAAUAACCCUAGGUACGACCAUAGGAUUUAAUUACUCGAUUGCAUUAAUAAUUAGAAAAGCCCAAUCCUAACCAACAAACACGCUACGAGGGUUUGUUUAAGUUAGAUCAUACGUUUCCCUAACAUGAAACCAAUCACGCUAGUUGCCACUGGUAUUAAUCAAUUGAACAAUUACGGAUUCAAUCAAUUAAUUUGACAGUAGAUUAUUAGGUUAAUUCGAAUAUCGGGCCCUUGACAUUCAAGUAACAAAACAAUCAUAAGCAAUUAAAUCAGUAAACGUAUAAAUACCAAUAAAUAAAAAAAAUAAGUAAAAUAAUUAGAUCUCACAGAUAUUCGAAACCGAGUCCUCAAAUUGACCUUCGACUAGAAAAAUGAAUUAGUUCAUCUUCAUGGAGGAAAUCCCAUGUAAAAUUGCAGAAGUAAUUAUUCUAAAACAAAACUAUGUUUCCGUCCUCCCUAGAAGAAAACGGCAAAGCUAUAUAUAAAGUAGCUAGAAGCAAAAACAAAACGAAGCUCUCCUGUUCUAAAACAAAAACUACUUCUCUAGUGGUCCCCGCCGAAUUAGGAACAAAACCAUCAUCUGUACGUUUGUUUUCUUUUUAAAACCAAAGGAAAAUGACUCAUGCUAUCUAGUCCCGUGGUCCCCGCACGAAUUGAGAGUCCAAUUCCAUUUCACAAGCCUCUGUACAUUUCUUUCUCAUUUUAAAGUCCAAAAGGAAUGAUGACUCCAAAUGCUCUUAUCCCGUGGUUCCCGCCGAGAUUGAGAGUCAAACAAACUCAAAAGAAAAGCCUGCCGAAUUACUCCUUGUUUCCUAAUGUUCCUAGGACUCCUUGUACCAGCCUUCUCUUCAUCAGCUCAAAAGGGAAGCCGUUUGUUUGAUCUCUUGUGGGCCACGUUGAGGGAGCCCCCAUGUGUGCAGUAAUUUGCUCAGAAAAUCCCUCCUUUUUUGUAGUUUCUAUUUCAUUCCCUGAAAUUAAGUCCAGAUACCAAAUAUAGUAAAUAUUACUAAUUAAAACAAUAUUUGGCAAGGACAAAGGGGAAAUUAAUAAUAAAAUAACCAACAAUUAACACUCUAUCAGUUCGAGAUCAACACUUCUCUUUCUCCUAUUUCUAAAUUUAGGCACAUGAUAUACCCCUAUUUGACAGCGGUGACACAAUUAUAAAGAAUGUCAUGCCAUUCUUUGUGAAAAAAUUUUCUCGGUUGCACUAUGAUCACACUUUUCAAUCAUCUCUACAUCUCAUCUUUUCAGUUAUUUUUUUAUCUCGCAUAGAUUACAUUACAAAAAGUACAUUUUUAUCUCACAUGCAUGACAUCACAAAAAGUUAUUUUUUUAUCUCACAUAUAUUAUAUCACAAAAAGUACUACAAAUCAUUUUAAUUUUUUUUUAAAAAAAUCCUUUGUCUAAUUAAACACACUCAAACUUUAAGGGAUAGUGGAAUUGAAUACUUUAAUCAAGGAGGUAAAAGGUAAUAUGCUCAAAAUUUUUUAAAGGGUAAAAACAAAAAGUCUCUUGUGGUAAACCUAAUAUACAAAAAAAUCCCCCGUGGUCUAAAAACGUAUAAAACCACACCUCAUACUUUGAAUUAAAUUAUAAAGAUGACGGAAUCCGUAAACUUAACAGGGACAGACAAAAUGACAAAAAUACCCUGAUAUAACUAAGCAAAAGACAGUUCAACAAAAUCAUUUGUUUCAUUCUCUAGAGAGAGAGAAUUGGGAGUUAAGGGGUAGAACAAGUAUAUUUGUUAAAUAUUAGGUAUAAUUUUUUUUUAGGUUUCAAUAAAUCAUUUUUGUUAAUUUUAAUGGAUUCCGUUACUUUUACAAUUUAGUUCAAAACAUGAGAUGCCGUUUUAUACAUUUUGAAACCAUGGGGUUUUCCUAUAUAUUAUAUUUACCACAAGGGACUUUUUUAUUUUUUACCCUUUUUAAAAUAAUCUUCUAUUAAACACACUCAAAGUUUAAGGGAUAGUGAAGUUGAAUGCUUUAACUAGGGAAGUAAAAGGUCAUAUGCUCUAACAGACUUACAUCACAAGAAGUUGUCUUUUAUCUCAUAUACAUUACAUCAUAAAAAGUACUACUGAUCAUUGUAAAAUUUUUUAAAAUAAUCUUCUAUCUAAUUAAACACACUCAAAGUUUAAGGGAUAGUGAAGUCGAAUAUUUUAAUUAGGGAGGUAAAAGAUAAUAUGCUCAAAAUUUUUUUAAAAAUAAUCUUCUAUUAAACAGACUCAAAGUUUAAGGGAUACUAAAGCUGAAUGCUUUAACCAGGGAGGUAAAAGGUAAUAUGCUUUGACAGGCUGAUGUUAGACUUUCCCUCCUUUUUUUUUUUUUUGUGUAAGUUCGAGGGCAGGCAUCCGAGACCUCUUACUGGCACUCUCUUCUCCUUACAACCCAAUCCAUCCAUUCCCCUUAGAAUUUCUCCUUGCAAUAAUAAAAGGUAUAUGUGUGUAUAUAUUUCACACAAACCAUGAUUAUUACUAUUAUGAAACAUAAUUUUAACUCUUAAAACAUAAGGUGAAUGUAGAUAACACUCUUACCAUUCAUGUUAGCUCCUGCUAUCCAGAAUCUCCUCAUGCCUUGAAGAUUACCAAUAUCUUCUGGAAUUUGACCUGUACAAAAUAUAUAUCACGACUACCAUGAUUAUUUAGAAAACUGUAAUUAAAAAAAAGAUAAUUUGUCCACUUUUCUUAUUUGUCACUCUUAAGGUACUACAGAAGAACUACUGUGGCACUUCCAUUUAACUUUUUUGAAUUCUAAAGAUAAAUGCAAACUUUAGCUCGUAUUUGUGCAAUUUCCUUUUUGAUUUAGAAAAUGUACUUUAACAAAAAUAUUCUAUUAAGUUUUUUUUUUUGGAGUUAUUAAACCAAAAACUUCCUACUUACAAUCCCUCUCAUCUUAUUACCUAACCCAACCCUCCCCCUAGCAAAAACAUUCCAUUAAUAUCAUAGUUUGAACAUUAUAAUGGAUAGAGCCUCUUCUCAAUUAAUUCGCAUUUUGUAAACGUUGAUUCUUCAAAAUUCAAAAUUAGAAUUCAAAUUUUAGAAUUAUUAGAAAAAAGUAGGCAUCUUGUAGCUUCUAAUUUUAGUUUUUCUUUUACUUUUCAAAAGCCAAAAGGUGAAAGAAAAAGAAGUUGAGAACAUUACAUGAUAUAUAUUUUAAUAUCAAAAGGUCCUUCAGUUUUUCAAAAACUUGUUUUUCAAAUAUAAUAAAAAUUUUUAAAAAGUACUUUAAAAGGUACACUAAAAAGUAGUCUAAAUUUUUUUUAAUAUUUAAAAAAAUUUUCAAAAUAUAUUUUAAAAACUCUACUACUCUUAAAUAUUCCAAAAUAUUUUCUAAAAAUAUCCCAAAAUAUACUCUAAAAACUCUAUUAUAGUAAAAUUUUUCAAAAACACCCCAAAAAACAGCUAAUCCAAACGAAGGGUAAUCAUUUGAACUUUUCACGUUAUUUUGAAAUUAUACAUGUGACUACGGAAAAUUGAAUUAUAUUUAUAGUGGUGUCGUAAGACAAAAACCUGAACAUAGAAAAGUUUAGGCCAAAUUUGAGGUCUUGACAACAAAAAAUCUACGUUUAAUUUUUUCAAGGGCAGUCCUAUAAUGCGAGCUUUCAUGUCUAAUUUGUAAUUCUAUGAAAUCAACCUAGUGGCAAAGUGAAACUGAAACUGAAAAUGACAAAUUAAAUACAUGUAUAUACGAGUGAAAAUUUUUUCCUAAUUAAUGUCUAUCCUACCAAAACUUCAUAACUUUUUUUCUGAACCUAUGGCACUCUUUUGAAAGAGCUUCCUCUUAGAAAUGCUGUAAAGCUUGUGUAGGAGACUUUGUCCGCCAUAUAAUCGCAUUUGUAUUUAUACAUAUUUGUUCUCCUUUUUACCAGAAAACACACUUAGUCAACAACUUAAAAGGAAAAAAAAAAAAAAGUUGUCAUAGUAUGCAAUUUUCUACAUACUGAAUUUCUCAAGCUUGAUAUUCGUUAGCCUUUCACACGGUGCAAAUUUUCUACUUGCAAGAUCAGGUACUUUUUUCUUCUCAGCUUUGAUAUCUCAGUCUUCGUUCAUGGUGAAUUUUUAUUAAGUUCUCUGGUCACUCUCUUUUGGUUCUUCAUUAUUCCUGUUAUGUUCACACAGCCCCCUUCCCCCGUGGCUAGUACCAAAAAAAAAAAAAAGGUACAUAUAUUGUUGCAACUUCAUUGUGAAACAAUUUAAAUUUGAGAAUAUUCUUGAACCGGUUGACCUUUUUUAAAAAAAAAAUUUUUUUGCCGCAGCUUUCUUGGUGUUUGAGUUGAUUUUAAGUUUGAUAUAGUGUGAUAGCUGCGUACAUGUAGGUUUAAUAACUUAUGGACAUGGUUAUAGCCGUUUCACAUUUUUUAAAUUGUGCAUGCAGCUAUUCUUUUUAAAUUGUGUAUUUGAAUUUUUUCGACCAAUAUUUCCACUUCUACUGAAAAAGUUUAAAAUCCUUUUUUCUAAAAUUUGAAGUUUUAUUCUUCUGUUAAAUCAUAGGAGGAUUGUGGAAGAGAAUGAUGGAUGUUCCCACUUUCCACGGCUCCAAGUGAUGGCAACUUCGUUGUAGGUACAUGAAUUCCCCGGCUAGUUGCUUUUUAAUGGGUCUUUACACCCUCUUUUGAAGGCAAGAAGAGCAUUCAGAUGAACAGUGUUGUUUUGGUUGCUGGCAACAAUUAUGGAAGCUGAGCUGGUUGCGGCAAAGUGCAACAGUACCAUGGCUGCAACGAAAAGAAAAAAAGUUGUCUGCAUUGCUAAUAGAGGUAAAUAAAACUUGAGGAAUGCCAAACAAAAGGUAAAUAAAACAUGAGCAUACAUUGUGACAUUGGGUUGAGUUAAAAUUUUUCCACAACGUAUCGUAGUUGUGUUUCCAUUGUAAAACUGGAUUACCAGGUUGAAGAACUUUAGAUAUAAACGUUGAAAAUAGGUUGCCGAUUAUGUGUUUCUUCUAGCUCUAGCUGGAAAUGGAAUCUGAGGAAUGAAUUGCACGCAUAGUUUGCCAUCAAUAUAUAGGACGGGAGCGGAUGCAUUACAUUUGUGUGACUUCGAGUGUAUUAAACUUAUAUCUAUUAAUGUCUGUGCAAGUAACAAAUAUAUAUAUAUAUAUAUAUGGCAAAAUUAUUCAUUUCCUUAGUGGGAUUUAGUGACAAAAUAAUAGGAUAGUGUGAAAAUAUUAAAGGUUAUGGAAGGAAAUUGGAGAAAUCUGAAUAGUGGGGAGUUAUUUAAAAUAUGGUAGUUUGAGAAAUUUGAAUAUUGUCGAACUGCUAUUAAUUUACAGCUUCACUAAUAGCCUUCAUCGGUGAGGUUUAUUUAUUUAUUUAUUUUUUCCCUGAUCAAUAAGUUUGGAAUUUUUUUCUUUUUUCACUAAGGGUACAAAAGAAAAGUACAGUGCCUGUGUGUUAUUUCCACACCAUGGCAUUCAGGUUCUGCAAAUUGUAUAUAUAGCAAUCUGUACAUGCAAUAUAUAAAGCCACGGUAGUCCAUCCUCUUGUUAACACGCCUUUGUCUUUUUUUUUUUAUAUAAAAUAGGAAACCAGCCUCAAAUUAGAUAUGGUUAAUUAUCCUACAAUUAGAGUAAAUAUACAUUUCUCCAUGUUUACUAAUUAAUUAGAUGUGAAACAGUCCACGCCUUAGCAUCCUUAUCCCACAACAAAAAAAAAAAAAAAAAAAAGAGGUUUCAAACAGAGAAAAACAAAAAGUGCUGAGACCGAAGAGUUGUGAACAAAAAAGGAAAAAAAAAGUAAAUUGCUGUACGAGUUAAAACUAAUUUAUUCUUGCUACUCCCCUCUUUUCUUGUACCAGCCCAUUUCCACUCAAGAAAUGAGAAGGUAAAAGUGGCUCUGUUAUAGUCUAAACAAAAUGUAUCAAUUAUAAGUCUGAUCCACCUUUUGUUAAGGACACUUUCUUCCAUUAGUGGAAGACUUUUAUCAAGCAUAUUGACUUGGAACAUCUUAAGAGAAGGUACUUGAUAGAUAGUGAAGAAAUUAAGAGGAGACUUAUCAAGCAUUUCCAUAGAUAGUGAAGAAAUUAAGAGAAGGCACUUGAUAAAGCACCACCGACUUGUGCUUCAGUCUGAGGACGUCUUCCGAGCCAACAGUCCCCUUUUUUCUUGAGGUUCAAAUUGGGAUGCCAAAUUAGAAGUAUAUACGUCAAAGCUUCACAAGAUUCUGAAUUGAAUUAGAUAUAAGUUACUUUGUGUUUUGCAAAGGUAAUAUGUAGCAAUCUACAAGGAAAUGAAAUUACAAAUAUAACCUUCAAUUUUGCCCUGAAUAAGUGCUAUUAAUUUCUAUAAAUUAGUAGUAAUUGUUGCACGGAAAACUACUUUGCUAUCUUUGCUCUUCGCACCUUUAAAAUGUUAUUUUGUAAUUAACUAAAUGCAUGAAUCUAAAUGCCACAUUCGUGUUCUGUAUGUAUAAAUACAUAUUGUUAGGUUUGGUCCUAGGAAAUUAACCAAUGAGAACAAUAGGACACUUGCCAACUCAAUAAUGACAAUAACAAAACAAAUAAAUCAAAUAGAGAAACACAAGAAUUUACGUGGUUCGACCCAAUUGACCUACGUCCACGGGCGAAGGGGUAGCAGAUUUACUAUAACAGAAAAAGAAUACAAAAGAGAGAGUACAGAACCCUAGAAAAUAAUUCUCAAAUCCAAAAGGUACCUAAAACUGAAAACACAAAAGAGGCUAAAUAACACUAAAUGUUUAAUGACUCAAAGCCCAUAACUUGCUCUUUGAUUUGAUGCCAAACCAAAACCUUUCUUAGAUUGGGACGUGGGCCCCACUGUGCAUAUGGCAUUUGGACCGUGUCCUUAACACAAUUAAACUCAUUUAACUCCACUAUAUUUAUAACCACCAAAAGAAGAUACUUUUUUAUAAAAAUUUUGAUGUGGGACACAAAGACAUACUCAACAAAUCUCCACCUUGGCAUGUAUCCAACGUCUGUAAAUAGUAGACAAAUAGCAAACAAGCUCUACCUUUUCCAUAAAAGUCCCAACGGAUCUCAACGAACCAUAAAAGUCCCAGCAAACCACAACGAACCACUAACGAACCAAGAUACAAAAGGGUCAAUAGGUUCCAACGAGCUAAAUCUCACAAAAGGUUCAACAGAUCCCAACGGGCUAAAAACCAUGAACACAGUAAUCUUACUUCACCUUCUUCUCAAAACCCUUAACGAGUUUCAACGGGCCAAAUAACUCUUCUUUAAAAUCCAACUGAACUCCAACAAAAUUUUUUUUCUUCACUCUCAGUAGCACCCAAAACCUGUUAUUGUCAUCAAGAAUCCAAAAUCUAAUCAUAACCCAAAACCUGAAACUGAAUCUAAAAUCUUAAACUCUAAUAUCAAUUUGUUAGAUCUGUUUCGGAAAAUUGACCAACGAGAACAAUAGGGACUCUGUUUGGAUUUUUCAAUUUUUGAAAAACAAGUUUUUCAUAUAUAAUGCUACAGUAAUAUACAAACAAAAACAACUUCAAAAACAUCAUAUCCAUACAAUAUAUCAAAAAAUAACUCCAAAUAUAUAUAUAUAUAUAAAUACACCACUAUCCAUCACUCUCCACCACCACCGCCACCACCUUACCGCCACCACCGCCACACCCAUGACCCUCUCCUCUCUCUCUCUCUCUCUCUCUCUCUCUCUCCAUCAAUCUUUCCUCCCUCCCUCCUUCUACUUCUUGUUUUGUCCUCCGUCUCUCUCUCAUUCUCCUUCCUUCUUUCUUCUUUCCCUUUCCUCGCCCUCUAAUUUCCUUCCCCUCCAUUGACCGCUACCUUUCUAGUCAUGAUCAAAUCUAAUCGUGACUAGAAGCCGUGACCAAGACAGUCGUGGUUAGAACGGUGGCUAAAGUCGCAGUCACCACCAGUGAGCAAAAGAGGGGUAUGGGGCUGGGGGGAAGGAGCAGAGGGAGGAGUAGGGAGAAGAAAAAGGAAGGAGGAGGAAGGGGAGAAGGGGGAGGAAAUAGAGAGGAGAAGAGAGGAAGAGAAAAGAGAGUGAAGGAGUAAAAAAAAGGGAUGGUGGUGGGUCGUGUAAAAUUUUUAAAAAAAUAUCCCAAAAAAUUAUAAAUUAUAAAAAUACUCAAAAAUAUAUUUUAAAAAUUUCUCUAAAAUAAUCCAAAAAAAUCUAAAGUAAAAGUUUUUCAUAUACGCAAUUACUGUAAAGUUUUUUAAAAACACCCCCCAAAAACAUUUAAUCCAAACAUGGCCCUUGUUGGCAACUCAAUAAUGACAAUAAGAAAACAAAUAAAUCAAGCAGAGAAACACGAAAUUUACAUGGUUCGGUCCAAUUGACCUAUAUCCACGAGCGAAAAAAUAGCAGAUUUACUAUAACAAAAAGAGAGUACAAAAGAGAGAAUACAAAACUCUAGAAAAUAAUUCUCAAGUCCAAAAGACACCUAAAACUGAAAAUACAAAAUAGUCUAAAUAGCACUAAAUGCUUAAUGGCCCAAAGGCCCAUGACUUACUCUUUCGAUUUGAUGCCAAACCAAAAUCUCUCUUAGAUUGGGGUGUGGGACCCAUCAAAACUCUCAUGGACUGGUGCAUAUGGUACUUGGGUUGAUGCCCUUAGUACAAUUAAACUAACUUAACUCCACUAUAUUUAUAACCACCAAAAGGAGAUACAUCUUUAUAAAAGUUUCGAUGUGAGACAUAAAGACACACUCAACAAAUCUCCACCUUGACGUAUAUCCAACAUCGAUAAAUAGUAGAUAAAUAGCAAGCAAGUUCCACCUUCUCCAUAAAAGUCUCAACGAACCAUAAAAGUCCCAACGAACCACAACGAACCACUAACAAACCAAGAUACAAAGGGUCAAUGGGUCCCAACAAGCUAAAUCUCACAAAAGGUUCAACAAAUCCCAACGGGUUAAAAACCAUGAAUAUAGUAAUCUUGCUCCACUUUCUUCUCAAAACCCUUAACGAGUUCCAACGGGCCAAAUAACUCUUCUUUAAAACCCAACUGAACUCCAACGAAAUUUUUUUUUCUUCACUCUAUGUAGCACCCAAAACCUGUUAUUGUCAUCAAGAAUCCAAAAAUCUAACCAUGACCCAAAACCUGUUAUUGUCAUCAAGAAUCCAAAAAUCUAACCAUGACCCAAAACCUGAAGCUGAAUCUGAAAUCUUAAACUUUGAUAUCAAUUUGUUAGGUUUGUUCCGGAAAAUUGACCAAUGAGAACAAUAGGGUUGUUGGCAAUUCAAUAAUGACAAUAACAAAACAAAUAAAUCAAGCAGAGAAACACGAAAUUUACGUGGUUCGGUCUAAUUGACAUACAUCCACGAGCGAAGCAAUAGCAGAUUUACUAUAAUAGAAAGAGAAUACAAAAGAGAGAAUACAAAAUCCUAGAAAAUAAUUUCCAAGUCCAAAAGGAACCUAAAACUGAAAACACAAAAGAGUCUAAAUAGCACUAAAUGCUUAAUGACCCAAAAGCCCCAUGACUUGCUCUUUUGGUUUGAUGCCAAACCAAAACCUCUCUUAGACUGGGGCGUGGGACCUGCCAAAACUCUCAUGGACUGGUGCAUAUGGCACUUGGAUUGAUGCCCCUAGCACAAUUAAACUCACUUGAAUCCAUUAUAUUUGUAACUAUCAAGAAGAGAUACUUCUUUAUAAAAGUCCCGAUGUGGAAUAUAAAGACAUACUCAACACAUAUGUCUAUGUGUACCUCUAUAUGGUGACAUAUAUUGACGAUCAAUUUAUUUUUCAUUUAUAUGCAAAAAUUGAAAAGGCCCCCCACACCUAGACAAUGCUUGUCCUCAAGCAUUUCGGAGCUCAGUAGUACAACCAAGAGAGCAGAGGUUAUGGAGUAGUCUAUACUAACACAAGCAUCUAAGGUCCCUGACAAUGUCACCAAGAUUAGAACAUACUGGAUAGGUAGGAGUCCAAAAAGAAUAGGACCAGUAAUACUCGUUACCUCCAAGAAAGUGUAUGAAUACUAGAAAUGCUCAAAUCAACAUCAUGGAAUGGCAUUACCAUAAGAUUGCACAUUUAUCACAUCUCCACCACUCGAAAGUGAACUAAAUACACAAAUCAAAGGGACUUUAAUAGGGUUGUAAUGAGAUUUAGGUAAAAGGCGGGAUAAGAAGGUAAAAAUAGGGUGUAAUGUGUCAAGAGAAUGUCCAAUAUCCACUACAUAAUCACAAUGUUUUAUCGGGGCAAUUUCUCAAGUAGGGCAUUUCCAUUUGCUGUUUUCAUUGUACAAGUGUCGGAACUCGUUCCCUUUUUUUUUUUUUUUUUUUAAGAGGACGUCUAGCAAGGCGUGGACACGCCCUGGAAGACAGAGUCUUCUGGUCACCAGCUUUUUGCCGAUUUCUCCCCUUUUUUUUUUCCUUCUUUUCUUUCUUUUUUUUUUCUUGGCUUUUCUUUCGAUCUCAGAUGUACAGAAACAGCACCAUAAAACAUCUUUUUGACAACACUUGCCACCACAGAUUUAUUUACCUUGCACAAGUAAUGAAUUUCAGACAUCGCUUAAUGACACAAGGUUGGACAAAAGAGUCUAAAAAGGUCAUGGAUUAUCCAGCACGGCUAACAAACAAAGAGAGGGAUAAAAGCUCAAAUUGGUUCACUAUCGGGAGAUAAGAUGAGGGUUUGGUUUUUUAGAUAGCUAAAUAGGGUUAAAUCCUAAAUGGCCUUAUCAUUUCAAAUGCAUCCAAUUCAGCAAAAAUGUGGUCUCGACAUGUAUAAACUAACAAGUUCUAGAAUGCCAAUACCAUGUGUGAUACCCAUUGAAUCAAACAAAAAUAGAGCAAACAAGAAUAAUGUGCUCAUAUAAGGCUCAAAAGCUCCCAAAAGUUUCAAAAAUGGGUCAAGUCCAGCGUAUUCAACACUCAACAACACUGCCAAGGGAAAACGAAAUGCAUAGCUAGUAUAUUUACCCACAUACCCACGCAUCUUGAUUGUAUCAUUAAUCACAGCAACAUGCUCCAACAUUAACAAGCAUAGAAAUAAACAAAAAGCCGACUAACUACAAUGUUUUCUUUUUUUUUUCAUUUUUUCCAUUUUGUUUCAUUUUGUUUCAUUUUUUUUUCUUUUUUUCUUUUGAGUAACAAAGCAAAAAGAAAUAAUGGAAGCCACUCCCCCACGCCUAAAACCUACAUUGUCCUCAAUGUAGAAAAGACAAAUGAAGUAUUAGUAGAAAAGAAAAGAAACUUCCCUGACCACCGGGGAGGGAAAGUGAGACACUAAGGCGGAGGAGGGGAGACGGCUGCGUGCACAAUGUGGAGUGGCGGCGAUGGACGCAACACCAACAGGAAGGAGAAGACUGAAGUUUCUUUUUCGGAAGGGUUGGAAGGCGUGGGCACGCCUUAGAAGUUAUAGCCGUCUGACCGUCAAUUCCAAAACUCCAUUCCUUAGGUGUGAUGACCUAGCGUGGGCAUGCCUAGCUACCAACUUCCUGUCACAAAAUAACAAUCCACUAAAUGACACUAACACUUAACAAAAACUUCAAAAAUAUAAGAAAACUAAAACAAAAGAAGUCUUGGGUUGCCUCCCAAGCAGCGCCUUUCUUUAAUGUCUUUGGCUAGACAUCGUCAUGUUUAUUCACGGAGGAUAAAAUCGUGUAGUUCGUUUCAGUGCUUCAUCUCCUAUGUAAUCCUGAUAGCCCUCGUAGAUAGAGUAAUUCUUGACUCCACGAGCUACGGUAUUCCAUGGAUUAGUAGUUGGCGCCAAACAAAUAAGUGAUGACCUUAAAUCUUCACUCAUUCCUCCAUCAAGAGCACUUAUUGGUUCGAGAUAUUUUGCCAUCGUGACUCUUAACUCAUUCCUGUCAUGAAACUCAAAAUAUUCUGGUAUAAUAAAAUCAAUCUCACUAACAGGAAUUAAAGAAUAAAAGUCAGGAGAAUAUUGAUCAAGGAAUGGGGGAGGUGUCACCGCAUUUGGAGAUUGUUCACUGGAUUCAUCCACUUGAACAAUUUGAUAUUGGGGUUCCUUUUCUUGUACUUCAAUUCCCUUUUCAACUGCAUCUUUAGAUUCUUCUUCAUGAGACUCUUGCAGUUCCAUGUCAUUUGUCAGGAUAAUUAUACUCUCAUCUUCUUCAUGGUCGAUAAUAAUCGUUGAGGGCAAUUCUUCACAAAAUGGAGAAAUCAAUUUGCUCAUUGUAGAUGCCAAUUCACGCCUUCCAUCUUCCAUCUCUUUAAUCAACCUUUGUGUCUCCUGUUGAAAUUGACGUGUCUCCUGUUGAAUUUGAUGUGUCUCCUGUUGAAUUUGAUAUGUCUCCUGUUGAAUUUGAUAUGUGUUAGUAGCUAUUAAUUCAACUAUUUCUUCAAGAGACAUACCUGACAUGGAUGACGGACCUUGAGACUCUAGCUGUUGAAAAUCUAUUGGCUUUUGUUCAUAAUUAAAAGUGGAAUCAUCCCACCAUCCUUGCUCAUACCCGUUUGAAUAAGGGUCAUACCACGUUUGAUAUUGAGGUGAAAAAUCUCCAAAAGUAUCGAUUGGAGUACUUCGACCAUCUUGAAAUGCAGGGCAUAUGUUGGGUGAAUAAUUCGAAGCAAAAUAAGCUCCACAAUUUGCAACAGCCCAUUGAUCAUUAGAAAAAGCAUGAGUCUCAUAACCCCUUAUAAAAUUAAAAUCCAGUCUAUCACCAAAAUACGGAAUGUUAGCAGUCAUAAAAUAUAUACAAAAAAAAUAAGAGAAAAAUAAAAAAAAUGAACUAAAAAAGAAACAAAUUAAUCAAGCACCAGUCCCUGGCAACGGCGCCAAAAAUUGACAGGUGCCGAACCUGUGCAAUAAUAAAUACCUACUCAAGAAAAUUACAAAUUUUGUAUAUAGCGGUGAGUAGGGUCGAAUCCACAGGGACUGGAAAUAAUUCGUUUCUUCUAGAGUUCAGAGUAUGGGGGGGUUUUUGAUGGGAGGAAAAUAAAAAUAAAAAUAAAACAAAUAAAAUUCAAAACUAACUCACAAAGCACAAUUUACUAAAAAUAGCAAUUAAUAAAAGUUCUACCCAAAGGAUCAACUGCUCAGGCACGGUCCAAUUAAAUGAUCAUCGAUGCAAAGAUAUUUCACUCAUUCAUCACUAGGUUGGUUAUAGUUAUCAAUAAGUUCUGACAACCAGUUCUUCCUUACCUUUUCAACAGUCAAGGUACGACCAUUGACUGCUUCCCUAACUAGAUAACAACCCUAGGUACGACCGUAGAAAUUUAAUUAUCCAAUUGCAUUAAAGCUAGAAGAACCCAACCCUAACCAAUAAACACGCUAAGAGGGUUUAUUUAAGCUAGAUCUUGCGUUUCUCCAUCAUAAAACCAAUUAUGGUGGUUGCCACGAGGUGUUAACUAAAUGAACAAUUACGGAUUCUAUUUAAUUAACGUGGCAGUAGGCUAUUAAAUUAAAUCAAAUACCCGGCCGUUGAUAUUCAAUCAAUAAAAUACCCAUGAACAAUUAAUUCAGGAAACGCACGAAUAACAAUAAAUUGAGAGAAAUAAUGAAGAUUCGAUUAGAUCUCACAGAUAUUAUGGACCGCGCCUUCGCGUUAACCUUUGGGUAGAGGAGGAAAUUAGCCGCUCCUCAUCGUGUCAAUCCCGCGUGGUUUAAUUGAAAACACCCGCGCAAACAUCGCACAAUUUGAAACGCUGAAGUACCGAAGAAAGAAAAAGGAAAAAGUCUUCCUUGUCUCCGCUUUGAUGUUUGUACUGAAACCCAAAAGUAUACGCACAAGCCAACGGAAAUUGUACAAAGCCAAAGUAAAAACAAAAGAGUCAAAAGCGCCCAAACCAAGAGCGAAAACGAAAAGGGUCUCUGACGUCUGACGGCUAGGGAAAAAGAAAACUAAAGCUAUCUAAAAUCCUAAUACGUGAAUCUGGCUUUUUUUCCUUUCUAUUUGUAGCGCCGCAGGAGGUUUUCAACCAAAAAGACGUCUGGCCCAAUUAAUUGAAACAAAGGGAUUUUUGGAGUUUUAAUCCCGUGCUCCUCGCGAUUCACGUGGAUCGCAGUCCGGCUUUCGGUUUCGUCCACCUUCCAAGGCGUGGCCACGCUCUGAGACGAAGGGUCUUCUGUAAAUUUGCUUCCAGAGAUCAUUUUUAAUGCCGACCACCUAUAAUUCAUACAAAUGUGAAAUAUGAGUUAAAUUCCAAUUCUUAGCACCGUGAAUGGCCAAAAUUAUGACAAAAUAACACUGCAAAAUGUGCCAAAUAACGGCUCUAUCAGGGAAAGAUAUAUGAACAACUAAAUGUAAAUUACCACCUUAAUUGCCAUAUAUGUAUGACAAGCAUAAACACCAAGUCAACAUAUAAAUUGGGAUCACGAACUUAAGGUCUCUAUAUUUGUAAACAAAUUUAUUGGCAAUACAACAUAUCUCAUUCCCGUCUUGAACUUUUAACAUUUGGUGGGACACCAAGUCAAGACAAAGAGUUCCCACAUAUACAUUUGCACUCCAAGGCUCUGCCAUAUAUUCAGUAGAAAAACAUGAGUACUACUUGAAUGAAUGGUAAGCUUUGGAAUGAGAUUUUGACAUAAUGCUAAUGGAUUAUCUCAUAUAUAAUGGUUUUACCGUCUACUUCAAGGUGUGAUAUCUUUGAUAAACUGAAGUUUGAUCUUCUGCAAUGCUCCUAGAGCUUCUUUCAUGUUUAUUCUCUCCUCAGAAGCAUCUGUUGUACAACUUAAACCAAGUUGCAAGAUAGAUGAUAUGCAUUCAAUCUUCCUUUGUACCAAUAUAUCUUCAGGAUGACGCAAAUUUGUGUCUAUAACCUGAAUCACAGAAUCUGGUGAGCUUUCUUGUAUCCAACGCCUGAGGUUUAAUUCUUCUAUAAACAUCUCAUCCUUAGGCUUUCUUUUUGUAAAUGUCUCCAUCAAUAUAAUCCCAAAGCUGUAAACAUCACUACUUGUUGAAAUCAAUCCUUCCAGUCCAUACUCUAGCAUCAAAAAAUUUGAAACUAGUUGUUAAAGUGAAGUACCAGUUCACCAAUUUUACAAUUUUUUUUUCAAAUUUUUCAUAUUUCACAUACUGUACUAGUUGCUAAAAGUUGAAACAUUAAUUUGAAUGACAUAAAAAAUUCGAAAUUGUAAUCAAGAAAAGUCACCUGGGGCAAUAUAUCCAAAUGUACCAAGAGUCUUUGUUUGUACCACAGAUUCUUCAUCUCCCAACAACUUUGCAAUUCCAAAAUCACAAACAUGCCCAACCAUGUCUUGAUCCAGUAGAAUAUUGCUAGGCUUCAAAUCACAGUGAACUAUAGGAGUUGAAUAACCAUAAUGGAGAUAAUCCAAACCACAAGCCACAUCUAUCAUAACAUCCAAUCGUUGCUUGAUGUUUAAGAAAUGAGGGUUUGAAUGAAGCCAUUUCUCAAGGCAUCCAUUGGGCAUAUAUUCAAGCACCAAAGCCUUAAAGUCAGGGCUAGAGCAAGCACUGAUUACUUUAGUUAAAUUUCGAUGACGAAGGCAGCUUAAGACUUCACAUUCUCUAUCAAAGCUUUUAAAUGCAGAUUCUAGCUGCAAAUCGAAUACCUUUAUGGCCCAAACCAUCCCAUUUUCACGAAUUCCCUUGUAAACUGAACCAAAGCUCCCCGAACCAAGUAAGUUACUCUCGCUAAAUCCAUUUGUUAUUUGUCUAAGUUGAAGGAAGGAUGCCCUUUCAAAUGUCGCCAUGGGAAGCAAGUUCUGAGUUGGAGCUAGAGUUUUCUUUCUCAACUUUAACCGCAUCAAAAAAAUUGAAAUCACCAAGGCUAAUAUGGCAGAACCUGAUGCCAACAGAACAAUCAUGACUAUCCUUUUUGUCCUUGAUUCAUGUUGAAAUGUACUUGUACAAGUUUGGCGCCAAGGAGCGCCACACAAUGCUUCAUUUGAGAGAAAAGAUAGGUUCGUGAAAUUUGUGAAUGGCCCUCCGUGAGGAAUCGGUCCUCUCAAUCUGUUGUAAGACACAUUAAAGUAUUGGAGAUCUGAUAGUACAUGUAAUGAGUUGGGAAUUUCACCUUCUAGAUUGUUAAAAGAUAGAUCCAAAUGCCGUAACUGCAACAUAUUCUUCAUGGAAUCUGGCAUCAAUCCUUGUAGUUUGUUAUGUUCCAAGGAGAGUUCUUGCAAAUCUUGUAGUCCUCCAAUAGUGCUAGGUAUCCCACCAAAGUAUUGAUUAUUUGAAAGGUUCAAAUAGACUAAUGCCUUCAAGUUUCCAAUUUCAGCAGGCAAAGAACCUGUCAAAUAAUUUCCUGACAUGUCCAACUUCAAAAUAUCUCUAAGGCUCCAAAAGGUUGUUGGUAUCACAGAACUUAAAUUGUUAGACUUGAGAUAAACAUAUCUGAGUGCUGUAACAUUUCCUAAACAAGAAGGCACCACACCAGAAAGCUUAUUUUUUGCCAGAUAUAAUCCUUCUAAGUUCAACAAAAAACAAAGCUCAUUUGGAAUAACUCCUUGUAUCUGAUUGUCAGUUAGAUCCAUCAUCUGAAACUUCAACAACCAUUUGAUUGUAGUUGGAAUUACUCCUAUCAAACUAUUGAUGGCAAAGUCCAGCCCUAUCAAGUUGCUCAAAUUACCAAUCGAACUUGGAAUUUCACUUAUGAUUCCACAACUAGUGGCAUAAAUGGAUUCGAGUGAGCUAGAAAGAUUUCCAAUAGAUUUUGGGAGGAAGCCAUUCAGAGGAUUGUCAUCUAUCCACAACCUUCUUAAAUGUUUGCAGUUUGAUAGGGAUAUGAUGAAGCUCAACUCUUUGGAUAGCGAGUCCUCAGAAAAAUUAUUUUGCCAUAUAGCAAACUGUUCCAGUAAUCUCAAGUUUCCAAGAUAAUAAGGAAUUGCACCAGUAAAAUGGUUCAUAGCAAGGUCUAGCAUUCUGAGCCUAGAAGCAUUUGAGAUGGAUGUUAGUACAGUUCCAGUAAAUUCAUUUCCCCAAAGGUAGAGUUCCUCAAGAUUGGGUAAGAAAACACCUAUAGUUGAUGGAAGCUCGCCUGAUAAAUCAUUCUGCGCGAGAGAAAUAAUUCGUACAGUUGAACUAUUGAAAAGUUUCAGCGGGAUGGGACCUCUCAACCUAUUCAACUCCAAGUUUAGCAGUUCCAACUUGCUAAGAUUACCAAUCUCUUCAGGUAUUAUACCUGACAAAUCAAAUUGGUGAGAAAAAAAUGUGAAGAUUGUUUGUUGUCCUACUUUUAGAAUAUACAACGAGGAGUCAUAUUUUUGUAUUUACACCUAUUAAAAAAAUAUUCUUAACUGUAUCACUUUAUAGUCUAAUCAAUACGAAUAUUUGAUUUCAAUCAUGUAUACAUUAGUACAAAUACCAUUAGCACUACUAGUGAUAAAUGGCACACUCAAUUUAUGUGCAAUUUAAAAAAAUCGCUUUUUAUAUGGAAGAAAUUGGUAUAAAACUUUAAUAAAUGAAAAAACUUUGAUCUUUUAAAAGCUUUUUUAAUAUUAUUAUAAUGUUUGUGGUUGGUAAUGGGUGAAAGUUAGUUGUGGAAUUGGUUGAUGAUAAGUGUAUAUUUUGAGUGAUUUAAGUGUGUUUUAUUAUCUAUUUUUGGUAUGUUUUAUUCACUUUUAUAGCUAAUUAAUUAAGUUCCUAGUGAAGAUAUGCAUUUUAUGGUUAAAGUAUAAAAAUUGCAUUUCUAUGUAUUAAAAUGGUGAAAAUUUCAUGUUUUUGUAAGUUUAAUGAUUCAAUCAUUAAAUGGAGUAAGUUGCCAAGAUAAUUGGAUGAUUUUUAAUGAUUUGAAGUGGUUUUAAAGAUAAUAUAAAGUGCAAGCGAUGAAAUGCAAUUAAGUAUAAAAAGGAAAAAUUUCCAGCUUUGACACCUAUUGAUAUUUUAGCUAUAUCUUGAGUUACAAGUAUCGGAUUGAGGUGAUUCUUAUGCCAUUUUGAAGCUAACACAUAGUUCUGCAUUUCUUAUGCAGACAUCAAAAUCUAGUUCAUGAGUUUCAUUCUCAAAAUGUUGAAAUACAGUCAGUCAUUUCUAUUGUCAAAAGUUAAAAUAGAGUUUUGACCAUUUGAGGGUAUUUUGGUCAUUUCUCAAUUUACAGAGCUCCAAAUUGGAUGAUUCUAGAGGCAUUGGAAAGCUGACUCAAAUGAAUAAACUUUCAUGUUUUGUAUAAGAGUUAGUUCAGCCUCCAUCAUCAAGAAAAUAUCAGUGGAAGUUGGAAUAAAAAUAGAGCAAAGAUGAAGAUUGACCAGAAAUGAACAAACUUGCAAAAAAGGCAAAACGUGGGGUCGCGUUUUUAAGGUCACGUAUUAUUCAAUUGCGGCUGCAACUUACUCUGCAACUUGUGCUCUAUUUGCACAAGCUUUUUGACCAACUUUUUUGCAACAAAUCUGGUUGGAAAUGAUCAAGCAAGCAUAGAAUCUUGUAGAAGCAACUUUUGGAGAUUUCAAGAGCUAACUUUGCUAACUAGAAACAACUCAUUUGUGGCUUGAAUUUCUCUAUAAAUAGAGGCCUUGGAGAACAUUUUGAUAACUUUGGAAAGCUAAAUAUACUACAAAAAAUAUAGUUUUCACUAGUUUUUCUUAAUUCAUUAGUUUAGAUAGGUUAAUAUAGUUUUAUUCUAUCUUGUAUCAUGCUAAGCAAGGAUGAUGAUUGAGGUUUGAAGAUGGCGAAAAUGUUGCUCACAUAUGGCAAGAGUUUCAUCUCUUCAACUCUUUAACUUUUGUAUUUGAAUCUUAUGCUUAGUCAUAAUACAAGUAUGGUAUUUACUUUCCAUAUGUUUGGUUAAAGUUUAUGCCUAGAGUUAUGGAUGGCUUUCUAUAUCUUGUUAGUGAUAUUUAUUUGGUUAUUUGAUGAUAUUUUUUUCAGCAAGUUAUUUAUCACUUUUGUUUUAUCUAAUCAUAAUUAACCGGCGGUUAAUUGUGAUAAUCUUAAGGUGUUAAAUUUGCAAUGAGAAUUAGGAUUUGACACUAAUUCAAGGGAGUGAUAAACUUAGGGAAUUCACUCACGGAAGAAGAGGAGCACUUAUGUGGCUCUAGUGAUUUAAUUUACUGUAAUUUUAUAGAAAAAAUGAACUUGUAGUUAAGUUCAUAACCACAAGAGUAAGUAUGAUUUAGUUACAAGUAUAGUUGAUUUACUACGAAAGUAGGUUUUACAUACAUUAGGAAAUUAUGUCAUAACUAAUUAAGAUAAUAGUAUUCAAUUAACUGGUAGUUUCAUUUACAAGAGUAGUGAGGAAUUUCAUACCUCUAGAAGUUUUUUAUUGUUAUUUGUAUUGUUUUUACUCAUGUUUAUAGUGUAGAUUUACUUUCUUGCACUUAUGAUAAUCUGAAUAAUAAAGGAGUUCGAAAAACAUCGAUAAUUGACAUUCUUCCUUGUGGGUUUGACCCUUAAUACCCUAUACUCAAUUUCGAUCUGUAUACUUGCAGAAAAUCGCGUGUGGGAUUUUUAGAAAUUUAUAAAUGUAAAAUUUGAUUGUAAAUGAAUUAAUUAUUAUAUGUAUACCUUGCGCUCGUCAGUUGACAAUACAUAAGCAACAGGUUAAUCAGAUGAUAAAAGUAUAAUUAAGUGAUUAUGAUGAUAAUGCUGAAAAUUAGAAGUGACACAUGUGGUCCAAUUAAAUUUCACCUAUAUGCGCUCUGGUUAUUAUGUCAUCAAUUCAUUCGCAUUAAUUUGGUCUAAUACCAUUACAAAUGCAUUUUUAAAAAUUUCUUUAAGUUAUACCCGCAAAUAUAAUAAACAAUCAAGCAACAACGUAUCAUUGCUCCUACAAAUAUUCCAUCUCAACUAAUUAAUUAACCAUACGUUUACUCCUUUACAAUUAUUAAUUUAAUAAUUGAUAAUCAUUUCUCCUAUGAUUGGUUUAAUUAAUUUGCGAUCAUUUUCCUUCAACCCAUGAUUGGUUUAAUUGCCCUCGUCAACCGCUUCAACCACUAACAAGUUGCUUUUGUAACUCCCCCGAAUCUAUCCAUCAUAACAAAAGCUCCGCACUUUUAAUUCUCUCAAUCAUCUUUAUGUCCACUCAAUCUCGGCCCCACAACCCAGUCACAACCACACCUCGUUACUCUCAACCCGUACUAAGCCUCAUGUCUCCCGGUAAAAUUUACAGCUCAUGUGCCUGAUUGAAGCCACUUUGACGCCAACAAUUGUAUUUGUGUCUUCUAUGUACUAUUUUGUCGUAACCAUGUACUCCCAUGGUUCCAUUGGUUAGGCUCCUCUAAAUUAGGGUAAAAUAAAUUAUAUAAAUAUUAUUAUUGUAAUAAAAAAAUAUAUUCAUUAGUACGAACAGCUAUACAAUUUUGUAGAUUUUUUGCCUAGGUGAGCAGCAACCAAAGCAUGACAAUGGCAAAAUUUUUGUGUCCCACAUAUCUGAAGUCAAGUGCCUAAAUUUAACGAAAGAGGACGCAUCUCAACAAAUUCAAGGGUAUAAUUCAUUGACAACUUUGGAAAUGGCAAAACAUUUUGAGACAAUGUUUCAUUCACUCUUUUUAUCUCUUUGUACCCUCUCUCUAAGUGCUUCCUCAUCUUCCUAUUUCCCCAUUGUAUCAUCUGUUAGCCCCCUAUCAGUAUCUCUAUUUUUGAAGUACAAUCAAUUGGAAUUUGAAGUUGAGUUAUAGAUGUAGGCUGUAGCAUAUUGAGAUCAAGCUGAUCAAAAUCCUUUUAGCUUAUGCAGUGCGAUAGUAUGACUGACCAAUUGAGGUAUGAGAAGGAGUCCAAUUUGAUUUGUAUUUGAACUCGCUUAACUUCAAGCUCAAAUUUAAGUUUGAGAAAAGUUUUUUCAUGAUGUGAUAAUGAAAUAGAUAUCACGUCAAAAAGUUUUUUACCUGUCACAUUAGCACUCUCCAUGCCUAGUAUCUCCAAAUUAUAGAGAUUGUCAAUGGCUUUUGGAAUUUCACCUGCUCAGAAAUCACGACAUGAUGAUAAAUAUAAUUAACAGCAUGGCAUAAUUAUAUGUAUAUAAUAUAUAUACAUUUCAGAAUUCUAAGGGGCUUCAGUCAAGUUUCAAAUAGUAUCAUGUAAAUCUCUCGUAAAUAUUGGCAAAAUGACGAUUGCAUGCACUCCCAAAAAUUGGAGGUCAUUUUGGUGGCAAUCUCUAUGCAUAUGUCAAUUGAUUUUUAAAUGUACACAUAAAUUAGAAAUAAAAUUGAUAUAAAAUCUAAAUAUGCAUAUCAAAAUUAAUAGUUUUUACAUUUUCUUUCAUAGACGGUAAAGCCAUGAAGUUUCAAACGUCCAAAAAUUUUAAGGGAAAAUAACUCAAAACCCCCAUGUGGCUUGCAAAUAUACUUUAAACAUCCUUAUGCUUUGGAUUCAAAGGCAAGACAGAUGUAAUCCAUCAAAACCAAUGGUUUUGUACAAAAAGACAACUUCACCUCAUUAGUAUACAUAGUGUCAAUUCAUCCUUCUUUCACAAUUUUAUUUCUUACAUCAAACAAAAAUGUGUGUUUGGCAUAGUCAUUAAUCCCGGCCUAGACAUCAACCCGGCAAGGCCAUUGGUAUAACAGGUUAGCGUCUUAACCAUAAAUUUAUCGAUCUAGCCGGUGUUUCUAAAAUAUUGUACAAUAUAAUAUUUUAAAUACUAAAAAUAUUAUAAUUAUUAAAUUUCUGGUUGAACAGGUCAGUAUUUUAGAUUUUACGGAUUGAAUUGACGAAUUAUUGACUAGUUAAUGAUUUCCUUCAUCAUUCAGUCCAACCAGUAAUCCAAGAUCACUAAGUUGACCAAUUGAAUCAUCCGGUUAGGUGAGGUUAGGUUUAGUAAAUCUGUGUUCGCCAUGCUUUGAGUUUUUUAUUUCCUAACUUUUAUCUUUAUUUUGUUGAAAACAGAAACUUCUUUAUUCACACAAAGUUUGCACCAAUACUUAAGUAGUUAGCGAUUAUCAGCAAUCGUGUAUGUGAUGUAAAUUUUGCAUGCACUUCUGAAUUUCGUCUCAAAAUCCUUUAAAACCCAAUGAAAAUUUCUCAUUGGGUUAUGAGGGAUUUUAAACAAUUUUCAAUGGGUUACGAUGGAUUUUCAGUCUUAAUUUGUACUCUACACAGUAAACUUACAUCAAUUAGUCGUGGAUGACAAUUGCCGGCUAUAACUACUUACUUUAUAAUGUUGUUGCAAAUUUUGAUUGAUUAAGGAAGAAUAUUUUAAAGGGUUAUUAUCACUUUACCUCUUUAACGUUUAAUGUCACUAUCAAUUUUCUCCUUAACGUUAUUUUUUAGUCAUUUUAUCCCUAAGACUAACGGUCAUACUUAAUGGAAUUUAUUAAUCCAAGUGAUAAGGCAUGUUUAAUGUUUAAAAUUAUUAUCACUUUGUCCCCAUGAACUGUAAACUUAUUAUCAGUUUACCCCCUACAGACUAGAGUUAUUUUUUAGACAAUUUAUCCAACCAUUAAAUCAACUUAGCAAGUUAAAAAAUAAUAGAAAAUAGUACCCUCUUUUUUGUAUAAUAAAAACAAGGAUUAUUAUCACUUUACCCCAUUAAACUAUAUCACUACUAUCAAUUUAUCCCAUAAUAUUAUCUUUUAGUCACGUCACCCUAUAGGUAAUUUAACUCAUCAUAUUAAUAAAAUUUUAACAAAAAUACCCUUUUAUUUUAUAGCAUUGCUACAUUAUUAUUAUCACUUUAUCUCUUUAAAUUAUGGUGAUAUAAUUGUUUUACUCUCUAACAUUAUUUUCUAGAUAUUUUAUCCUAUCAUUAAUCUAAAAAGUAUGUUAAAAAAUGUUUAAAUAUAUUUACCUUUUAUAUAUAUAAUUAAAAUAAAAAAAAUUGGAAUGGUUAUUCUUCCUUUUUUUCACUUUAAGAGAUUCAAAAACAUAAAAAUAAAAGGAUUUUCUCAUAUUUAUUUUUUCACACUUAUUAAUACUAGUUAAAGAAAAGGAGAUAAGACAGAAGGAGACAAAAAAAUUAGAUUUUGCCAAAAAAGAAAAUAAGGAAGAAUCUAAUAUUAUCGUAUUACUUUAAUAUUCUCAGGAUUAGAAUUGGAAUUGGGUAGAAAAUAGAAAAAUAAAAGUAAUUUUAAAAUAAUAAAAAUAUUGAAUUCUUUCUUGUUUGUAUUAAAAAAAAAGAAUUGAGCUCUCUUUCUCUCCCUCCCUCCCUCCCCUAUUUUUCUAUUGUUUUCAAUAUUAAUAAGAUUGCCAAGAAAAAAGAGAUUAAUGUUUUGACUUUUUUUUUGUUGAUACUAAAAAUGAGAAGAGCCACUCUAAAUUUUUUAUUGUUUUUAUUAUACAAAAAAGAGAGUACUAUCUUCUAAGUUUUUUAACUUGUUAAGUUGCUUUAAUUGUGGGAUAAAUUGCAUAAAAAAUAACUCUAUGAGAUAAAUUGAUAAUAAGCUUAUAGUUUAUGGGGGUAAAAUGAUAAUAAUUUUAAAGACUAAACAUGUCUUAUCACUUAGAUUAAUAAACUCCGUUAAGUUUGACCGUUAGUUUUGGGAGUAAAAUACUCCCUCCAUCCCACUUUGAUAGUUCUAGUUUUUUUUUCACACAGUUUAAAAAAAAUAGUUAACUUUGUUGAAACAAUCAAUUUAUAAGGUAACUAUUUUCCUAAAAUACCCUCACAUUAAUUAGAGUACAACUUUAUGGGAACUUGAAUUGAUAGUAAAAAAAGAACCAACUCUCAUUAAAUGAGGUAGGUUUAUAAUAACAACAACUUACAUUGAAUAAGGGUAUUUUAGAAAAAUUAAAAUACAACUACAUUUUUCAAUUGGCAAGUGGACUACAAUUUGGGACAGACAAAAAAGGAAAACAGGACUAUCAAAAUGGGAUGGAGGAAGUAACUAAAAAAUAACGUUAAGGGGAAACUUGAUAGUAAUACCAAACGUUGAGGGAAUAAAGUGAUAAUAAGCCUAAUUUUUUUUUUUUUUUUUGACAAAAUAAAGAUGAAAAGUUGACAAAUAAAAACAUCAAAACAUUGCAAACUAACAAUUCAGUUUGAAAUAAAUAAAGAUAACGUACAGCAUGGGGCCAAAACUAGAAAUACUUUCAAGUAAGAAACAAAAUUAAGAAAAAAGGAUGAAUUUAAGUUAUGUAUGUUAAUAGUGUUGUCUUUUUGCACAGAACUGUUAGUUUGUAUGCAUUUCAUCAUCUUAGCUUUCAAUCUGAAGUACAAAGGGGUUAGCUGCGUAUUUCUAAACCGCAUGGCAGUUAGAGGUUAGAGUACCACACCCCAUGGGGUUCUUGGCUAAUGUCUCCAAUUUUUAACUAUUAUUACCUAUGUGAAAGUAUUUCAAACAUCCUCAUAUAAUCAUUGAUGAACAAAGAAUGCAAAAAGAAGGAAUCAUCGCUUAUAUCCAGUCUACUUAAACAUUAAGUUUAAGUGUUUCUCCACACAUAUGCAUCUAAACUCACAACCCUACAAGCAUUUAAAGCAAUGAUCUAUUGGUGCUCGAAAUAUACAAGAAUUUUUCAAAACAAAGUGAAGUUGGUAGCUUACCUGUCAGGUCGUUCCCACCCAAAGCUAUUUGUGUAAGCGUGGUUAGAUUCCAAACUCCUUUUGGUAUAUACCCUCUGAAUUUGUUAGAAGACAAGGAUAAAACUUGGAGUCUUGAGCAUUCUCCGAUGCCUGAUGGAAUUUCACCUUCAAAGUUAUUAAGUGAUAAGUGAAGCCCUUGAAGUUGUGGGAGAUAAUUGCAGAUGUGUGCUGGAAGGUAACCCGAUAAGCUAUUACUCGUAAAACCAAUAACUUGCAAUGAGGAGAGGUUAAACAGAGCCAGUGGCAGAGGGCCUGCAAGUUGGUUAUAUUGAAUUUCCAAAAGUUUCAAUUUCGGUAGAGCGCUGAAUUCUUCAGAAAGAUUUCCGGUAAAAAAGUUGUAACCCAACCUGAUGGUCUCUAACUUUGUGAAAUUAGAGAGCCUGCCUGAUAAUGAACCUGAAAAUCCAUUAUCUCGGAAGGAUAAGUAUCGGAGUGCAGUUAAACCUCCCAACCAUGACGGAAGUUCUCCCUCAAAAGCAUUACCGUCCAAGCUGAUGUACUUCAAUCGGCGCAGACGAGAGAGCUCGGUUGGAAGAUGUCCAUGAAAGCUGUUAUUCAUGACAUUCAACCUGACAAGAAAAGAAAGAUUUCCCAAUUGUGGAGGCAUCGUUCCCGCAAUUCCCAUGUAAGAAAGGUCAAUGGCUGCGACUCUAUGAUGACGAGCAUUACAAGUGAUACCAAUCCAGUUGCAAACAGAGGUAGAAGUGGACCAGUUGGUUGGGAUGAUCCUUUGGGGAUCGAAAAUGGCUGCUUUGAAGACAAGAAGAGCAUUCAGAUCACUAGCACUGUUGUUAUGGUUAUUGGCAAUACUUAAGCUAGCUGAGCUAGUUGUGACAAAAUGCAACACUAUGGCUCCGAGGACAAGAAAAUAAGUUCUCUGCAUUGCUUAUAGAGGUAAAUAAACUUGACGAAAGCCAAAUAAAUAUAGAACAUGAGCAUACAUUGUGACUUUGGGCAGGACUUAUAUAGGCAUAAUUGCGGUUGACUUACUUUUUUUUCCACAACGUAUUGUCGUUGUAUUUCUUUUGUAAAACUGGAUUAUCAAGUGAAGAUUUUUAGGUAAAAAUGUUGAAAAUUAGAGCUUUGGAAUUGGUAAAGUCUUACACGUGUGAAUUGGUAAAUUGCUGUUAUCAUCGUCUAUGACGAAGUGAUGAGACUUCGUCAAAUUGAAGUUCCUCAUCUGUUCACCAAGUUUCCAUUUUGAUAUGUUCCCUACUUUAUUGUUUUCUUCUUUCAGAUUGCUACAUAUUACCCUGGCAAAACAGACACUAACUGAUAGGAGAUCUAUUACUCAAUUUGGUGAAUUAAUGGCAAAACAGAAACUAACUGCAUAUUAUCGCCUUGACUCUAUCUUGAGACGUGCGGUUUUAUUUUGGCACAGUUUGAAAUUAGGCAAAAAUGCCAACUAUUGUACCCCAAAGCUGACAAGUGUGUAGCAGCUUUUUUAAGUAUAUUCUCUAUCUCUUCAUUUAGUAUUGAAGGAAUGUAACCCAACCCACCAAUUAAAUGAUAAACCUGGGAUAAAGAUGCUUUUAUAUAUAUAUCUAAAGAGCUUAUGACUACCAUAAAACACAAUGAAUUUAGAUUGAGCAAGGAUUUUCCUCAGUCAAUACUUGUCCUUAAACAGUAGUUUGUACUUGUAUAGGAAUUAGGAUUUUGUUUUCUAUCAAUUUUGUUUCUGUGCUUAUUGCACUAUAACUGUCAGGCAAUAGGAAAGACCUUAAAACCUCUUUUCUGAUCAUUGGUCCAACUCCGAUGGUUAUAUUUUUGUACUUGAAUAUGCUCUGAUGCUUUAUCAAUUAAUGUAUAUAUCAUUUCACUUCUUUUCAAAUCUUUUUCAACCUAAUCCUGAGAAUGGAAAUAAUCCUAAAAAAUCUUCUCCAAUCACUAGGCCAACCCCAUAGUUAUAUUUUUCUCCUUGAUCAUGGUUUGAUGCUUUAUCAAUUAAAUCUGAUUUUCACGUAAAAAAAUAAUAAUAAAGCUACGCUGACCCCGUUUAUUGAGAUUCUUUAAAAUAACAUCUUCACAUCUUAAUUGACAACCUGGUGCAUGCAUUUCUAUCCGUCAGUCGCCAGCAAUCACCUGUCUACGCGGGGGAGCUUUGUACGUCAACUUGGACCGGGAGUGGGUCGCAAGUGGGUUCUUUCCCAGUAGCUAUGGACAAUUUAAGGAGCUUGUCUUGAUGAAGACCACAUUCACUGAAGGUGCUUUCUUGAUGAAGACCUGCUGCCCAAUUCUCUAGGUUGAUACUGAUGUUUUGUUGUCCUUUACUUUAUUUGGUAGACUUUAUUUGGUAGGAAUAAAUGCCUACCGGGGGAAGAUUAUUAUCUCUCUUCGGACUUCGUCGGAUUAAUUCCAAAUAGUAGUAAUAAUGGUUAUGGAAAAUUCUAGAUUGCUUGUCUUGUCACUCUGACUUUGGCGUAUACUUCCUAGUCUAUUGGUGAUAAUCACGUAACAUUACAAUCACUACCCUUACCAAGACCUAUUCAACCUUGAGGAUGCUACCUAGACAAAGAACCAUGGGGUCCCAGUCUCAAAUCUACUAGGUGUGCGUAUUAGAAAAUAUACGUGCUUAUGGUUUAUAAAUGAUCCACCUUGAUGGGUUUAAUACAAUCUCGUUUGUAGGUUCUAAGUCACUAAUAACAAUGAACUAGCAAAAUAGAGGGAUAAAAAGUUGUGUAGUGUUGGCUAAAUUCACAAUUACCAAAAUACACAAGUAUUUCAGAUGGUUUACUUCUAUACUCUCAAAUUAAAUUAAUUUUUGUAUUUAUAGUAUAAGAUCUUGUUAGAUUUUACCAUUUGAUUGUAGAUUAUUACAGUCUCCUUCUCCCAAGUAUUAAAAACACGCCUAAUUACUUCCCAAAAAUUACAGAUCCUCAUUUAUCAUCCUGUCAUAUUUUUAGUUACAUUCUCAAAUUUAACCUUCUCGGUCCCUGAUUGGCCGUCGAGAUUUCCUUAGACUAGCUUUUUAUGUAUUUGCUUCAACUUUAGCUGUUGAGUGUUUUGUAGAGUAAUUGACGUAACAAGCAAUGUCAAGGUCAUAGUUAUAAAACAUGGCCCGAUCCAGCAGUCAAAUUGGUCAAUCAGGUGAGCCCGUCGUAGGAUCGGAUUGGAUCACUAAUUAGAUUGUUCUAACAAAAAAUACAUUGACUAAUUAAUGACCCGGCAAUUUAACAGGUGAAUUGGAAAAAAAUGACUGGUUGAACCGUCAGUUGAGCCACUAAUUUAAAUUUUUAUUAUUUUUAUAAUUUAAGAUACAUUAUUAUAUUAUAUAAUAUAAUUAAUAUGUAACUCACAGUUAACCAUCAAUCCGGUGGCUCGGUCAUUUCUCUGGGUCGAGUUUUGGGUUGGAUUUAUUAACUACGAUUCAAAUUUCCUUAGACUAGCUUUUUAUGUAUUUGGUUCAAAUUUCGCUGUUGAGUGUUUUGUAGAGUAAUUGAUGUUGCAAGCAAUUCCGCUGCUUUAGCAUUCUAUGUAGCAAAAUUGAAUUUUGAGUAUAACAAUGUUCCAAGAAUGAUGAAAAGGAUACUAGUCCAAGCCAAGCUAAAAUUAUUAAGUGUCUGAAAAUUUGAAGGAUAAAAGAAGAGAAGAUGUAGAGAAGUGUCCGGACCACGGGAGCGGUUUUGUGCAUUUUGCACACCGCGUAACUUUGUUUGCACACGGCGUAAUUUUGUUUGCACAACGUGUAACUUUAGAACAAGUUUUUGUGGGCUCUAUACGCGUUAUUAAAAACGAGGUACAAGAAUAAUCUAAAUCGUACAAUUUUUUUGGACCAAAUCUUAGCCGUAAAUAGCUCAGGAGCAGUCCAUCUGAUGACCGCUCCUGCCCCUCAUCCAGAAGUGUCCUAAUCCUCUAUGGGCCUGCACGAGUCUAAGGCAUUCAUUGUCUCGCUAAGACGCACCACAAUUUUGUCCGACCUUUAAGGCAUUCAGUGUGUCGAAAUACAAGUUUCGGUCAAGAACUACUCCGGUCUAAGUCCUUGGGCUCCAGAGUCAAGAAUUGGAUCUAUUCACUCAUUUCCGUGUGUUUGCUUCCAACCAAGAUGGAUGCCAGCCCAACGAAAGAAGAUAUUAGUGCAGUCUUUCUAUAUGAAAGGAAGGCAGUUGACUGGAAAUUCUUGUGUGAAUCUAGUCUGUGGUAUAAAUGGGUUAAUUAUGUUUAUCUUCUGGUUAAAUAACAAAAAAUGAACCUGUCGGUUGACCAACCUGCAUUUACCCCUCUAAGUACUGAUGGUGUUCAAACCAAACUCAUGAAAUGAAAUAAACGAAAGAAUACAGUGUUAAUCCUCAAUAUUUGGCUAGUGUGCCAAACUGUCCCUAAUGUUUCAAUUAAAACAAAUUUGGCCCCCAAAUAUGUCAUUAACAAACUUUUCUCAGUUUUAAAAUUUUCCUUAUACCCUGACUGCUAAGGUGAAGUGUCCUCGAUAUAUUUUUUUUGGGGGGGGGGGGAGGGGGGAGGUAGGGGAACCAAGCUCAAUUAGGUGUGGCUAAUUAUGCUACAAUUGGAAGUAAACAUGGAUACGGGGCACAAACGGUUGCAGGUGCAACCGUUUGUGUAGGUUGUCUUCAUUUUGCACUGCGCGUAACAUUGGUUAAACACGAUGUAACUUUUUUUUCACAGGAUGUAUUUUCACAACAGAUAGUGGUGGGCCCCACACUUGGUGCGGAAAUCGAGUUACAUGGUGUAAUCUCAGCCGCACAAAAUUUUGAGGGCAAAUCUUGGCCCUUAACCGUGCAGGGACGGUCAUACUGAUUACCGUCCCUGCCCCAAAUCCAAGUAAACAUAUAUAUCUCCAACAUUUAUAUCUCCAUGUUUAAUAACUUUAUCCGAAACAUUCAACAACUUACCAUCCUCAUCUAAAACAUUUAAAAAUAAAUAAAUAUAUAAGGAAGAGCCGAUGCUAUGAGAUUAUCAGGAUGGAAAGUUUUAAUGAUUAUGUUCUUAAAUAUUGAAUUACUGGCAUUACUCGAGUAAAUUUUACUUUAUCAAGAGAAAGAUCCUGAUAGUGAGACAAUUAUGCAUUUUAUUUGAUGGUAAUUGCUCCUAAUUUUGGCCACUUAUUAUGCAAAGUAAUGGAUUUAUACUCAUAAUUGGUAUUUGUGUCAUUUGCAGGCAAUUGGUGUCAAAAGUGGCAAAAAGGAGCAAAUUUCCAAAAGAUUAUUCAUUCCAAAACAUGCCCACGCCAGAGACCGCAGAGUGAAGUCCGAAAAGACGGAUCGCAAUACGUAUCCCUAGAAGCUUGCCACUAUUUUUGGGGAGAUGUGUUUGACGUUGUGUGGGAUUAGGAGACAUUUUCUGAGAAUAUUUUGGCAACAAAUCAAGGAGAAAAAUAAGGAAAGAUAUUCCAUAUAAAUACAAACACGUAUUUGGCUAAAGGGGGCGGCGGGGGAGAAACUUUAAAAGGAGAGCAACAAAUUAGUAGUUUUUGAUCUUUUAUCUUUUUUCUCUUCUUCUUAACGUGAGUUAGAGAUUAGCGGCUGUACUUUUUCAUCAACUAAAUUACAUUGAAGCCUCGGAUUGCAUCAUCAUCACGAGGCAAUGCUAGAUUCCUUUAUCUAGUUAAGAGAUAAUCAUGGCCCGGUUGCACGGACAAUUGUGAGAUCUUUUCAAUCUUUCUGCGCUAUUUUAAAUUCUGUGUUCGUGGGUAUUUAAUUAUUCCUUACUUUAAUAGGUUAUUAUUGUUUGGAUCUAUUGGAUUAAUGUGGCCAAUUAUUCAAUUGUCUGAAUAGUACACUGCCAAUUAAGAUGGUGGUGCGUAUCAUUUGAUCGUCUUAAAAUUAGUGGCAAACGGCACAAUUUCAUUGCCUCGCAUGUAGUUUAAUCUAUGUUGUAGGAAUAGUUAAUCUAGUUCAAAUAAACCCACAUGUGUUUUGUUAACUUGAAUUGGGUCUCUCUAAUUCUUAAUGUUGAGAAUAGAUUAAACCCUACAAGCGUCUCUAGGGUUAUCUAUUUUAGAGAAAAAUGCAAUUUUGGUACCUAAACUUUGACGCACGAGCGGUUUUAGUCCCCAAAUUUUGGACGAAAACAAAUUUGGUACCCGAACUUUCAAAUUUUGAGCACAUUAAGUACCCUUGACGAUUUUUUCCCAAAUUGUUACAGGAAAAAGCCAUGUGACUGUCACGUGUCCGGCCAAAAUGGAAUUAAAAAAGGUCAAAAAUGCAGUUUUGGUACCUAAACUUUGACGCACGAGCGGUUUUAGUCCCCAAAUUUUGGACGAAAACAAAUUUGGUACCCGAACUUUCAAAUUUUGAGCACAUUAAGUACCCUUGACGAUUUUUUCCCAAAUUAUUAUCGAAAAAAGCCAUAUGACAGUCACGUGUCCGGCCACAAUUGUAUAAAAAAAGGCCCAAAAAAUAUCAAAUGCCAUUCUAAUACUAAGUAUUAGAUUUAAGGACUAAUAGCGUAAUAAAGAAAAAAUCCAAGGACUAAAUAACAUCACAUGAGUCAACAAAACCCAAGAACCGAUACAAAUGAGCUCCAAUUCCAGUACAUUAAUCUAAGAAUCAAGUCACAAAAUUUGUCUGGAAUUGGAGCUCAUUUGUAUCGGUUCUUGGGUUUUGUUGACUCAUGUGAUGUUAUUUAGUCCUUGGAUUUUUUCUUUAUUACGCUAUUAGUCCUUAAAUUUAAUACUUAGUAUUAGAAUGGCAUUUGAUAUUUUUUGGGCCUUUUUUUAUACAAUUGUGGCCGGACACGUGACUGUCAUAUGGCUUUUUUCGAUAAUAAUUUGGGAAAAAAUCGUCAAGGGUACUUAAUGUGCUCAAAAUUUGAAAGUUCAGGUACCAAAUUUGUUUUCGUCCAAAAUUUGGGGACUAAAACCGCUCGUGCGUCAAAGUUUAGGUACCAAAACUGCAUUUUUGACCUUUUUUUAUUCCAUUUUGGUCGGACACGUGACAGUCACAUGGCUUUUUCCGGUAACAAUUUGGGAAAAAAUCGUCAAGGGUACUUAAUGUGCUCAAAAUUUGAAAGUUCGGGUACCAAAUUUGUUUUCGUCCAAAAUUUGGGGACUAAAACCGCUCGUGCGUCAAAGUUUAGGUACCAAAAUUGCAUUUUUCUCUCUAUUUUACAAGGGAGUAGUUUAAGAGCGUCUCUGGACUACCAUAUAAUUAAGGAGAGAUUGGUAGUUUGGCGGUUAUUGAAUUGCUUGAACAAAUUUACUUACGAACAUGUGAAUCAAUUCAGGUAUCUAUGAUCAAUUACGUGAGCCGGUGCUGACAUUAUUUCCUUAAUUAGGUUGUGUCAAUUAAUUGUUAAUUAUAUUCUUUAGCUACUGCACUUCUUGCGAUUGAAAAUUCAGUAACCUUACAUCUUUAAUUUGUCCUUGUAUCUCACUUCCUAAACCCCCUAAAUUAUCUGUGUGUAAUAAAUCUGUCAAUUCUCUGAGGAGACGACCCUACUCACCACUAUACUCAUUUAGUUUAGAGAGUAGGCAUUGAUAUUAAUUUUAUUGUUGGUAGUUUGACAGCCACCAAAUUAUGGCGCCGUUGUCGAGGACCUGGUUUUUGAAGUGAUUUAUUGCACAGGCUUUGUUUAGCCAAUGUUUUAUGCAUUGAUCUUCCCCUACAAGAAGACUCGAAUUUGACCCAGAAAUCGAGAAAACAGCAAGGAAGUUGACGAAGGAGACUAAGUUGCAAAAGCAACAAGCUUCAACAACACUACCCUCCGAAUUUGAACAAAAUUUUGACUUUAGUGAUUCAUCAGUUGAAGUGGAAACAGAUUUGACUGGAUCUAACGAAACAAUGGCAGCUCAAAGGAUUUUAAGGGAACUUGCAACCCCGAAUGUUAACCAACAGCCUUUGUGUAUUACGUAUCUUGACAUUGAGGAGGCUUUUGAAUUAAAAUCUGAGUUGAUUCAUUUAUUGCCUACUUUUUGUGAUGUUGCAGGCGAGGACCCGGACAAGCAUUUGAAGGAAUUUCAUGUAGUAUGUUCAACCAUGAAACCUCAGGAUGUUACAGAAGAACGAAUCAAGCUGCAUGCGUUUCCUUUUUCCUUAGCAAACAAGGCUAAGGACUGGUUGUUCUAUUGCCAUCGAACUCCAUAAUUACUUAGGAAGGACUGAAACAGCAGUUCCUUAAGAAGUUCUUCCUAGCCUCUAGGGCCGCCAACAUCAGAAAAUAAAUAUGUGGAGUUAGGCAGGCCAAUGGAGAAAUUCUCUACGAAUAUUGGGAACGAUUCAAACAACUGUGUGCUAGCUGCCCGCACCAUCAGAUCCCUGACCAAUUGUUGAUCCAAUAUUUUUAUUAGGGACUGCUACCCAUGAAUAGAAGCAUGGUCGAUGCAGCUAGUGGCGGUGCGUUGGUAAAUAAAACAACAGAUGAAACCAAACGAUUGAUCUCGAACAUGACAGAGAACUCUCAACAGUUUGAAGUCAGAUCUAAGGAAGUGACUAGAAGGGUCAAUGAGGUAAAUCAUUUUGACCUUGCAAAUAGAUUAACAGAGCUUACUAUCUUGGUUCGUCAAAUGGCUAUAGGGCAAGUACAGGCAGCUAAAGCAUGUGGGAUAUAUGCUGCUCCUGAACACAUGACCGAUAUGUGUCCAACUCUUUAAGAAGACCCCCACGAGCAAGUCAGCGCCAUGGGAGGUCUGCCUAGACCACCCCAAAGGAGAAAUGACCCGUAUGCAUCCACAUACAAUCUAGGGUGGCAGAACCACCCUAACUUUAGCUAUGCUCCAAAACUCUCGGGUUUUCAAUAACCAUUCCAGCAGAGACCUCCAGUAUAGCCACCAUCCACGUCUAAUUCAGGUAUGCCCCUUGAACAUAUGGUUAAAUCACUAGCUAAUAACACUUGUCAAAUGCAGCAGGAUUCACAGAGAUUCCAACAAGAGACUCGCGCCAGCAUUCCUAAUUUGGAAGCGCAAGUGUCACAGCUAGCGUCUUCAGUGAGCAACCUUGAGAAUAGUAAUAAAGGAAGCUACCAGCUCAAGUGAUUCCCAAUCCCAAGCAAAAUAUGAGUGCAAUUACUUUGAAAAGUGGCAAAGAAUUGCAAGAGUAUUAAAAAGCAGUAUCUAAGCAUGAUCUUGAAAAGCAAGUUGAGGAAGAAACAAUGAAAUCUCUAACUCAAUCCCUUCCAAGGAAAGAGCCCAGAGAUGAACCCCCAAUAGUAGUAACACCUCCUCCAUUUUUCAGUCAAUAUGCAAAAUCCAGGAAAGAGGAGCAAGAGCAAGAAGUUUUGACAUUUUUCGCAAAGUUGAGGUAAAUAUUCCCCUUGUUGAUGCCAUUAAACAAAUUCCUUGAUAUGCAAAAUUUCUUAAAGAAUUGUGCACCACUAAGAAAAAGUUGAAGGGUUUUGAAAAGAUUUAUAUGGAAGAAAAUGUUUCAAUGGUCCUACAACAGAAAUUGCCUCCUAAACAUAAGGAUCCAGGUACGUUUACUAUUCCUUGCAAAAUAAGGAAUGUUAAGGUCGAAAAAGCAUUGAUAGAUUUAGGAGCUGCAAUAAAUAUUAUGCCUCGUUCCAUUUAUAAUUCUCUGAAUCUUGGACCAUUAAAAGAAACGAGUAUCAUUAUACAACUUGUUGAUAUGUCUAAUGCAUAUCCUGAUGGGAUAUUGGAGGAUAUUCCAGUUCAACUUGAUAAAUUGGUUUUUCCUGCAGAUUUCUAUGUGUUAGAUAUAGAUGAUGAUUUUUUUGUUUCACCCCCAAUUUUGUUAGGCAGGCCAUUUUUAAUGACAUCUAAAAUAAAAAUUGAUGUUUAUUCAGGAACCUUGAUAAUGGAAUUUGAUGGUGAAAUAAUAAAAUUCAAUAUUUGUGAUGCCAUUAAAUGUUUUAGUGAGGCACAUUCUGUUUUUGUUAUAGAUAUAAUUGACCAUUUCAUGCAGCAAAAGUUUGAAUUAAAUGAUAGAAAUGCGUUGAAGGUUGUAAUCAAUUGGAAUUUUGAUUCGCACAAGAUGUCAAAAGUUAUAAAGAAAUUCGAGUUACAUCCAGAUUGAGCGCGUAGUAUUGUCUAGCCAAAAACUUUAAAGAAGGUGCUACUUGGGAGGCAACCCAAGAAUUUUAAUUUUUAGAUAUUUUGUGUUUUUAUUUCAUAUUUUUGUGUUCAAGAUCAGAUUGUUUUGGAUUCCUAUUGACAAAAAAUCUUUAUUGUAGGUCUUUGGUGUGUUCUGUGACAUUUUACUGGGAUUAGAUGUCAAAAUUUUUAGGCAGAAGACUUUCUGUUAUAAAACGUGCCCAUGCCUUAUGAUUAAAUGCAAUUGGUGCUUUUAAAAUUUGAUGAACAAAAUACUAUAGGUUCCAAGGCGUGCCCACACCUCACAGAAAAUCUCAUAGGUACCGUUACAAAGAACGUGCAGACGACUUACGCUUCUUAAGCGUGCCCACGCCUUCCAACCAUUACAAGAAAGAAAAAAAGAGAGGGAGAAAAAAAUAAAUAAGAAUAAAUAAUGAAUAGAAAAAUUCACUCCAAAACCCUACUUUUCUCUUCUUUUCUUUUUCUUUUCUUUUCCUUUUCUCCUUCUUUCUUCCCCGAUCAUCCUCCUCCCACUGCCGCCGCUGCUCGCUUCCUCCUUACGCACAUCGAUUGCCGCGGCUGCCGCCUCAACCCCGAAUUCCUCCCAUUGCUCCCACUACAGUGGCUGGUCAGGCAGGUCCGUCCUCCUCCAAUGCUCCAUUCUCUUGGGACGUCCAAUUUCAUGCCCUGCAGGACUCUAUUCAUGAGUUGGGCAACCGGAUUGAGCGUCUGGAUGACCGUAUCACAGUCUUGCAAGUCCAUUCUUCCAUUCUGACAUAAAAUCUGGCAGCCUUCUUGGCCCAUGUUGACUUUCAGCCGCCUUAUCCUCCUCCGCCAUAGUGCUUUCGUUGCAUUCUUUCGACGUUCAAGGAAGUUCUAGCUACUUUUUAUAUGAUUUCUAUUUUUUUUCUUUGCUACAUUGAGAACAAUGUAGGUUUCUGGUAUGGAGAAGUAGUUCUAGCUCUUUACAUUGAAAAAAAUAAAUAAAUAUAUAUAUGAUGAAUUCGUUUGGUUACAGUUGAAAAUUGAUAAAACUUCACGCUAUGAUAAUGCGUUCAAUUACUCUACAAGCAUGAGUAGUGAUAUUAUGUGGGUUAAAUAUCUUGUCUUCUUAAUAAUGGAAUUGAAUAAUAAAUUUUGCAAGACUUGACAAUUAGUAACCAUUUUGUGAGCUAUCGAGCUAAUGAGCAUUGCAUUAAUAACUGCUAUAUUUUCUUUCAUUGAGUGAUACCACACAUAAUUUGAUUGUUCUAGAACUUGUUUUGUUAUGCAUAUCAAGAUCACAUUCUUGAAUUUGAUGCAUUAGAAUGAUAAGGGCACUUAGGUUAAUCAUUUUUGUGCUUUCUAAAAACCGACCCUAAUCAGAUCUCCCCUAAUUGACCAUGGUUGAAUUUAGACCUUUUCUUUGUUUAAUAGUUCAUUUUGUUACCCCUAAAUUCAUUGUGUUCGAACCUUCUUUGUUUUUAUCCCGUGUCAAAUGAAUGUCUUGAUUCUAGUGCGUGAUGAUUUCGAAUUGUAAUAAAAGGGGGUGAUUGAAGCUUAGCAAGUGUGUCUAUAUUUUCAUGUAGUUGUGCGUAUUUGAAAAAAAAAACAAAGGAAAGAAGAAGGAGAAAGAAAAGAAAAGAAGCACACCCAGAAUGGAAAAAAAAAAGUGAAGAGAAAAAAAAAUAAAAGAGAGAAAACAAAGAAAAAAGGAAAAAAAAAAGAGUUACGAAGUGCUAUUGUCAAUAUGUGUUAUGUUGAGACAGUUGGAUGAAACCCUUGGUUGUGCUUGCACUUGCUAAUUUUUGGAAAAAUUUAUAGGUAUGCUUUGGAAAGAUUGUUGGAAUGAAGAAGGAAAUUGAAAGUCAUGCAACGGGUCAAUGGUAUUUCCUUUGACAUAACGAGCUUAAAUUACUUAUUUGAUCCAACCCAUGCUUGAGCCCCAUUACAACCUGCAUCAAGACCCUUUGAUUUUUGCAUUAAAUUUGGUUUUAGUGGUGGCGAUGUGAUAUAUUAACAAGCAUAUGGUAACGUUAUUUUAUCGUGUGGUGAGAGUGAUCCUUUGUGUCUCAUGUCGGAGUGAUGAGUAGUCAUAUACCAUUCUAUAAGAGAGCAUUAAAUCUUGAAAUGAAUUUGAUGACAUUGUUAGGAGGAUGGGACACUUGUGCUCGCAUGUUGGACUGUCACGUGUGUGUAGCUGUAAUUGUAUAGUUGAGUUUUGAGAUGCUUGAGGACAAGCAUUGUCUUCGUGUAGGGGGAUUUGAUAGUGAAACAAUUGUGCAUUUUAUUUGAUGAUAUUUGCUCUUAAUUUUGGCCACUUGUUAUGCAAAGUAAUGGGUUUCUACUCAUUAUUGAUAUUUGUGUCAUUUGCAGGCAAUUGGUGUCAAAAGUGACAAAAAGGAGCAAAUUUUCAGAAGAUUAUUCAUUCCAAAACGUACCCACGCCAGAGAUCGUAGAGUGAAGUCCGAAAAGACGGACAGCGGUACUUACACUUGGAAGCUUGCCACUAUUUUUGGGGAGAUGUGUUUGACGUUGCGUGGGAUUAAGAGACAUCUUCAGAGAAUAUUUUGACAACAAAUCAAGGAGAAAAAUAAGGGAAGAUAUCCCAUAUAAAUACAAACACGUAUUUGGUUAAAAGGGGCGGCGGCGGAGAAACUUUAAAAAUGAGAGCAACAGACUAGUAGGUUUUGAUCUUUUUUCUUUUUUCUCUUCUUCUUAACAUGAGUUAGAGAUUAGCGGCUGUACUUUUUUAUCAACUAAAUUACAAUGAAGCCUCGGAUUGCAUUAUCGUCAUGAGACAAGGUUAGAUUCCUUUGUCUAGCUAAGGGAUAAUCAAGGCCCGGUUGCACGGACAAUUGUGAGAUCUUUUCAAUCUUUCUGCGCUAUUUUAAAUUCUGCGUUCGUGGGUAUUUGAUUAUUCCUUGUUUUAAUAGGUUAUUAUUAUUUGGAUCUAUUGAAUUAAUGUGGCCAGUUAUUCAAUUGUCUGAAUAGUACACUGCCAAUUAAGACGGUGGUGCGUAUCACUUGAUCGUCUUAACAUUAGUGGCAAACGGCACAAUUUCAUUGUCUCACAAGUAGUUUAAUCUGUGUCGUAGGAAUAAUCAAUCUAGUUUAAAUGAACCCAUAUAUGUAUUUGUUAACUAGAAUUGGGUCUCUCUAUUUUCUAAAGUUUAUAAUAGAUUAAACCCUACGAACGUCUCUGGAUUUAUCUAUUUUACAAGGGAGUAGUUUAAGAGCGUCUCUAGAAUACCAUAUAAUUAAGGAGAGAUUGGUAGUUUAACGGUUGUUGAAUUGCUUGAACCAAUUUACUUACGAACGUGUGAAUCAAUUCAGGUAUUUAUGAUCAAUUGCGUGAGCCAUUGAUGACAUUAUUUCUUUAACUAGGCUGUAUCAAUUAAUUGUUAAUUAUAUUCUUUAGUUACUGCACUUCUUGUGAUUGAAAAUUCAGUAACCUUACAUCUUUAAUUUGUCCUUGUAUCUCACUUCCUAAAACCUCAAAUUAUCUGUGUGUAAUAAAUCUGUCAGUUCCCUGAGAAGACGACCCUGCUCACUACUAUACUCAUUUAGUUUAGAGAGUAUGCAUUGAUAUUAAUUUUAUUUUUGAUAGUUUGACAGUCACCAAAUUCUUAUAUUCUUUUGACUUGUAGUACCUUGAUUAGAUAGGAGAGAGCUCCACUUAAAGCCAAAUAUGCACCUAGUGCUAAACCUAGAUGGCUACUAUUGUCUAGUUUGUACGUUACUCGAGUAAGCAUCCUCUACGCAAAAUAGGAGAGAAUUAUUGACUUCGAAGUCUGAAGCGUUAUUCCUACGGCGGUGCCCCAUGGCCGUAUCUUUUUCCCCAUGGUCUGGAGCCCAAAUUGGACAGCACCUUCUCCUCAGUUAGUCUUAAAAGGAAGGGUAAAUUACAUUUUACCCCCCUGUGGUUUACCCUUUUUUUACAUAACCCCCUAUGGUUUCAAAAGCUAAACAUAACCCCCCCAUGGUUUGGAUUAAGUGUCAAAGUAACGGAAAUAGUCACUCGUAAUGGAAUUUCUAAAAAUGUCAAAAUUACCCUUAUAAAUGCAUGACACAUUAACCCCGUACGAUUUUUAUAUUUUACCAUAUAACCCCCUUAUGGUUUAAUAUUUUACCAUAUAACCCCCUUAUGAUUUUCAAAAUAUACACAUAACCCACCUUGGUUAAUACAUAAAUUUCAACUUUACAUAAGGGUAAUUUUGACAUUUUAGGUGACGCCGUUAUGAAUGAUCAUUCCCGUCACUUUGACACUUUAAUCCAAGUCAUAAGGGGGUUAUGUAUAGCUUUUGAAAUUAUAGGGGGGUUAUGUAAAAAAAUGCUAAACCACAGGGGGUAAAGUGAAAUUUGCCCUAAAAGGAAUUCAACCUAUGCAACCAACUUGGUUUAAUUCGUACAGGGUAUUCAUCAGCUUAGAUCACAAUUAAUUGAUAUGCAAUAAUCCUUGGAUUAAAUAAUUAAUCAUAGGCGAUUCAAGAUAUUUCGCUGUGAUGGUGCCAAAGUCUUUUAUUUUCGACAAAAGACUUCAACAGUAAUCCUAAGGACUUAAAAACGCGGAACAUGUAGGCCAUAACAGGACCUGAGCUAAGUUUAUGAUAAAUGCAUUCAGGUUAAUUAGACUACACCAGAGCCAUUUUCAUUAUGUUUAUUUCUAUUUUAGAUUUAGAAGAUGAGUGAAGGAUGAAGCAAUGAAAUGAAGGUGGAUAAAGAGAAUCAAAUUCUACCUAAGACUGGAAUGUACUGUCAAAGAAUUAAUAAGUGGAUAAUGAACCAAUUGUUAAAUUCAAAGCUAGGGAUUGACAUUAUUAGAAUAAUUGUUAUGACACCUUUUAUAAUUUGACGUAUGUGAAAUAAAAUGGUGGUUAGAAUGAUAGAAAGAUAAUUAAAAAAUGUAUUUGUGAUCCACAUAAAAUUUUUUUUCCAAAUAAUAAAGCAACCGCCAUAUUAAUUUGCGCAAAUACGAUCUAACAUGCAUGAUAGGAAUAUGUAGGGCUUGUUUGGCAAAUGAGUUUUUGGCUAAAUUUGUCUCUUAUCAAUUUUUUAACAACUUUAACUAGAAUAACCUAAAAAAAGUUCUCAAAAUUUUUAAGCUAUGCACUUUAUAAUACCAAAACACACCAAAAAAUUUUCCUUUCUCCUUUUUUCUUCUUCCUCCCCCACCUCAACCCACACCACCUUCGCCGCCGGCCUGCAACUUUUCCGGUGUCGACGGAAAUUUUUUUUCCUUUCUCUUCUCCCUGUCCCUUUCCCUCUCCUCCUCCCCUUACCACUCCCCUCCCCCACCUUCCCUUCUCCCUCCUCCUCCCCUUUCCCGGUCGCGCGACCAGAUGCUAUGCCUAUACGUAGUCCACUUAUCUUUUGCAUUGAUGGAUUGGGGCAUAACCAAUUUAGUUGCAGCAAAGUGGCCUAAAAUUGUAGUAAUGUGAUUAAUAUUAUAAAAGAAUUUGUUAUAUAAUUUUUUUAUUAGAUACUCAAUCAACACUCAUUAAUAUGUCUAAAUUCUUUAAUAGGUUAGAGAGACCGCUAAAAAAGAAAAAAAAUCAGUAAAUUCUUCAGAACGCAAAACAGGUGAUCAUGGUUUGCGUUUAGAGAGAAUUGUAAUUUUAGUCCCCAAUCUAUAGUACGUGCAUAUAAUCAGUCCCCAAUCUAUUUUGUAGAUCAAUUUUGGUCUCCAAUCUAUUCAAUUUUGCGUGAAAGUGGAUAAUUGAUGGAAUUUCUUCAAUUUCAGCCGGAACCAAGUCACGUGAGGACUCUUAAAACCCCUUUUUCAAUUUUUUUAAUCUUUGAAAUGCGGUUUUUAAUAUUUUCAGCUUUAUCUUGCCUUUUGUUUUUAUUAAACAAAGACAUAAAAGGUUAAAGUUCAAAUAAGAGGACAUCCUUAAGAUUCCCAAGUUACAGGUUCACCUAGCACAGUAACUGGUGCAUGUACAAAAUGGCUCUCUACUUUAUAAUAGUCCUCUUUAGCAGCUGAAAGAUAAGACCUGACACGCAAUCACUUUUAGGAAGUUUUUGUACAUUGAUGCAUUAUCAAAAGUUCGUAAUUUUAACUGUAAAGCAAUUAAUCCGUGUAAUUAUCCAGGAAUUGUAUGUCAAAUGUUCAUGCCAAGUUUAAUUUGGUUCACUUUUUGGUGAUGGAUCACAUUCGCUUCUAUAUUCUGCUUCAGCUAAAGAGACAUCUUCUGCUUCACCACGUUGCUUAGUGGCUCAUGGCCUAUGGUUAUGCUUUUCUUUUUUGUUUCUUUUUCUAAUAUUAGUUAAAAAUAAUGAAUUAAUUAUUCUAAGUAGUAUUUUUGUUGUUGCCUCUUUGGGGGAUUGGUAGCUUGGCAAAUAAGUAAAUGCAAUCUUGUAGUAUUUACAAGCUGAUCUGAUUGAAUCGACGAAGCAAUCUACUUAAAGAUUAAGUCGAAAAAAAUGAAAGGUUGAUUGAGAAUAUUUAUCCGUUUGACAAUUUAGAAACCGCGCAUAUUAAUAUACAGUCACAUAAGAGUGUGGGUUGAGCUUAACACAUUCGUCACUAAUGGCCACAUAAAUAUAAAGAAGGCACUAACUUGAGCUAACUCUUUCUUUGGGAAUUAAACCAUCUAAUACCUCUUAGCAUGAGUGACAUUCGGUUCUAUAUUCUGCUUCAGCUAAAGAGGCAUCAACUUAUAGCUAGUUUUCUGGCAAUCCAAUAAAUUUACUCUUUAUUUCAGCUAAAGAGGCAUCAACAAAAUGGCUCUCUACUUUAUAACAGCUCUCUUUAUCAGCUGAAAGAUAAGACCUGACAUGCAGUCACUUUUAGGGAGUUUUUGUACAUUGAUGCAUUAUCAAAAGUUCGUAAUUUUAACUGUAAAGCAAUUAAUCCGUGUAAUUAUCCAGGAAUUGUAUGUCAAAUGUUCAUGCCAGGUUUAAUUUGGUUCACUUUGUGGUGCUGGAUCACAUUUGGUUCUAUAUUCUGCUUCAGCUAAAGAAGCAUCAACUUAUAGCUAGUUUUCUGGGAAUCCAAAUUCAUUAACCUUGGUGAAUAACUGGUUGUUGCCUUCUACUCUUCAUUUUUUGUUAGAGAUUUCUUGUAAGUUAGAAGCAUUGGAUGCAUUAUUAGAAGUUUAGCCAAUUUGUAGUCAUGGCCUUCCCCUUGGGAUUGCCCCAACUUAGUACCUUAAGGUUCAUAUUUGGCACAUGUUUGACAGGGCGUCAAACCUGUGCAAUAAUAAUAAUAAUAAUAUAGAACCUAGCUACCACUAAAAACAGUCAAUAAUUAAUCCUAGGUACUGGAGCAGGGACUCUAGGUGUGCAAUAGGUUACUUGAUUCACCCUGUUCCCGAAGAGUUUGCUUAACCCGAUAUACCAGAAUUAAUUAGUUGACAAAAAUUACUAAAUAGUAGACAGUGGCAAGUAGGGUCGUCUCCUCAGGGACUGGAGAUAUCUGUCUCUUUUAAAGUCCAAUUGAUAAGGGGGGAUUUCACCGGAAUGAAACUAAAAAUAAUUAAACAAUUUAACUAAAAAUGAAUGAAUAACUAGCACAAAUAUAGCAGGAAUUUAAUCAGGAAUAAAUAAAUUCUAGCCAAGGAUGCAACUACUCAGGCACAGUCCAUUUAUCCGAUCAUUGAUGCAGGAGAGGUUCACUUAAUUUAUUAAUAGGCUAGUUAUAGCCAUCGAUGAACUCUAAUGACCAAUUUUUCCUUAAUUUAUAGAUGACCAAGGUACGACCAUUAAUCACCCCUAACCAGAAAAGUACUCCUAGGUACGACCGUAGGAAUUAAUUUUCCAAUUGCAUUAAUAACCAGAAAAACCUAGCCCUAAUCAAUAACACGCUACGAGGGUUAUUUAAAUUAGAUUGCACGUUCCCCUAAUGUGUAAACACACCAGUUGCCACUAAUAUUAAUCAAUCAAAUAAUUACGGAUUUAAUUGACUAAAUUGGCACGAGAUUAAUAAAUCACAUUGAACAUCGGGCCCUUGACAUCCAAUUAAUAAAAUAAUCCCAUGAAAAUUCAAGCAGACAACGUGCAAAUAUUAAUAAAUAACGGAACACGUGAAAACUAAUUAGAUCUCACAGAUUUUCGGGACUGCGCCGUCGAGUUGACCCUUGACUAGAUGGAAGACUUAGCCACGCCGCAUAAUUAAAUCACCACACGAAUUAAUAAGUUGCAAAGGCAUUGCGUUUUCUAUUAGGAAGUAAGGAAUAAAAGGUGUUUUUCCCGUUGGGGAAUAUUAUCGAACACCUGGCGUGUGUCAGAGGCCAAUCAGGAGAAAGAAAGAAAAACUAAAGACUAGGCUAAAAACUAAACUAAAAGGUGGUCUACGAGCUCCUGUACGUCUCUUUUCUUUUUAAAGCCAAAAGAAAGAUGCCUAGUCUUCUCUCCAGUGGUCCCCACCCAAUUGGUAGUCAAAGCUACCCAAAAGAAAACCUGCCGAUUUUACUUCCAUGUUUUUCAUCUCUGUACGUUCCUUUCUCCUUAAGAGCCAAAUGACCAAUGCUAUUCCGUGGGCCUCCACCGAAUUGAGAAGAUGAAUUACCAAAGAUAGGCUCUGUGGAAUUGACUCUUGUCUCCUAUUGCUAGUAGGACCAUUUGGUAAUUUUCUGCUUCACUCCUGAAAUUGAUUCCAAAUACCAAGUAUAAGUAAAUAUCUGCAAUUAACACAAUAUUUAUCAGGGAUAAAAGGGGAAAUAAAUAAUAAAAUUACUAACAAAUUAUACUCUAUCAAUUCCCCCCACACCUGAAUCAUGCUUGCCCUCAAGCAUAAUUAUCCCAGAAGUACAAUCAAGAUACGAAGUAAUUUACAGCAGUUCAUACCAGAAACGGCACUCCAAAUUCCCCAAUAACUUCAUCGAAAUCAAAAUAUACCAAAUCAACAAUGCUCACAGUUCAAAGUGCACUCAUUCACUCCGAAGUGUAUAGGAUAUAUAUAUAUAUAAGAUGGCUCUCAAAUCAACACAAUAGAAUGACACUACCAUAAACUUGCUCAUAUAUCAUAUCUCCACCACUUACUUAUGAAUUUAAAUGCAGCAAUCAAGGGACUUUGCAAGGUUGUAAUGGGGCUAGGGUGAGAAGGUAGGAUAAAAAGGAAUCAAAAGGGUGUAAAGGUAUAAAGAAAGUGCUCAGAAACUCACUACUCAGAUUCUUGCACAUUGGGAACUUCAAGGCAGCUCAACCAUCACACGAGUAGAGUAAAUUGGCACUUGCCACGACCUUCGACUUUUCCUUUCUCCUCUUUUUUUCUAUAUUUUUUUUUCUUUUCUUUUUUUUUCUUUUUUUUUUUCAACAACUCCCAACCAGCACCAUAAGAAUCAACUUUACUCGUUGCUUUCUUGCAUUUUGCCUUCUUUCCACCUCUUUUUUUUUUCUUUCUCUUUUUGUGGUUUUUUUUUUUUUUAGAUUGCAAUGCCUCUCAGAUACUAUUCCACAAUUCUGUAUAAUGAAAUCAAAGCACUUCUUCACACGAAGUUCAGAAAAAAAGUCUAAAAAGAGGUUUCACGGCUAAAAGCUGGGGUCUCAAGCAAAGAAUAGGGGUUAAGGCUCAACUUGGCUCCCUAAUGGUAAUAAACAAUCCAAGGGUCGAUUUUAAGAAAGUCCAAAAAUGGCUCAUUCCUAGGUGCCCUAUCAUUUCAACGCAUUAAACUCAUAUAAAUGCAGCAUUGACAUGCAUAACCGAGCAAGUUCUAGAAUGACAAACCAUGUGCAAUAAUCACUCAAACAAACGAAAAAUUAGGCCCAAAAAUCGCACAAGUGAUCAAAUUUAUGUCAAGUUCAGCAUAUUAAUCAAUCAAUUCAGUAUCAAGGAAAGUAUAACACCCCAUGGCAUGAACUUACUAUGUACGCUCAUAUCUCAAUUUGCAUUCAUCAUCGUUUAAAGAAAGGAACUACUAAGGCAAGGAAAAACUUAAUCAGACAACUAAAAACACAACCAAAGCAUAGUCAACCCUCCCCCACACCUAAACCUUACAUUGCCCUCAAUGUAAGCAAAGGAAGAUCACAACAGAGGUACUGGGGCAACGACACUUCCCUUAAACGGAGGAGGGCAGAAAUAAAUCACGGUUGUGGAGGGAAAGGCGGGCGGAAGCCCACGUGAUGGAGAUACCGCGCUAAAUUGUGGGCCAUCCCGCCCAUUUGACGCUCCAUCCGAUCCAUACGAGUGUCCAUGUGCUGCAUCUGGAACCGAAGAGCUGCAAGCUGGCUAUCGACGGAGGAAGAUGGUGGAGGUGCCGAAGAGGAUGGUCCGGGGGCAUCCGUAGAAGGACCACCAGCCUCCGGGUCAGUGGUUUUGGAAGCUCUGUGCUUUGGAGGAACGGAGAUUGGCCCCGGGGGAGCAAACUGAAAAACGCCGGCCACCUGUCUCACAAGACCCAUUUUUUCCAAACAAACCAAAUCGAGGGGUUCCAUAGUACAAGCACGAUGCAAGUUAUGAUUAUUUAAGUCCAAAACUCCAAGAUUUACAGCCAACUGAGUGAUAAAUGAGCCUAAGAUUAAUGGCUUAUUUUUCUUACUUAGCACAGUUCGGAGGUGGAGGGCAAACCAGCUACCCAAAUUGAGGGGGCAGUCGAGGGGGCAGGUCCCCCUAAGGGAACUGUAGGCUGAGGGGUGGAGGUGGAUGGCUUGUUCUUGCCUUUAGUUUUUGGUUUGGUCAUUUGGUCUAAUGGAUAGGACAGAGGCAAGGCAAAUGUGCACAAAAGAGGUCAACAGGCAGCUGAUUCAGUAAAAGGUCCCAAUCACAGCUUCCAAUCACAGACAAGUGCACACCAAACAAUAAAAUUACCCCAAAAGCUAAUUAGCACUGUGAGCAGCAAAAUUUUCCCAGAAUACUACCAAAUUGACCCAAAAAGUAAUUAAUCAAAUAAACAGAGCAAAAAUCCCCCCCAAAAACUAAAUAAACAGGCAACUAGAGCAAAAUUUUUCUCCCAAUAUCACUGGUUGAGCACAAAAUUUACCAAACAAUUAACAAUCCACCACAGAUAUAUCACAGCACCCAAACAAGCACAAAAUAUCUGUCCUCAACUAGCAAAUCAAAAAUCUGGCCUCAGCUACGAAACAUCAACUAAUAAAGAAGUAAUAAUCUGGCCUCAGCUAAUUAGUGACAUAAAAAUAAAGAAAGAAAUCACCGGAGUGUUUGGCUGGCCGUGGGUGAAAUGGAGAGCAGGGUAGGACCUAGUACGCGCGUGUGUCGCACGCACUCUGGCAAGCACGCGGAGGCUGAGUUGCUGCUCUGCCACUCUUGUUGCGCGAGGAGGCUCGGCUGAGGCUGGGCGCGGCAGGCGCAGCAGGUCGUGGCUGCGGAUCGUGCGGCGCGCGGCAUGCUGUGCGCCUGGCUGCUGGGCGCGCAGGAGGGGAGCUGCUGGCGCGGGGAUUGCGAGCUACGCUCGCGCGAGGCUGGGCACUGGGUUGCAGGCUCACGGCAGCCUGCGGAUGGCUGUUGCGGCUGGUGCGGCUGGUGCGAGUGCUGCUUGCGAGGGGGGUCGCGCGAGGAGGGGCGCGCGGAAUGGUGGAGAUCGAGCGGCGGGCGGCGAUCAGCGAGGAAUGGCGGCGUGCGGCGCGGUGUGGAGCAGCGGCGGACCAAGCAAAAGAAGGGAAAGAAGAAAAGGAAGAAAAGAAGGAAGAAGAAAGAAAGAAAAAGAAAAGAAAGAAGAAGAAGAAAAGAGUAGGGUUCCGUGUCUUUUUUUUUCAUUUUUUUAAAUAUAUUUUUAUAUAUAUAUAUUUUCUUUUUCUUUUUUUUUUAAUACAAAGAAACCCAGUCUUAGGCGCGGGCAUGCCUAACCGCUCCUUCUUCUUUUGACCAUCCGGCGCAAAUUCUCGAUUCGUUAGCGUGACCACCUAGCGUGGGCACGUCUAACUGCUAUGGAGUCCGCAGAUCCUGAACGAAAAUUUCUUUCCCUCAGUGUGACCACCUGGCGUGGGCACGUUUAACUGCUAUGGAGUCCGCAAAUCCUGAACGAAAAUUUCUUUCCCUCAAGCGUGACCACCUGGCGUGGGCACGUCUAACUACUAAUUUCCUGCCACCAAACAUCAAACUAUUAAUUGACACUAACACUUAACUAAAACUUCAAAAAUGCAUGAAAAUUGAAACAAAUAGUCUUGGGUUGCCUCCUAAAAGCGCCUUUCUUUAACGUUUUUGCCUAGACGUUGUCCAAAACUUUGCUUAAACUAAGCUAAUCGAGUCCUCCAAGUGCAUCAUCUCCACCCGUUCAGUUGGAACCCCUUCAUAAUACGGCUUGAGACGAUGACCAUUCACUACAAAUUUCUUCUCAGUCUUCAAACUUCGGAUCUCUACUGCACCAUAAUGAAAGACAUUAGUCACCACAAAAGGACCAAUCCAACGAGAACGUAAUUUACCUGGAUAUAACUUCAAUUUGAAGUGGUACAGUAGAACUUUUUGCCCACACUCGAAUGUCUUCCUUGAGAUCUUUUGGUCAUGAAAAAUCUUAUUUCUCUCCUUAUAAAUUUCCGCAUUCUCAUAGGCUUCAUUGCGAAUCUCCUCCAACUCCUGUAACUGUAACUUCCUUUGAAUUCCGCUCUCCUCAAUAUCCAUAUUGCAUUGUUUUACCGCUCAAAAUGCUCUAUGCUCGAACUCCACUGGAAGAUGGCAAGGCUUACCAAAUACCAACCUAUAGGGAGACAUCCCUAUAGGCGUCUUGUAAGCGGUCCUGUAUGCCCACAAAGCAUCUUCCAACCUUGAACUCCAGUCCUUCCUAUCAGGGCCGACCAUCUUUUUCAAAAUAGACUUUAUUUCCCUAUUCGAGACUUCAGCCUGGCCAUUGGUCUGUGGAUGGUAGGAAGUGGAAACCUUAUGAAGUAUACCAUAUCUCCUGAACAAAGCAGCAAUUGUCUUGUUGCAAAAAUGCGUCCCUCUAUCAUUCACAACUGCCCGUGGCAUUCCAAAUCACACAAAAAUGUUAGACUUUAUGAAAUAUGCAACCACCUUAGAAUCAUUAGUGCGGGUGACUUUUGCUUCCACCCACUUCGAGACAUAAUCCACUGCUAGUAAAAUGUAUAAAAAUUCACAAGAAUUUGGAAAGGGACCCAUGAAAUCUAUACCCCAAGUAUCAAAAAUUUCAAUGAAAAGUAUGGGCACCUGUGGCAAUUGAUCCCUUCGGGAUAAAUUGCCUACCAUCUGACAUUUAUCACAUGCCUUACAAAACAAGUAAGCAUCCUUAAAUAAGGUAGGUCAAUAAAAUCCACUUUCCAACACUUUUCUAGCAGUCCGUUUAGGUCCAAAAUGACCCCCACAUGCAAAAGAGUGACAGAAAGUCAAUAUAGAUUGGAAUUCACCUUCACUUACACAUCGCCUCAUUAUUUGGUCAGCACCUUGUUUCCACAGAUUGGGAUCAUCCCAGACAUAGUACUUUGCAUCGCUUUUUAGUUUGUCCCUUUUUGCCUUGGGGCAACCUGCGGGCAAUUUGUCAGUAACCAAAUAAUUCACAAUAUCUGCAAACCAAGGAGGGGAUGAAUUAAUAGAAAGUAAAUGCUCUUCAGGAAAAGACUCCCUUAAUGGUAAUUCUUCCUCCGUUACCAGUAUUCGACUUAGGUGGUCAGCUACUAGAUUCUCCGCUCCUUUUUUGUCUCUGAUUUUCAAGUCAAAUUCCUGCAGGAGCAAUAUCCAUCUUAUCAAGCGGGGUUUAGCGUCCUUCUUGGUCAGUAGGUACCUCAAAGCUGCAUGGUCAGAAUACACAAUUACUUUAACACCUAACAAAUAAGGUCUAAACUUUUCUAAAGCAAAAAUAACAGCUAAGAGUUCUUUCUCCAUAGUAGAGUAAUUGAGUUGGGCGCCAUUUAAAGCUCUAGAGGCAUAAUAUAUUGCGUGCGCCGCUUUCUCCACCUUUUGUCCCAAAACUGCUCCCACGGAGUAGUCGCUGGCAUCACACAUAAUUUCGAAUGGGCGAUUCCAAUCAGGAGGUUGGAUGAUAGGUGGAGAAGUGAGUAAUUUCUUCAACUUCUCGAACGCUUCUUUGCACUCCUCGUUGAAUUCAAAACUGACAUCCUUUUGCAAAAGCCUAAAAAAUGGUGCCCCGACCUUUGAGAAAUCCUUGAUAAAUCUGCGAUAGAAACCUGCAUGUCCUAGAAAAGAACGAACUUCCCGUACAGUUACGGGGUAAGGUAAAGCAGAUAUCACAUCUAUUUUAGCUUUAUCAACUUCAAUUCCUCUAGAUGACACUACAUGUCCUAGAACUAUCCCGUGCUCAACCAUGAAGUGACAUUUUUCCCAAUUGAGCACUAGGUUAGUCUCGAUGCAUCUCUUUAAAAUUAAUGUCAGGUUAUCUAAGCAAUCAUCAAAACUAUCACCAUAGACACUGAAGUCAUCCAUGAAUACCUCAAUUAUUCUCUCCACAUACUCAGAAAAAAUGCUAAUCAUGCACCUCUGGAAUGUUGCAGGGGCAUUGCACAAUUCAAAGGGCAUCCUUCGAUAGGCAAAAGUGCCAAAGGGGCAAGUGAAAGUUAUUUUCUCUUGAUCCUCUGGCGCAAAUGCUAUCUGAAAAUAACCAGAGAAACCAUCUAAAAAACAAUAAUAUGCACGACAAGCUAACCUUUCAACCAUUUGAUCGAUGAAUGGAAGGGGAAAAUGAUCCUUCUUGGUCACUGCGUUCAAUUUACGGUAAUCGAUGCACUGGCGCCAACCCGUAGGCUUUCGCAUUGGAACAAGGUCCCCUUCAUGAUUUUCUUUCGCAGUUACCCCUACUUUCUUUGGCACCACUUGGACCGGACUCACCCAUGGGCUAUCUGAGAUAGAGAAAAUAAUUCCUACGUCCAGAAGCUUGAUUACCUCUUUCUUGACCACUUCCAUCAUGAUGGGGUUCAAUCUCCUUUGUGGUUGUCUUAUCGGCCUAGCAUCCUCUUCCAGGCGAUUUCGAUGCAUGCACACGGACGGGCUUAUACCCUUGAUGUCCGCAAUUGUCCAACCUAUAGCUUCCUUAUGCUCCCUUAAAACCCGUAGCAGCUUAUCCUCCUCCGUGGGUGAUAAUUUGGAUGAGAUUAUCACUGGUAACGUCUCUUUUUCACCUAGAAAGGCAUACUUUAAAUGCUCGGGCAGGGGUUUCAACUCUACUUCAGGUGCCUGCACGAUAGAAGGUAAUAGCUUUAGGUGUGGUUCAGGCACAAAUAUAGGAGCAACAUCAUACCUUAGAGGACUUUGGCCUAGUGAACGCAAGGCUCCAACCAUUCUUUGCAAACUGAUGCCUAACUCCAUUUCACAGGUUGCUUCCAGAUCCAAAUGUUUGGUGAUUGCUACCUCCAAUUCAUCCCUGCCAUUAAUCUCAAAUACUUCUUGCACCAAAGGGUCAAUUAUACUCACAGCAAAAACAACAUUAGAAUGACACGGAUAUUUCAUAGCCUCAAAUUUAUUGAAAUGAACUAUUUCUCCAUCAAAUUCCAUCGUUAGGGUGCCCUCACUAACUUCAAUUUUUGUACGAGCCAUGCUCAAGAAGGGCCUCCCCAACAAAAUUGGUGAUGGAUUUGGAGAACGUUCAUCACCCAUAUCAAGAAUAUAAAAAUCAGCAGGGAACACUAAGUUGUUCACUUGUACUAACACAUCUUCUAUCACCCCAUCAGGAUAAGCAUUAGUCCUAUCAGCCAAUUGAAUUAUAAUGCCAGUUUCCUUUAAGGGACCCAAAUUUAGAGAAGCAUAAAUAGCCUUGGGCAUCACAUUUAUAGAGGCUCCUAAAUCUAACAUGGCAUUCCUAAUGCUAGUGUUCCCUAUUUUACAAGGAAUAGUGAACAUACCUGGGUCUCCGCACUUGGGUGGAAGUUUUCUUUGAAGCACUGCGGAUACGUUCUCUCCCACAAUUAUCCUUUCAUCUCCCCACAAUUUCUUCCUAUUGAUGCAUAGGUCCUUCAAAAAUUUGGCAUACCGGGGUACUUGUUUAAUUGCGUCAAGUAAGGGGAUAUUUAUCUCCACCUUUCUAAACAUCUCCAGAAUUUCCUUUUCCUUGUCUUGUUUUUUAGGCCUUUCCAACCUGCUAGAAAAAGGUGGUGGGUUGGGCUUAACUGGAACCACUGGGUUACGUAUUACCUCUUUAUUUGUGCCGGGAGUUCCUUCUUCCUCAAGCUCCUUCUCAAUGCGGUCCUCAUUCUUGUCCUUCGGAGCCACUGGUGCUGGUCCUUCAACCUCUUUUCCACUUCUGAGGGUCAUUGCACUUACAUUCUUGGGAUUCAUCUCAGGUUGGGAUGGAAGUUUUCCCUUCCCCUGGGAGUCUAGUCGGUUGACAAUUGAGGCUAAUUGACUCAUCUGAUUUUUCAAGUUUUGCAUACGUGCUUUCAUCUCUUGAUUGCUGGCCUCAGUGUCCUGUUGAAAUUUCAUAGUAUUAGAGACUAUGGUUUUAACCAUGUCUUCUAGGGACAUACCUGAGGCGGAGGAGGGUUGAUUCCUUGUUUGAUAUUGUUGCUGGAAGCCCUGCUGUCUAUUGGGGAUGAAAUUUUGUUGCUUAUUUCCCCCAUAGCUCAGAUUUGGAUGAUCCCUCCAACCCGGAUUGUAUGAGUUGGAAUAGGGGUCAUACUGUCUACGUGGCAUGGGCAUGUUACCAGCCAUGUGUGCUUGCUCAGUUCCCUCCUCUUGCAACUGUGGGCAUGAGUCAGCGGUAUGACCAAUAUUCGUACAAAUCCCACACACUUUGGCCUGCUGUGCAUUUCCUACAGCUAUCUGUCGAACAAAUGAGGUUAAUUCAGAUAACUGCUGUUGAAUGGAAGAUGAACUUACCUCGUUGACCUUUCUCGUAGGAACAUCUGCUCUCGUACCAAACUGCUGGCAAUUCUCUGCCAUUCGCUCGAUUAAGUCCCAUGCAUCCUGGGUAGUCUUAUUCACCAGUGCACCACCACUUGCUGCAUCAAUGAUAUUUCUAUCGUUCAUCAGUAGUCCCUCGUAGAAAUACUGAAUGAGCAGUUGAUCACUUAUUUGGUGAUGUGGGCAUCGGGUACGCAGCCUGGUGAACCUCUCCCAAUAUUCAUACAAGGAUUCCCCGUGAAAUUGCUUGAUGCCACAUAUUUCCUUUCGCAAACUAGCAGCUCUGGAUGCAGGGAAAUAUUUUUCAAAAAAAUUUUUCUGCAUCUCUGGCCACGUGGUGAUAAUGCCUGCAGGUAGACAGUAUAACCAGUCCUUUGCCGAGUCCUUUAGAGAGAAAGGGAAGGCCCUUAAUUUAAUUUGUUCAUCAGUUACUCCCGAAGGCUUCAUACUCGAACACACCACAUCAAAUUCCUGCAUGUGUUUGUGGGGUUCCUCUCCUGGCAGACCAUGAAAAACAGGCAACAAAUGUAUUAAACUAGGUUUUAAUUCAAAAGCUGCAUUCUCACUAAGGCGAGGAAAAGUUAUGCAAAGAGGUUGUUGGGUCAAGUUUGGAGCAGCCAACUCCUUUAAUGUUUGUGUGUUUGCCAUGACGACGUUCUCUUGGUACGAAUCACUUGAAGUGUCACAAACCAAUCUGAUGGUUCAACUUCGGGCUCAGAUCUCUGAGAUACAGCACUGGAGUGCUCCUCUCUGAGCUGUCUGGUUUCCUUUCUCGUUCUACGCGUGGUCUUCUCUACUUCAGGGUCAAAAAUCAAUUCACCUGUACGAGAAGACCUAGGCAUACACUAGAAAAAUACCAGAAAAUUAGAGCAAAAAUGAACUUAAUAAAGAAACAAAUAAUAACGCCAAUCCCUGGCAACGGCGCCAAAAAUUAACAGGGCGUCAAACCUGUGCAAUAAUAAUAAUAAUAUAGAACUUAGCUACCACUAAAAGCAGUCAAUAAUUAAUCCUAGGUACUGGAGCAGGGACUCUAGGUGUGCAAUGGGUUACUUGAUUCACCCUGUUCCCGAAGAGUUUGCUUAACCCGAUAUACCAGAAUUAAUUAGUUGACAAAAAUUACUAAAUAGUAGACAGUGGCAAGUAGGUUCGUCUCCUCAGGGACUGGAGAUAUCUGUCUCUUUUAAAGUCCAAUUGAUAAGGGGGGAUUUCACCGGAAUGAAACUAAAAACAAUUAAACAAUUUAACUAAAAAUGAAUGAAUAACUAGCACAAAUAUAACAGGAAUUUAAUCAGGAAUAAAUAAAUUCUAGUCAAGGAUGCAACUACUCAGGCACAGUCCAUUUAUCCGAUCAUUGAUGCAGGAGAGGUUCACUUAAUUUAUUAAUAGGCUAGUUAUAGCCAUCGAUGAAUUCUAAUGACCAAUUUUUCCUUAAUUUAUAGAUGACCAAGGUAUGACCAUUAAUCACCCCUAACCAGAAAAGUACUCCUAGGUACGACCGUAGGAAUUAAUUUUUCAAUUGCAUUAAUAACCAGAAAAACCUAGCCCUAAUCAAUAACACGCUACGAGGGUUAUUUAAAUUAGAUUGCACGUUCCCCUAAUGUGUAAACACACCAGUUGCCACUAAUAUUAAUCAAUCAAACAAUUACGGAUUUAAUUGACUAAAUUGGCAUUAGAUUAAUAAAUCACAUUGAACAUCGGGCCCUUGACAUCCAAUUAAUAAAAUAAUCCCAUGAAAAUUCAAGCGCAGACAACGUGCAAAUAUUAAUAAAUAAUGGAACACGUGAAAACUAAUUAGAUCUCACAGAUUUUCGGGACUGCACCGUCGAGUUGACCCUUGACUAGAUGGAAGACUUAGCCACGCCGCAUAAUUAAAUCACCACACGAAUUAAUAAGUUGCAAAGGCAUUGCGUUUUCUAUUAGGAAGUAAGGAAUAAAAGGUAUUUUCCCGUUGGGGAAUAUUAUCGAACACCUGGCGUGUGUCAGAGGCCAGUCAGGAGAAAGAAAGAAAAACUAAAGACUAGGCUAAAAACUAAACUAAAAGGUGGUCUACGAGCUCCUGUACGUCUCUUUUCUUUUUAAAGCCAAAAGAAAGAUGCCUAGUCUUCUCUCCAGUGGUCCCCACCCAAUUGGUAGUCAAAGCUACCCAAAAGAAAGCCUGCCGAUUUUACUUCCAUGUUUUUCAUCUCUGUAUGUUCCUUUCUCCUUAAGAGCCAAAUGACCAAUGCUAUUCCGUGGGCCUCCACCGAAUUGAGAAGAUGAAUUACCAAAGAUAGGCUCUGCGGAAUUGACUCUUGUCUCCUAUUGCUAGUAGGACCAUUUGGUAAUUUUCUGCUUCACUCCUGAAAUUGAUUCCAAAUACCAAAUAUAAGUAAAUAUCUGCAAUUAACACAAUAUUUGUCAGGGAUAAAAGGGGAAAUAAAUAAUAAAAUUACUAACAAAUUAUACUCUAUCAAUGUUGCCUCCCAAGGUUAUUUUUAUGAGUAUAGAACCACAUUGACGAGUUUUAACUGAUACUUGUGGUUGGAAUUUGGAAUCAAAUAUGUCCUCAGUUGUUAAAAUCCAUAUUUUCUCUACUAUAUUAUUUGUAUUUCAAUGUGCAAGUUAUCUAUCAGAUGUGCGCCUGUCAAGAAUAAAUUAAUUGAUUCUCAGUUUACAGUUCAAAAAGUUGAGUGGACUAGAACAAUUUAGGCAAGGCCCAAUUAUUGGGGCAAGAACACAACUAAUUUCUUGAAUAUGUGAAGUCAAAAAAAAAAGAAGAAGUGGGUAUUCAAGUCAUCAAAUCCUGAACAGAUUUGAGGUUGAAUUUCUUGUUUAUUAAUUUUUGUGUUGCCGAAUCAAUACUCUUGUCCUUAACCAACUCAAAAGUUUGACCCAAUUAAGAAAUCAGGCAAUAUUCCCACAUUCCCUCUACUUUUAGCUACAAUUGGUUACAAUAAUCAGAAAAAAAAAAGACAAUCUCAAAAUGGAUGCAGCGGGUAUGAAAAUGAAGUGUGCUGAAUGUUCUCUUUUCUCACAUAUCCACUAUACUUUCUUUAUGUGGAUUAUUCUUCCAGCGUUCAUACAAAUCUAGGACAAAUCAUAUUAAGGUUAAAAGCAUGUAUAUUCCUUAACAAAUCUAAGUAGUAAGUAUCAUGUGUAUUAUGAUCUCCAAAGUGGGGGACAUGGAUCAAUCAGUUUAAAAUGGUGAUCCAAACAUGACAAUUGACAAAUUAGGCUCAAAAAAGGAAAUAAAAUAAAAUAAAAGCGAUUUUUUUUUUUCAUUUGCAGGGUACAUUUGGUUCCAAGUGGAGCUUAAACUUGGUACCUCAUUGUCCAGGAGACGACUUCACCCUAUUGAGCUAAAGCUAAGUGAAAACUCAUAUAUCACUUUUGAUGUUAUUAGUGGUCAUUUUUACCUAAAGGUGACGAGUUCAAUCAACUUCUUCCUUUACAUGGAGGGAAAACUAAUACUUGAUUCUCUAAAUAAUAAGGUUAGGGUGGAGAGACUUCAAGAAUUAAAUUUAGGAUGCAUUUGAUAAAAUUAAAAUCUAAAAUCUAAAAUCUGAAACAUGAAUAAGUUAAGUGACUGAAUUGUUAAUUAUUUAAAUCUUAACAUUUGAGCAUAUUCCGCAUCAAAUGAUAAUUGAACAGUCUAUUACUUAUUUUUUGGAGUAAGUUUUGCUUAAACAAUUAAGAGCCACUUAAUUAAUUAGAACGUUCUGUUUUUUUUUAUCAAGCACUUUUGAACAUUCUAAGGUCUUGAUCCAUUAAAUUUAAGUGUUAAAUUGGAUUAUCAAAUAAGAACUUAAUUUGACAUGCGAUUUUAUUCAACUUAAAACGAAUUCACAUUCAUUUAGCAAAAACGAAGUCAAGAUUGCUCCAAAAUCCUGACUUAAUUGUGCGAAGGAAAGUCACCAUCUUUGCCCAUCAUCGAGUUCGUAAGACAAGGACAAAUCUAAAAUGUAAUCUAAAUUGGAUCUUAAGUUUAGCCCAGCAAUUGGCAGUGGAAUUGUGCAAGGUUAGGUCAAGCCUUUACGAAUGCAAGAAAUGAACCGUCUUCACAGAUGCGAGAAAUGGACCGUUAAUGGAGAUAGAGAGGGAUGAUCUCAAUUUCCAGAAUUUCAGAAAAGGACACAAUCAAACCAAUUUGACACCAGAAACACAAAUAGGGACAAAAUACUCUUCCAUCUUUUCUUUUGUGGUGAGGGAGGAGAGGUUUGGGAUGAGGGUUUAAACGGGUCAAAUUGAACUUGAUUAGGGCAGAAUAAUAAAAAACAAACCAUGAAAAACACCCAAACACAUCCAAUGAUUCCGUUUCCAAAAUCAAGGAGGUGGAGCAUGCUGAUUUUAUUUUAUUUUUUUAUCUCCAAUGUUAAAGGAACGUAUGGAAUGAGUUUUUCCCCAAAUCACCAACAAUCCAGUGCAGAGCUCCAUUGGAGUAGUUUCUCAAAAUUGAGCUAUUUAACAAAUGUUCACACCAUUUUCUAGCUUGAAGAAAUGGUGCAUCAUUAAUUUUAACAGUCUCCAACUAUCCUCAACAAUAAUUACAAAUAUAAGCUCCAAUUUUACCCUGAAAAAGUGCUACUAAUUUCUAUUAAGUAGUAAUUGUUGCAUAUAAAACUACUUUACCAUCUCUAUUUUUUGCACCUUUAAAAUGUGUAAUUUGUAAUAAAAUAAAAGCAUAAAUCUACAUGCCAAAUGCAAGUUCUAUAUGUACAAAUACAUAUGCUUAUGUCUACCUCUACAUUGUGAUAUAUACUGAUGAUCAAUUUGUUUCUCAUUUAUUUACAAAAAUUGAAAAGAGAAAAGAUGUAUCAAUAAUUACGUGUAAAUUACCAACUUAAUUGCCAUAUAUAUAUGUCAAACAUAAACACCAAGUAAAAUGCUUGGCGUUUCAUAACAUAUAAACUGGGAUCAUGAACUUGAGGUUAUUAUAUCUGUAAACCAUUUAUUGGUAAUACAUUAACAUAUCUCAUUCCUGCCUUGAACUUUAAGCAUUUUGGUGGUGGACCAAGUCAGGACAAAGAAUUCCCCAAAUACAUUUGCACCUCAGGGCUCUGCCAUGUAUUGAGUGGAAAAACAUAAGUACUACUUGAAUGAAUAAUAAUCCUUGGAAUAAGCUUUUGAUAUACCAUAUGAUUGAAGAAAAAAGUUGCUAUUGGAUUAUUGGUUUUAUACCUGCUUCAAGGUGUGAUGUCUUUGAUAAACUGGAGUUUGAUCUUCUGUAGCGCUCUUAGAACUUCUUUCACGUUUAUUCUCUCCUCAGGGGUAUCUGUUGUACAACUUAAACCAAGUUGCAAGACAGAUGAUAUGCAGUUAAUCUUCUUUUGUACCAGUUCAUUUUCAGGACGAAGUAAGUCUCUGUCUAUAACUUGAAUCAUAGAAUCUGGUAAGCAAUCUUGUACCCAACGCUUGAGGCUUAACUCUUCUGUGAACAUCUCAUCCUUAGGCUUUCUUUUUGUAAAUGUCUCCAUCAAUGUAAUUCCAAAGCUGUAGACAUCACAACUUGUUGAAACCAAUCCUUCCAGUCCAUACUCUAGCAUCAAAAUUUGAAACUCGUUGUUAAAGUCAAGCAUUGUUAUCGGUUCAACAAAUUUAUGUUUUUUCUUAAAGGUUUUAUAUUUGACAUACUGUACUAGUUGUUGAAAGUUGAAACACUAAUUUGAAUGAUAUAAAAAUUUCAAAAUUUGAGUCACCUGGGGCAAUAUAUCCAAAUGUAGCAAGAGUCUUUGUUUGUACCACAGAUUCUCCAUCUUCUAACAACUUUGCAAUUCCAAAAUCGCAAACAUGCCCAACCAUGUCUUGAUCUGGGAGAAUAUUGCUAGGUUUCAAAUCACAAUGAACUAUAGGAGUUGAAUAACCAUAAUGGAGAUAUUCCAAACCACAAGCCACAUCUAUCAUAACAUCCAAUCGUUGCUUGAUGUUUAAGAAAUGAGGGUUUGAAUGAAGCACAUUUCUCAAGGCUUCCAUUGGGCAUGUAAUCGAGCACCAAAGCCUUAAAGUCAAGGCUAGAGCAAGCAGUAAUUACUCUAGUUAAAUUUCGAUGAUGAAGGCAGCUUAAGACUUCACAUUCUCGAUCAAAGCUUUUAAAUGCACCUUCUAGCUGCAAAUCGAAUACCUUGAUGGCCCAAACCAUCCCAUUUUCGCGAUUUCCCUUGUAAACUGAACCAAAGCUCCCCGAGCCAAGUAAGUUACUCUCACUGAAUCCAUUUGUUAUUUGUCUAAGUUCAUAGAAGGAUGCCCUUUCAAAUGUCGCCAUGGGAAGCAAGUUCUGAGUCGGAGCUAGAGUUUUCUUUCUCAACUUUAACCGCACCAAAAAAAUUGAAAUCACCAAGGCUAAUAUGACUGAACCUGAUGCCAACAGAACAAUCAUGACUAUCCUUUUUGUCUUUGAUUCAUGCUCAAAUGUACUUGUGCAAGGUUGGAGCCAAGGAGCGCCGCACAAUGCUUCAUUUGAGAGAAAAGAUAGGUUCGUGAAAUUUGCGAAUGGUCCUCCAUGAGAAAUCGGUCCUUUCAAUCUGUUGUAAGACACAUUAAAGUAUCGGAGAUUUGAUAGUACCUGUAAUGAGUUGGGAAUUUCACCUUCCAAAUUGUUAAAAGAUAGAUCCAAAUGCCGUAACUGCAACAUAUUCUUCAUGGAAUCUGGUAUCAAUCCUUGUAGUUUGUUAUGUUCCAAGCAGAGUUCUUGCAAAUCCUGUAGUGCUCCAAUAGUGCUGGGUAUCCCACCCAAGUAUUGAUUAUUUGAAAGGUUCAAAUAGACUAAUACCUUGAAGUUUCCAAUUUCAGCAGGCAAAGAACCUGCCAAAUAAUUUCCUGACAUGUCCAGCGCCAAAAUAUCUCUAAGCCUCCAAAAGCUUGUUGGCAUGAUAGAUCUUAAAUUGUUGGAAUUGAGAUAAACAUAUCUGAGUGUUGUAACGUUUCCUAAACAAGAAGGCACCAUACCAGAGAGCAUAUUUUGUCCAAGUCUUAAUCCUCCUAAGUUCAACAAAUAACAAAGCUCACUUGGAAUAGCACCUUGUAUCUGAUUGUCGCUUAGAUCUAUCAUCUGAAGCUUUAACAACCAUUUGAUCGUAGUCGGAAUUACUCCCGUCAAACUAUUGGUUGCAAAGCUCAGCCGUACCAAGUUGCUCAAAUUACCAAUCGAACUUGGAAUUUCACUUAUGAUUCCACAAUUUCUGGCAGAAAUGGAUUCGAGUGAGCUAGAAAGAUUUCCAAUAGACUUUGGGAGGAAGCCAUUCAGAGGAUUCUCAACUAUCCACAACCUUGUUAAAUGUUUGCAGUUUGACAGGGAUAUGAUGAAGCUCAACUCUUUGGAUAGCGAGUCCUCAGAAAAAUAAUUUUGCCAUAUAGCACUACAACAGAAUUGGCCAUUUGCGGCACUUUCAAUGCGGCACAUAGCUAAUUUGCUGCAAUAAAGUGGUAUUAUUUUGAUUAUGCUGAAAUAUUGACCCCGUAUUUGGCUUUUCGUGGCAAAUUAACGGCACAAUUAAAUUCCACCACUAGCGCAACUAAACGAUGUCGUUGUUGUGAGCUGUCCAAGCAUUAAAUGAAUAAUUGCUGAAUCAUAUUCAUGGUAAGUAAUCUUUCCAUUUUCUCAGUCCUCCCACUUCUUCUCCCCUCUCAAUUUUUCUAAAUUUCUUCUAUAGUCCGAGAACCCUAUGCCUCAAAUUUCUCUUCCAAAACUUUCGAUUUUGCCUCUGCUCAUCCCUAAUUUCUCAUUCUAUCUCUCUAUUUUUCAUGAAACAGGUAAUUACUUAAUCCUUUAGCAGAUUGACACAGGAUGCUUUUACAAUUAAUAGCGAUGACGAGAAGUAGCAAUAGCACCUGAAGUAUUGUUUUAUCAAAGACGAUGCCGUGUUCUAUCAAAAUCGGUGCACUUUUUUCUCUUCUUCUGUUCUUAUCCAAGUCUCCAUUGAUGAAACCAAUCUAAUUUGAGCGAAACUUUUGAAGCUGUACUAGCGAGGUAAUUAAGCUCAAUUUCUUUGUGAUAUUUUCACUUUACUCAUUUCAACUUGUGGUAUUUGCUACCAAUAUUGCUGAUUAAUUGCUCUUUGACAUUCCUUUGUUUGUCUCCUCCUAAAUUUCUGGGGCUAUCUGGUCUCAUACUUAAUUUGCUUGCUUUUUUUAUCCUCUUCUCUUACCUGAUUUGGAUAUGCCACAUCGUAUGCAUAUGCCGUUUCGUUUCAGUGACUACUUUUUGCUUUUUGUUACAAGCUAAGAUGUUGUUCUCAUAAUAUCACAUCUUCAUUGUCCUUCGUUAUGCGUCAUUCUGGUUAUGAUUUGAUCUUUAGUGGCUGUUUGACCAAUAUGUUGCUUGUGAGUUAUAGUACUGCACAUGCUAGUGCUUGAUUAUCGUUUGGAAACUUUGAAAGCUUUCUUAUCUUGAUUCUAUGUGGAGUGUUCCUAAUAUUAAAUAAGAACUAUCAGUUCUCCCAAAAAAUGAAGAGGAAUUUAGUGAUUAGUAAUGGUCAACUUGAGUUAUUUAUGCUUUUUUUUGGGUUAAGAUGGAGAACGACUAUAUGAUUUUUGAAUGUGGAUUUUAAUGGUUUUUUUCAAUUAUUUGAGACUUAAUGUGAUUUAAGGUGGAAUUCUAGAGUUUCAGUUUGAAAAUUUGGACUUCUGUGUAGAUUGUUAUGUUGUUAUGCAUUUGUUACUUCUCCUUUUUUUUGCCACUUUUAUCCGGAUUAUGUCUUUUUCAAUACAGUAUACAAGUUCUUGUACAUAGUUGAACAGCAAUCUAACUAUCUGAAUUGCCCAUAACCAUCAUAUUUAUCUGCCUAGCAAUUGUAGCUUGCUAGCAAUUAAAUGUUCUACCAAGUUGCAAUUAGGAAUUUGUAAGACAAUCUAGCUCCCCUGAUUUAUCUAUGUUUCUUUUUCUUGCAAACAGAACACUGGUUUGCAUAUUGACAUAAAUUCACCACAUUCUUUUGGCAUUGAGAAGUUGGGUUAACUGUUAACAUCGCAUUCCACUAUGAGCAUAGCAAACUGGGAUGCACAUGCUGCACUUUAUUUUUUAUUUUUUUGCAUGUUAAUAAAUUUGCUAUUUUUCAAUUCUGUUUAUAAGGUCUCUUUUCUUGCCUUCUCAAUCUUGUUUCUUGUAGAAUGGAUGAUAGGUCUUGGAUCUUUAUUGAAGACCGAGUCAGUAAUCCAUACUUUGAAAAGUGUCUGAGUGACUUCCUUAAAUUUGCCUACAAAAAGGAGGUUGGGAGUAGAAUAUAUUGCCCAUGUAGGCGAUGUAAAAACUCAGAACGAAGAAAGGAAGAAACUAUGCGUGCACAUGUAACAAUAAAAGGGUUUUUGACCACUUAUACAAAUUAGAUUUAUCAUGGUGAAGAUCCAUGGGACUUCAAUCAAGAAAAUAUGAACAAUGGAGUGUUUAGGCACACUGAAAAUGAUGACAUGAAUGAACACUUGAAGAGAAUUCUAACAUAAAUUUAGAAGAACUUAGAGGAGCCUGUGAUGAAGAGACUAAUAAGUUUUUUAAGUUGCUGAAGCAUGCCGAAACAGAGUUAUACCCUGGAUGUAAAAAUUUUACUCUUCUAUCAUUUGUCAUCAAGUUGUUGCAUGUCAAGUCUCUUUGUCGAUGGAGCAACAACUCAAUGACAAUAUUACUGGAGCUUCUCAAGGAAGUUUUUCCUGAGAAUGAAUUAUUUCCAAGCUCUUAUCAUGAUGCUUGGAAGAUUGUUAAACACUUGGGUCUUAGCUACCAUAAAAUUCAUGCAUGCCCCAACGAUUGGUUGAUUAAUUGGAAGGAGACAGAACAUGAAACCUUUUACAGAAAGUGUGGAACUCCUAGGUAUAAGCAAAUUGUAAAACAAUCUGAUGAUUCAAGUGAACAAGCUAACAAAGUUCCAGCAAAGCUUGUUCGCUAUUUUCCUUUGAAACCACGUCUCCAAAGGCUGUUCAUGUCCUCAAAGACUGCUUCAUUAAUGAGAUGGCAUGAAGAGGAGCGCAUCAAGGAUGGAAAAUUGAGGCAUCCGGCAGACUCUUUAGCUUGGAAGCAUUUUAAUGACCGGCACCCAAGCUUUGCUAGUGAUCCUCACAAUGUUCGUGUUGGACUUGCAGCAGAUGGAUUUAACCCAUUCAAAGCAAUGAACAAUAAAUACAGCACCUGGCUAGUGAUUUUAGUGCCAUAUAAUUUACCCUCAUGGAUGUGCAUGAAGCAAACAUCAUUUAUGUUGUGUUUGCUAAUUGAUGGGCCUAAAGCUCCAGGUAAUGAUAUUCACAUAUAUCUUCAAUCAGUAAUUGAUGAAUUGAAUGAGUUUUGGGAUCCAGGGGUGCCUACUUAUGAUGCAGCUAGUAAGCAAAUGUUUUACUUACGUACUGCACUACUUUGGACUAUCAAUGAUUUUCCAGCUUAUGGAAAUCUAUCUGGUUGGAGUACCAAAGGGAAGUAUGCAUGCCCUUGUUGUAAUAAAGAUGUUCGAAGUCAAUGGUUGAUGCAUAGCAAAAAACAUUGCUAUUUGGGUCAUCAUCGAUUUCUAGCUAUUGAUCAUCAUUAUCGUUUAAAUCGAGCACAGUUUGAUGGGACAAUUGGGAAACAUUCUAGACCUGUUCGAUUAUAUGGGUUUGAGAUUUUAGAACAACUAAGAGAUUUUAGAAAUGAAUUUGGAAAGGAUCAACCAGUUUUCUCAGCUAAGAAAAGAAAAAGGAGGAAUAAAGAUAAUAAUGACUCUAAAGAAAGUCCCAUAUGUAGGUAUAAUUGGAAAAGAUUGAAUAUAUUCUUUCGGUUAUCGUAUUGGGUGGAUAAUUUGCUUUCACAUAAUCUGGAUAUAAUGCAUAUUGAGAAGAAUUUCUUGGAGAAUCUCUUGUGGAUAUUGUUGGGGAUGGGCAAGACAAAUGAUGACAUUAAUGCUCGAUAUGAUCAAAAAGAAAUAGGGAUAAGAAAGGCACUUCACCCACAAUCUAAGGGUGACAAAGUGUUUCUUCCACUUGCAUGCUUCACAAUGAGCAAAGAUGAAAAAGAAAUUUUUUGUAAUGUACUAAAAACUGUCAAGGUCCCUAAUGGUUAUGCAUCAAACAUUUCGAGGUGUGUGAAUAUUAAAGAACGACAAAUCUCUGGGUUAAAGAGUCAUGAUUGUCACAUAUUAAUGCAAUAAUUGUUGUCCAUUGCUGUGAGAAGAAUAUUGCCUAAACAUGUUUGCAGAAUUAUCAUUGAGUUAUGAGAUAUAUUUAGGCAAUUAUACUCAAAAGUGCUUACUGUAGUAGAUUGUGAAACUUUGGAGGACCGUACUCCACUGGCCCUUUGUGAACUUGAGAAGGUGUUUCCACCUCCAUUUUUCAAUAUCAUGGAGCAUUUGCUUGUUCACUUGCCUGAAGAGGCGAAACUUGGUGGACCAUUUCAAUUUCGGUCUAUGUAUCCUAUUGAGAGGUAAAAGAUUAUCAACUUAAUCUAUGUACAUUGAAAAAUCACCACCGAUAUUAAUAUAAAUUCUAUGCAUAGGUAUCUGUGUACUUUGAAAAAUUAUGUACGGAGUCGAAGUUACCCUGAAGGUUCAAUAGCAGAGGGCUACUUGGCGGAAGAAUGUAUGACAUUCUGUUCCAUGUACUUGGACAAUAUUGAAUCAAAGUUGAAUCGCCCACCUAGGAACUAUGAAGGUGAAUAUUUAAAUAGACAGAUUGGCUGUCCCUUAGGAAGAGAAGAGGUUGUCUAUUUAGAUGAUGUCUCUUGGGUUCAAGCUCAUCGUCAUGUUCUUGGAAAUCUUGAAACUGUUGAUCCUUUUCGCAGGUAAGUUCAUAGUUUAUCAAACUUAAUCAAAAACUCAUGAAUUAUUGCUUUCAUUAAAGUAUUUAAUGACUAAUGUAGGGAGCAUAAGCAUUUGCUAAAAUUGGAAAAACCACGCAUGUCAAACUAUGAAAGGGAGAAAAUUCAUAGUGAACCAUUUUACAAGUGGUUUAAGAAACAUGUAAGUUUUAAAUUCAAUAAUGAAUUUAAUUGAGCUUCAUUUUCAUAUAUUUAAUAUUCUCUAGAGUUAACAUACAAUAACAAUUUUUGUUCAAAACUUGUAGGUUGAAGAUUUGGAAAAAUCUAAUAGUUGCCAUGAUUAUUAUAAAGAAAUUGCUUAUUUAGCUGCUGGUCCUAAUAAAUGGGCAAAAAGCUAUUCUGGUUACAUUGUUAAUGGUUUUCGUUUCCAUACUAAGAAGCAUGAGAUGAGAAGGCAAACUCAAAAUAGUGGUAUAUUUGUGAAUGCUAGUGCCAAUAGUUUCGCUAGUACAAAGGACAAGAACCCUAUAUCUAGAAUUUUAGAAUAUUAUGGGGUCUUAGUGGAUAUUGUUGAGUUGAGAUACUCAAAUGACAUUAAAUUUGUGAUGUUCAAGUGCGAUUGAGUUGAUAAUGUCACUGGAAUGAAACAAGAUGAACACAACUUCACACUUGUUAACUUUGAUCAUAUAUUGUACAAGCAAAACACGAAGAAUGAUAAGCCUUUCAUCCUUGCCUCUCAAGCACAGCAAGCUUGGUAUGUUCGGGAUGCAUUGGAACCUGAAUGGAAUAUAGUUGUCAAGAUGACCCCUCGAGAUCUUUUCAUUAUUGAUCCAGAAAUUAACAUAUGUGAAGCUAUCCAGGAUGAGCAUUCUGCUUGGCAACACGUUAAUAACAAUAAUUCUGAGGAUAGUAAGGUUUCAUGGGUUAGGGAGGUGUUGAUGGAGUUAUACUUGAUGCACAAACUACAAAAUCCAAGGCACACGUUGCUGAAGUUGAUGAUGGAUUCUUUUCUGAUAAGGAUAAUCUUGGGAUUGGCAAUACGAUUGAUGAUACAAGUGAUGAUGAUAAUUUUUUUGAUAAAGCCCAACAAGGAGACAAGGCUGAUGAUUGACUCUAAUUUUGGAAUAUAAUGCUAACAUUUUGUUAUAUGAAGUUUAGAAUGCCAAUAUUAGAUGAAGUUACUGAUUAGUAUGAAAAAUAUUAAUUGUGGGAUCAUUUUCACUGCCUUGGAUGUCAAUUUAUAAUUCCUUAUGUUCAUAUUAGUCUACUUGAUAACCUGCAUUCUACUUCUUGUUUUAGCAGGCUGGUAAUGCUGGAUUUACCUUAUGUUCAAUUUAUGAUUCCUUAUGUUCAUAUUAGCAAGUUGGUAAUGCUGGUUUCAUUGGGUUAUAGUUCCUUAAUAUGUAUAUAUUCUUUGUGUUUGCAGAUUUUUAGAAAUUUAAACUUCAAAAGUAAGAUGAUACAACACUCUCUUGCUGAAUUAUGUGAUUAGUUUCUAAAAAAAGCCAGUAAAAUUAAUCAUCUUACUUAACUUUGCCUUAAAAAAUCAGAAGCUGCUUUUAUAGGUUUUCCAUGGCACCAAGUAUGAAGGGGCCCCGCAAAGUUGUUGGGCCAAUGUUCGGAGCGCAUAUUGAGUCCACCAAUAGUUUGAACCCUGUUUUACGGUCAACCUCUCAAUCUUAUUAGACUCACCCCAAUCAUUAUUCAAAGCCUCUAGCACAUAAAUUCAUUGGGGCAAUGCCUGGAAUACGCAUAGACCCUACAUCUAGCUCAAACUCUGUUUCUUGACCUAAUUGUCAAGCGAAAUCACAUGACUCCAAUUCAAAUUCAAACUCAGCUUCUAGCUUAAUUUCUACUUCUCAGUUCAACUCUAAAGUCAAUUCACAUCAGUUGAACUCCAAGGCUGAUUCUCAACUAAAUUCCCAUCCUAAUUCACAUAUCGAUCAAGGCUUUCAUUCUCAACCACUAGUAGACCAUCGUGGGCAACUAGAUUCCUUUGAUAACAAUGAUUCUGAAGCUGGAUCAGGUUCUUCAUAUGAUUCAGAAGACAUAGAGGAUGUCUUUGAUGGUACUUUUGAUGAUGAUGAUUCUAGUGAAGAAGGUCGGUUGGAAAAGAAAAGAUUAUCACAAACAGUUUUAAGUCUAGCAUUCCUUAUUAUAAGUUUUGUAUAAUAUUCAUAAAAAAAAAUUAUAUGAAUCACAAUUUCUUCUUUUGUAUGUGUGUGUGUUUUUUGUACACAGGAGACAAUAGUGGUAGAGGACUAGCCAGACGAAGUGCUGGUUGGGGUGGUAGAAAGAAAUUGGAGUUAGUUUGGAAUGCACGAGGCCAAGUAAUUGGUCCUAAUGCUACACAGUAUAUAAGUCAAGUAGGAAUCUUAGUAAAGGAUGGUAAUAAAUUACCACUCACGUACACAGAUUGGAGGGCCAUGCCUGAAGGAUCUAAGGAGAGAUUUUGGGAAGAUAUUAAGGUAUUUUGACUCACUAUCAAAGUUAGCAACAUUUUUUUCUUUUUAUUUCAUACAAUCUUGUGGCUUGUGAAUGUUUAAACUUUUGUUUUGUAAUUUUUUAUAGAGAAAUACAAAUAUUGAUAAUACAUGCAAGAAAGUACAAAUGAUGAGGGUCAGCAAAUUGUGGAGAAAUUGGAAAUCAAAAGUCAAGAGCAUGUAUUUCACUCCUUAUAGGAGGCACAGGUCAUGGCUAUUAGCACACUGUCCUGCAAGAGUUGAGGAGGAUCAAUGGCCUAUUUUGGUUGAUUAUUGGAGCUCAGAAGAUGUCAAGGCAUGUAUUUAUUGUCACAUCUCUUUUGCUUUUGAAUUAAAUUCUAGUGCUAUUAUGAUUUUGAUGUGUUGUUAACUACCUUUUUUGGUUUUGUACAUAAUUAAAAGCAAAGCAAGAUUAAUAGCAAGAAUCGAAAAAAACAAAAGAUGCCACAUCGAACAGGGCGAAAAGAUCAUGUGAACCUCAGGGAAGAGGUAUAUUAAAUUCUAAUGCUUAUGUUUCUAGCAAUUUUUUCUGAAAAAUAGUCUUAUUUAGAAAUAUUAACACUUCAGUUUGUACAUUGAAUAUGUGGCAGCUUCGGAUUAAAAUAGGAAAAGAGCCUUCGAAACUAGACGUUUUUAUUCAUUCAAGACAGGGAAAACAAAUGAAUGAGUUGACUUCACAAACAAUUGUAAGAAUAGCUUUUAGUCACUUUUUAUUGGUUUUACUUCAUAAAUAAUUCUUUCUUCUGUCUGUUUUUCAAUUUAGGCAACUAUGAAUGAGGAAAUACAAAAACUGCCAGAGACAUCCAAGGAUGAUAAUUUUGUGAAAGAUAUACUCUAUGAAAAUAUUCUUCGACCUGAAAAACCAGGUCGUCUUCGAACUUAUGGGGUAGUUGUGAAUCCAAAAGACGUGUAUAGGAUAUCGGAUAACAUGAAUGCUGGACAAAAGAAAGUAUUUGAGGAUGCAGUGAAUGAGAAAGUGGAAAUCAUAUGUGGUGAACUACGAGAAGAAAUGAAUUCGAAAUUGGCAGAUUUUAAGAAGGAGUUGAUUGCUCAAUUUGAAGCAAGAAUGGUUUGGGAUAACUAUUUGGUUAAAUAUUAUAGUUUUUCUAAUUUUUUUAUUGCUUUAGUUACUGUUUAUCUUUGUUCUUCCAGGGGGCAUCAACAUGUGACUUGGCAUCACUCCAAAGAAGAGAAAUGAAUGCAGCAAAGCAAUCUCAAAUUUCGGACUCAUUAGAGGUUGUAUAUUAAUUCAUACAAUUCGAUUUUGUGUUCAAACUCUCUGAAAUAUCAGCAGCUAUGGCCUGAUUUUCUUCUUCACACUUUGUUGAUAACGUAACAGAUUGGUGAUAGAAUGAACAGGGAAGUUGGAACAAAUGAUGCUGAAAUGUACAAGGAAGUUGGAACAAAUGAUGUUGAAAUAAACAAGUGUGAAAUGAAUAAAAAAGUUUCUUCAAUUGCUGAUAUUCUUGAGGUAUAAUAUGCGUACUUUGAGUUGGUCCUUCUAUAGAAGACCAAUUUUGCUGAGUUCCUUGUUGAUAUUGAAUUGUGCAUGAGUUCCUUGUUGAUGACUAUUUGUGCAUGAGCUCCUUGUUGAUAUUUAAUUGACUAGUGUUUUGUUAUACCAGAACCACCAUACAAAGAAGAAAAGGAGCAGGACUACUUGCAAACGGCUUGCUUGAGGUACUGGAAAAGUUUCUGGAAAUAACUCUAUUUUGUCAAGCUAUUUAUGGGACAUAAUGUAGUAGAAGUGGUCUUAAUUUUCAAUGUCUGUGAAAAGGUUGAAAUAGGGGUUUUUUCCCCUUUUUUCCUUUUUUUUGUGGUUUUCUUGAUGUUAGAAUUGAAUUACAAAUUCCGUUUCAGUAUCUAUUGUUAUAUUAACGUUUUCUUCAUGCUUAAUGGGCUGGGGUUAUAUGAGCAGGGGACUAAUAGAAUACACUUUGUAGCCUUGGACUUGAUGUUAAAUGUGGAGUUGGUUUCAUGGUUUGGUUCAAAUGGGGAUGGAUGGUACGUUGGAAGCACGCGGAUUGGGAGAUAUGAAGAUGUUUUUGAGAGAUGUAUGAUGAAGUGUUGUACUUUUGAAGACAAGCACAUUUUGGAAUAUAUGAAACAUCUUGUAAUUGGAGCGAAUAAUAUUAAAUGAUAAAGUUUGUAGAAUUUGACUAAAACAAUGUAUGAUACUUUAUUCUAGUGUAUUAUGGAACUAUAUUUUGUAAUAAUAUUCGAUUUUAGGAUAUUUGAGCAUGAUAACUAUUGUACCAUGAAAAAAUUGAUUUCUAGCCUUUAUAUUGGUGACUUUUUUGCGACACAAGUUUUUGUCGCAUGACAUUGUGGACAUUUUGUAGCGCAUUUUUUGUGCCACAAGUAGAGUGGUGACACUCAAAUUGGCUUCGCAAAGAGCAAUGCAAAUGCAUGCGACAUAUUGAAAAAUUGUGUCGUUUUCUUUUGUAACGGCUACUUUUGUGGCACAAUUGAAUUCCGUCGCAUUUGUGUCGCAAAAAGGUUUUCGCGGUAGUUUUUUGACUUUUUGCAGCACAAUUUUGGCAUCGCGAAAAGUCAGUUUUCUUGUAGUGUAGAAAACUGUUCCAGUAAUCCGUGUUUCCAAGAGAAUGAGGAAUUGCACCCGUAAAAUGGUUCACACCAAGACCUAGCAUUCUGAGGCUAGAGGCAUUUGAGAUAGAUGUUAGUAUAGUUCCACUGAAUUCAUUUCCCCCAAGGUAGAGUUCCUCAAGAUUGGGUAAGAAAGCACCUAUAGUUGAUGGAAGCUCGCCUGAUAAAUCAUUCUGCGCGAGAGAAAUAAGUCGUACAUUUGAACUAUUGAAAAGCUUCAGCGGGAUAGGACCUCUCAACCUAUUCGACUCCAACAUAAGUACUUCCAACUUGCUAAGAUUACCAACCUCUUGAGGUAUUAUGCCUGACAAAUCAAAUUGGUAAGAAAGUCAAAUGAGUCAUUUGACUUGAAACAAUUUGGUGAGAGAGGGAAGUAAUGAGAAGAUAGACACAUAGUGGAUGCAAGUAUUGAGCAUUAUGAUUUACAAGCCAGCAAGUUUUUGAUACAUAAUGAUAAAGACGAGCUCAAGUAAAUCCAUGUUUUUUUUUUUGGUAAAGUAAAUUCAUGUUACUAGUAUUGAUGAACUUAGCAUAAAGCCAUAAAAUAGAGUAGCUAAAAGCAUCUGUUCUCUUUUCAUUUGAGUGCAUGGAUCACUGGUCAUGUGAAAACCGACUGAAUGUAUCUAGCUAUAGUAAGAUUUGACAGUGAUCAGGCAAUUGAUGUUACGUUGGGUCUUGUAAAUGGAAGUUUAUCAUACUAGGUGAGUAGUAACCAAUGCAUGACAACUUGGCAAAACUUUUGUAUCUCACAUAUCUAAAGUCAAGUAACUAAAUUUAACGAAAAAGGAAGCAUCUCAACCAAUUCAGGAGUAAAGAUACGAAAGGAAGUGGUAUAAUUCAUUGACAAUUUUGGAAAUGACAAAACAUUUUCAGACAAUGUUUGAAACAAAAUAACAUGACAUUGUCAAAAGGGGCAUAGAAUUGUACACUUUCCUCUCUUCAAGCAUUCACUCUCUUUUAUCUCUUUGUACCCUCUCUCUAAGUGCUUCCUUAUCUUCCUAUUUCCCAUUGUAUCAUCUGUUAACCCCUUAUCAGUAUCUCUAUUUUUGAAGUGAUCAAUUGGAAUUUGAAGUUGAGUUAGAGAUGUAGGCUGUAGCAUAUUGAGAUCAAGCUGAUCGAAAUCCUUUUAGUUUAUGCAGUGCACUAGUAUGACUGACCAAUUGACGUAUGAGAAAGAGCCUUAUUUGAUUUGUAUUUGAAGUCGCUCGACUUAAAGCUCAAAUUCAAGUUUGAGAAAAGUAUUCUAAUGAUGGAAUAAUGAAAUGGGUUAAAAGCAAAAAAGCCUCAUGUAGUAUACCUAAUAUACAGAAAAGCUUCGCGUGGUUUCAAAACAUACAAAACGACACCUCAUAUUUUGAACUAAAUUGUAAACUAACAAAAUUUGUUAAACUUAAUGAAAAAUUUAACGGAAUCCGGUAAACUUAAUGGAAUCCGGUAAGUUUAACAGCUGAGACCAUUAUUUUCAUUAAGUUUAACGAAUUCUGUUAGUUUACAAUUUAGUUCAAAAGACAAAUUCCACUUUACCCCCCUGUGGUUUAACGUUUUUUAAUAUAACCCUCCUAUGGUUUCAAAAGUUAUACAUAACCCUUUUAUGGUUUGGAUUAAAGUGUCAAAGUGACGGGGAUGACCAUUCGUAACGGAGUCACCUAAAAUCUCAAAAAUACCCUUAUGUAAAAUUGAAAAUUAUUUAUUAACCAAGGGGGAUUAUGUGUAUAUUUUGAAAAUCAUAAGGGGGUUAUAUGGUAUAGUAUUAAAUCAUAAGGGGUUUAUAUAGUAAAAUAUAAAAAUCAUACGGGGUUAAUGUGUCAUGUAUUUAUAAGGGUAAUUUCGACAUUUUUAGAAGUUCCGUUACGAGUGACUAUUUCCGUCACUUUGACACUUUAAUCCAAACAAUGAGAGGUUUAUGUAUAGCUUUUGAAACGAUAUGGAGGUUAUGUAAAAAAACGUUAAACCACAGGGGGGUAAAAUGUAAUUUGCCCUAGUUCAAAACAUGAGAUGUCGUUUUGUAUGUUUUGAAACUAUAGGGGACUUUUCUGUAUAUUAGGUAUAUCACAGAGGAUUUUUUUUGUUUUUAACCCUAAUGAAAUAGAUCUCAUGCCAAAAUGUAUCAAGAUUUUUACCUGUCACAUUAGCAUUCUCCAUGCCUAAUAUCUCCAAAUUAUAGAGAUUGUCAAUGGCUUUUGGAAUUUCACCUGCCUAGAAAUCACGGCAUGAUGAUAAAUAUAAUUAACGGCAUGGCAUAAUUAUAUGUAUAUAAUAUAUAUGCAUUUAGGAAUUCUAAGGAUCUUUAGUUAAGUUUCAAACAGUAUCAUGUAAAUCUCUCAUAAAUAUUGGCAAAAUGACGAUUACAUACACUCCUAAAAAUUGGAGGUUAUUUUGGUGGCAAUCUCUAUGCGUAUAUCAAUGGAUUUUUAAAUGUAUGCACAAAUUAGAAAUAAAAUUGAUAUAAAAUCUAAAUAUGCAUAUCGAAAUUAAUGCUUUUUACAUUUUCUUUCAUAGAAGGUAAAGCCAUGAAGUUUCAAAUGUCCAAAAAUUUUAAGGGGAAAUUACUCAAAGGCAAGAGAAAUUUUAACGUGGCUUGAAAAUAUACUUUUAGCAUCCUUAUGCUUCGGAUUCAAAGGCAAGAGAGAUGUAAUCCAUCAAAACCAAUGGUUUUGUACAAAAAGACCACUCUACCCCAUUAGUAUACAUAUUGUUAAUUCAUCCUUCUUUCACAAUUUUAUUUCUUACAUCAAACAAAAUUGUGUGUUUGGCAUAGUCAUCAAUCCCGACCUAGACAUCAACCUGGCAAAGCCAUUGGUGUAACAAGUUAGCGGCUUAACCAUAGAUUUACUGAUCCAAGAUCACUCUGUGUUCGCCAUGCUUUGAGUUUUUUAUUUCCUAACUUUUAUCUUUAUUUUGUUGAAAACAAAAACUUCUUUAUUCACACGAUGUUUGCACCAAUACUUAAGCAGUUAGCAAUCAUCAGAAAUAGUGUAUGUGAUAUAAAUUUUUCAUGCAAUUAUGAUUCUAGUCUCAAAAUCCUUUAAACCCAAUGAAAAUUUCUCAAUGGGUUAAAAAGGAUUUUGAACAAUUUUCAUUGGGUAAUGAUGGAUUUUCAGUCUUAAUUUGUACUCUACACAAUAAACUUACAUAAAUUAGUCUUGGAUGACAAUUGCCGGCUAUAACUAAUAAUUACUUUAUAAUGUUGUUGCAAAUUUUGAUUGAUUAAGGAAGAAUAUUUUUAAUUUUUUUUUGACAAAAUAAAGAUGAAAAAAUUGGCAAAUAAAAACACCAAAACAUUGCAAACUAACAAUUCAGUUUGAAAUAAAUAAAGAUAAGGGCAAAUUACAUUUUACCCCCUGUGAUUUAGCAUUUUUUUACAUAACCUCUCUAUGGUUUCAAAAGUUAUACAUAACCCCAUCAUGGUUUGGAUUAAAGUGUCAAAGUGACGGAAAUAGUCAUUUAUAACGGAAUUUUUAAAAAUAUCGAAAUUACCCUUAUAAAUACAUAACACACUAAUCUCGUAUGAUUUUUAUAUUUUACCAUAUAUAUAAUUCCCUUAUGGUUUAAUAAUUUAUCAUAUAACCCCCUUAUAGUUUUUAAAAUAUACACAUUACCCCCUUGGUUAAUAAAAAAUUUUCAACUUUAUAUAAGGGUGUUUUUGAUAUUUUAGGUGACUCUGUUACGAAUGAUCAUUCCUGUCACUUUGACACUUUAAUCCAAACCAUGAGGGGGUUAUAUAUAGCUUUUGAAAUCAUGGAGAAAUUAUGUAAAAAAAUGCUAAACCACAGGGGGUAAAGUGAAAUUUGCCCUAAAGAUAACAUACAGAAUGGGGCCGAAAAGAAGGAAUCAUUGCUUAUAGGGUGAUAGGGUGCAUUUUAGUGGGGUAUUUUGGGCAUUAUUGCACAAUUAUUUGACUAAAUAUUUUCGUUAAUUGGGUAGAUUCUACUGAUAUUUUGUUUUGGUGCUAACUGCAGGAAUUAGUACUAAAAAGUGCUUGAAAUCGAAAUUUAGAAGAUUCGUCGCACAGGAGCCACUUUAAGUACUGGGGUCCGCUCGAGAAGCUGAAGAAACUUAAUUGUAAUAGAUAUUAUUUUAUUCUAUUUUGAGGGAGUCUGGUUUUAAUUUUGGAAAAAUAACAAUUUUCCAGAGGGAAAAAUCCCUUCCUGGAGCUUCGGUCGACAACAGAGGCAAGAGUUAGUUUUCUCGCCUGGCUUAGGUUUUCUCCGGAGCUAUGCUUUUUAGGAGGAGGCCGCAACUUUAAAAAGAGAACAAUCAGAGAAGAAAAGGCAAUCGUUGUUGACUUUGUGAUUCUCGUGAGCUUUUCAUUAGCCUUGACCGAAUUGAGGAAUGAAAAAAUUGAGAAAUCUUUUCUCUCAUAUGUCUUUUACUUAGCAAUCAGAGGAGACAAGAGCCUCCAUUAUUGACUGUAUAUUGUUCUUCCAUUUUUGGUUGACUUCGGCAAUUCCAAUUCUAAGUUUGGUUGACCGCAAUUGAUAGAACAAAAGAAGCAAAAGCUGUUCUCGUAUCAUUGUGGGCAAUUAGGAGGCAGCCACCAUUGUGGACUUUGUGGAUUUGUUUCUUUACUCAAUUUUGACCGGAAUUGGAAGGCAACAUCAGACCAUCGUAUCUGUACGCUUUGGAGGAAAAUUGGAAGCAAUAAAGCUUCCUUGCGCUUUCUCCUGGUGUUGACCGAAGCAAAGAAAAAUUGAUCUGCAAACCUUCCCAAACUCCACAUGCGCAGCUCGUCCUCCAUUAAUGGAGAGCUAAAUCCCCAAAUCUAGUCAAGGGGACAAUCCACGAUUUGGUUCGGCAAUUGUUGUGAGAUCGAAUUUAUUUUAACUAUUUCCUCCAUUUAUUAAUAUUUAUAUGUUUCCCGUUUUUAAUUGUUAUAACUCUUGUGGAUGAUUGAUUAGUGCGCAAUAAUUAAUUGUUCAUAUAGGGAUAAUUGAAUCCGUAAUUGUUCAUUAUCUCUAUCUCAGUAGCAACUGGCGUAAUUGGAUUUGUGUCAGGGGAACAUACAAUCUAACUUAAACAAACCCUCGUAGCGUGUUUGUUAGUUAGGAUUGGCCCUUUCUAAUUAUUAAUGCAAUUUAGAAAUUGAAUCCUACGGUCGUACCUAGGAUUGUUUUUGGGUUAGAGAAAUAGCUAACGGUCGUACCUUAACUAUCGAUAAAUUAAGGAAAGAUUGGUUGUUUAUCGCGUGCUUGACAACUAUAACCAAUCUAUUAAUAAAUGUUGGAAUUACCUUUGAAUCAAUGAUCAGUUGCAUGAACCAUCUCUGAAAUAUACCCUUGGCUAGAGUUUCUCUUAGUUAUUUCUUCUAAUUAAUUAUUUUCUGCAUUUAAUUUGUUUAGUUGGCAUUUAAUCCCAAAACCCCCCAUUAAUCUUGAUUUGAAAAGAAACAAAAUAUGUUGCUAAUCCCUGAGGAGACGACCCUGCUUGCCACUGUCAACUAGUUAAUGAAUUCAGUUAAAUAAUUAAUUCAGAUAUAUCGGAUUAAGCAAACUCUUCGGGAAUAGGGUGAAUCAAGUAACCCAUUACAUACCUAGAGUCCCUGCUCCAGUACUCGAAUUGAUUAUUGACUGCUUUAAGUGAUAGUUAGGUUUUAUUUAUUAUUAUUGCACAGGUUCGGCACCUGUCAUAGGGUUAAUCACAUUUUAUCUCCUUAAAAAAUAUCCCAUUUCUCAGUUUACCCUCUAACCUUUAAUUUUCCUCACUUAACCCCCUUUAGGACAAAAUUGUUCUUGCAUUAUUUUGAUUUUUCAUUUACCUUGUCUUCCUUUCUUUUAUUUCUUUUCCUCUUUCUUCUUUAUUUAAUUUUUUCUCUUUCCCACAAAAAUCUUUACCUUAAUGAUUGAAAUUUAAAAAAAGGAAUUGCAGAGAUCUAUUUUCUCCUUAAAUGAUUAAAAAAAAUAUUACCACUUUUCUAAAAUACAAUUUUUGUAGCCUUUCAAUUCUUUUAAUUUUAGGUUUUCCUCUUUCCUUUCUAGUUUCUCAUUUUAUUCCCAAGAAAAUAUCUUAAAAUGAAAUUGUGACCUGAUUAAUAGUCAUCAAUUGAAAUUUGUGACACGUGGCAUCAUACAAAAAAUCAACAUUAGUUUUUGAUGCCUUUUAAACCUUUACCCAGAAAUAUACAAUUACAAAUUCAAAACAAAAAUUUUAGUUGAAAUGAAAUUUCUAUUGAGAAUAAUGAAAGAGAGAAGAAAGAGAAAAAAAAUAAAAGAAAGGAAAAUAAUUUCAUCUUAUGAUAUUUUCUUGAGAAUAAAAUGAGAAACUAGAAAAGAAAGAGGAAAACCCAAAAUUGAAAGAAUUGAAAGGCUAAAAAAAUUGUAUUUUAGGAAAGUGAUUUGAAUAUUUUUUUUAAUCAUUUAAGGAAAAGAUAGAUCUCUGCAAUUCAUCUUUUUUAAUUUCAAUCAUUAAGGUAAAGAUUUUUGUGAGAAAGAGGAAGAAUUAAAUAAAAAAUAAAAAUAAAAAUAAAUAAAAGAAAGGAAAACAAGGUGACUGAAAAGUCAAAAUAAUGCAAGGGCAAUUUUGUCCUAAAGAGGGUUAAGUGAGCAAAAUUAAAGGUUAUGGGGUAAAUUGAGAAAUGGGGUAUUCUUUAAGGGGAUAAAAUGUGAUUAACCCUUGCUUAUAUCCGGUCUACAUAAACAUUAAGUUUAAGUGUUUCUCCACAAAUAAGCAUCUAAACUCAACCCUACAAGCAUAUAAAUCUGUGAUCUAUUGGUGCUCGAAUUUUUCAAAACAAAGUCAAGUUGGCAGCUUACCUGUCAGGUCGUUGCCUCCCAAAUAUAAACCUAUAAGCGUGGUUAGAUUCCAAAUUUCUCUUGGUAUAUAUCCUCCAAAUUUGUUGUAAGACAAGGAUAAAACUUGGAGUCUUGAGCAUUCUCCGAUGCCUGAUGGAAUUUCACCCUCAAUGUUAUUAAGUGAUAAGUAAAGCCCUUGAAGUUGUGGGAGAUAAUCGCAGAUACGUGCUGGAAGGUAACCCGAUAAGCUAUUAUUCGUAAAAGCAAUUCUUUGCAAUGAAGAGAGGUUAAACAGAGCUUGUGGCAGAGGGCCUACAAGUUGGUUAUGUUGAAUAUCCAAAACUCUCAAUUUUGGUAGAGCUCUAAAUUCUUCUGAAAGGCUUCCUGUAAAGAAGUUACCAUCCAACCCAAUGACCUCUAGCUUUGUCAAAUUAGAGAGCCUGCCUGACAAUGAACCCGAAAAUCUGUUGUAUUCGAAGUUGAUGUACCAGAGUGCACUCAAACAUCCCAACCAUGAUGGAAAUUUCCCUUCAAAGUCAUUGCUUGCAAGGUUGAUGUACUUCAAUCGAUGGAGACGAGAUAGCUCGGUUGGAAGAUGUCCAUGAAAGCUGUUAUUUCUAACAUUUAGCCAGACUAGGAAAGAAAGAUUUCCCAGUUCUGGAGGUAUAGUUCCUGCAAUUCCCAUGUAAGAAAGGUUGAUGGCUGCGACUCUUUGAUGGCGAGUGUUACAAGUGAUUCCAAUCCAGUUGCAAAAAGAGGUAGAAUUGGACCAGUUGGUUGGGAUGAUCCUUUGAGGGUCGAAAAUGGUGGUUUUGAGGGCUAGAAGUGCAUUCAGUUCAACAGUGUUGUUAUGGUUGCCGGUAGCAAUUAUGCUAGCUGAUAGGUUGCAAUUUUAUCAUUUAUUUUAUUAUUAAUUUCCCCUAUUACCUGACUUGAUGUGGAUUAAUUGUUGGAUUCUAGUCAUUUUUCGUAAUUUGCAUUUAUUUCAGGGAGUAAAUAAAAAAUACCACAAUCAACGCCACUUUGACAAUCAUCGGGAAAAACAUUGAAUAGAAGGCUUGAAAGGGCAUUUUUGGAAAAAAGGGACACAAGCCCUUUCCGGUCAUUUUGGGCCGAAAUGUUAUUUCCCCUGGAGGCCGCUGCACAGGAAGGAAUUAGAGUAGGUUUUUAGAUAGGAAAUAAAGUAGAAAACGGAGAGAACUACUUAGCUUAGUUUUCUUUGACUUUUUCUUUUUCGUCAUCUAAUGGGGACUUGUCCCUUUUUAGCUUUGAGUAGUAGUUUUCUUUUCGGCCGUACGUAGGAGAAGCAAACAAACAAUAAAGUACCUCCUGUAGCUUAUUUUCUCUAUUAAAGAUAACGAAGUGCAUUCGCUCAUUUGGGAACUGAUGGCCGCAACUCUUGCUUUCAUUUCUCAUGGGUUUUGUUCAUCAAUUAUGAACUAAAUUUCCUCGCUCUAGUCAAGAGACAACGGAUGCUUUGGGUCAUCUAAAAUUGUGAGAUCGAUUUAAUUUUAUCUUUUUCUUUUAUUUAUUGGUAUUCGCAUAUUCUUGAUUUCAGUACUUAUGGUUAUUUAAUUAAUUGAUUGUCUUGAAUCCGAAUAAUUAGUUAAUUUAGUAAUCUAUUGUCAAUUAGGGCAUUAAAUCUGUAAUUGUUUAAUUGUCUUGAUAUAGUGACAACUAGCAUGAUUGGAUUUGUGCCAGAAAAAUACGCGAGCUAAUCUGAAAUAACCCUAGUAGUGCGUUAUUUGGUUAGAAUAGGGCUCCUCUAAUACGUAAGGCAAUUGGGGAAUUAAUCUUAUGAGCGUACCUAGGAUUAUUUCUCAAUUAGAACAGUGAUUAACGGGUGUACCUUAAUCACCGACACAGUAAGGAGGGUUGACUGUCAUCGCUUGUUUGGUAGUUAUAACCUAUUUAUUGAUAAAUAAUUAGAAUUGCCUUUGUUUCGAUGAUCAAUUAGGUGCACCAUUACUGAAGUUAUUUCUUGGCUAGAUCCUUAAUUAUCACCAUUUGAUUUUAGUAAAUUGUUAUUUAAUUUCUAGUUAGCUAUUUUAUUUUUAUUAUUUUACUUUUAGUUGAAUUGCUUAAAUUGUCACCUCUGAUAUAAAAACACCCCUCCUUGUCACUGUGAAUUUGAAAAGAAACAAUUACUCCCAAUCCCUGUGGAUUUGACCCUGUUCACCGCUAUCUACAGAAAUUAUUUUUAGUUUGAGCAGGUUUUUAUUAUUGCACAGGUUGACAACCUGUCAAUUUUUGGCGCCGUUGCCAUUGACAACCUGUCAACCAGUCCCUGCCAAUUGUUUCUGCUAGUCGCUGUAAUUGUUAGAGCUUCUUUCUCUGGUUACUUGAGUUGACAGUUUGAGGCCAUGGUUAGAUCGAAAUCGUCUUCGAGGUCCAGAACCUCUCGCUCUCAGCCUCCACCUCAACCCUCCGUUUCGGUCAAUAUCCCCAUCAACCAACCUAUCGCCGUUGGUGUCCGAACCCGGUUAGGCAGGGGUAGGGGUGCCCAUGUGGCCUCCGCCACUCAUCUUGGAGCGCAUUUGGAGUUCACUAGGCCCGCCGAUCAGCGGCGCUAUGUUCAAGCCUGUGAGCGGCGUAUCAUUCGUCCAAGUGCGCGGACAACAGGACUAUGGCUUUUAUGGGCAUCCAAGAGGAGGUCGAGCGCAUGUACACCACCAUUGGAUGGCGCUCCUAUCUCGCUAUCUUCCAGCCCGCCUUUGUCGAGUUGACUAGGGAGUUUUACUCCACUUUUGAGUUCGAUUUACCUGCUAGGUAUACGGUUGAGACUCCCAACGUCAUCCAUUUCCGUCUCAUGGGUCAAGAAUUCGAUAUUUCUAUUACCCAGUUUAAUCUGGCUUUUGGUUUCAUCACUCGGGAGUACUCUGAAACUAGGGAAUACGCCGAGAGUGCCUGCGAUUAUGUGGAGCCUUUUCUUUCCGCCUACCGUGAGGUGUGGGAGGACAUGUCUGUCGACGGACAGCGUUAUGACCCCUCUCAGUCGCGGAGCUCCUUUCUUGAGGACCCGAGCGCUCGAUAUAUUCAGCGGCUCUUAGCAUACAGCUACUCAGGUAGAAAAGACAGUUCCGGUAUUGUCUCUCGGCCGGAGCUCUUCUUCCUUUGGUGCAUGAAGAUUGAUUACAAGGUCAAUUUGGAGUGUUGGUUGGCGGCACAGUUCAAGUCCGUUAUGGCAAAGAAGAACAAACCCUUGAUCCUUGGGUCGUAUAUCACGCACUUGGCGGUCCAGCUAGGCGUUCUGAAUCUACAGGAUCAUAACCUCCACUUGACCUGCGACAUGGAAUCUCUAAACGCCGAACGCUUGGAGAGGAUGGGGAUUCUGGAGCUCGUCGAUGGCCGCUACCGUUUGGUUCCCCCGGGACCACCCCGCACCCCACCUCGCCCCUCUUCUGCCCAGUCAGCCCCAGUUGGUAGCGAUCCCGACCCAUCUGUCGCGCCCCAUUUUUCGAAUGGAAACUGUGUGAUCAUGUGUUGUGUGUGGUGUGAGUGUGUGUGAUAUACAUGUGAACGUGUGCGGAAUGAAAAGUAAAAGGCCAUGGGACUUAGAAUGCGAUGAUUUGGCCAAGUGAAGUUCAAAAGGGUUUUUUGUAUAAAAAAUGGAGUCGCCACUUGGUAUAGAGUUAGGGUGUACCAAGUCACCCAAAAAUGAUUUUUGUUUUUGAAUAAAAAAAGUAAAUAAACCCUUUUUGAGAACUUUUGGGUCUGCGCAACCAAAAGAGGGAUCGGGGGUCACAUUUGACGAAGGGGAAGGCAAGGAUAAAAAUCCAAGGCACCCCUUCGACCUAGCCAAGGCUAGUUGCGUGACUUAUACCAAUUUUCCUAAUUUUUCUACCCAAUGUAUGUUCGCACGUUGGAUAUGACUAUAUGAAUGCAAAACGGAAAGGAAAAUGCGAUCCUAAAUUCUACGAUGUCUCUCGUGAGGCUUUUGGUCCCAAACCACAUGAAUUGUGGCGGCCAACAAAGGAAAACCUCAUAGAGGUCGAUUAAUGCAAAUGAGACUCAAGUGUGCAAGUGUGAAAGUGCAUGAAAGAAAUUAAAAAUCCAAGUGUUUGUGUGCAAGUGUAUGAAAAGGUGCACGUGUGCAAUUGUAUGAAAAUUCCAAGUGUUUGUGUGCAAGUGUAUGAAAUAUAGUGAUAAGUACAUAUAGGUGUAAUUAAGUGCAAUUUUGUGAAGUAGAAAUCAAAGUGAACAAUAAGGAAAGGAAAAUGUGAAUUGAAAAGAAUGAGUAAGUGAUAAAUGAGAAUGAGUGAACCUAAGGGAAUGCACCAGGUCGGGUAUGGGAAUGACUCCUAACUUUUCCGACUUCGAUUUUCCCUUUGAUUAGAAGGCGAAACUAGCGUGCUAAGGCUAUCGAAUAGCCACACUCGCUCGUUUCCCUUAUCAGAAGGGGACUCUCAAGCAAAAUGAACCCUAUAACUAGUAUGGGAUGCAAAACCUAAGAAUGAGGGGAAAGGGGUUCGAGGAUCAUGCCAAAUGAUAAAACUAAGAAAAAUGCGUGAUAUGUGGUGAACAAGCAAAUGAUAUGCUAAUGAGGGGAAAUCCCUAAGGGUCUAGCGUUGGACUAGCCCAUUCUAUGAAUUCCGACUAGCGUUGGACUAGCGGAAACGUACAUUCAUCCAUUCCAUUCAUUCAUAGCCAUGAAAGCAAGUAGACAUGCCAAAACACUCGUAAACACGUAACACGUAACACUUAGCAUGCUCGACUAGAUGCAAGGGCCUAAUAAAGCAAUUAAACAUGUUGCAACAAAAACAAGCAACCAAGGGGAAGGGGAAAUGGACCAGAUGCUCUCCGAGCCCUAUCUAUUACAAGCCAAGAGGUGUACACAUACCCCAUAAAAAGCAUAAAGGGGAAGGGGAAAUGGACCAGAUGCUCUCCGAGCCCUAUCUAUUACAAGCCAAGAGGUGUACACAUACCCCAUAAAACUUAAAUGAAAUAAAAAGCAAGUAAAUGCACGCAAGGAGGUAAGGAAAGCGGAGUAGACAUGCAUAUUCACAUAACACGUAGGAGCACGUAGGGUCAAAUGAAGUGCAAAUGAAGGAUAGAGUGUACCUCCCUUGAAGCGACGCCCUAACGUAGUGAAAUUACUAACUUACCCUCCAAAAUAAUAAAAAGGUCAAGGUACCACUUAAAUUAUCAAAUAAUCACAUGAAACAAAAAUUAAAUAUGAAAAAUGAAAGUUAAACACUAAAUUGAGUCAAUUAAAGUAUUUACAUAGACAAACCAACUAUGUACAAAGCAAUUAAUGCAAGAGGGACUUAAUUAGAAGGACAUGAAAAUUUCUAAAAGAGAGUAAAAUAAAAUACCAAAAUUGAUGACUUAAGAUGAGACCCAUAAAAAUCAAAUGCAAAAAUGUGUUUAGAACACAAAUCCAAGCUAAAAAAUUCUAUUAAAACUUAUUGAACCUCAAAAUGCAUCCUAAAACUCACUAAACGUCUUACCCAAAAUCAUGUCAAAGCAAACCAAAAACAAUUAAGAUUCUAGAAUGACAAAAGUGAUUAAAUUAUUCAACUAAUUGGACCAUAACAAGGCAAGGGGGAACUUAGGGGGUUAAAGUGCAAGUGUUUUAGGACCUAAUUGCCAAUAAUUAAACAUAAUUGGGCCACAGCUAGAUAAGGGGAAACUCGAAGGAUCAAUGUGCAAAAUUCAAAAGUAUUUUCAUGCAAAACCCAUGCAAUCACGUAGAAAAACUUCCUGCAAUGAGACCAAUAAGACUGCUGCAUUCUUUGUUUCCAUUUCCAACACCGUGAUUCAGAUUUAGCCAAAACUUUUCUUGAUUUAACAUCCAAAACUUCAAACCAAACAACAAGACAUAAAUUUGCCAUUCAAACAAGCAAAAACCUGGGAAGAAAUCAUGCAAAUGUUAAAUCUGAAUCAUGCAAGACCAUGUAGAAGAACAAAUUCUUAUUUCUGCAACAUGAACUACGCAGCUGCCCACUUUCCAUUUUGCAUUCGGGAAUUCCUUUAAAUUUCUAGACCAAACCAAACGCAGUUCACACUCAACAACCCAUCACCACCUGAUGCUCUCACUUUACAAUGCAACAAAAGAAAUCAAUCAAACAAAAGGAGCCUACGAAGCAAAUUUUCUGCUGCAACAUUCAUUCCAGAAUUUUCUGCGACUAAGUUCUAGAUGCAAUCUCCUUUUCAUUCAAAUGCAACUCAUGUCUCUUCUAACGACAAAUAGAUCAAAGUAACAAGAUAACCAAGCUUUCUUUUAACUUUUCAACAUAAAAGUUUAUGUUUAAGCUCCAGAAAUUCAUACGAAACAGAAAUCUAGCAAGCAUCAAAUGACCAUAUUUUCAAAAUUUCUGCAUUUUUCAGUUAAUGUUGCUUCUGCAACUUUUAGCAACUUAUCAAGACAUGAAAACCAACUUUGAAGUUAAUCCAAGCAAACAUGGCUGCGCAUCCAAACGAACAAGGAACAUAAAAAGCAACAUGCAAAAAUUCUGGACACGAUGUUCAUGUGACAGUGGCUAGCAACCUGGAAUUCACUUUUCAUUAAGCAUCCGCAUAUGAUUCAAGCAUUUCAGCUUCCCCAAACAUGCAAACCCAACAUCACAACUUUAAACGGGGCAACCAAACUACACAAAACUUGAAAUGGAGUAUGAAGAUCAACAAGGAUUUCUUUUCACUCUUCAACACAAUAAUUAACAUAUACGGAUUCAAAUUGGUCGAGCAAAUCUGGAAAUGAAAUGCGACUUCCAGCUAUAGCAUUCAGGACAGCGUACGCAGCCAAUAAAAUCUAACAAAACAACAACAACAAACCUCAUGAACUCUCACGAAUCCCAUCAACCAAACCCAUAGGAAAAAGGUCUCAAACUACCCUUCCCAAAACCCAAACCAAAACUUCAGAACAAACUCAUUCGGCUUCAUGGAGCAAAGAGUGUAUGAAGAUUGACAGCUUUUGGAGGUCAUGCUGGAAUACAACAACAAGUGCCAAUCUACCAGUAAUCAUCAAAUUAUGGCCCAAAAGAGGAUUACAAAUUUCAUUCUUAAUCCAAAACUUCAGCAACCAAAUAUAAAGCUCUAAUCUUGUGCGGGGAAAAAAAAUGAAGCAGAAAACAUGCGAUGAGCUGUCCCAGAGGGAAAGACUUUGAUUAAUGUACUCUACCUGCUCCUACUCCCUCUUUGCAACAAAGAAAAACCGUUGCUUAAUACAAAAAAAACAUGAAUCCGAGCCUCUCCUUUUUUACCCAAAUGCGCAAAAUAGCCAAUAUAAGGAAAGAAGAAAAUGAAAGAACGUGGCAACGUCUGUAGCAUUGGAGGUUUUGCAGCUUAUGAUGUAAAUCUUAUAACCCAUGAACAUAAGAGAAGGAAAGAUUACCUUUAGCAGUUUUGGAGCUAAACCAAAUCCAGAUCCUUGCACAAUGAAUCUCUGCGAAACCUUUGCUUCCUUCACCAACCAGCUUUUCCUUCUCGACCCAAAAGCUUGCCCUUUUUACUCCUCCGAAGCCCUUUUUAUCGUUGGUUUCUUUCCUCACUCAGCCGUAAACUUGCCCCAGAUUUCUUCUAGUUUUUAUUCCCGUUUCCCCAAGCUUUUUCCGCAGCCAAUCCCUCUUUCUCUCGGUCUCUAUUUCUUCAAGACUCCACCUUUCCCUCUCAAUCUCUCAGCUCUCCGUUUUUCUUUUAGCCGUUCCUUCUUGUUCUAGAUUUUUCCCCCUUUCAACCCCUAGCCGCUACGUAGCCUUCUAGUUUUCCUUUUUUCCGUUCCCGAAUCUUCUCCCCUCAGCUGCUAACUCUCUCCCCCGUCACUCUUAGCUCUUCCUGCGGCUGUUCUUUUUCCUUGGCUUUUAUAUGGGACUCAAGGCUACUAACCCUCACCCCAAUGGUGAGGAUGAAGGGCCUGUCCUUCCUUCACAUCCAGCCAUCCAAAGGACCCUCUGAGAUUGCGCUUUGCACGCUGCAAAAAUUUGCAGCGUGCAUGCCGCGACUCUUUUUUUUUUUUUUUUUUUUUUUCCAACUUAAUAAAUACAUAAUAUAAAUAAUAAUAAUAACAAAAUGACAAAAACCAUGUAAUAAUAAUAAGAAUGAAAACAAAUAAAUAAAAACAACAAAAAUGUCCAUUUUUCAAUUUUUCUUCAUUUUUCCUUUUUUUUUUUUUCACAAUAACUUAAUAAAAAUAACUAAGGUGCAAAAAGGUUGAAUGUAAAGAAAUAAACAUAUUUUUGUGAACCAAUUUUUUUCCUUUCUUUUCCAUUGUUUUUUCCAAGAAACCUAAAAACCUAUUGUUUUGAAUUUUUCUUUUCAAGAAAGCAUUGAAUAAAAACAAAAUGACUACAACAUAUUUUUGAUGUUUUCCUUUUCUUCUUUUUUUUCUAAAAACUCUACGCUAAUUUUAAACUUAAAAGCUAAAACUAAAAAUUAAAACUAAAAGUAAACAACGAAUGCAAGCAAUCUAAAAUGAAAAUCAUGAAAUAGAUGCCACAUAAAAUUAUUCAAAAUUUGGUGUCUACACCAUCGACAUCCGCUCACCCCCUUCCGCCGCCAGAGGCUGAGGACUGGCGCCAGCUACGGACGCAGGUUGCGAACUUGGAGGCCUGGAUGAUUAACAUCGACAACAAUGUGGCUGCUUUGGCACAGAAUUAGACAGCAUUCAUGCAGCACUCGGAUUUUCCACCCACAACACUACCUCACCCUCCACUUUGACCCGAUUCCAGGGGAGUGUCGUUGCCCUCUCUUCUACUUUUUGAUGUUACCUUGCUACAUUGAGGGCAUGUAUUGUUUAGGUGUGGGGGGGAUUGGAUAUUGUGAUUCUCAUUUUUAGUAAUUUUUAGUUUUUAGGAGUUUCCUUUAUUUUUAGUUUGUUUUUUGUUUAUUUACAUUCAGUCAUUUUCUUGCUUUCUAGUGAUGAGUUGUCAUGUGAAUGCCAAAUUUGCUGAUUAUUGCCUCUAAUGCUACUUUUGCCAAGUUUUUUUUAAAAUAGAAGUGUAUCGAGUUAAUGUGGUUGAGUCUAAGGCAUCUCCUUGGUGAAUAUCGGACUGCUUGACUUUUUUUGAUUUCUUUGUUAACUUUUCUAGGCAUAGGGAAUCACUGUUGGCGUUUUAAUGUGAAUUGGUCCAAUAUUGACUCUAACUCUCCAUGUUUGGCAAUAAUGAGGCGAGCUGCUCCUAUUGUUGGUUUUUAGUAUUGUUUUGCGUUUUUCAAUUGUUUGGCUGUGAAUAAACUUGACUGUACACCACUAUUAGUUACUACUGAGUAACCGGGCUCCUUCAUUUAAAAAUGUUGGAGUUCGCGUCAAAAGGCUCUAAUGGCUAGAGACUAAGUCUUUUUGUGUUAUUAAAAAAGAGGGAGGGUAAUGAAAAAAAGGAAAAAGGAAAACAAAAAAAGUGCUGGUUGUGUUAGUAUGUUAGAGGUCAGCUUGCCGAUUUAUGGACUGAAUAUGGAGAUUUUGGUUAGUAUUUGGAUUGUUUGUUGAUAAAUGUUAUGCGCCAUUCCUUUUUCUUAGAUUAGCUAAUUUGGAAAUUGGAGGAGUUUGUAAUUUAGAGGCUAACUGGGGGGAUACUUCUCGGAUUUUAAUCACUAGUGCUCGAUAUAUGUUUUUUUUCUUGAUAUCUUGGCAAUUCGGUAGAUAGGGCAAUAACCAUUGUCAAAUUUUGGUGUUUGUGUAAUUUUCUUAUGCUUAAGGGCAAUCAUGGUUUAGCUGUGGGGGGAAUUGAUAGGUUGCAAUUUUACCAUUUAUUUUAUUAUUAAUUUCCCCUAUUACCUGACUUGAUGUGGAUUAAUUGCUGGAUUCUACUCAUUUUUCGUAAUUUGCAUUUAUUUCAAGGAGUAGAUAAGAAAUACCACAAUCAACGCCACUUUGACAGUCAUCAGGAAAGAAAUUGAAUAGAAGGCUUGAAAGGGCAUUUUUUAAAAAAAGGGACACAAGCCCUUUCCGGUCAUUUUGGGCCGAAAUGUUAUUUUUCGUGGAGGCCGCCGCACAGAAAGGAAUUAGAGUAGGUUUUUAGAUAGGAAAUAAAGUAGAAAAUGGGGAGAACUACUUAGCUUAGUUUUCUUUGACUUUUUCUUUUUCGUCAUCUAGUGGGGACUUGUCCCUUUUUAGCUUUGAGUAGUAGUUUUCUUUUCGGCCGUACGUAGGAGAAGCAAACAAACAAUAAAGUACCUCCUGUAGCUUACUUUCUCUAUUAAAGAUAACGAAGUGAAUUCGCUCAUUUGGGAACUGAUGGCCGCAACUCUUGCUUUCAUUUCUCGUGGGUUUUGUUCAUCAAUUAUGAACUAAAUUUCCUCACUCUAGUCAAGAGACAACGGAUGCUUUGGGUCAUCUAAAAUUGUGAAAUCGAUUUAAUUUUAUCUUUUUCUUUUAUUUAUUGGUAUUCGCAUAUUCUUGAUUUCAGUACUUAUGGUUAUUUAAUUAAUUGAUUGUCUUGGAUCCGGAUAAUUAGUUAAUUUGGUAAUCUAUUGUCAAUUAGGGUAUUAAAUCCGUAAUUGUUUAAUUGCCUUGAUAUAGUGACAACUGGCAUGAUUAGAUUUGUGUCAGGAGAAUAUGCGGGCUAAUCUGAAAUAACCCUGGUAGUGCGUUAUUUGAUUAGAAUAGGGCUCCUCUAAUACGUAAGGCAAUUGGGGAAUUAAAUCUUAUGGGCGUACCUAAGAUUAUUUCUCAAUUAGAGCAGUGAUUAACGGGCGUACCUUAAUCACCGACACAGUAAGGAGGGUUGACUGACAUCGCUUGUUUGGUAAUUAUAACCUAUUUAUUGAUAAAUAAUUGGAAUUGCCUUUGUUUCGAUGAUCAAUUAGGUGCACCAUUGCUGAAGUUAUUUCUUGGCUAGAUCCUUAAUUAUCACCAUUUGAUUUUAGUAAAUUGUUAUUUAAUUACUAAUUGGCUAUUUUAUUUUUAUUAUUUUACUUUUAGUUGAAUUGCUUAAAUUGUCACCCCUGAUAUAAAAACACCCCUCCUUGUCACUGUGAAUUUGAAAAGAAACAAUUACUCCCAACCCCUGUGGAUUCGAUCCUGUUCACCGCUAUCUACAGAAAUUAUUUUAGUUUGAGCAAGUUUUAUUAUUGCACAGGCUGACAACCUGUCACUAGCUGAGCUAGUUGUGACAAAAUGCAACACGACCAAGGCUCCAGCGAAAAGAAAAUAAGUUCUCUGCAUUGCUUAUAGAGGUAAAUAAAAGUUGAGGAAUGGCAAACAAAUAUAGAACAUAGGCGUACGUAGUGACUUUGGGCAGGACCUAUAUAGACAUAUGCUUGGGGUUGAUUUAAUAUAAGACUGACUCUAUCUUUGAGACAUAGGUUUUUAAAUUGUCACAAUUUGAAACUAAGCAAAAAUAUCAGCUAUUAACUCAUAAGUCUGGAAGUGUCAUUUGUACCCUGCGGCCGACAAGUGUCAUAAAAGCUUUUCCUGAGUCAAUAGUUUCCCUUAAACAACAGUUUUUUUUUUUUGUUCGUUUUCUUUAAUUUCAUUUUAUAAAAGGUGUCCUAUAAAUGCUAACAAUUAGUUUCCUUAUAAAAGUAUACCAUUAAUAUAUAAUUUAGUAUACAAUCGAUAUUACUUUUAGAUAACAAUUAAGGAAACAUUGCUUUUUCUUUUUAAGUAUCCUAUAACAAACUAAUACUUAGUUUCCUAGAUUACUAUAUUACUGCAACUUCCAAGUAGCAACUAAGGUAAUACCAAUGUUUUAAAAACCGGACCGUUAAUUGAACCGGUGAAGUGAAAGGGUCGAGAUUCAACCGGUCGGACCGGUUCAACCCCGGUUCAAUGAAUUUUUUAAAAAAUAAUUUAUAUAAAUAUAUAUAUGCACAAAAUAAGACAUGUAAUGGAUAAUUUAAUACUUUAUAUGAUGAAAAGUUUACUAUUUUUGAAUAACCUGGAUUUUUAAAAAUAAAUUUUUUAAAUUAUAAGUUAAAACAAAUAAAUUUCAUCUCAAUUUCAAUUAUAUCUAUCAAAAAAAUCUUAAAUCCAAUCCAAAAAUAUCACAAUAUUUGAAAUUAUACAAAAUUCACGUCUAUAAGAAUUUAGACAUUGUGAACUUAAAUUUUAAUUUACAUUUUGGAAUUUAAAUUUACAAUUUAAAAAAGGAAGUUUGGAGUUCGAAGAAAAUCAAGAGAAUUGAAAAUAGAAAUGCAAAUUUGAUAAGAAACAAAAAAUGAGAUAAAAGUGAGUGGUUGUGGUAUUAAAUAAAUUGGAUUAAAGAAAAAUAAUUCUUUUUUAACUUUUUUAAAUUUAAUGGACAAAAACAAAAUUAAAAUAUGGAAGAAAACAUCAAUAAAUUAAAAAUAAAGAGGUUUGAUUAAAAAAUGAGUGGCAAAAGAAAAGAUGAUAGAGAGAGAUAGAAAGAGUUAAAGAUUAAAAAGAAAGAGCCAUAAAAGGAUGAUAUUUUGUAAGAAAAAUGGAACAAAAGAAAUAUGAGUAUUUGUUUUAUAUAAAUAAGUUAUCAAAAAAAACUAAUAAGAUGUGAUGGUGCAAUAGUUACUACAUUGGUCCUCUAUUACAAAGGUCUUGAGUUCGAAUCUUAAUAACUACAUUUUGCAAAACUAAAAAAAACUAAAAAAAAAAGAGUGGAAAACUCAAAAACCGGAAAUAACCGGUUCAAAUCCGGUUCGGCGGUUUCGCGGUCCAACCGGUUUUUGACCGGUUUCUUGACAAAGUCAAACCUAGCAUUGAACCGGACCGGAGCCAUGGCCGGUUCGCGGUUCGACCGGUCGAACCGGCCGGUCCGGUCCGGUUUUCAAAACACUGGGUAAUACUAUACUAAAUGCAUAGGAAAUCAAAGACAAACGAAAGAUAAUUCAACUAUCAAACAAUUUGAAAAAGUUUCGAACACAGUUUUGAAUGCCUCGGAUUGUUAGUAAAUACAGUGGCAUAGAAUAUAAUUUUCAUAUUUUAUUUUAUACUUUGUCUUUAUUAUUAAAAACAUCUUAUUUCUAGUGAUCGUCGGUUGUAAUGUCAUUUUACAUUUUUAUUCAAUAUAAUAUUUUUUUGCUAUUAUACCUUCAAGGGUUUGCCUUCCAAAUUAAAAACCUAGGUCCAUCACUGGUAAUAAUUAUGAAGAAUACUAAAUCUUUUGUCUUGUCAUUUUAGUGUAUUUUCUCCUAGUCUAUUGGUGGUAAUCCUCAUUUAUCAUCCCAUCCUAAUUUUAGUAACAUUCUCAGUUUUAACCUUACUUUCUUUAAAAAAAAAUUGAUUCUAGGGGUCCUCGACUAGCUUUUUUUUUUUAUGUAUUCUUCAACUUUUGAGCAAUUGAUAUGACAAGCAAUUCCGGUGCUUUAGCAUUCUAUGUGGCAAAAUUGAAUUUUGAGUAUAACAAUUUUCCAGGAAUGAUGAAAGGGAUACUGCUCCAAGUCAAGCUAAAAUUAGUGUGUUUGGAUUGAGAUGAUUUAAGAUAAAAUAAUUUGCUUCACAAAUUCCAAUUACCUUUUUAUCUUCUCAAUUACCUUUUUAUUUCAUAUACAUCACAUCACAAAAAGUGCUACAGUAAUUAUCUCAAAUAAAUCAUCCAAAUAAACUCCUAUCCAAACAAAUCAUUUAAUAUUGAAAAUCUCUAUACAAAAAUAUAUUGAAGGAUAAAAAAAGAUAAGAUGCAGAAAAGUGUUCUAGUCCUCCAUGGGCCUGCACCAGUCUAAGGCAUCCAUUCUCACACAAAGACACACCACUAUUUUGUCUGAGGCAUUCAUUGUGUCGAAAUACAAGCCAUAGUCAAGAAUUGGAGCUAUUCACUCAUUUGUGCUUGUUUCCGCCGAAGAGGGAUGGCAACCUAACAAGAGAAGCUAUUAAUGCAGUCUUUUUAGUUUUUACACGAAAGGAAGGCAGUUGACUGGAAACUCUUGUAUGAAUCUAGUCUACGGUAUAAGUGGGUUAAUCACGUUUGUACACGGAUAUAUCAAAUUCCCUCUAUUAAAAAAUCCUUUAAAGAAACCAUCAUUUUCACUUAAUAUAUGAGGAAAUUCUUUAAACAAAUUCUGCUGGAAUUGUUUUAUAUCUUUUGUAGUCAAUGUGAGACAGAGUAUCUAUUUUUUUUUCCACAAAUAUGAUAGGCUUUUGAAAAAAAAAAUUUUUUGCUGGCUAUCAAUCGGUAACUUAUCUCUAAUAUAAGGGUAGCUAGCAAAGUUUUUUUUUAACUAACCAAUAAUUUAGGUUAAAAAAUUAUAGUCCAGAUACUAAAAUGGAAUAAAAAUAUGUGCGAGCCUAUGCAACAAAAAAAAAAGAAAAAUCAAGAGUAUUAUUGUUAUUUGACUAAAAAAUACUUCACUUCAUUAGGGACGAUUAGCAUUCAUUGUAGGUUUCGAAAGUGGCGCCAAAAUAAAUUAGGAUCUAUACCACAAUACACACUGAACUUCAAAAGGACAUACGGCAUUUAACCUUAAGAAUUUACUGGACAAGAACAGAAAUUUUCCAAAAAAAAACUUUUGCAUUGCUCCUAGAGGGUUGAAUUUGGAAUGAAAACUUAAAUUCAAAGAGUGUCAAGACCGUCGUCUACAUGAGGUGCAAAAAGUUGAAACAAAAUCAAAGUUUUUUAUACAGCAAUCAACAUUUAAAAUUUAUUUAGAUGAUCUUUCCUAGAUUAUGUAAAGUUUUAUAUUUUUUUCCAUUGAAAAUUAUAUUAUUCGAUUAGUUUACACUUAAGAAAAAAUGAUGCUCUGAAAAAUUUAUGAUUGCAUUUCAAGGCUUAAAUGGAGAAUAAGAGUAGAUAUUGGAGAUAAGGUCCAAUUCAUAUGACAUCAAAUUGACGAUUUUGUAAUGAGUCUUCACUUCAGAGCUCAAAAUGAAUAACUAGAUAUAUAGAUAGACUGUCUAUAAUAAUACUUGAUUAAGAUAAGAUCGUUAAUCAAAUAAUUGCAGCAUCUCUGGUAAUUCACUCACCAUUGGAAGUUAUGAAGUCUCUUUUAAACUGGAGAAAGAAUGAUUAAAUAAAUCCAAUAAGCAGAUAGGACGUCUAGCAGCUUAACAUCUUCUCUUUUACUUUUCUUCCAUUGUUUGGAAGGGAAACAAAGAAAGAGAAAUGGAUUUAACGCUUGAACCCUAAAGAAUGGUGUAUACCCAUUCACUGUUCAAAGAAUUUACAAUUGGUCUUCUUCACGAUAUCAUCCUUCAGUGCAGAACCAGUAGUCUUGCUUAAGACUCAAGAUGGUUAUUGUAAUGUCAAAUGACUUUCACUCAAAUGACUUGGGACAAAUUGCUGUUUAGAAUACUGCAUAACUUUAUUGUUACUUGGAAAAAGACCCCGUUGGUGACCAAGUCCAAAUGCAAGGCAUAAAUUUUCCCCUGCAAGUAGGAAAGGACCGAAAUACAAGUAAUUCAAGACCAGCUAUUAAUUAUCAUAUACGAAGACUCUUUUCUAAUUUACUUUUUUUUGUGUUAAAUUAACUCUUCUAUACCUUUUUUUUAAUCUUUUGCAGCUGAUUGUUUUGUAAGGUAAUCGGUAUCACAAGCAAACCUAUAUUUGGCCAUAAUCGAUGUUUGAACAUCUGAAUCUUCCACCAAUGAUAGAAUGGAAUAUGGACGUUACUCCAUGCGAAGAUAAAUAUCUUUAUAAUUUGAGCAAAUUCCAUAUGAAAUUAAAGCAGGUGUUUGGUAAAUGGGUAUGAGAGUGUGUGUGUGUAUAUAUAUAUAUAUAUUGUUUGGUAGUCCACUAUGGAAAUGAAAGUGUUAGAUUUUCUUCUUCAUCAUUUCUUACUUAUAGCCUGAAUUUCAAAUAAAUUAGCUCUUAAAUAGAAUGAAUUUCAUUCCACUCCUUAACCAGACAAGUAAGGGAAAAUAACCAAGAUGUAUACUCAUAAUGAGUUUUGCAAUUCCAUUCUCAAUUUUGAUUCCAGAAUUUGAAUCAAACACGUCCUAAAUGGUAAAAGAAGAGAAGACUGAAGACUUGUUCAAGUGUUUUAAUUAUCCUCUUAACUGUCUCACCUCGUGAGGGGCCUUUAUUCGUGUAAGCGUCUAUUAUGUGGAAAGAAAAAAGUUGCACAAAAAAACUUCUCACCCGGUCCCAAGUCAAGAAUUGACGCGUUAUUCAUUUAUUUCUGCUAUUUCCUUUCAACAAAGACCACAAACUGAGAAGGGAAGCUAUUAAAGUUUGCGUUUUCCAAUUGACUAAAAGGCAUUGGACCAUAACACUCUUGAAUGAAUCCAGUCCGCGCUUAACCUAUUAAUGUGGUGGAGCAUAGAAUGAUAGAAGAUGAUAGAUUCAUCGUGGAUGGCCUGCUUCCGUUCAUUGGUUAAUGGUCGGAAUCGUAAAUGGCUCCACGUUACUAGAAUUUCCCCAACUGGACUUUAAUUAUCUUCUACCCCACAAAUGCAUGGAAAAUCUAACAUUCACUUUUGUGGAUUCAUCUAAAACAAAAUUUGUGAGAACGUCUUCUUAGAAGUGAGUAGUCCUACAGCAUUGGUGUAACGGUAGAUUCAAGACUUCAAAUUGUACGCAAUUAAGUAUUGCACGUAAACAUGUUUUAAAAAAAUCCGGGGAUCGUUUGCAAUUUAUACUGUUACAUGUAAUGUCUCCAAAAACUUUAAGAACUCAUAAAUUUUGCUUUUUUCACUAUGUAUAAUGUUACGUCAAUAUUGAAUUUUGUUUUUGUUAAAAACUAACCUGAAGUUUUGGAUUUUAUUUUGUGGGGUGAACCACUUAGGGAGCUCCUACACUAUUCCAAUGAUCAACUAUUGGUCCUUUAUCUAUUUCAAAUAUUGAAUUGGUCCCUCAACAAUAAAAAAGUGUCAAAAUGAUCUCUUAAUUCAUUUCUACCGUUAUAUAUAUCCAUGUAUUUUCAUCAGGAUGAUGCCAAAGUCUUUAUUUUCGAAAAAAAGACUUCAACAAUAAUGCCGAGGACUUAAAUACGGGGAAUUUAAAGUCUGCAACAUGGCCUGAGUCAUGUGUGUGAUGUAAUUAGACGGGAUAAUUUCAAAAACCUCCCCUGAGAUUUCUAAUAAUUUCACUUGGCUCCCCUAAGAUUUCAAAAAUUACACCUACAUCUCUUGUCCAUUUAAAAUGACAGCACUAUCCUUAAUAUUUUUAAUAAGACUCUUUCGUUGCCAUGUUUAUGCAAAGGAUGGAUUUUAUUAAUUUUUUUACCUUUUUCCUUCCUAUUCAUUUCUCUUAUAUUUCAUUCGAAGUAUAGAAGAACUAUCAAUGUUGUCCCGAAUAUUUAUCCAAAUUAAACUUUAAACUAAUAAUAUUUUUUUGAUAACUUUUAAUAUCCUCCAAUUUUUUUUUGUAGCUCUUUUCUUUGGUAUCAAAAUCAAGGAUAAGUCAACAAUGAUUAAAACAAAAUGGUCCAAAAUCACUACCAAAUUAUGAUAGUUCCACCACUAAACUAGUUCAUAAAUUUUUAUUAAAAAAAUAGUCGAUAAACUUUAAAAGAAACAAAAUAGCACUUUCUUCUCUAUCAUAAAAAGAAUUUAUUUUCCUAGUAAAGUAUUAUGAAAAAUACCAUAUUACAGCAAAAGAUUUAUUGUUAUAAUUAAUUAUCAAAUAACAAAUAUUGACAUGAAAAACUUGACACUCUUUUUGUUUAGAAAAAUAAAUUGAACUUUGUAAGAUAAGAACAUUUUAAGGUAUUUAUUAAAAUUUUUACUCUAUUUUUUGCUCAGAGUCUAUAUGCAUUUCAAUCAUUCACUUGAUAUUUCCUGCCUACCAAGGAAGAUUUAUUCCUCAUGUUGGACUUCGUGGUAAGCAGAUUCUUCUUUCCAGAUAGUGAUACAUAGUUAUGGAGACUUUUAAUCACCCUUUCUUGUCAUUUGAGUCUAUUUUCCCCUAAUCUUGACGAAGACCACAAGGGUCGAAAUCCAUGUCUCUUCUUUCCAUCCGACUUUUCUAAAGUGAAGUGUAGAGAAAGAUAAGUAAUUAUCUGAGUUUUCUGGCUCCCAGUCUGUAGGAGAUAAAGACCUUACACUACCAUCACUAACUUGACUUAGGCCUGUAGCAAUUAUUUUCUUUUUUCUUAUAUCCUUCCUAUUAAUUGGAUGGAAAGGAGCGAGAAAUAGAUUCGAGAUUUUGACCCAAAACCUAGACCUGCUAAAGGUCUUAACCUUUCCCCCUCCCCCCCAAAAAAAAGAAUUCUUCCCGCUGUAGUUGUUAUCUUUUUUCUUACAUGCCUCUACAAUUUCAAGUUCGAAUUGCACCAUGAACUCUAUCAUCACUUGUGUGUGUGUGUGUGUUUGUGUGUUUUUUUCUUUCCAAUUAAUUGCACCAUGCAGCAUCCUUAUUUCUUUCUCUUUGUAACCAUAGUGGAUAUGUGGAUGAAAAGCAUACUUGGUUUUGAUACAUGUCCACCUUAAUUGUGUGUAGUGAAUAGAGCUGGCAAUUUGUCCCAAGUCCCAAUGGGCUACCCAUGCCCAAAGGAACUUUGGGCGGGAUGGGUAUUAUAAUUUGGUAUUGGGUUUAAGUUGGGACACAUCCCAACUAUACCCAUUAAUGAAUGGGAAAGGAUGGGAAAUACUUGGGUACCCAUUGGGCUCAAAUGGCAAGGGCUCCGUUUGGAUUAGCUGUUUUUGGUAGGUGUUUUUGAAAUAUUUUAUUGUAGCAGUGUAUAUGAAAAAUUUGUACUAUAAAAUUUUUUUGAAAUAUUUGAAAUAUUAAUAUGGAUGGGAUGUUUCUUGAGUUAUUGUAUAUUAAUGUAACAUUGUAUUUGAAAAACUUAUUUUUUGAAAAAAAAAGUCAAUCCAAACGGAAUCUUAGAUUCAAAAAUUAUCUUUAACAAUUUUUAUAGUCAUACCAGCGAAUAUAAUCUAGUAGUCUUCCUAGUCAUUAUCCACAAGAAUUUCCAGCAUUUCAGUUAGUUUAGACCUGUCAUCCUUGGACAAUGAUAAGGAUAAAUAUUCAACAUCCUAAGGACCUUGGCCAUCUUGAUAUAUGUUGGAAUAUGGCUGUAUAUCUAUCUUUUCCUUUAUUUGUUAAUCCAAUUUUUGGUGGGAAUCUUGAGUAUAAAGCACUUGCAUGUUUAUUUAAUAAAACUAAAAGAAAUUUAAUAAAUCAAAAAUAUUAAAAUUAUAUUAAAAAAAAUGAAUUAAAGGAAAAAAAAUAUGUAGAAAAUGGAUUUGGGUAUUGGGCGGGAUCAAUCUAAACCCAUCCCAAAAUGAUCCCGCCCAAGUUAGUCCCAAAACACAUAUGGGUAAGGUUGGGCCCAAACCCAUAUGACUCGGUUUCAUCUCAAACCCAAGCAAAUCCCGCCCAUUUUGCCACCUCUAGUAGUGAAUAACUAUCAUUUUCAUUGCAUACCUUAAUUGUGUUAUUUUAGAUAAUUUGUAGCCAAAACUUUUUUUCACAUUUUUCAGUUUUGGCCAAUAAGUUUACACAGUUGACAGGAAUUUAUUGUAAAACUAUCAAUACCUUUGCCAAAAUUAGCAAAAUAGAAGAAUUACUAAACAACACCAAAAUCCAUUGAGAGAAUGCUUUACAAAAUACUAAAGCACUGAAUGGGCUCACUUGAAUCCUAUAGCCCAAACGUUUCUAACAAACAAACAGGAAAACAACCAUACAUGGAUCCAUGGCCCAUCCAUCCAUCAGGCAUCAAAUAUCCAGUGUGUCAUGGACUCUAUACGUUUAAGUCAUGAGUAUCAAAACUGAAAAUUAAACCUUACAGAAAUGCUAAGAAUAAAAACUAAUCCUAUAUUCCUCUGCGUAAAAUUUUUUUUUCUUUUUCUUUGAUGGUCUGAAGAAUAUUUUACGGACUUGUCAUGGAGAAAUAAACAGUAUUUCAGAAUCCAAAUUUGAUUCUAUGAGCAAUUAAUCAGCCAAUUUGGUGAUUGGAAGUAUAUACAAAUGUCUCUAGAACUAUAAUUAUUUUAACUCAUUUUUUAAAUUUGGAGAUUUAUAAUGUAGUUUUUAUUAUUUUUCAUAUUUGUUCUUUGAUAUCCGUGUAUGUUUGAUAAUGUUUUUUUUUUUUGUCAUUAGUGCAGAUUUUAAAGAAAUUAUGAUAUUUUAUUAAAAAAAAAACCCGGAGGGGAUGGAAACGGCUGAAUUCUUUUAAUCUCCAACGUCAAAGAAAAUGCAUGAAUGAAAUGUUCCCAAAUCACCUACAAUCUAGUGAAGAGCUCCAACGAAAGUAAUUUUUCAAAAUAGAGCUAUUUAACAAAUGUUCCCACACAAGAAAAAAUAUAUAUUCCCACAGCUCAAGGAGAUGGCACAUCGUUAUUAUUCACAAUCUCCUACCAUCGUCAAGACCAAUUACAAAUUUGGGCUUCAGGUAACCCUAAAAAAGUGUUAUUAAUUUCUAUUAGGUAGUAAUUGUUGGACAUGAAACUACUUUGCUCUCUCUGUUCUGUGCACCUUUAAAAUGUAAUUGAAAUAAAAUAAGUUUUUACCUUUCAAAAAAUAAAAUAAAAUACAAUAAGUUUUUUUAAAUCGACACUCGUUAACACAUCUACAUUCCACCCAAUCUAUCAUGUAUAUAUACAUACUAACAAUUACUACCAUCCCUUACAUUUAUACAUUUUUUCUAAUUAAUCCUUUUGCAUUUUUGUGCUUUUUUUAAUUAAUUUUAUAUUUCUAAAAAUCUAACACCUGAAAUACAUCUUAACGAGUGAACCAAUUGAGCACCCAUUAGACAGACAGAUAAAAUAAAGACAUGAAUCUAUAUGCCAUACGCAUGCUCUGUGUUUACAAAUACAUAUGCCUAUGUGUAUCUCUACAUGGUGAUAUCUAUCGACGAUCAAUUCGUUUCUCAUUUAUUUGAAAAAAUUGAAAAAGGGAAAGAUGGAUCAAUAACUGAAAGUAAAUAAUCAACUUAAUUGCUAUAUAUGUAUGUCAAACAAAAACACCAAGUAAAAUGCUUGGGCUUUCAUAACAUAUAAAAUGGGAUUAUGAACUUGAGGUCUCCAUAUCUGUAAACAAACUUAUUGGUAAAUAUAACAUAUCUCAUUCCUGUUUUGAACCAUAAGCAUUUCGGUGGUGCACAAAGUCAAGACAAAGAAUUCCCCAAAUACAUUUGCACCUCAGAACCCUGCAACGUAUUCAGGAGAAAAACGUAAAUGAAUGGUAAUCCUUGGAUUAAGCUUUUGUUAUACCGUAAGAUUGAAGAAAAAGUUGCUAUUGGGAUAUCACAUAAAUAAUGGGUUAUACCUGCUUCAAGGUGCGAUAUCUUUGAUAAACUGAAGUUUGAUCUUCUGGAGCGCUCUUAGAAUCUCUUUCAUGUUUAUUCUCUCCUCAGGAACAUAUGUUGUACAACUUAAACCAACUUGCAAGAUAGAUGAUAUGCAUUCAAUCUUCCUUUGUACCAGUCCACCUUCAUGAUGAAGUAAAUCUACAUCUAUAACCUGAAUGAUGGAAUCCGGUAAGCAAUCUUGUACCCAACGCCUGAGGCUUAACUCCUCCAUAAACAUCUUAUCCUUCGGCUUUCUUUUCGUAAAUGUUUCCAUCAAUGUAAUCCCAAAGCUGUAAGCAUCACUACUUGUUGAAACCAAUCCUUCCAAUCCAUAUUCUAGCAUCAGUGUUUGAAAAUCAUUGUCAAAGUCUUUUUUUAAAAGUUCUUAUAUUGCACAUACUGUACUAGUUGUUAAAGUUGAAACAUUAAUUUGAAUGACAUAAAAAAUUCGAAAUUGUAAUCAAGAAAAGUCACCUGGGGCAAUAUAUCCAAAUGUAGCAAGAGUCUUUGUUUGUACCACAGAUUCUCCAUCUCCCAACAACUUUGCAAUUCCAAAAUCACAAACAUGCCCAACCAUGUCUUGAUCCAGUAGAAUAUUGCUAGGCUUCAAAUCACGGUGAACUAUAGGAGUUGAAUAACCAUAAUGGAGAUAUUCCAAACCACAAGCCACAUCUAUCAUAACAUCCAAUCGUUGCUUCAUGUUUAAGAAAUGAUGGUUUGAAUGAAGCCAUUUCUCAAGGCAUCCAUUUCUCAAGGCUGAAAGAUAAGACCUGACACGCAGUCACUUUUAGGGAGUUUUUGUACAUUUGAUGCAUUAUCAAAAGUUCGUAAUUUUAACUGUAAAGCAAUUAAUCCGUGUAAUUAUCCAGGAAUUGUAUGUCAAAUGUUCAUGCCAUGUUUAAUUUGGUUCACUUUUUGGUGAUGGAUCACAUUCGGUUCUAUAUUCUGCUUCAGCUAAAGAGGCAUCAACUUACAGCUAAUUUUCUGGCAAUCCAAAUUCAUUAACCUUGGUAAACAAGAGGUUGUUGCCUUUUACUCUUCAUUUUUGUUAGAGAUUUCUUGUAAGUUAGAAGCAUUGGAUGCAUUAUUAGAAGUUUAGCCAAUUUGUAGUCAUGGCCUUCCCCUUGGGAUUGCCCCAACUUAGUUCCUUAAGGUUCAUAUUUGGCACAUGUUGCCUCUCAAGGUUAUUUUUGUGAGUAUAGAACCACAUUGACGAGUUUUAACUGAUACUUGUGGUUGGAAUUUGGAAUCAAGUAUGUCCUCAGUUGUUAAAAUACAUAUUUUCUCUACUAUAUUAUUUGUAUUUCAAUGUGCAAGUUAUCUAUCAGAUGUGCGCCUGUCAAGAAUAAAUUAAUUGAUUCUCAGUUUACAGUUCAAAAAGUUGAGUGACUAGAACAAUUUAGGCAAGGCCCAAUUAUUGGGGCAAGAGCACAACUACUUUCUUGAAUAUGUGAAGCCCACAAAAAAAAAAAGUGGGUAUUCAAGUCAUCAAAUCCUGAACAGAUUUGAGGUUGAAUUUUCUUGUUUAUUAAUUUUUGUGUUGCCGAAUUAAUACUCUUGUCCUUAACCAACUCAAAAGUUUGACCCAAUUAAGAAAUCAGGCAUGCAUAUUUAAAUAACGGCUCUGACAAGAAUCAAGGCAAUAUUCCCACAUUCCCUCUACUUUUAGCUGCAAUUGGUUACAAUAAUCAGAAAAAAAAAAAAAAAGACAAUCUCAAAAUGGAUGCAGCGGGUAUGAAAAUGAAGACCUUGAGACCGGUGGGAAGUCUACUUGAAGUGUGCUGAAUGUUCUCUUUUCUCACAUAUCCACUAUAUUUUCUUUAUGUGGAUUAUUCUUCCAGUGUUCAUACAAAUCUAGGACAAAUCAAAUUAAGGCUAACAAAUCUAAGUAGUAAGUAUCAUGUGUAUUAUAAUCUCCAAAGUGGGGGACAUGGAUCAAUCAGUUCAAAAUGGUGAUCCAAACAUGACAAUUGACAAAUUAGGCCCAAAAAAGAAAAAAUAAAAUAAAAUAAAAGCGAUUUUUUGGAGGGUACAUUUAAGUGGAGCUUGAACUUGAUACUUCAUUGACCUGUAGACGACUUCAUACUGAUUGGUAAGUGAAAACUCAUAUACCGCUUUUGAUGUUAUUAGUGGUCAUUUUUACCUAGAGGUGACGAUUUCAAUCAAUUUCUUCCUUUACAUGGAGGGAAAACGAGUAUUGGAUUCUCUAAAUAAUAAGGGUAGGGUGGAGAGACUGCAAGAAUUAAACUUAGAAUGUAUUUGAUAAAAUUGAAAUUUAAAAUCUAAAAUCUGAAUCUGAAAUAUGAAUCAGUUAAGUGGUUGAAUUGUUAAUUAUUGGAAUCUUAACAUUUGAGCAUAUUUUGUAUUAAAUAAUAAGUAAACAGUUUAUUACUUAUUUUUGAAGUAAGUUUUGCUUAAACAAUUAAGAACCACUUGAUUAAUUAAAAUGUUCUAUUUUUGUUAUCGAGCAUUUCUAAAUAUUCUAAGGUUUUGACCCAUUAAAUUUAAGCGGUGAAUUGGAUUAUCAAAUAAGACUUUAAUUUGACAUGCAAUUUUAUUCAACUUUAUACUAAUUCACCUUCAUUUAGCAAAACAAAGUCAAGAUUGCUGCAAAAUCCAGACUUAAUUGAGCGAAGGAAGUCACCAUUUUUGCCCAUUAUCGAGUUUGUAAGACAAGGACAAAUCUGAAAAAUCAGUCGAUUAAGUUAACUUUGAGAUACAUUAGCUUCCCCUUCUUGGGCUUUUCAAGUGGAGAUGGAAUGGCCCAGAUAAACGGUUUUGUGAUUUUAUAUUUGAAGCCCAUGGAAUAAUUCCCGAUUGGCAAGUUUGACUUGAUGAUUUUGCUCUGUUCAACUGUCCAUACAAAUUAAAGAUAAAAGCCCAUUUGUGCAAUCUAUUAACCCCACAAAAAGCGCCAGUAAAUAGGCUGCUUCGUUUUUUGUAUUGAAAAAAAAAAAUACACUUGAUUUCGGAGCUGUUUUACUUGCUCUAUGUUUUGCAAAGUGUUGAUUAAUCAAAAUCAGCUAAAUUUACUUUUGUGUUGAUCUUUUUCUUUGUUAUUGAAAAAAUUUAAAUCCUAAAUACAAAAGUCAACAAGAACAUCUAAAAAAUUACUUUUCAAAAUCAAAAUCUAAAAUUAGCUCAAAUAAUCAAAUGAAAAGAACCCCCCCUUUUUUUUAUUGUACUUUUGUAUCAUUUGAUCAGCGGUUGGAGUUCAAAGCUUAAAACACCAUCUUCCAUUCAUCUAGCUACUCAUUUGAUCUACUCUUCAUUCAUUUGACAACUUAUUAUUGUAGAUUUUUUUAAUAAGAGAUUUAUGCAUUAGCUCAAAUUAAUUAAAGGACUAUUUAUCCAAAAUAUCUCUCUAUCCAAAAUGUGCUACUUUGAUUUAAACAUGUGAUGUGUCACAACCCAAAAACCUCGAUAACUCUCAUUUGUCAACUUCUAAAACUCCUCUAUUUGGACGUUUUCCUUCUCUUCAAAUUAUCAAUCAACCUUGUCAACUGCCCCCUAAUUACAAAAAUUUUAUUGCAGGAAAAAGCCCACAAACAAUUUUUCGAGCAGAGAAAAAUUCCGAUUAUAUAUAUUUUUUUCAUUUCUGUUAUUCUAAUUCAACAUGGCACUAGAAUGGAUAGUGUUAGGCUAUGUCACAGCAGCAGAGGCUGUCACGCCUCAAAUCUGAUAUGUGUUUAAAAAUAUUUAACUUUUAAUUUAAAGCGUGACACUAAUUUACCCUCUUGAGAGGAUACAAAGUUGCCUAGCAAAAGUCUUCGAAUACAAAUCAAUAAUUAUAUAAAUAUAUAAAUCUUCGAAUACGCUUACAAAAGUUUGAAAUGUAAAAAAUCACUCGUACAUUUUACUCUAAGUUCACAAUUUAUAUACAUAACCAGAGUACAAAAGGCGUACAUGCUACAAUUUAACAAAACUUAACUCUAAGAAUAUAGCAUGAUCAAAACUAGUUUUCAAGCCUUCUUAGAUUUGAUUCUUAUCUGCAGGGGAGGAAAUUAAGUGGAGUGAGCAUCCACUUGCUCAGUAAGUAGCCCAACAGUAUCGCUAUUGAAUCAAGCAUAUUAAUAAGAUAUAUAACAUUUAAUAAAAUUAUUUCACAAAAUUAAAUCACAAUUAGCAUAAUACAUGUGUAUUACAUAUAUAAUGCAUAACUAUGCAUGAAUUCAUAUUUAAUUAUUCUUUAAUUAUAAUUUGUGAAUCUUGUCCUCUUUUCACUUUGUCUUUCAAUUAAAGAAUAUGUUAUGAUCACUUUAAACACGUGAUAGGGCCGUACCCACAAUUCAAUCACUCGAAACGCCUAAAAGUACAAGUGCUUACUUAAGAAAUUCAACAACGGCAGUAUUCAAUUGAAUGGACAUAGCUAAAGCUAUAUAUGCCAAAAAAUUGUAAAAUUUGUGCUGCUACAAAGUAGACUUGAAGUGCUAACAAUCAUUAGAAGACACAUCUCAAAGGUUUGGAUCAUACACUAGUUUAAAUUCAAUAAAAAAAUUAGUACACUUUCCAGCUCCCAUGCAGUGUAGGUUAGGAAUUUCAGCAAAUGCAGUCCUACACAUAACUCAGGUUAUAUAUAUAUAUAUCGAAUCACUACAAAAUUGGUAGCAUUAGAAACUAAACUCAGACUACUAAAUAUCUUCAGAGGAAUCAUUUAGCGAUUCCAUCAAUAGGGGGCCUUAAGUUGGACCAUAAUUUAGUGCAAUUUUUAGUCCUUAACUAUGCAGCUUCUGAUUUUCAACCAAUAUUGCAAAUUUUCUGGUAUUAACAGGCAACAAACCGAAGAUGAAAUUUUAUACCAUUAGAAAGGUUUUUGAAUUUAGUUUUAAAUGCAAUUGAUGGAACUCAAUUUUGACUUUUCUACACCAAGUGAUGCCUAAUUUUCCAAAGCUGCGUGGAAGUGACUGUUAGUCACAAAACUGAUUUAGAACUCCCAGUGUUCUUGGUUAUUAACACAAAAUUCUUCCAAUUUCUUGUAUAUAUCCAUAUCAAUUUGCACUUUGGCACUCAAAUUUAUAUCAGACUUAUAAAAUAACCCCUUACUUAUACAUAAUAUUCAAUUGGCUAGAAAACUUUUGGGGGCAUUUCAGAGGCGGUGAUGGUGUUACAUGGCCGUCUAACAUCCAUAAGAAGGAGCCUCCUAAAGUCAUUUCUGACGAUGGUCUCGUUUUGUUUGUUCUUGCUGUUGGAUAUCUCCUGAAAGUAUGAAACUCGUCCGAGUUGUAAAUCGCUCGAGUCGUGCACCUCGGCCGAACUCAUGUGGCACCAGAAAUCCAUCAUAAAGAGGCAGCGCAAUGCAUUGCUGAUUGCCUCAGCGCUCAUGUUCUACUGGCUACUUUUUGCUGUAACAUGCUGAUUUUUUUAUUUAUUUUUUGUUAUUUCCAAUGUUAAAGGAAUGUAUGGAAUGAGGUGUUCCCAAAUCACCAACAAUCCAGUGCAGAGCUUCGUCAGAGGAAUUUCUCAAAAUUGAGAUAUUUAACAAAUGUUCCCACCAUUUUCUAGCUUGAGGAAAUAGUACAACCUCCAACCAUCCUCAACAAUAAUUACAAAUAUAAGCUUCAAUUUUACCCUGAAAAGGUGCUAUUAAUUUCUAUUAAGUAGUAAUUGUUGCACAUAAAACUCCUUUACCAUCGCUGUUCUUUGCACCUUUAAAAUGUGUAAUUUGUAAUAAAAUAAAUGCAUGAAUCUGCAUGCCAUACGCAUGUUCUAUAUGUACAAAUACAUAUGCUUAUGCGUACCUCUACAUGGUGAUAUAUAUAUAUAUAUAUAUGUCAAACAUAAACACCAAGUAAAAUGCUUGGCGCUUCAUAACAUAUAAGCAUUUCGGUGGUGCACCAAGUCAGGACAAAAAAUUCCUCAAAUACAUUUGCACCUCAGGGCUCUGCCAUGUAUUGAGUGGAAAAACAUAAGUACUACUUGAAUGAAUAAUAAUCCUUGGAAUAAGCUUUUGAUACCAUAUGAUUGAAGAAAAAAGUUGCCAUUUGAUUAUUGGUUUUAUACCUGCUUCAAGGCUUGACAUCUUUGAUAAAUUGAAGUUUGAUCUUCUGUAGCGCUCUUAGAACUUCUUUCAUGUUUAUUCUUUCCUCAGGAGCAUCUGUCGUGCAACUUAAACUAAGUUGCAAGAUAGACGAUAUGCAUUCAAUCUUCCUUUGUAUCGUUUUAUCUUCAGGAUGAAGCAAGUCUGCGUCUAUAACCUGAAGAAUCACAGAAUCUGGUGAGCAUUCUUGUAUCCAACACCUGAGGCUUAAUUCUUCUAUAAACAUCUCAUCCUUAGGCUUUCUUUUUGUAAAUGUCUCCAUCAAUGUAAUUCCAAAGCUAUAGACAUCACAACUUGUAGAAACCAAUCCUUCCAGUCCAUACUCUAACAUCAAAAUUUGAAACUCGUUGUUAAAGUCAAGUAUUGGUAUCGGUUCAGCAAAUUUAUGUUUUUUCUUAAAAGGUUCAGCAAAUUUAUGUUGAAAGUUGAAACAUUAAUUUGAAUGAUACAAAAUUUUCGAAAUUUGAGUCAAGAAAAGUCACCUGGGGCAAUAUAUCCAAAUGUAGCAAGAGUCUUUGUUUGUACCACAGAUUCUCCAUCUCCUAACAACUUUGCAAUUCCAAAAUCGCAAACAUGACCAACCAUGUCUUGAUCUAAGAGAAUAUUGCUAGGUUUCAAAUCACAAUGAACUAUAGGAGUUGAAUAACCAUAGUGGAGAUAUUCCAAACCGGAAGCCACAUCUAUCGUGAUAUCCAACCUUUGCAUGAUACUUAGGACAUGAUCGUUUACAUGAAGCCAUUUCUCAAGGCUUCCAUUGGGCAUGUACUCGAGCACCAAAGCCGUAAAGUCAAGGCUAGAGCAAGCAGUAAUUACUCUAGUUAAAUUUCGAUGACGAAGGCAGCUUAAGACUUCACAUUCUCUAUCAAAGCUUUUAAAUGCACCUUCUAGCUGUAAAUCGAAUACCUUUAUGGCCCAAACCAUCCCAUUUUCACGAAUUCCCUUGUAAACUGAACCAAAGCUCCCCGAGCCAAGUAAGUUACUCACGCUGAAUCCAUUUGUUAUUUGUCUAAGUUCGUGAAGGGACACCCUUUCAAAUGUCGCCAUGGGAAGCAAGUUCUGAGUCGCAGCUAGAGUUUUCUUUCUCAACUUUAACCGCAUCAAAAAAAUUGAAAUCACCAAGGCUAAUAUGACAGAACCUGAUGCCAACAGAACAAUCAUGACUAUUCUUUUUGUCCUUGAUUCAUGCUCAAAUGUACUUGUACAAGGUUGGAGCCAUGGAGCGCCGCACAAUGCUUCAUUUGAGAGAAAAGAUAGGUUCGUGAAAUUUGCGAAUGGCCCUCCAUGAGGAAUCGGUCCUCUCAAUCUGUUGUAAGACACAUUAAAGUAUUGGAGAUCUGAUAGUACCUGUAAUGAGUUGGGAAUUUCACCUUCCAGAUGGUUAAAAGAUAGAUCCAAAUGCCGUAACUGCAACAUAUUCUUGAUGGAAUCUGGUAUCAAUCCUUGUAGAUUGUUACGUUCCAAGGAGAGUUCUUGCAAAUCCUGUAGUGCUCCAAUGGUGCUAGGUAUGCCACCCGAGUAUUGAUUAUUUGAAAGGUUCAAAUAGACUAAUGCCUUGAAGUUUCCAAUUUGAGCAGGCAAAGAGCCUGUCAAAUAAUUUCCUGACAUGUCUAUCUCCAAAAUAUCUCUGAGGCUCCAAAAGCUUGUUGGUAUCAUAGAACCUAAAUUGUUAGAAUUGAGAUAAACAUAUCUGAAUGUUGUAACGUUUCCUAAACAAGAAGGCACCAUACCAGAGAGCAUAUUUUGUCCAAGUCUUAAUUCUCCUAAGUUCAGCAAAUUGCAAAACUCACUUGGAAUAGCACCUAGUAUUUGAUUGUCGCUUAGAUCUAUCCUCUGAAGCUUCAAGAACCAGUUGAUUGUAGUUGGAAUUAACCCUGUUAAACUAUUGUUUUGAAAGAAUAGUUCUAUUAAGUUGCUCAAAUUACCAAUCGAACUUGGAAUUUCACUUUUGAUUCCACAACUACCUGCAUGAAAGGAUUCGAGUGAGCUGGAAAGAUUUCCGAUAGACUUUGGGAGGAAGCCAUUCAGAGGAUUCUCACCUAUCCACAAACUCCUUAAAUGUUUGCAGUUUGACAGGGAUAUGAUGAAGCUCAACUCUUUGGAUAGCGAGGCCUCAGAAAAAUCAUUUCCCGAUAUACCUAAAUGUUCCAGUAAUAUCAAGUUUCCCAGAGAAUGAGGAAUUGCACCUGUAAAAUGGUUACUACCAAGGUCUAGCAUUCUGAGCCUAGAAGCAUUUGAGAUAGUACGUUUGGUUCUCCAUAGAAUUGGAGUAUAGAAUUGGAAUUGAAACCUCAAUUUCAAUUCUUGUGUUUGGGUAUUAUUUUUCCUAUAGAAUUAGAAUUGAAUUGCAAUUCUAAAUCCAUCGAAUUCCGUAGUUUCAAUUCUUUGGCUGGACCAAAGAAUUCCAAUUCCAAUUCCACGCUUGAACUCUUAAAUCGGGUCAAUACGCGGGUCUUUUACGGGUAAAAUCUCAAAAAUGGGUCAACUAUAAAAUUGAUGGAAAAAACUCAAACGUCUCUCUUCUCUUCCCAUUAUCGAUCGCCAUAUCUAACGCUCUGUUGGAGCAUUCCUGCCGCCGCCUCCUCCACUUGUGCUGGCCACUGCAUAACACAGGUUGAAAUUAUGGGGUUUUAAUUAGUUUCUGUCUGUCUUCCCCUUCCCUUCCAGUGAAUGAAUUGAGAAUUGAUUCGAUGAGUGAAGAAUGAAAUUUCAUUACCAAUUUGGCAAAAUUCAUUGAUCAUUACUUUAGUAUUCCAUUGUUGCUCUGAUUGUCCACUGUCACUUGAUUGAUUAUUUUCCCUUGAACUUUGAUGAAAAUUGGAGAGCUCAUACUGUAAAAGUUGAAAGGAUUAAUCAUGAUAUGAAAAGGGAACCUUUUUGUUAGUGUUUUCUUGUUGAAUUUUUGGUGUUGUUUUGUCUUUAGACAAGUAAAUUGUUGAAUGAAAUUCUGGUUGAUCUGUAUUUGAAUGGAAUUUUGUGAUCCCUUUUGUUUCUUAUGGUGGAUGGUGUGUAAUAUGAAGAACAUACCUAGAUAUUGAUGAAUAAAAGGUUGAUCCUGGCAAAAUUUUAAGUGAACAGCCUCUGCAACGACUAAUUUUCUCAUCAGAGAAUUCAUCGUCUUUGAGUUUGCUCAAUAUCAAGGGAUGCUCAUGACUGAAAUGUUGGAUCUCCUCCAUUAAUUCUCUCUUGUGUGUGUGUUGUGUGAGAUUGAGGAGAGAAAAUGAGGGAGUGCUGAAUUUAGUUCUCUGAGCCUUAGAGCUUAAUUAUCAACUUUCCUGGCCAAUGGCUGCUGAAAUGUAUAUUAAGAAAAAAAGGUGAAAAAUGCUUUACUUAAAGAUCAACAUAGCUUAAACCUUUUAGACUGCAUAUUCUUUGCUCUUAGUAGUAGCUAACAAAUUGGAACUCACUUUCUUACCGAGGAAGUAGUCUUCAUAUUCACAAAAGUUUUAACACAUCCUAAUAAAGCAUAAACAGUUUGCGUGAAAAAAAAUGAAGGUUCGUUUCAGUAACACUAUCUUCCUGCAGUCAUAAGAAAAUGAAAAAUCAAUUUUGCUUUUAUCGUAUAUGAUAGAAUUCAUCUCUUUAAAACUUGUAUUAUAUUAACAAAAUCUAUUUCACCAAUACGCAUAAAUUUGUUGGCUGUUGGCUGUUAUGAUCAAGUAUAUAACGUCUCCAGUUCACACUCCAAGGCUGUUGGCUGUUAUGACCAAGUGUCAGAUUAAAAAAUCUUCUUAAAACCAGUUCUACUCUUCUUAACUUAGUAUCUAGAAUCAUAGAAGGAAUCACAAAUUUACUUUGACAGAGCGAAUUUUUAGUUCUAUACUGCAGUGGCUGUUGAAAAACUUGCUGUCAGGGCCUGAAAAAUAUUUUAUGUAUCAGCUCAAGGCUGCUAAAUUCUCGUCAAUGGACAUGGAAUGUGAUGAAUGUUUGUUUUGGACUAUUUAAUGCUGUCAUAAAUUCUCUCACACACUCUCUCUUAGCGUAUAUUUAAAUGUGUUUGAUUGUUCCUAAUAUGUUACAGGAAGGCUUGUUUAACCUUGCCCUGCAUUUAAGUGAAGUCGGUGCAUUCUUCUUGAUAUCAAAGUUGUGGGCUGAUAUGAAGUUGGGCAUGCUUAAAGGCUGAAGAUCGUCACUUCAGUCUUCCUUGUAUCUGUGGUUUUAUAAAGGUAUUUAUUUUCAAGCACUUAGAAUGCUGUGAAUAGGUUUUUGAUGUGAAAAUUAUAGCUCUAUCUCUGGCUUUCAUGUUUCAACUAUUGAGCCUGGUAAUAACGGUUCAAUUUUGACACUAAUUAGAACAGUUGUCCUACAGUUGUCCUACAGUUCCUACUACCCUGAUGGUAGUAGAUGCGGUAUUCUUGUUGCAGAAAUCUAGUUCCAUUUCAUAAAUCAAUUGCGACAAUAAAAGGUAAAAGUAAACAAGAGGAGGCAGCCAUGAGUUUUACCAGGAUAAAAGCCUUGAUGUUCUCUCUUGUCAAUCUUAUGUCUGAGCUUUCAUCUUCAGAUAUGUCGAGCAAUAUAUCAAGUAGAUCCUUCAUUUGUUGACUUGCAUCAUUGUUUUGCCGACGCUUCGUCCUUGUCUCUUGAUGUUCCUCUAUGAUCUUCUCAAUCAUUACAUCAAACCUCUCAGCAAUAUACCUAUGUUGUAUCUGCUGCUUCAUUGAAGUACUUUCUCUUGACCUCUGAUCUGCAGAGUUAUGCUUGAACAUAUACAAUUCGUGGCUAUCAACUCUCCUUACGGCUCAAUGCGCAGCUACCUAAGUGAAGAAUUGAUAUGAACAAACAAAGGGGUAUUUGGAGAUAUGUGUUUUGGCUGGAAUUUUUUUUGUUUUUAAGUUUCUAUUUAUUUACUGAAGAACAUAAAACAGAGACAGAAACAAGACGAGGCGGUUGGAGUAGGGGUGGAAACGGGAGAAGCAGAAAUUGGUUUAUACAGUUGGCCUCUUGAGUUAGGAUUUAUUUGUAACUGAUAGUUUUUAGCUUUUUGGUUUAUGCAGUCGAAGCAUUUGAUCAAGUGUUUUUGUUGCAUAUGUAGGAUUUAUUUGUAACUGAUUGUUUUCUUACCUUUUUUUCAUGAAAUAUUGCUUCUUGAUUUGUAGUUAUUGUCACAUGAGUGAAAAAUUGCUUCAACUUUUCCUCUCUCAUAUUUUUAUCAUGCCAUUGGUACUUAAUAGAGGAGUUUGAGUUUUAGUUGUGCAUAGCUAUUAUGAUUGAUGAAAUCUUUUUUGAAUUUUGCAUAAGUAUUAGAAAUAAGAAAGAAUUUUGCUUUAUUAUAAUAUAUCAAAACACAGUUGAAAAUACCAGGCUGAGAUGGGGAAAUAUUUCUUCACAAAAAGGGAUAAUGGAUCAAAACAUGCUAAAGGAAAUGCUCACCAAAGAAAUUUAUAUGAGAGUGAGAAAAAAUAAAUUAUUAAAGGCACAAAUUGGUUUUUUCUUUUAAAUCUUUAGUAAAAAUUAGCUAAAUGUAAGAAAAAAAAAAGAAAUUAUUAUAUAGAAAAAAGAAAAAAAGAAAAAUUUUAUGUAUGCAUUUUCUUGAAAACAAUUCUAAUUCCUAAUGAAUUCUUCUCUCAUACAAACAAAGAAUUUGGAAUUCCAAAUAAAUUCCGUAUCAAUUCUAUGUAUUUCCCAAACGAAAGAAUUGAAAUGACUUGGAAUUCCAAUUCAUAGAAUUCCAAUUCUAUAGAAUUUCGAUUCUAAUUCAAUUCUAAUUCUAUAGAAGCAAACGCACCUAGUAUAGUUCCAGUGAAUUCAUUUCCCCAAAGGUGGAGUUCCUCAAGAUUGGGUAAGAAAACACCUAUAGUUGAUGGAAGCUCGCCUGAUAAAUCAUUAUCCGCGAGAGAAAUAACUCGUACAGUUGAACUAUUGAAAAGUUUCAGCGGGAUGGGAUCUCUCAAUCUAUUCUCGGCCAAGCCUAGUUGUUCCAACUUGCUAAGAUUACCAACCUCUUGAGGUAUUAUACCUGACAAAUCAAAUUGGUAAGAAAAAAAUGUGAAGAUUGUUUGUUGUCCUACUUUUAGAAUAGACAAUGAGAAGUUAUAUAUUUUAUUUACACCUAUUAAAAAAUAUUCUUAAUUGUAUCUCUAUAUAGUUUAAUCAAUAUGAAUAUUUGAUUUCAAGCAUGUGUACAUUAGUACGAAUACCAAUAGCAUUACUAGAUAAAGGGCACAUUCAAUUUACGUGCAAUUUUAAAAAAAAAUCACUUUUUAUAUGGAAGAAAUUUGUAUAAAAUUUUAAUAAACAAAAAAACUUUGAUCUUUUAAAAGCUUUUUUAAUAUUAUUUUAAUGAAUUUGGUAAUUAUAUUGUUUGUGGUUGGUUAUCGGUGAAAGUUUGUUGUGCUAUUGGUUGACAAUACAUAGACAACACGUUAAUCAGAUGAUAAAAAGUAUAAUUAAGUGAUUGUGAUGAUAAUGUUGAAAAUUUAAUUGUCCUCUGUUUUUACCACUAACAAGUUACUUUUUCAAUUCCCCAACUCUGCCCACCAUAACAAAAGCUCCGCACUUUCGGUUCUCUCAAUCAUCUCUGUGUUCACUCAAUCUAGGUCACAACAGCACCACUUUUGUAACCAAAGCAUGGCAACACUUUUGUAUCUCACAUGUGGUAUAAUUCAUUGACAAUUUUGGAAAUGACAAAAAGACAACUCUGCCCCAUUAACAUACAUAGCGUUAAUCCAAGAUCACUCUGUGUUCGCCAUGCUUUGAGUAUGUGAUGUAAAUUUUUCAUGCAAUUAUGAUUCUAGUCUCAAAAUCCUUUAAACCCAAUGAAAAUUUCUCAAUGGGUAAAAAGGAUUUUGAACAAUUUUCAUUGGGUUAUGAUGGAUUUUCAGUCUUAAUUUGUACUCUACACAAUAAACUUACAUAAAUUAGUCUUGGAUGACAAUUGCCGGCUAUAACUAAUUAUUACUUUAUAAUGCUGUUGCAAAUUUUGAUUGAUUAAGGAAGAAUAUUUUAAAUUUUACUUUUUUUUGACAAAAUAAAGAUGAAAAAGUUGACAUAUAAAAACAUCAAAACAUUGCAAACUAACAAUUCAGUUUGAAAUAAAUAAAGAGAACGUACAGAAUGGGGCCGAAAAGAAGGAAUCAUUGCUUAUAUCCAGUCUACUUAAACAUUAAGUUGAAGUGUUUCUCCACACAUAAGCAUGUAAACUCACAACCCUACAAGCAAUAAAUCUAUUGGUGCUUGAAGUUGGCAGCUUACCUGUCAGGUCGUUCCCACCCAAAUAUAUUUCUGUAAGCGUGGUUAGAUUCCAAACUCCAUUUGGUAUAUAUCCUCGGAAUUUGUUGUAAGACAAGGAUAAAACUUGGAGUCCUGAGCAUUCUCCGAUGCCUGAUGGAAUUUCACCUUCAAAGUUAUUAAGUGAUAAGUAAAGCCCUUGAAGUUGUGGGAGAUAAUCGCAGAUAUGUGCUGGAAGGUAACCCGAUAAGCUAUUAUUCGUAAAACCAAUUAUUUGCAAUGAGGAGAGGUUAAACAGAGCCUGUGGCAGAGGGCCUGCAAGUUGGUUAUGUUGAAUGUCCAAAACUGUCAAUUUCGGUAGAGCGCUGAAUUCUUCGGAAAGAUUUCCAGUAAAAAAGUUGAAACCCAACCUGAUGGUCUCUAACUUUGUGAAAUUAGAACCCGAAAAUCCGUUAUCUCGGAAGGAUAAGUAUUGGAGUGCACUCAAACCUCCCAACCAUGACGGAAGUUCGCCCUCAAAGGCAUUACCUUCCAAGUUGAUGUACUUCAAUCGGCGCAGACGAGAUAGCUCGGUUGGAAGAUGUUCAUGAAAGCUGUUAUUCCUAACAUUUAGCCAGACUAGAAAAGAAAGAUUUCCCAGUUCUGGAGGUAUGGUUGCUACAAUUCCCAUGUAAGAAAGGUUGAUGGCUGCGACUCUGUGAUGACGAGCAUUACAAGUGAUUCCAAUCCAGUUGCAAACAGAGGUAGAAGUGGACCAGUUGGUUGGAAUGAUCCUUUGGGGAUCGAAAAUGGCGGCUUUGAAGGCAAGAAGAGCAUUCAGAUCAACAGUGUUGUUUUGGUUGUUGGCUACAAUUAUGCUAGCUGAGCUAGUUGCGAUAAAGUGCAACAGUACCAAGGCUGCAACAAAAAGAAAAUAAGGUGUCUGCAUUGCUUAUGGAGAGGUAAAUAAAACUUGAGGAAUGCCAAACAAUUAAUAAAACAUGAGCAUUAUACUUGGGGUUGAGUUAAAAUUUUUCCACGAGGAAGUGACAAGGUUUUGGAAAAUCUGUUUCUCAAUUUGGUGAAUUAAUAUAGCUUGAUUCUAUCUCUGAGACCUAUGUUUUUAAUUUUGUCACAAUUUGAAACUAGCUUUUUUUUUUAUGUAUUCUUCUACUUUUGAGCAAUUGAUAUGACAAGCAAUUCCGGUGAUUUAGCAUUCUAUGUGGCAAAAUUGAUUUUGAGUAUAACAAAUUUCCAGGAAUGAUGAAAGGGAUACUACUCCAAGCCAAGCUAAAGUUAUUAUGUGUUUGAAGAUCUCUAUACAAAAAUAAAUUGAAGGAUAAAAGAAGAGAAGAUGCUGAGCAAGUGUACCUAAGCCUCCAUGGGCCAUUGUGUCGAAACACCAAGUUUUUAGUCUAAGUCCCUAGUAUGGAUUUAGUCUACGGUAUAAGUGGGUUAAUCACGUUUAUCUUUUGGUUAAACGACCAAAUGGGCCCUUCGGUUGACCAAAUUACAUUUACCCCUACAUGUGAUUGUGCUCAAGCCCAACUCACGGAAUCAAAUAAAGCAAAAAAUGCACUAUUAAUCAUCAAUGUUUGGUUAGCGUACCAAAAUGGUCCUAAUAUUUCAACUAAAACAAAUUUGAUUCUCAAUGUUUCUGAUUUUACCAAUAGUAAUAAUCAAAUUGCCAUUAGUCAUCCGUUUUGACUUUUGAAUUUUGGUCUAUAAUAAUUCGAAUUUUAAAAUUGUACCUCAAGUUAUAAAUACUAAAACUAAGAGUUUUAAAAUGAAAUGAUUUGCAAAUUAGAUUGAAAUUGUGUUGGAUGUGUAGUAGGAAUUCUGUAAUAGAAAACAUGCAAAAACUGAUUAAACUUAUUUUUCUUAUUUUUCUCUCACUUUUUAUUUCAUUUAUACAUCCCAUCUCAAAUUUCGCAUAAUAUUCAAAUUUAUUGUUUUGCACCAUGAAUAAUUAAUGGCUAAAAGUUCUAUUUAUUUAUUUUUACUUGUAUUAAUAAUUAAACACUUUAAACUAAAAGAAAUAUGUACCAUAAAUGACAAGUGAUUCCGGUCCAGUUGCAAACAGAGGCAGAAAUGCGGGACCAGUUGAUUCGGAAGAUGAUUUUUGUGACAUCAUUAUAUAGGAUAGAAGAAGAUGCAUUUUUUUUUUGUAACUAAACAUGCAAUAUAUAAAUCCAAUGUAGCACUCCAUGCUUUAGGAUGUAAAAAAAAAAAAAAAUUUAAUCAAGCCGAAUAAUCUAAUGUUUAAACUUAGUGAUUUUAAUAAGUCAAAAUUAUGUUCAACUUUAACUUACUUAUACAUUGAGUCGAAUUGAAACAAGCUUUUAUCAUAUCAAACUUGAGUCAAGAUUGAGUAGAUUGAAUUUUUUGCAUAUAUUUCAAGAUUCAUACUAAUCAAAUCAAAUUCAAGCUGAGUUUUAAACUUUAUUGAAUGCAAAAUGCAAUUCAUAUUUGUCUGGAUUAAUUGACGAACCAAACUCAAAUGAUUUCUUAUUGAGUUAAACUCGAUUCGAAUAUUAAGUAAUUUUGUUUAUCUUUCAACAAUACGUACUAUUGAUAAACUUUUCUCAGUUUUUAAAAUUUCCUUAUACAAACUUUUCUCAAUUUUUAAAAUUUCCUUAUACCCUGACUACUAAGGAUAAAAUGCAACAUAUUUAGGGGGGAAAAACCAAUCUCAAUUAGAUAUGGUUAAUUAUCCUACAAUGGGGGGUAAAUGUAUAUUUCUCCAUGUUUACUAACUUUAUGUGAAACAUUUGACAACUUACUAUCCUCGUAUAAAAAAUUUGAAAAUAAAUAAACAAAUAAAAAAGAGCCCGGAUGAAAAGUUAUAAUGAUACUGUACUAAAAAAAAUAUGGAAAAAAACAUUGAACUACUUUCAAUACUAGAGUAAAUUUUACUUUAUCAAGAUAAAAGGAUCCAUUAGACUUCGAAGUCUAAAGCGUUAUUCCUGCGGUUGUGCCGCACAGCCAACAUGUCUUUUUCCCCUCGAAUUGGAGCCCAAAUUGGACUUGGCACCUUCUGCUCAUUUUGUCUGAAAAGGAAUUUAACCCAAGCAACCAGCUAAUAAGAAAACUUGGUAUAACUCGUACAGGGUAUUCGUCAGCUUAGAUCACUAUCACUUGAAAUGCAACAAUCCUUGGAUUAAAUAAUUAAUUUGUUAUUCCACCGAGAUGAUGCCAAAGUCUUUAUUUUCGACGAAAGACUUCAACAAUAAUACUAAGGACUUAAAACGUGGAAUUUGUAGUGCAUUGCAUGACUUGAGUCAAUUGUAUGAUCAAUGCGUUUAGGUUAAUUAGACUACACUAGAGCCAGUUUCAUUAUAUUUAUUUUCUAUUUUAGAUUUAGAAGGUUAUCAGUGGAGGGGAUAAAGACAAUGAAAUUCUACCUAAAACUAGAAAAAUAAACUGUCAGAGAAUCAAAUAAGUGCAUAACGAACCAAUUGCGUUUAUCUCUAGAGUUAGAUAAUGACAUUUUUAGAAUAAUUAUUAUGACACUUUCUUAUUAUAUGAUGUAUAUGAGACAAAAUAAUGGUUGAGAUAACAAAAAAAAUUAUUAAAAAAUUUAUUUGUGAUUCAAGUAAAAAAAUUUUCAAACAAUAAUGAAUCGAAACAUGCUUGUAUGUGUAUGCAGCGACUAGCAAGAAAUAACCUACAGCCAGUGCUAUCUAUUGAUAUAUCUUAAAGAAAGAAAUUGACCAAAAUAAAUUUCUAUGCACCUAUUAAUUUGCUCAGAUACUACAUGCAUUUCAACCCUUUACUUGCUAGAUAUUACCUGCCUACCUGGGAAGAUUUAUACCUCACCUUGGAGUUCGUGGUAAGCAGGUUCUUCUUACUAGAUAGUGAUGUAUAGUUAUGGAGAAUUUUAAACACCUUUUCUUAUCAUUUGAGUCUAUUUUUUCUAAUAUGAGGGUGAUACUAAAGUCACCUAAUAUUGCCAUCUUGAGGAAGACAAUAAGGGUUGAAAUCUAUAUUUCAAUUCCAAUUUUGAUUCCAGUCUAUUAUGUGGAAAAAAAAAAGUUCCACCAAAAAACUUCUCACCCAGUCCCAAGUCAAGAAUUGACGGGUUAUUCAUUUUAUUUCUGCUAUUUCCUUUCAAGAAAGACCACAAACUGAGAAGGGAAGCUUUUAAAGUUUGCAUUUUCCAAUUGACUAAAAGGCGUUGGACCAUAAUACUCUCGUCUGAAUCCAGUCCACGCUUAACCAUUUCCGUGGUCCAGCAUAGAAGAUGACAGAUUCACCGUGGACGGCCUGUAUACUUCUGUUCAUUGGUCAGAAUCGUAAAUGGCUCCAUGCUACUAGAAUUUCCCCAACAAAUGCAUAGAAAAUCUAACAUUCACUUUUGUGGAUUCAUCUAAAACAAAAUUUGUGAGAACGUCUUCUUGGUGUAACGGUAGAUUCAAGACUAACUAUUGUACGUAAACAUGCUCUUAAAAAAAAAAAAAAAUCAUGGGAUCGUUUGCAAUUUAUACUGUUACGUGUAAUGUCUUCAAAAACUUUAAGAACUCAUAGAUUUUUUUUUCGCACUAUGUAUAAUUGAACUUCAAUAUUAAAUUUUGUUUUUGUUAAAAACUAACUUGAAGUUUUGGAUUUUUAUUUUCUGGGGUGAACCACUUAGGGAGCCCCUUAACCAUUCCAGUGAUCAGACUAUUGGUCCUUUAUCUAUUUCAAAUAUUGAAUUGGUCCCUCAAUAAUAAAAAAGUGUCAAAAUUUGAGAUUUUAAUUUAUUUCUACUCUUAUAUCCAUCAUAUUUCUACUUGGAUGAUGCCAAAAUCUUUAUUUUCGAAAAAAUGACUUCAACAAUAAUGCCGAGGACUUAAAUGCAAGGAAUUUAAAGUCAGUAACAUGGCAUGAGUCAAGUGUGUGAUAGAUGCGUUUAUGUUAAUUAGACGGGAUAAUUUCAGAAACCUCCCCUGAGGUUUCUAAUAAUUUCACUUGGCUUUCCUAAGGUUUCAAAAAUUACGCCUACCUCUCUUGUCCAUUUAAAAUGACAACACUAUCCUUAAUAUUUUUAAUAAGACUCUUUUGUUGCCAUGUUUAUGUAAAGGAUGGAUUUUAUUAUUUAGUUACCUUUUUCCUUCCUAUUCAUUUCUCUCAUAUUUCAUUGGAAGUAUAGAAGAACUAUCAAUGUUGUCCCUAAUAUCUAUCCAAAUUAAACUUUAAACUAGUAAUAUUUUUUUUUAUAACUUUUAAUAUCCUCCAAUUUUUUUUUGUAGCUUAAAACAAAAUGGCCCAAAAUCACUACCGAAUUAUGAUAGUUCCACCAUUAAACUAGUCCAUAAAUUUUUAUUAAAAAAAUAGUCCAUAAACUUUAAAAGAAACAAAAUAGCACUUUCUUCUCUAUCAUAAAAAGAAUUUAUAUUCCUAGUAAAGCAUUACGAAAAAUACCAUAUUACAACAAAAGAUUUAUUGUUAUAAUUAAUUAUCAAAUAACAAAUAUUGACAUGAAAAACUUGACACUCUUUUUGUUUAGAAAAAUAAAUUGAACUUUGUAAGAUAAGAGCAUUUUAAGGUAUUUAUUAAAAUUUUUACUCUAUUUUUUGCUUAGAGUUUACAUGCAUUUCAAUCAUUUACUUGCUAGAUAUUUCCAGCCUACCAAGGAAGAUUUAUACCUCGCGUUGGACUUCGUGGUAAGCGGAUUCUUCUUUCCAGAUAGUGAUACAUAGUUAUGGAGAAUUUUAAGCACCUUUUCUUGUCAUUUGACUCUGUUUUCCUCUAAUCCGGGGUUGAUACUAAAGUCACCUAAUAUUGCCAUCUUGACGAAGACCACAAGGGUCGAAAUCCAUGUCUCUUCUUUCCAUCCGACUUUUCUAAACUGAAGUGUGGAGAAAGAUAAGUAAUUAUCUGAGUUUUCUUAACUUAGACCUGCAGCAAUUAUUUUCCUUUUUCUUAUAUCUUUCCUGUUAAUUGGAUGGAAAGGAGCGAGAAAUAGAUUCGAGACUUUGACCCAAGACCUAGACCUGCUAAAGGUCUUCACCUUCCCCCUUCCCAAAAAAAAAAAAAACUUCCCGCUGUAGUUAUUAUUUUUUUUCUUACAUGCCUCUACAAUUUCAAGUUCGAAUUGCACCAUGAACUCUAUCAUCACUUGUGUGUGUGUGUGUUUUUUUUUUCUUUCCAAUUAAUUGCACCAUGCAGCACCCUUAUUUCUUUCUCUUUGUAACCAUAGUGGAUGAAAAGCAUACUUGGUUUUGAAACAUGUCGAAUUACCAAAUGCACACCUUAAUUUUGUGUAGUGAAUAACUAUCAUUUUCAUUGCACACCUUUAUUAUGUUAUUUCAUAUAAUUUGUAGCCUAAAACUUUUUUUUUCCAUAUGUUUCAGUUUUGGCCAAUAAGUUUAAACAGUUGACAAGAAUUUAUUGUAAAACCAUCAAUACCUUUGCCAAAAUUAACAAAAUAGAAGUAUUACUAAACAACACCAAAAUCCAUUAAGAGAAUCCUUUACAAAAUACUAAAUCACUGAAUGGGCUCACUUGAAUUCUAUAACCAAAUGUUUCUAAGUAACAAACAGGAAAUCAACCAUACAUCGAUCCAUGGCCCAUCCAUCCAUCAGGCAUCGAAUUUCAAGUGUGUCAUGGCCUGUAUACAUUUAAGUCAUGAGUCCUUUGCUUUUCCUUCCUGGCCCUACAUACUUCUUUAUCUCCAAUCUUCAUGCUCUGGUGAAGUUUCCUUCGUUUUUUCUUCCCAAAAGACGAGGGUUAAAGAUUGGGAUGUGAAGUUUCCUUGAAACUAGUUAAGGUUCAAGUUCAAAUAAAAGGACAUCAUUAAGAUUCCCAAGUUACAGGUUCACUUAACACAGUUACUAGUGCGUGUACAAAAUGGCUCUGUACUUUAUAAAAGUUCUCUUUAGCAGCUGAAAGAUAAGACUUGACAGUCACUUUUAGGUAGUUUUUGUAUAUUUGAUGCGUUAUCAAACGUUUAUUUUAUCUAUAAAGCAAUCAAUCCAUGUAAUUAUACAAGAAUUGUAUGCCAAAUGUUCAUGCAAUCACUUUUUGUUGAUGGAUCACAUUCAGUUCCAUAUUCUGCUUUAGCUAAAGAGGCAUCAACUUAUAGCUAGUUUUCUGACAAUCCAAAUUCAUGAACCUUGGCGAACAACAGGUUGUUGCCUUUUCUUGUUUAUUUCUGUUUGGGAUUUCUUGUAAGUUAGAAGAAUUGGAUGAUCUUAUUAGAACUUUAGCCUAUUGAAGAAGAUUAUCUUAUCUUGUGUAUAUGUCUGUCUUUGUAACUUUAGUUAUUAUCUGUGGUUGUUAUCCUUCCCACAGAAUUUUCGCAUGGUAUCAGAGCCAUGGAUGACGAAGGCAAACACAAGAAUGUUGGGAAUAAAUUUGUCUCACCAUACAUUUUGACUUCGAAUGACAAUCCUAGGACUAUUAUUUUCCAAGUACAAUUGAAAGGUGACAACUAUGAUGAAUGGGCUCGAGCGAUGAGCACUACAUUGAGAGCUAAGAAGAAAAUGGGAUUUAUCGAUGGAACAGUGAAGCAGCCAGAUGAUAAUUCCACCGAUCUGGAGGAUUGGUGGACUGUGAAUUCGAUGGUAGUUUCGUGGAUUCUCAAAACGAUAGAGCCAGCCUUGCGAUCCACCAUAACUCAUGUGGAAAUCGCAAAGGACCUAUGGGAAGACAUCCAAGAGAGGUUCUUUAUUGCUAACGGGCCUCGGGUACAACAGAUCAAAGGAGAGAUUGCAGAAUGGAAACAACGGAGACUUCCAAUUGUGACCUGCCAUGGAAAAUUGAAGCAAUUAUGGGAAGAGCUUGCAAACUAUGAACAAAUUCCGACAUGUUAAUGUGGAAGAUACACGUGCAAUCUUUCAGUCCAACUUUACAAGAAACAUGAGAAAGAAAAACUUCAUCAGUUCUUGUUGGAUUUGGAUGACAUGGUAUAUAGAACAGUUCGUACCAACAUUCUUGGGACAGAACCACUACCCAGUGUGGGUAAGGCAUGCUCGUUGAUAUGCCAAGAGGAGACCGUCUGCAGCAUGUCUAGAGGAAAGGAGGGACGUGGAGAGCUCGUGAGUUUUGUUGUUCAGGCCAACACAGGAGGUAGGAAACCUAGAACUGAAAUAAAGGAUAAGUCUGCACUGUGUUCAUAUUACAAUCACAGUGGACAUGAUGCUGGAAAUUGUUUUCAGCUUAUCGGAUAUCCUGAUUGGUGGGGUGAUCGGCCUAAAGGAAAUGGAAGCGGCUUAGGACGUGGACGCGGAAACCAGAAUUCAGGACGUGGAUGUGGGGGUAUGCCUAGGGCUAACUCCAUUCAGAUGAUUGGUCAGUCCUCCUCGUCAACAGUAGCCGCAGAAAGGGAGCAUACGGUACAAGGAUUGUUGAAUGGUGAACAGUAGGCAGUUUUCCUGAGUCUGCUGAAUUCUUGCAAACCUAGUGCCAAUGAAAAGCUAUCUGGUAAGAAUUAUUUGAACUGGAUAAUGGACUCGGGUGCGUCUCACCAUAUGACUGGAAGUUUAGGAUGUAUGUCUGAAUUGAAGGAUUUGACGGGGUGUGUAGUAGGAUUGCCUGAUGGCAGCCAAACAAUGGAGUUGAAAGAAGGGUCAGUUCGUUUGGAGAAAUAGAUGAAGUCAAAGAAUGUGCUAUAUGUCCCCGAUUUGAACUGCAAUUUAAUUUCAAUAUCACAGUUGCUUGAUGAAUUGAAUUGCAAUGUUUUAUUUACUAAAAAAUUAUGUGUUAUACAGGACCGCACUUCGAGGAUGGUGAUUGGAGCGGGUAAACGACGCGAAGGGCUUUACUACCUCAAGACCAUGGGAGAAAUCAAGACAUGCAAUACAAAAUGUAGGGAUAUCAAUGGGCUAUGACAUAGAAGAAUUGGACACCCAUCUACCAAAAUAGUAGGAUUACUCCCUGAUGUGAGUUCUAGCAGUAAUAAGUAUGAUAAGGGAAAACCUUGUGAAAUUUGUUUAAGAGCCAAACAGACUAGAGAAGUAUUUUUUCCUAGUGAUAAUAAAGUAAAUGCAAUUUUUGAGAUGAUACAUUGUGAUAUAUGCGGACCUUAUCGAACUACUGCUUCUUGUGGUGCCUCAUAUUUUUUAACUAUUGUGGAUGAUUUUUCAAGAGCUGUGUAGAUAUAUAUAUGUUGGUUGUUAAAUCCGAAGUAAAAUGUGUACUUCGUAAUUUCUUUGCAAUGGUCAAAUGACAAUAUAACAGGGAGGUGAAAAUUGUUAGAAGUGACAAUUCCACAUUCACUUGCUUAGAUAGUUAAUUUGCUGAAAAUGGAAUGAUCAUCAUACAUCAUGCGUUGGAACACCCCAACAGAAUGGGUGCGUUGAAAGGAAACAUCGGCAUAUUCUGAAUAUGACUAGAGUAUUAUGUUUUCAAGCAAAUCUUCCUAUUGAAUUUUGGGGAUAAUGUGUGCUGACUGCCGGAUAUUUGAUUAAUCGGACUCCAUCCAAACUUUUAGGGAAUAAGACGCCGUAUGAAUGUUUGUUUGGAGAGACACCCAGUUAUAAACAUAUUCAUACAUUUGGAUGUUUGUGCUAUGCUAGAGAUGUGAAUCGAGAGAGAGAUAAAUUUACCAAUAGGAGUCGGCGUUGUUUAUCUGUGGGAUAUCCCUUUGGUAAGAAGGGAUGGCAGCUGUAUGACCUUGAAAAUAGUAACUAUUUUGUAUCACGAGAUAUGAUGUUUUCAGAAGAUGAGUUUCCGUAUGCAGAGGCAAGUGCAACUAAUACAACCAACGAUGUCCUGGGGACAAGUCCACUUGAGCUAAUUGAUGGUGCUGAAGACGAAGUGGUUGAUGCAAGGGAAGAUGAUCUACUUGCAGAAGUCACGAGUAUAAUACCGGAGAUCACAAAUCGGGAUCACAAUGAUGAGAAUAACGAAGAAAGAGGGGCACCACAGGCGAAGAAGUUGGAUCGAUUGAUGAGCAACUUGGGUGUGGUCAACGAAAAAAGCACUCAUCUAGUCGCCUAAAAGAUUAUGUGACAUACAUAGCUCAAUGCAUAAACCCCUUCAGUAUGUUCACCCAAACUAAUCUCAUCCUCAGGUACUCCUUAUCCUAUAGCAUAUUAUGUAACGUGUGAUAAUUUUUCCGUGCAUCAUCGAUUUUUCUUAGUAAUUGUGACAACCGGUAGGGAGCCAAAAUUCUAUAGUGAGACAGUGAAGGACUCUCGGUGGUGACCGGCCAUGAAAAAUGAAAUCGAUACACUUGAGAAUAAUGGAACAUGGACGGUGGCAUACCUGCCACUAGAGAAGAAAGCCAUAGGUAGCAAAUGGGUAUACAAAAUCAAGUAUAACUCAGAUGGAACUAUCGAGCGGUAUAAGGCACGUCUGGUGAUUCUUCGCAAUAAUCAAGUUGAGGGAAUUGACUACCAUGAAACAUUCUCUCCUGUUGCAAAAAUGGUGACUGUUCGCACUUUCUUGUCUGUGACGGCAGCAAAGGAAUGGGAACUCCACCAGAUAGAUGUUUACAAUGCAUUUUUGCAUGGUGAUUUGGCAGAGGAAGUGUAUAUGAAGAUGCCUCCGGGUUUUACAAGUCCACAAUAUAGAAAGGUGUGUAGACUACAAAAAUCUCUUUAUUAGUUGCGACAAACUCCACGUUGUUGGUUUGCUAAACUCACAAAUACCUUGCAGUAGUACGGUUUUUCUCAAUCUCAUUCCUAUUAUUCAUUGUUUACUCUGAGUCAGAAUAACAUACAAAUGAAUAGACUCGUAUAUGUUGAUGACCUUGUGAUUGGGGGCAAUAACAGGGCUGCAAUUCAGCAAUUUAAGGAAUAUUUGUGUCAAUGUUUCCAUAUGAAAGACUUAGGAGUGUUAAUGUUGAUCUUAAUCCCUAUCUUUUGAUGUUUACAAAACAAAUGGAUGAUACUAGUAUUUCUUCAAGAUAUAUUUUCAGUUAUGAAGUUAUUUGAUUUCAUGAACAAGUGCAAUUAAAAGAAGACAAAGUAUGCUGAAGCUGUCGGACGCUCAAAAAGACUGCAUCAGACGUCCGACAACCAUUGAGUAUCUUCGGACGCAGAAAACCAGCCUAUCGGACGUCCUAAGGAAUUGAAGAAAAAUUUCCAGUUUUACAUCAUACCUUCGGACGCAGAAAACCAGCCUAUCGGACGUCCGAAAGAAUUGAAGAAAAAGUCUUAAACUCUCUGCCUGCUGUCGAACACAUAAAACAGGGCUACCGGACGUCCGAUACUGCCAACGGAUAGUUGACUGUUCAGCUACUUUCUAUCCGUUGGAAGCAUUAAUGAGGCACUGUCUUGGCUUUAUAUAAAUAGUGGUUGGUCAGAUAUUUCAAACAAUUUUGGCACACUAAAGAUACAAAAGAUCUAGAGAGAUUUUAGUGAGAAAAUACUCCAAAGAGAAGAUUUGUAGUCUUAGUGGUGUGAGAUUCAUUGUAAUCUUUUCAUUUGUGAGUGAAUACUUCAUAAGUGUAGCUCUGUGAGGGUUGUCCUGAGGGAUAGUAAAACGUCCUGACUUGAUCGAGUGGAGUUCGGGGCAAGGAGGAGGUGAACCUUCCUUUGUACACAAGAGUGAUUGUAAUUCAUCAACUUGAAGUAGCUUGUCUCAAUUAAUCUACAAGCUCAAGAGGAGUUGGGUAGUUAAUUGGUUUGUAAUCCUUUCCUUUUUAUUUACUUAUUGUUACAUUUGAAAUCUUUAUUUUGUUUAUCUUUUCUACUCACAAGCACUUUUGCUUUCUCAUCAACCGCUCCAUUGUGUGGUCGCCUAGAAAAGAGGGUCAUUUUCGGGCCUUACAAUUGGUAUCAGAGUUUGGUCUCCUAGAGAUUAAGCUCAAUCGGCUUUGGAGUAAAGAUGACAACCAACAAUGCUAUGUUUUUCGAAGGACAUUCUGUCAUUAGACCACCAAUGUUUAAUGGGUCAAAUUAUGUGAGUUGGAAAGAAAGAAUGAUUAUUUUUUUGUAAUCUAUUGAUAUUGAAUUGUGGUUUAUUAUUAGUGAAAGUCCAUAUGAUGCAUCUCUUAUAGAUGAAAAUACUCAGAGAUCUAGACAAAAAAUAAGAAGUGAACUGACUGCUGCGGAUAGAGCUCAUCUCACAUUAAAUGCAAAAGUCAUGAAUGUGUUAUAUUGUGCUUUAAACUUAAAUGAAACUAUUAGAGUCAAAGGCUGCAAGUCAGCCAAGGAAAUUUGGGAUAAACUGAGAGAAAUUCAUGAAGGUAGUGAGAAUGUUAGAGAAUAAAAGAAGUCCAUUCUAGUUACAAAGUAUGAAUCUUUCAAGAUGCAAUCUCAUGAAAACAUUGAUGAGAUGUAUUGUAGAUUCAAUGACCUCAUUAAGGAUUUAGAGGUGCUGGAAAAAGAAUAUUCUCUUGGUGAGAAAAAUAGAAAAAUCCUGAAUGCCUUGUCCAAUGAUUGGAAAAAUAAAGUGACUGCUAUUGAGGAGACUAAAGAUUUGAAUACCAUGCCUAUUGAAUCUCUUAUUAAUUCUCUAACAUCUUAUGAACUGAAACUUAAGUCCAAAAUGUAAGAGAAUGAGGAUGCGAAAGUAAGAAGGAGCAUUGCUCUAAAAGUCUCACAAGAUGAAGAUGAUUCUACCUCCCUGGAUGAAGAAGAUGUGGAAGGUGAUGACAAUGAUAUCGCACUCAUCACAAGAAGUUUCAAACGAAUACUCAACAAGAAGAGAUUCAGAAAAGGUGGACCUAGCAAUUCAUUCCCAAAUCAGUUCAAUAACUCGAGAAAUAAAGGGAAGCUAGAGUUCAACAAAAAGCAAACUGAUAAGUGUUUUGAAUGCGGCCAACCUGGACACUACGCAAGUGAGUGUCCAAUGAAGAAGAAGAAUGAAGGAAGAAUACCAAGAUUCAACAAAUUUCAAUUCACAUGGAAUGAGUGUAACUCCGAUGGUGAAAUUGAAGAGGAAGAAGAAUCUGCUCAAUUGACUUUUAUGGCCAUUGGAGAUGAUGAGGUAACGUCUUCUAACUCUCAAUUUGAAAGUGACGAUGAAACUGAUAAUGAUAUUGAAUCUUUCAUUAUAAAAUUGCAUGAUAGUUUGAAAGAAUCCUAUAUUAGAAACAAGGAGUUAAAACAGAAAAUUAGUUUUUUGUUUCGAGAAAAUGCAAAUCUUUUUCAACAAAAUAAAAAGUUGAAAGCUGAAAAUGAUUACUUCAAAAAGAGUGAGACUGCUUUACACUUUGAACUUGAUAGAAAAACAAAACUUUGUGAAUUGUUCAAAAAGGAACAAGGUGAUUUAAAAAGAAGAAUAGAUGGUUUAAAUGAGUUACUUAAAUACAAGAAACAAGUCUGUUUUCAAAAGAAUAUGUUGAAUUUUAAUUUCAACGAAUUUACUAUCCAUAGGAAAAGGCAAGUCAGAUUUAUUAAACCCGUUCAUGUGAAUGACUUUUUGGUUAUGUGUAAUUUCUAUUGUCAAAAAGGUCACAUGAAAAGUGAUUGUUAUGUGAAAAAGAAUAUAAAAAAGGCAUGAAAUACAUGUGGAUAGUUAGACAUAAUACUAACUUUAACAAGUAGGAAAUUUUGUUAAUCAUUGCAAUUAUUUUUGUUCAUAAUUUUUUGAUAUUUCUGAUACUUUGAUCUGAGUUUUCGCUGAUAUUUUUGAAUACUACUGAAUCUGUAUGAUGUCAAAAAAGGAGAAAAAAGAACUAUUCUGAUUUAACGAUGAUUUGCUUUGUUAAUCUUUCUGUGAUAUAUUGGUAAUUGCUGUGAUUGCUGUCAUUUCUCUGUUUUUAUUUGGAUUAUUGGAUUCUCUAUUACUGUUGCUGGUUUUUGGUAGCUGAUUUUUACUCUCAUCUUAUGAUGACAAAAAAGGGGAGAAAUGGAUGCUAUGUGUUAGGGGGAGUUAUUCUGAAAUUAUAAGUUUGGUUGCCAUGAGUGAGGGGGAGUUUAUGCUCAUAUGCUCAAUCUUUUUCCUUCCUUCCAUCCAUUGUUUUGUCAUCAUCAGAAAAGGGGAGAAUGUUGAUCUUGAUCCCUAUCUUUUGAUGUUUACAAAAAAAAUGGAUGAUACUAAUAUUUCUUCAAGAUAUAUUUUCAGUUAUGAAGUUAUUUGAUUCCAUGAACAAGUGCAAUUGAAAGAAGACAAAGUAUGUUGAAGCUGUCGGACGCUCAAAAAGACUGCAUCGGACGUCCGACAACCAUUGAGUAUUUUCGGACGCAGAAAACCAGCCUAUCGGACGUCCUAAGGAAUUGAAGAAAAAUUUCCAAUUUUACAUCAUACUUUCGGACGUAGAAAACCAGCCUAUCGGACGUCCGAAAGAAUUGAAGAAAAAGUCUUAAAUUCUCUGCUUGCUGUCGGACGCAUAAAACAGGGCUACCGGACGUCCGACACUGCCAACGGAUAGUUGACUGUUCAACUAUUUUCUAUCCAUUGGAAGCAUUAAUGAAGCACUUUCUUGGCUCUAUAUAAAUAGCGGUUGGUCAGAUAUUUCAAACAAUUUUGGCACACUAAAGAUACAAAAGAUCUAGAGAGAUUUUAGUGAGAAAAUACUCCAAAGAGAAAAUUUGUAGUCUUAGUGGUGUGAGAUUCAUUGUAAGCUUUUCAUUUGUGAGUGAAUACUUCAUGAGUGUAGCUUUGUGAGGGUUGUCCUGAGGGAUAGUAAAACGUCCUGGCUUGACCGAGUGGAGUUCGGGGCAAGGAGGAGGUAAACCUUCCUUUGUACACAAGAGUGAUUGUAAUUCAUUAACUUGAAGUAGCUUGUCUCAAUUAAUCUACAAGCUCAAGAGGAGUUGGAUAGUUAAUUGGUUUGCAAUCCUUUCCUUUUUAUUUACUUAUUGUUACAUUUGAAAUCUUUAUUUUGUUUAUCUUUUCUACUCACAAGCACUUGUGCUUUCUCAUCAACCGCUCCAUUGUGUGGUCGCCUAGAAAAGAGGGUUGUUUUCGGGCCUUACAGUUAAAAUACUUCUUAGGAUUGGAAGUUGCUAGAAAUAAGGAUGGACUUUUUCUCUGUCAACGAAAGUAUGUGCUGGAUAUCAUUACUAAUGCCGGGUUAUUGGGUGCUCGGCUAACAGGAAUUCCGAUGGAGCAACAUCAUCAGUUGGCAAUGGCAGAAAGCAUGCCUUUGAUAGAGCCAGAAAAGUAUAGUCGGUUAGUAGGCCGGUUAAUUUAUUUGACACUAAUGCGACCUAAGUUGUCUUAUGGUGUCCAUGUUCUCACUCAGUUUAUGCAGAAACCCAAAGAGGAACAUUGGGAAGCAGCCUUGCGGAUGGUUCGCUAUUUGAAAGGCAGCCCUCGUCAAGAUAUAUUCCCUCGAUCAGCCUGCAAUUUGCAAUUGCAAGCAUAUUAUGAUUCGGACUGGGCAAGCUAUCCUUUGACACGCCGGUCUCUCACCGGAUACUUUGUUUUAUUGGGAAACUCUCCUAUAUCUUGGAAAACUAAGAAGCAACAUACCGUGUCAAGAUCAUUUGCUGAAGCAGAGUAUCGAUCUAUGGCCGCAACCAUCUGUGAGCUGCGAUGGUUGAAGGGCCUGCUAGCUUCCCUUAGGGUGGUACAUUCUGGACCUAUGCAACUUUAUUGUGAUAGUCAAGCAACCAUGCAUAUAGCGGCUAAUCCUGUGUUUCAUGAGCGGAUAAAACAUAUUGAGGUGGAUUGUCAAUUUGUACGUGAUGAAGUUCAAAGUGGAAAUGUUAACACUACUUAUAUGCGUAGUUCAGAGCAGUUAGCCGAUAUUUUUACUAAAUCGCUUGGAAGACAAUAAUUCGAGUAUCUUCUUCGCAAGUUGGGCAUUUAAGAUCUCCACGCACCAACUUGAGGGGGGGGUAUUGAAGAAGAUUAUCUUAUCUUGUGUAUAUGUUUGUCUUUGUAACUUUAGUUAUUAUUUGUGGUUGUUAUCCUUGGAAAUAUUUUUAGGAGUAGUUGAGGUAUGAUAGAACUCUAUCACUGAGGCUCGAUAGAAUUCUCUUUUCAGUUGGUAUGUGAUACAAGUCUGUCCUCGUUGUUUGUAUAUAUUGAAGGCAUGGAAGCAAUAAGAAAAUAGACUUCCCACAGAAUUUUCACAUAACCAAUUUGAAAUUAUGGUCUUCGGCCUUCCCUUUGGGAUUGCUCCAACUUAGUACCUGAAGAUCCAUCUUUGUCUGCCCUUCAAGGUCACUUUUGUGAGUAUAGAAUCACAUUGACGAGUUUUAGGCUUUUAGCUGAUCCUUGAGGUUGGAAAUUGGAACCGAGUAUGCCCUUAGUAGUUAAAGUAAAGGUACUAACUGGGAUGAGGCUUAAGCAUUGAAAGCCAAAAGAAAAAAAAACACACACACACACACACUCACACACUUUUUUUCCUAUAUUAUAUGUAUCUCACUUUGCAAGUUAUUAAUCACAGGUACCAGCUUUUCAUUAAGACUAAAAAAGACGGAAAAAGAAUAAAUUAAUUGAUUCUUAAUUGGUAAAGUUGACUAGACCAAAUUAGACAAGGCCCAGUCUUUGGGGCAAAAACAUAAUUAGCUUCUUGAAUGUGUGAAGCCAAAAAUUGGGUACUCAAGUCAUCAAAUCCUAAAUCGACACGAGUAGGGUGUAUACGAGUUAAGUCGAGAUCGAGUAUAGCAUUCGAAUAACAUUGGCACCCUACUUGACUCGAAAUCGAGCUCGAUUGAAUUCGGGAAUAGAGGAUCGAACUCAACUCACUGAAACAGUAAAAAAAACCUGAACUCGACUUGAUAUGACUCAAAUCAAGAUCGAGCCAUAUCGAGCUUGAUUACUCGAUGCUACUUUCAAGCAUAGAUGCUCAAUCAGAUCUCAUUUUUGAGCCUCUAAACUCGAAACCUGGCAAAUGAAAUUGAAUUUUGUCUACUUCAAAUUCUAUUACCUUUUUGCCAUUAAAAAAAAUUUAAAUUAAGUAUGCAAAUCAGCUUGUCAAUUAUCUAAAAACAUAAACCUUUAGUGGAAAUUUUGUAUUUAAAAACAUAUAUUAUUUAAAUUUAUAAGUGCUCAAUGAGUAGGUCGUUGAACUUGAGUAGCAUAUAUCUGGGCUUGAAACUCAAAUUGCUUUCCGGUUGAGUAAUUCGAACUCGGGCUUGGACUCGAUCAACCUGGGCUCGAGUCGAGUGAUUGACCGAGUUCUUCAACUCGGCACUCGGCUCACAAUCAAACCUAGACGUGAGGCUGAAUUUUCUUGUUUAUUAAUUUUUGUUUUGCUGAAUCAGUAUUCUUUUCCUUAACCAACUAAAAAAUUUGACCCAAUUAAGGAAUCAGGCAUGCAUAUAUAUAGUCCAGACAUUAUCUGAGAAACUCUUCCCCUGUGGAUACUGCAAAAUAUAAAUACUAAUGGCUCUGGCAAGAAUCAAGGCAAUAUUCCCACAUUCCCUCUACUUUUAGCUGCAAUUGGUAACAAUAAUCAGAAAAAGACAAUCUCAAAAUGGAUGCAGGGGUAUAAAAAUGAAGACCAUAAGACAAGUGGGUAGCAUACUUGAAGUGUGUAGAAUCUUCUCUUUAUCACAUAUCCACUAUACUUUCUUUAUGUGAAUUAUUCUUCCAGUUCUCAAGUCUGUGGCUAAGGUGAGCUCAUACAAUCUAUCUUUUUAUAGCACAUCCUACCACUUGCUUUAAACUUAUCCUAAUCAUGCUAGGACAAAUCAUAUUAAGGCUAAAAGCAUGUAUAUUCCUUCACAAAUCUAAGUAGUAAGUACCAUGUGUAUCAUGAUCUCCAAAGUGGGGGACAUGAAUCAAUCAGUCAAAAUGGCGAUCCAAACAUGACAAAUUAGGCCCAAAAAAGGAAAAAAAAUCGACUUUUUUGGAGCAUACAUUUAAGUGGAGGUUGAACUUGAUACCUCAUUGACUUGGAGACGACUUCAUCCUAUUGAGCUAAAGCUGAUUGGUAAGUGAAAACUCAUAUAUCGCUUUUGAUUAGUGGUCAUUUUUACCUAGAGGUGACGAUUUCAAUCAAUGUCUUCCUUUACAUGGAGGGAAAACUAGUUUUGGAUUCUCUAAAUAACAAGUGUAGGGUGGAGAGACUUCAAGAAUUAAACUUAGGAUGUAUUUGAUAAAAUUGAAAUUUAAAACCUAAAAUCUAAAAUUUGAAUCUGAAAUAUGAAUCUGUUAAGUGGUUAAAUUGUUAAUUAUUGGAAUCUUAACCUUUGAGCAUAUUUUGUAUUAAAUAAGAAGUGAACAAUUUAUUACUUAUUUGUUGGAGUAAGUUUUGCUUAAACAAUUAAGAGCCACUUGAUUAAUUAAAAUGUUCUAUUUUUGUUAGCAAGUAUUUCUAAAUAUUCUAAGGUUUUGACCCAUUAAAUUUAAGCGGUGAAUUGGAUUAUCAAAUAAGGCCUUAAUUUGACAUGCAAUUUUAUUCAACUUUAAACUAAUUCACCUUCAUUUAGCAAAAGCAAAGUCAAGAUUACUGCAAAAUCCCGACUUAAUUGCACGACGGAAAGUCACCAUCUCUGCCCAUCAUCGAGUUCGUAAGACAAGGACAAAUCUGAAAAUCAGUCGAUUAAGUUAACUUUGGGAAACAUUAGCUUCCCCUUUUUGGGCUUUUCAAGUGGGGAUGGAUGACCCAGACAAACGGUUUUGUCAUUUUCCAUUUUAAGCCCAUGGAAUAAUAGGCGAUUGAUAAGUUUAACUACAUGAUUUUGUUCAGUUCAACUGUCCAUACAAAUUAACGACAAAAGCCCAUUUGUGGAAUAUAUUAACCCCACAACAAUCGCUUAUUUCGGAGCUAUUUUAUUUGAUAUGUGUUUUUCAAAAUGUUGAUUAAUCAAAAUCAGCUAAUUCUACUUUUGUGUUGAUCUUUUUCUUUGUUAUUGAAAAAAUUUAAAUCCUAAAUACAAAAGUCAACAAGAACAUCUAAAAAUUUAUUUUUCAAAAUCAAAAUCUAAAAUUAACUCAAAUAAUCAAAUGAAAAGAACCCCUUUUUUUUAUUUUACUUUUGUAUCAUUUGAUCAGCGGUUGGAGUUCAAAGCUUACAACACCAGCUUCCAUUCAUCUAGCUACUCAUUUGAUCUAAUCUUCAUUCAUUUGAUAAUUUAUUAUUGUAAAUUUUUUUUUAUAAGAGAUUUAUGUAUUAGCUUAAAUUAAUUAAAGGACUAUUUAUCCAAAAUAUCUCUCUAUCCAAAAUGUACCACUUGGAAUUUUUUUAAAAAAUUUUUACUGUAAGCAGGAGGAUUCGAACUCGAGACAUCUUGCUUACACUCCUUCCCCGUACCACUUGGAUUUAAAUAUGUGCUGUGUCACAACCCAAAAACCUCGAUAACUCCCACUUGUCAAUUUCUAAAAGUCCUCUAUUUGGACUUUUUCCUUCUCUCAAAUUAUCAAUUAACCUUGUCAACUGUCCCCUAAUUGCAGAAAUUUUAUUGCACGAAAAAGCCCACAAACAAUUUUUUGAGCAGAAAAAAAUUCCAAUUAUUCUAAUUCAACAUGGCACUAGAAUGGCACUUGGAAUCCUCCGUGACACAUUUUGAGUGCCAAAUCAGUGCCACCUCUAAUAUUAUGCCAAGUGUCCUGUUAUUAUUUACAUUUUAAUUUUUUAAAAAUUCAAAUUAAUUUAAUUUAACACAAAUUAACUCUAUCAUCUAACACUUUGAACCAAACCAACCAACCGGUCUGAUUCCAUUACCAAUACUUUCAUCAUUGAUUGGCUUCACUUCCUUCAAACCCUUCAAACCCUUCACUGCCGAUUCCUUCUUCCUCCGAUGAAGUCCUUUUGAUUGGCUCAUCUUCACUGCCGAUUGGCUCACCGUCAAAGGCAUCUUCACUGCCGAUUGCCUCACCGGUUGGUUCCCUUCUCUUUCGAGCUCCGGCAAGAGGCAAUUUCAUGUACUUCAUGGCUGAGUUGUAGAAGGAGGAAGAAGAUUGGGCUACGGUUGAUUGUUCUAAGCAAUCAACGAUGAACGAAAGUAUCUUUUAGGCUACGGUUGCUUGGAGGCAAUUGUUUAGGGGUAUCUUUUUCUUUUUCCCAUGCCAAUCAGAUCUUGAGUGGUUGCUGAACGAAAGUAUUGGUAAUGGAAUCAGACCGGUUGGUUGGUUUGGUUCAAAGUGUUAGAGGAUAGAGUUAAUUUGUGUUAAAUUAAAUUAAUUUGAAUUUUUAAAAAAUUAAAAUGCAAAUAAUAACAGGACACUUGGUAUAAUAUUAGAGGUGGCACUGAUUUGGCACUCAAAAUGUGUCACCGAGGAUCCCAAGUGUGUCACGCCUCAAAUCUGAUAAUCUUAUUUAAAAAUAUUUAACUUUUAGUUUAGAGCACGGCACUAGCAUACCCUCUUAAGAGGAUACAAAGCCGCUUGAUAAACUUAUAAAUACAAAUCAAUAAUUAUAUGAAUCUUCGAAUGUGUUUACAAAAGUCCAAAAUGUAAAAAAUCACUCAUACGUCUCACUCUAAGUUCACAAUUUAUAUACAUUACUAGAGUAAAAAAAGUUGUGCAGGCAACAAUUUAGCAAAACUUAACUCUAAGAAUAUAGCCUGAUCAAAACUAGUUUUGAAGCCUUCUUAGAUUUGAUUCUAUACGUAGGAGAGGAAAUUAAGUGGAGUGAGCAUCCACUUGCUCAGCAAGUAGCCCAACAGUAUCUCUAUUGGAUCGAGCAUAUUAAUAAGAUAUAUAAUAUUUAAUAAAAUUAUUUCACAAAUUAAAUCACCAUUAACACAUUACAUAUACAAUGCAUAAUUAUGCAUGAAUUCAUAUUUGAUUAUUCUUAAAUUAUAAUCCAUAUGUCUAUUCCUCUUUUCACUUUGCCUUGAAAUAAAGAAUAUGUUACGGUCACUUUAUAUUCAUGACAGAGCCAUUGCCUACAAUUCUUAUCCAUGACGGGAUCAUAUGUAGGUUAAAAACAUAGUUCUGGAUGCUAUACAACAUGUCACUUUGUACCCAUGAUAGAACCAUUACCCACUAUUUUUACCAGUGGUAGGGCUGUAUCGGCAUUUAACACAACAAUUCUAGAACCUUUUCCUAACCUUUACUUGUUUUAGCACAUAACACAAGCAUUCAUGGGCACAAAAUAAUAAACUAAUUACGUAUGCUCCAUCCCAAUUAAUAUAAUAAAAUAAUUUCCAUGACAAUUUGCAAAUAACAUUCUCAAAAUCAUAGAAAUAUGAUAAAGCCAGUUACCUGUUAACUAGUAUAAACCGAAAUUCAUCCACAGAGUCACCCAAAUCCUUUUUUAAUCUUCCCCUAAAACUCUAAAAAUUAGAGUAUUAACUAUUUGCUUGAAACGCCUAAAAAUAUGACUGCUUACUUAAGAAAUUCAACAAUGGUAAUAUUCAAUUGAAUGGACAUGAUAACUAAAGCUAUAUACGUCAAAAAAUUGUAAAACUUGUGCUCUUACAAACUAAAGUUGAAGUGCUAACAAUCAUUAGAAGAGAAAUGUCAACGAUUUGGAUCAUACACUAGUUUAAAUUCAAUAAAAAAAGUCAGUACAUUUUCCAGCUCCCGUGUUGUGUAGGUUGGGAAUUUCAGCAAAUGCAAUCCUUGGUUAAACACACAUAACUCAAGUUAUAUAUAUCGAAUCACUACAAAAUUAGUAGCAUUAGAAACUAUAUUUCGAGUGCUAAAUAUCUUCAGAGGAAUCAUUUAGCGAAUCAAUCAAAAGAGGGCCUUAAUUUGGACCAUAAUUUAGCGCAAUUUUCAAUCCUUAACCAUGUAGGUUCUCAUUUUCAACCAAUUUUGUAAAUUUUCUGGUAUUCAUAGGCAACAAAACCAGAGUUGUAAUUUUAUACCAUUUGAAAGAUCCUUGAAUUUAAUUUUGAAUGCAACUAAUGGAACUCAAUUUUGAUUUUUCUAUGCCAAGUGAUGCCUAAUUUUCCUAAGCUUCAUAGAGGUGACUGUUAGUCGCAAAACUGAUUGGAAUUCCAGGUGUUCUUGGUUAUUAAUACAAAAAUUCUUCCAAUUUCUUGUGUAUAUCCAUAUCAAUUUGCAGUAUGGACUCAAAUUUAUAUCAUACUUAAAUAACUUCUUACUCGUACAUAAUAUUCAAUUGGCUAGAAAACUUUUGGAUUAUUGGGGUUUGGGCAUUACAAAAGCGGUGAUGGUUGCUGCUGACUAUUCUGAGCGUGGAUCACCUACGUGUCUAUCUAACAUCCAUAACAAGCAGCCUCCUGAAGUCAUUUCUGACGAUGGUCUCAUUUUCUUUGUUCUUGCUGUUGAAUCAGAGGAUAGAGAACCUUAGGAACCAUGAGUGAGUUGGUUACUCGGCCUAGCCAUUGAUAUGCUGGUGUAUUACAUUUAAUUUUUUAUAUGGACUUAAUGGUGUUUAAAUGGCUUGUUCAAAUUCUUCAAACCAAUUUUUUUUUUUUUAAAAAAGAAUUUUAUGCAGUAAAUACCUCGUUUUGCUUGUUUAUUUUAGGGGGAGAGAAAGGGAUGGGGGGGUGUGGGGAAUACUUUUGCACCGUGCUUAGUUGCUUGCUUGUAGAAUACAAAUUUAAGUUGAUGCAAGAAAUGGACUGUCUUUACAUAUGCAAGAAAUGGACCGUUAAUGGAGAUAGAGGGAUGAUCUCAAUUUCCAGAAUUUUAGAAAAGGACACAAUCAAACCAAUUUGACACCAGAAACACAAAUAGAGACAAAAUACUCUUCUAUCUUUUCUUUUUGUGGUGAGGGAGGAGAGGUUUGGGAUGAGGAUUUAAACGGGUCGAAUUGAACUUCAUUGGGGCAGAAUAACAAAAAAUAAACCAUGAAAAACACCUAAACACAUCCAAUGUUUCCGUUUUCCAAAACUAAGUAGGUGGAACAUGCUGAAUUUUUUUUUUUUAUUUCCAAUGUUAAAGGAAUGUAUGGAAUGAGUUGUUCCCAAAUCACCAACAAUCCAGUGUAGAGCUUCGUCAGAGUAAUUUCUCAAAAUUGUGAUAUUUAACAAAUGUUCCCACCAUUUUCUAGCUUGAGGAAAUGGUACAUCAUUAAUUUUAACAACCUCCAACUAUCCUCAACAAUAAUUAGAAAUACAAGCUUCAAUUUUACCCCGAAAAGGUGCUAUUAAUUUCUAUUAAGUGGUAAUUUUUUUUUCUAUUAAGUGGUAAUUGUUGCACAUAAAACUACUUUACCAUCUCUGUUUUUUGCACCUUUAAAAUGUGUAAUUUGUAAUAAAAUAAAUGCUUGAAUCUGCAUGCCAUAUGCAUGUUCUAUAUGUACAAAUACAUAUGCUUAUGCGUACCUCUACAUGGUGAUAUAUACUGAUGAUCAAAAGAGGAAGUUGAAAAGAGGAAAGUUGUAUCAGUAAUUAAAAGUAGAUUACCAACUUAAUUGCCAUAUAUAUAUAUGUCAAACAUAAACACCAAGUAAAAUGCUUGGCGUUUCAUGACAUAUAAGCUGGGAUCAUGAACUUGUGGUCCUUAUAUCUGUAAACAAUUUAUUGGUAAUACAUUAACAUAUCUCAUUCCUUCCUUGAACUUUAAGCAUUUCGGUGGUGCACCAAGUCAGGACAAAGAAUUCCCCAAAUACAUUUGCACCUCAGGGCUCUGCCAUGUAUUGAGUGGAAAAACAUAAGUACUACUUGAAUGAAUAAUAAUCCUUGGAAUAAGCUUUUGAUAUACCAUAUGAUUGAAGAAAAAAGUUGCUAUUGGAUUAUUGGUUUUAUACCUGCUUCAAGGUGUGAUGUCUUUGAUAAACUGGAGUUUGAUCUUCUGCAGCGCUCUUAGUACUUCUUUCAUGUUUAUUCUCUCCUCAGGAGCAUCUGUUGUACAACUUAAACCAAGUUGCAAGACAGAUGAUAUGCAGUUAAUCUUCUUUUGUACCAGUUCAUUUUCAGGAUGAAGUAAGUCUCUGUCUAUAACUUGAAUCACAGAAUCUGGUAAGCAAUCUUGUACCCAACGCCUGAGGCUUAACUCUUCUGUGAACAUCUCAUCCUUAGGCUUUCUUUUUGUAAAUGUCUCCAUCAAUGUAAUUCCAAAGCUGUAGACAUCACAACUUGUUGAAACCAAUCCUUCCAGUCCAUACUCUAGCACCAAAAUGUGAAACUCGCGGUUAAAGUCAAAUUUAUGUUUUUUCUUAAAGGUUUUAUAUUUGACAUACCGUACUAGUUGUUGAAAGUUGAAACAUUAAUUUGAAUGAUAUAAAAAUUUCGAAAUUUGAGUCACCUGGGGAAUAUAUCCAAAUGUAGCAAGAGUCUUUGUUUGUACCACCGAUUCUCCAUCUCCUAACAACUUUGCAAUUCCAAAAUCGCAAACAUGUCCAACCAUGUCUUGAUCUAGGAGAAUAUUGCCAGGUUUCAAGUCACAAUGAACUAUAGGAGUUGAAUAACCAUAGUGGAGAUAUUCCAAACCAGAAGCCACAUCUAUCGUGAUAUCCAACCUUUGCAUGAUACUUAGGACAUGAUGGUUUACAUGAAGCCAUUUCUCAAGGCUUCCAUUGGGCAUGUAUUCGAGCACCAAAGCCUUAAAGUCAAGGUUAGAGCAAGCAGUAAUCACUCUAGUUAAAUUUCGAUGACGAAGGCAGCUUAAGAUUUCACAUUCUCUGUCAAAGCUUUUAAAUGCACCUUCUGGCUGCAAAUCGAAUACCUUUAUGGCCCAAACCAUCCCAUUUUCGCGAAUUCCCUUGUAAACUGAACCAAAGCUCCCCGAGCCAAGUAAGUUACUCUCGCUGAAUCCAUUUGUUAUUUGUCUAAGUUCAUGGAAGGAUGCCCUUUCAAAUGUCGCCAUGGGAAGCAAGUUCUGAGUUGGAGCUAGAAUUUUCUUUCUCAGCUUUAACCGCAUCAAAAAAAUUGAAAUUACCAAGGCUAAUAUGAUAGAUCCUGAUGCCAACAGAACAAUCAUGACUAUCCUUUUUUUCCUUGAUUCAUGCUCAAACGUACUUGUACAAGGUUGGAGCCAAGGAGCGCCACACAAUGCUUCAUUUGAGAGAAAAGAUAGGUUCGUGAAAUUUGCGAAUGGCCCUCCAUGAGGAAUCGGUCCUCUCAAUCUGUUGUAAGACACAUUAAAGUAUUUGAGAUUUGACAGUACCUGUAAUGAGUUGGGAAUUUCACCUUCCAGAUUGUUAAAAGAUAGAUCCAAAUGCCAUAACUGCAACAUAUUCUUCAUGGAAUCUGGUAUCAAUCCUUGCAGCUUGUUACGUUCAAAGGAGAGUUCUUGCAAAUCCUGUAGUGCUCCAAUAGUGCUAGGUAUCCCACCCAAGUAUUGAUUAUUUGAAAGGUUCAAAUAGACUAAUGCCUUGAAGUAUCCAAUAUCUGCGGGCAAAGAACCUGUCAAAUAAUUUCCUGACAUGUCUAGCUCCAAAAUAUCUCUAAGGCUCCAAAAGCUUGUUGGUAUCACAGAUCUUAAAUUGUUAGAAUAGAGAUAAACAUAUCUCAGUGUUGUAACGUUUCCCAAACAAGAAGGCACCAUACCAGAGAGCUUAUUUUUUGCCAGCAAAUAACAAAGCUCACUUGGAAUAGCUCCUUGUAUCUGAUUGUCAGUUAGCUCUAUGACCUGAAGCUUCAACAACCAUUUGAUUGUAGUUGGAAUUACUCCAGUCAAACUAUUGAUUGAAAAGUCCAGCUCAAUCAAGUUGCUCAAAUUACCAAUCGAACUUGGAAUUUCACUUAUGAUUCCACAACGAGCGGCAGAAAUGGAUUUUUCGGGUGAGCUAGAAAGAUUUCCAAUAGACUUUGGGAGGAAGCCAUUCAGAGGAUUCUCAUCUAACCACAACCUUCUUAAAUGUUUGCAAUUUGAUAGGGAUAUGAUGAAGCUCAACUCUUUGGAUAGCGAGGCCUCAGAAAAACCAUUUUGCGAUAUAACAAACUGUUCCAGUAAUCUCAAGUUUCCAAGAGAACGUGGAAUUGCACCAGUAAAAUGGUUAUCGCCAAGGUCUAGGAUUCUGAGCCUAGAAGCAUUUAGGAUAGAUGUUAGUAUAGUUCCAGUGAAUUCAUUUACCCCAAGGUAGAGUUCCUCAAGAUUGGGUAAGAAAGCACCUAUAGUUGAUGGAAGCUCGCCUGAUAAAUCGUUGUCCGUGACAGAAAUAAUUCGUGCAAUUGAACUAUUAAAAAGUUUCAGCGGAAUGGGACCUCUCAACCUAUUCGAGGCGAAGUCUAAUAGUUCCAACUUGCUAAGAUUACCAACCUCUUGAGGUAUUAUACCUGACAAAUCAAAUUGGUAAGAAAAAAAUGAGUCAUUUGACUUGAAACAAUUUGUUGAGAUAGGGAAGUAUUUCCCAUUGUAUCAUCAGUAUCUCUAUUUUUGAAGUGAUCAAUUGGAAUUUGAAGUUGAGUUAGAGAUGUAGGCUGUAGCAUAUUGAGAUCAAGCUGAUCGAAAUCCUUUUAGCUUAUGCAGUGCACUAGUAUGACUGACCAAUUGACGUAUGAGAAAGAGCCAUAUUUGAUUUGUAUUUGAACUCGCUCGACUUCAAGCUCAAAUUCAAGUUUGAGAAAAGUAUUCUAAUGAUGGAAUAAUGAAAUAGAUCUAAUGCCAAAAUGUGUCAAGAUUUUUACCUGUCACAUUAGCACGCUGCAUGCUGAGUUUCUCCAAAUUAUAGAGAUUGUCAAUGACUUUUGGAAUUUCACCUGCUCAAAAAUCACGGCUUGAUGAUAAAUAUAAUUCACGGCAUGGCAUAAUUAUAUGUAUACAAUAUAUAUGCAUUUCAGAAUUCUAAGGAUCUUCAGUUUAGUUUCAAACAAUAUCAUGUAAAUCUCUCAUAAAUAUUGGCAAAAUAACGAUUACAUACACUCCCAAAAUAUUAUUUCAUCCUUCUUUCACAAUUUUAUUUCUUACAUCAAACAAAAUUGUGUGUUUGGCAUAGUCAUUAAUCCCGGCCUAGAUAUCAACCUGGCAAGGCCAUUGGUGCAACAACUUAGCGGCUUAACCAUAGAUUUACUGAUCCAACUAUUUCCUUCCUCAUUCAGUCCAACUACUGAUCCAAGAUCACUAAGUUGACCAAUUGAACCAUUGGGUUAGGUGAGGUUAGGUUUAGUAACUCUGCGUUCGCCAUGCUUUGAGUUUUUUUUUCCUGACUUUUAUCUUUAUUUUGUUGAAAACAAAAACUUCUUUAUUCACACGAAGUUUGCACCAAUACUUAAGCAGUUAGCAAUCAUCAGAAAUAGUGUAUGUGAUGUAAAUUUUUCAUGCAAUUAUGAUUCUAGUCUCAAAAUCCUUUAAACCCAAUGAAAAUUUCUCAAUGGGUUAAAAAGGAUUUUGAACAAUUUUCAUUGGGUUAUGAUGGAUUUUCAGUCUUAAUUUGUACUCUACACAAUAAACUUACAUAAAUUAGUCUUGGAUGACAAUUGCCGGCUAUAACUAAUAAUUACUUUAUAAUGUUGUUGCAAAUUUUGAUUGAUUAAGGAAGAAUAUUUUAAAUUUUACUUUUUUUGACAAAAUAAAGAUGAAAAAGUUGACAAAUAAAAACAUCAAAACAUUGCAAACUAACAAUUCAGUUUGAAAUAAAUAAAGAUAACGUACAGAAUGGGGCCGAAAAGAAGGAAUCGUUGCUUAUAGAAAUCUGUGACUUUAAGAUAAAUGUUAAGUGUUUCUCCACACAUUAAAUCUGUGAUCUAUUGGUGCUUGAAAUAUACAAGAAUUUUUCAAAACAAAGUGAAGUUGGCAGCUUACCUGUCAGGUCGUUCCCACCCAAAUAUAAAACUGUAAGCGUGGUUAGAUUCCAAACUCCUUUUGAUAUAUAUCCUCGGAAUUUGUUGUCAAACAAGGAUAAAACUUGGAGUCCUGAGCAUUCUCCAAUGCCUGAUGGAAUUUCACCUUCAAAGUAAUUCCCUGAUAAGUAAAGCCCUUUAAGUUGUGGGAGAUAAUCGCAGAUAUGUGCUGGAAGGUAACCCGAUAAGCUAUUAUUCGUAAAACCAAUAAAUUGCAACGAGGAGAGGUUAAAUAGAGCCUGUGGCAGAGGGCCUGCGAGUUGGUUAUGUUGAAUUUCCAAAAGUUUCAGUUUCGGUAGAGCACUGAAUUCUUCUGAAAGAUUCCCCGUAAAGAAGUUGUGACCCAACCAGAUGGUCUCUAACUUUGUGAAAUUAGAGAGUCUGCCUGAUAAUGAACCUGAAAAUCCGUUAUCUCGGAAGGAUAAGUAUCGGAGUGCAGUUAAAGCUCCCAACCACGACGGAAGUUCUCCCUCAAAGGCAUUACCUUCCAAGCUGAUGUACUUCAAUCGGCGCAGACGAGAGAGCUCGGUUGGAAGAUGUCCAUGAAAGCUGUUAUUCAUGACAUUGAACCUGACGAGAAAAGAAAUAUUUCCCAGUUGUGGAGGUAUAGUUCCCGCAAUUCCCAUGUAAGAAAGGUCAAUGGCUGCGACUCUGUGAUGACGAGUAUUACAAGUGAUUCCAAUCCAGUUGCAAACAGAGGUAGAUGUGGACCAGUUGGUUGGGAUGAUCCUUUGAGGAUCGAAAAUGGCGGCUUUGAAGGCAAGAAGAGCAUUCAGAUCAACAGUGUUGUUUUGGUUGUUGGCUACAAUUAUGGUAGCUGAGCCAGUUGCGAUAAAGUGCAACAGUACCAAGGCUCCAACGAAGAGAAAAUAAGUUGUCUGCAUUGCUUAUGGAGAGGUAAAUAAAACUUGAGGAAUGCCAAACAAUUAAUAAAACUUGGGCAUACAUUGUGACUUUGGGCAGGACUUAUAUAGGCAUAUACUUGGGGUUGAGUUAAAAUGUUUCCACGAGGAAGUGACCAAAUGAGCUUAACUCGUACAGGGUUUUCCUCAGCUUAGAUCACUCUCAAUUGAAACGCAACAAUUCUUGGAUUAAAUAAUUAGUUAUAGGCCAUCUAAGGUAUUCCACCGAGAUGAUGCCAAAGUCUUUAUUUUGGACGAAAAACUUCAACAAUAAUACUAAGGACUUGAAAACGUGGAAUUUAUAGUACAUUGCAUGACCUCAGUCUAUUGUAUGAUCAAUUCGUUUAGGUUAAUUAGACUACACUAGAGCCAGUUUCAUUAUAUUUAUUUUCUAUUUCAGAUUUAGAAGGUUAUCAGUGGAGGAUGAAUCAAAGAAAAGAGAGGGGAUAAAGACAAUGAAAUUCUACCUAAAACCAUACAAGUAAGUGAAAAUAACCAAGAUGUAUACUCAUAAUGAGCUCUGCAAUUCCAUUCUCAAUUUUGAUUCCAGAAUUUGAAUCAAACACGUCCUAAAUGGAAAAAGAAGAGAAGACUGAAGACUCGUUCAAGUGUCUUAAUCCUCAAACUAUCUUGCCUCAUGAGGGGCCCUAAUUUGUCUAAGUGUCUAUUAUGUGGAAAGAAAACAGUCGCACCAAAAAACUUCUCACCCGGUCCCAAGUCAAGAAUUGACGCGUUAUUCAUUUUAUUUCUGCUAUUUCCUUUCAAGAAAGACCACAAACUGAGAAGGGAAGCUAUUAAAGUUUGCAUUUUCCAAUUGACCAAAAGGCAUUGGACCAUAAUACUCUCGUAUGAAUCCAGUCCACGCUUAACCCAGCAUAGAAGAUUGCCUAUAUACUUCUGUUCAUUGGUUAAUGGUCAGAGUCGUAAAUGGCUCCAUGUUACUAGAACUUCCCCAACUGGACUUUAAUUAUCUUCUACCCCACAAAUGCAUGGAAAAGCUAACAUUCACUUUUGUGGAUUCAUCUAAAACAAAAUUUGUGAGAACGUCUUCUUAGAAGUGAGUAGUCCUACAGCAUUGGUGUAACGGUAGAUUCAAGACUUCAAAUUGUACCCAACUAACUGUUGUACGUAAACAUGUUCUUAAAAAAAAAAAAAAAAAAAUCAUGGGAUCGUUUGCAAUUUAUACUAAAAUGUUACGUGUAAUGUCUUCAAAAAGUUUAAGAACUCAUAGAUUUUUUUUCGCACUAUGUAUAAUUGUACUUCAAUAUUGAAUUUUGUUUUUGUUAAAAACUAACUUGAAGUUUUGGAUUUUAUUUUCUUGGGUGAACCACUUAGGGAGCCCCUUAACUAUUCCAGUUAUCAAACUAUUGGUCUUUUAUCUAUUUCAAAUAUUGAAUUGGUCCCUCAACAAUAAAAAAGUGUCAAAAUUUGAGAUUUUAAUUUAUUUCUACCGUUAUAUCCAUCAUAUUUCCACUUGGAUGAUGCCAAAAUCUUUAUUUUCGAAAAAAAACUUCAACAAUAAUGCCGAGGACUUAAAUAUGGGGAAUUUAAAGUCUGUAACAUGGCCUGAGUCAAGUGUGUGAUAAAUGCAUUUAUGUUAAUUAGAUGGUAUAAUUUCAGAAACCUCCCCUAAGGUUUUUGAUAAUUUCACUUGGCUCCCCUAAGGUUUCAAAAAAUUACACAUACCUCUCUUGUCCAUUUAAAAUGGGAAUAAUUUCAGAAACCUCCCCUGAGAUUUCUGACAGUCUCACUCACUUCCCCUGAACUUUGCAAAAUAUCAGAUACCUCCCCUGAACUUAUAGUUGGUGUAACAAGAUCAGCCCAUGUCAGAAAAAUGAGCAUUAAAAAAAUAUUUUGAGGAGUGAGAUGAUAUUUGUGUUACACAUAUGCCCUUUUUGCUUAUCCACAACUUGAGCUAAAGCAAAAGCAAAAAAAGGAAGUAAUAAGUUGAACCAGAUAGAGACAAAUGCAGAUGGUUUCUUCAAGCAAUAUUACAAUACUAUUUAUAUUUUUUUGUUUUAGCUAUUAGACAUUUAUUUAGCUAAUAUGAUCAUUCAAUUAAUUGAAACAUACUUCUGGUGAUAUAAAAAAUGUAUAGUUUUACAAUUUGAGUGAUUAAAAGUAUAAAUUUUUAUUAGUUAAGUCAUAAAAAAAUAUUAUUUGAGUGAUUAAAAGUAUAAAUUUUUACUAGUUAAGUCACAAAAAAUUUUUCACUAUUUGAUUAAUUGAGUGAAUGGCAAUUGCAGUUAAAUAAAUAGUGUAACGAUCAAAUAACCAAAUUCUCAAUAGUUUAAUAACUCUUUUUGCGAUUUUCUCUGUGGAAAAUGAAAUGAAGUAGCAAGAUGCUUCAUUUCAUUUAGUGCUAGAUACUUUAGUUGAGAUUUUUUAAAAAAAAAAAAUAAUUCACACUGUAGUUAGUCGAAUUUAUUCAACAAGCUUCGUUUGAAUAGCAGAACUUAGGUAGAUCCGAUUUUCUAAAAAUUCAAUAAUCCAAAUUGUGUCACAUCACUUUAUGAGAUGAUGUAAUAUACAAUUUACGUCAUUGAAUUUUUGAAAACCAAAUUUACCCAAAUAUAAGUAAUGUGUUACAUUAGAUAAUUGUCUUACAAAAAAAAAACAUGAAAUACAUGACUUAAGAGAAAGGUAACACUAGUGCUAAACUCUUCAUUGGUGAUUAUACUACGAAUAAAAAGUGUAAAGUGGAAUAGAAGGUAUAUCAAAAGUUAUAUCUCUAUUACUCAUUUAACUAAUUUUGUCAAAAUAGCUUCAAAAUAUAUUAUAAGUUAUGAGGGUAUAUCUGUCAAUUCAUCAUCAAUGAUAUCACAAAUAGGGCCCAAUAAUCUGACAAGGGAGGUAUCUGAUAUUUUGCAAAGUUCAGGGGAGGUGAGCGAGACUGUCAGUAACCUUAGGGGAGGUUUCUGAAAUUAUCCCUUUAAAAUGACAACACUAUCCUUAAUAAUUUUAAUAAGACUCUUUUGUUGCCAUGUUUAUGCAAAGGAUGGAUUUAAUUAUUUUGUUUGCCUUUUUCCUUCCAAUUCAUUUCUCUUAUAUUUCAUUAGAAGUAUAGAAGAACUAUCAAUGUUGUCCCUAAUAUCUAUUCAAAUUAAACUUUAAACUAGUAAUAUUUUUUUGAUAACUUUUAAUAUCCUCCAAUAUUUUUUGUAGCUUAAAACAAAAUGGCCUAAAAUCACUACCAAAUUAUGAUAGUUCCACCACUAAACUAGUCCAUAAAUUUUUAUUAAAAAAAUAGUCCAUAAACUUUAAAAGAAACAAAAUAGCACUUUCUUCUCUAUCAUAAAAAGAAUUUAUAUUCCUAGUAAAGCAUUAUGAAAAAUACCAUAUUACAGCAAAAGAUUUAUUGUUAUAAUUAAUUAUCAAAUAACAAAUAUUGACAUGAAAAACUUGACACUUUUUUUGUUUAGAAAAUUAAAUUGAACUUUGUAGGAUAGGAGCAUUUUAAGGUAUUUAUUAAAAAUUUUACUCUAUUUUUUGCUCAGAAUCUACGUGCAUUUCAAUCAGUCACUUGCAAGAUAUUUCCUGCCUACCAAGGAAGAUUUAUUCCUCAUGUUGGACUUCGUGGUAAGCGGAUUCUUCUUUCUAGAUAGUGAUACAUAGUUAUGGAGACUUUUAAACAACUUUUCUUGUCAUUUGAGUCUAUUUAACCCUAAUCCGGGGUUGAUACUAAAGUCACCUAAUUUUACCAUCUUGACGAAGACCACAAGAGUCGAAAUCUAUGUCUCUUCUUUCCAUCUAACUUUUCUAAAGUGAAAUGUAGAGAAAGAUAAGUAAUUAUCUGAGUUUUCUGGCUCCAGUCUGUGGGAGAUAAAGACCUUACACUACCAUCACUGACUUGACUUAGGCCUGCAGCAGCUAUUUUCUUUUUUCUUAUAUCCUUCCUGUUAAUUGGAUGGAAAGAAGCGAGAAAUAGAUUGGAGAUUUUGACCCAAGACCUAGACCUGCUAAAGGUCUUCACCUUCCCCCUCCCCCCAAAAAAAAAAAAAUUUCUUCCUGCUGUAGUUAUUAUCUUUUUUCUUACACACCUCUACAAUUUCAAGUUCCACUUGCACCGUGAACUCUAUCAUCACUUGUGUGUGUGUGUGUGUCUGUGUGUGUUUUUUUAUUUCUUUGCUUUCCAAUUAAUUGCACCAUGCAGCACCCUUAUUUCUAUCUCUUUGUAACCAUAGUGGAUAUGUGGAUGAAAAGCAUACUUGGUUUUGAUACCAAUGCACACCUUAAUUGUGUGUAGUGAAUAACUAUCAUUUUCAUUGCAUACCUUAAUUGUGUUAUUUCAGAUUAUUUGUAGCCUAAAAUUUUUUCACAUGUUUCAGUUUUGGCCAAUAAGUUUACGCAGUUGACAAGAAUUUAUUGUAAAACUAUCAAUUCCUUUGCCAAAAUUAACAAAAUAGAAGAAUUACUAAACAACAGCAAAAUCCACUGAGAGAAUGCUUUACAAAAUACUAAAGCACUGAAUGGGCUCACUUGAAUUCUAUAGCCCAAACGGUUCUAAGCAACAAACAGGAAAACAACCAUACAUGGAUCCAUGGCCCAUCCAUCCAUCACGCAUCAAAUAUCAAGUGUGUCAUGGACACUAUACAUUUAAGUCAUGAGUCCCAAAACUGAAAAUUAAACCUUUCAGAAAUGCUAAGAAUAAAAACUAAUCCUAUAUUCCUCUGCAUAAAUUUUUUUUUUCUUUUUCUUUGAUGGUCUGAAGAAUAUUUUACUGACUUGGCAUGGAGAAAUAAAGAGCAUUUCAGAAUCCAAAUUUGAUUCUAUGAGCAAUUAAUCAGCCAAUUUGGCGAUUGGAAGCAUAUACAAAUGUCUGUGGAAUAAGUCAUUUUUUAAAUUUGGAAAUUUAUAAUGUAAUUUUUAUUAUUUUUCAGAUAUGUUCUUUGAUAUCCAUGUAUAUUUGAUGACGUAUUUUUUGUCAUUAGUGCAGAUUUUAAAGAAAUUAUGAUAUUUUUUCAAAAAAAAAAAACCCGGAGGGGAUGGAAACGGCUGAAUUCUUUUAAUCUCCAAUGUCAAAGGAAUGUAUGAAUUAGAUGGGGAAUCUCCAACGUCAAAGAAAAUGCAUGAAUGAAAUGUUCCCAAAUCACCUACAGUCUAGUGACGAGCUCCAACGAAAGUAAUUUUUCAAAAUAGAGCUACUUAACAAAUGUUCCCACACAAGAAAAAAUAUAUAUUCCCACAGCUCAAGGAAAUGGUACAUCGUUAUUAUUCACAAUCUCCCACCAUCGUCAACACCAAUUACAAAUUUGAGCUUCAGGCAACGCUUAAAAAGUGUUAUUAAUUUCUGCUAGGUAGUAAUUGUUGGACAUGAAACUACUUUGCACUCUCUGUUAUGUGCACCUUUAAAAUGUAAUUUGAAAAAAAAUAAGUUUUUUUUAACGCAUGUCCAAUCGAUACUCGGUAACACAUCCACAUUCCACCCAAUCUAUCAUGUAUAUAUAUAUAUACUAACAAUUACUACCAUCCCUUACAUUUAUACAUUUUUUCUAAUUAAUCCUUCUGCAUUUUUGCACUUUUUUUAAUUAAUUUUAUAUUUCUAAAAACCUAACAUCUGAAAUACAUCUUAACGAGAGCACCCAUUAGAUAGACCGAUAAAAUAAAUAUAUGAAUCUAUAUGCCAUAUGCAUGCUCUGUAUUUACAAAUACAUAUGCCUACGUGUAUCUCUACAUGGUGAUAUAUAUCGACGAUCAAUUUGUUUCUCAUUUAUUUGCAAAAAUUGAAAAAGGGAAAGAUGGAUCAAUAACUGAAAGUAAAUAAUCAACUUAAUUGCAAUCUAUGUAUGUCAAACAAAAACACAAAGUAAAAUGCUUGGGCUUUCAUAACAUAUAAAAUGGGAUUAUGAACUUGAGGUCUCCAUAUCUGUAAACAAACUUAUUGGUAAAUACAACAUAUCUCAUUCCUGUUUUGAACCAUAAGCAUUUCGGUGGUGCACAAAGUCAAGACUAAGAAUUCCCCAAAUACAUUUGCGCCUCAGAACUCUGCAACGUAUUCAGGAGAAAAACGUAAGUACUACUUGAAUGAAUAGUAAUCCUUGGAUUAAGCUUUUGUUAUACCGUAAGAUUGAAGAAAAAAUUGCUAUUGGAAUAUCACAUAAAUAAUGGUUUAUACCUGCUUCAAGGUACGAUAUCUUUGAUAAACUGAAGUUUGAUCUUCUGGAGCACUCUUAGAAUCUCUUUCAUGUUUAUUCUCUCCUCAGGAACAUAUGUUGUACAACUUAAACCAACUUGCAAGAUAGAUGAUAUGCAUUCAAUCUUCCUUUGUACCAGUCCACCUUCAUGAUGAAGUAAAUCUCCAUCUAUAACCUGAAUGAUGGAAUCCGGUAAGCAAUCUUGUACCCAACGCCUGAGGCUUAACUCCUCCGUAAACAUCUUAUCCUUCGGCUUUCUUUUUGUAAAUGUUUCCAUCAAUGUAAUCCCAAAGCUGUAAGCAUCACUACUUGUUGAAACCAAUCCUUCCAAUCCAUAUUCUAGCAUCAGUGUUUGAAAAUCAUUGUCAAAGUCUUUUUUUCAAAGUUCUUAUAUUGCACAUACCGUACUCGUUGUUAAAGUUGAAACAUUAAUUUGAAUGACAUAAAAAAUUCGAAAUUGUAAUCAAGAAAAGUCACCUGGGGCAAUAUAUCCAAAUGUAGCAAGAGUCUUUGUUUGUACCAUAGAUUCUCCAUCUCCCAACAACUUUGCAAUUCCAAAAUCACAAACAUGCCCAACCAUGUCUUGAUCCAGUAGAAUAUUGCUAGGCUUCAAAUUACGGUGAACUAUAGGAGUUGAAUAACCAUAAUGGAGAUAUUCCAAACCACAAGCCACAUCUAUCAUAACAUCCAAUCGUUGCUUCAUGUUUAAGAAAUGAUGGUUUGAAUGAAGCCAUUUCUCAAGGCAUCCAUUGGGCAUAUAUUCAAGCACCAAAGCCUUAAAGUCGGGGCUAGAGCAAGCACCAAUUACUUUAGUUAAAUUUCGAUGACGAAGGCAGCUUAAGACUUCACAUUCUCUGUCAAAGCUUUUAAAUGCACCUUCUAGCUGCAAAUCAAAUACCUUUAUGGCCCAAACCAUCCCAUUUUCACGAAUUCCCUUGUAAACUGAACCAAAGCUCCCCGAGCCAAGUAAGUUGCUCUCGCUGAAUCCAUUUGUUAUUUUUCUAAGUUCAUGGAAGGAUGCCCUUUCAAAUAUCGCCAUGAGAAGCAAGUUCUGAGUCGGAGCUAGAGUUUUCUUUCUCAACUUUGACCGCAUCAAAAAAAUUGAAAUCACCAAGGCUAAUAUGACAGAUCCUGAUGCCAACAGAACAAUCAUGACUAUCCUUUUUGUCCCUGAUUCAUGUUGAAAUGUACUUGUACAAGGUUGGCGCCAAGGAGCACCACACAAUGCUUCAUUUGAGAGAAAAGAUAGGUUCGUGAAAUUUGUGAAUGGUCCUCCAUGAGGAAUCGGUCCUCUCAAUCUGUUGUAAGACACAUUAAAGUAUUGGAGAUCUGAUAGUACCUGUAAUGAGUUGGGAAUUUCACCUUCCAGAUUGUUAAAAGAUAGAUCCAAAUGCCGUAACUGCAGCAUAUUCUUCAAGGAAUCUGGUAUCAAUCCUUGUAGCUUGUUAUGUUCCAAGGCGAGUUCUUGCAAAUCCUGUAGUGUUCCAACAGUGCUAGGUAUCCCACCCAAGUAUUGAUUAUUUGAAAGGUUCAAAUAGACUAAUGCCUUCAAGUUUCCAAUUUCCGCAGGCAAAGAACCUGUCAAACAAUUUUCAGACAUGUCCAGCCCCAAAAUAUCUCUAAGGCUCCAAAAGCUUGUCGGUAUCACAGAACUUAACUUGUUAGAAUUGAGAUAAGCAUAUCUGAGUGUUGUAACAUUUCCUAAACCAGAAGGCACCACACCAGAAAGCUUAUUUUUUGCCAGAUAUAAUCCUUCUAAGUUCAACAAAUAACAAAGCUCACUUGGAAUAGCUCCUUGUAUCUGGUUGUAAGUUAGAUCUAUCAUCUGAAGCUUCAACAACCAUUUGAUUGUAGUUGGAAUUACGCCUGUCAAGCUAUUGGUUGCAAAGUUCAGCCCUAUCAAGUUGCUCAAAUUACCAAUCGAACUUGGAAUUUCACUUCUGAUUCCACAACGAGUGGCAUCAAUGAAUUCGAGUGAGCUAGAAAGAUUUCCAAUAGACUUUGGGAGGAAGCCAUUAAGAGGAUUCUCAUUUAUCCACAACCUUCUUAAAUGUUUGCAGUUUGAUAGGGACAUGAUGAAGCUCAACUCUUUGGAUAGCGAGUCCUCAGAAAAAUCAUUUUGCGAUAUAACAAACUGUUCCAGUAAUCUCAAGUUUCCAAGAGAACGAGGAAUUGCACCAGUAAAAUGGUUCACACCAAGGUCUAGCAUUCUGAGCUUAGAAGCAUUUGAGAUAGAUGUUAGUAUAGUUCCAGUGAAUUCAUUUCCCCCAAGGUAGAGUCCCUCAAGAUUGGGUAAGAAAGCACCUAUAGUUGAUGGAAGCUUGCCUGACAAAUCAUUCUCCGCGAGAGAAAUAAGUCGUGUAGUUGAACUAUUGAAAAGUUUCAAUGGGAUGGGACUUCUUAACCUAUUCGACUCCAAGAUUAGUAGUUCCAACUUGCUAAGAUUACCAAUCUCUUGAGGUAUUAUACCUGACAAAUCAAAUUGGUAAAAAAAAAAUUUGAAGAUUGCUUGUUGUCCUACUUUUAGAAUAGACAAUGAGAAGUUAUAUUUUUGUAUUUACACCUAUUAAAAAAUAUUCUUUAGUGUAUCUCUGUAUAGUCUAAUCAAUAUGAAUAUUUGAUUUCAAGCAUGUAUACAUUAGUACAAAUACCAUUAGCAUUACUAGUGAUAAAGGGCACACUCAGCUUACGUGCAAUUUAAAAAAAAAUCACUUUUUAUACAAAAGAAAUUGGUAUAAAAUUUUAAUAAGUGAAAAACUUUGAUCUUUUAAAAGCUUUUUUAAUAUUAUUAUAAUGUUUGUGGUUGGUUAUUGGUGAAAGUUAGUUGUGUUAUUGGUUGAUAAUACAUAGGCAACAUGUUAAUCAGCUAAUAAAAGUAUAAUUAAGUGAUGUGAUGAUAAUGUCGAAAAUUUAGAAGUGACAAAUAUGGUCUAAUUAAAUUUCACCUAUAUGCACUCCGGUUAUUAUGUCAUCAAUUCAUUCACAUUAAUUUGGUCUAAUACCAUUACAAAUGCAUUUUUUAAAAUUUCUUUAUGUUAUAUCCGCAAAUAUGAUAAACAAUCAUGCAAAAACAUAUCAUUUCUCCCACGAAUAUUCCAUCUCAACUAAUUAAUUAACCAUUCAUUUACUCCUUUAUAAUUAUUAAUUUAAUAAUUAAUAAUCAUUUCUCCUAGGAUUGGUUUAAUUAAUUGUACAUAUUAAUUUAUGAUCAUUUUCCUCCUACCCGUGAUUGGUUUAAUUGUUCUCCUCAACUACUUCAACCACUAACAAGUUGCUUAUUUAAUCCCUAUAUUUUCAGACUUGAAUCAGGUAUCGACUCGGUCAAACUUAAGAGUCAAUGAGUUCGAUCAAAUUCGAUUAGGGGUUGAACCAGAUGAUGUCAUAAAUAAAAAUUAUUUAAAAAUUAAAAUAUUGUACGUAAAAUAUCUAAGAGCAUGUUAAUAUUAAUAAAAGUAUAUUCAUAUAUAUUUGAUGUUUCAAAUGUAUUUAACAAGAAAAUACAAGAAAAUUAGAACAAUCAAAUAGCAAUUUAUAUUAUUCAAUGAACAUUAACAAAUUUAGAAUUAAAAUUAUAGACUUGAUUGAAAAAUAACACCAAACUUUAGGAUAAUAUUUAUAAAGUAUAAAAUAUUUGAGGUAUAUUAAUAGUUUUUAACAAUCUGGAGGUCAAAACAUAAUAUUAAAAAUUCUUUGACCCCACAUUACACUUUCCCAUUUCAUCCUCUACUCUCGAUGCAUUGCAUAGAGCACAGCUACCAGAGUUUCAUCAUCCUCUUUCUUUGCAAUUCUGCAACUCCUUUCUUCUUCUACUUCUUCUUUUAAUUUUAUUUUCAUUCUUAUUUUAUUAAUUUUUUAUUCUCAAUCUUAUGAAAUAUCAAGCUUAUAUCUUUUCCUCAAACCUUUCUCUUCUUCACUCCCUUUUUUGCAUUUUUGGAUCUUUUUUUCUUUUGAAUACAAAUCUUAAAUCUUGUUUUAAAAAAAUGUUAAAACAUUGAUUUUUGAUGCUUGAAUUGAAGUGAAAAAGGAGAGAGCUCACAAGGAUUUGGAGUUAAAGGUACGGAAGGAAAAAAAUUCAACAAAAAGGAAAAUUAAAAAAAACCCAAUUUUUACCGGUUCUUCUAGUUUUGACCAAGUCUCUAACAACCCGAGCUUUUAAGAUAAUUCAGAUCGGAUACUUGGCUGAUUUUCGAUUCAAUCAAUUGGACCGAUCGAUCCGAUCUAAGUUUAAAAACAUGCCUUAAUUCCCCAACUCUGCCCACCAUAACAAAAGUUCCACAUUUUCAGCUCUCAAUCAUUUUUAUGUCCACUCAAUCUGUGCCCCACAACCUUGUCACAACAAUACCUCGUUAUUCUCAACUUGUACUGAGCCUGGCGUCUUUCAGUAAAAUUUACAGCUCAUGUGCCUAAUCCAAACCGCUUUGAUGCCAAUUAUUGUAUUCGUGUCUUUCAUAUACUUGAUCCGUACUCAUGGGUACUAACUGCUAUCCCAUUUUGUAGAAUUUUUGCCUAGGAAAGUAGUAACCAAAGCAUGACAACAUGGCAAAACUUUUGUAUCUCACAUAUCUGAAGUCAAAUAGCUGAAUUUAAUGAAAGAGGAAGCAUCUCAACAAAUUCAGGGGCAAAGACAGGAAAGCAAGUGGUAUAAUUCAUUGACAAUGCUGGAAAUGACAAAACAUUUUGAGACUGUUUCAAACGAAAUAACAUGACAUUGUCAACAGAGGCAUAGAAUUAUACGGAUACACUUUCCUCUCUCCAAGCAUUCACUCUUUCUAUCUCUUUGUACCCUCUCUCUAAGUGCUUCCUCGUCUUCCUAUUUCCCAUUGUAUCAUUUGUUAGGCCCCUAUCAGUAUCUCAAAAAUGUGGCAAGCCACUUUUAAGUGGCUUCCAGACGAGUGCGCUCGUCUGGAUCGGUAGGUGAUUCAGUUCUCUUCGAUUUUUGCUUAAUCUUUUCAGGUCCCCCUUCUUUGUAGUAUACAAUAGAUAUAGAUCUAUUGUAGCGAAAAAAAAUCAGUAUCUCUUUUUUUGAUGUGCAAUCAAUUGGAAUUUGAAAUUGAGUUGUAGAUGUAGGCUGUAGCAUAUUGAGAUCAAGCUGAUCAAAAUCAUUUUAGCUCAUGCAGUGCACUGGUAUGACUGACCAAUUGACGUAUGAGAAAGAGUCCAAUUUGAUUUGUAUUUGAACUCGCUUGACUUCAAGUUCAAAUUCAAGUUUGAGAAAAGUAUUCUAAUGAUGGAAUAAUGAAAUAGAUCUCAUGUCAAAAUGUAUCUAGUUUUUUACCUGUAAUAUUAGCACGCUCCAUGCUUAGUAUCUCCAAAUUAUAGAGAUUGCCAAUGAUUUUUGGAAUUUCACCUGCCAGAAAUCACGGCAUGAUGAUAAAUAUAAUUAACAGUAUGGCAUAAUUAUAUGUAUAAUAUAUAUAUAUGUAUGUAUAUAUAUUUAGGAAUUCUAAGGAUCUUCAGUCAAGUUUCAAACAGUAUCACGUAAAUCUCCCGUAUAUAUUGGCAAAAUGACGAUUACAUACACCCCCAAAAAUUGAAGGUCAUUUUGGUGGCAAUCUUUAUGCAUAUGUCAAUGGAUUUUUAAAUGUGUGCACAAAUUAGAAAUAAAAUUGAUAUAAAAUCUAAAUAUGCAUAUUGAAAUUAAUAUUUUUUACAUUUUCUUUCGUAGACGGUAAAGCCAUGAAGUUUCAAAUGUUUGAAAAUGGUAAGGGGAAAUUACACAAAACCCCCGCGUGGCUUGAAAAUAUACUUUUAACAUCCUUAUGCUUUGGAUUCAAAGGCAAGAGAGAUGGAAUCCAUCAAAACCAAUGGUUUUGUACAAAAAGACAACUCUACCCAUUAAUAUACAUAGUGUUAAUUCGUUCUUCGUUCACAAAUUUAUUUGUUACAUCAAACAAAAUUGUGUGUAUGGCAUAGUCAUUAAUCCCGGCCAAGACAUCAACCUGACAAGGCCAUUGGUAUAACAGGUUAGCGACUUAACUAUAGAUUUACUGACCCAGUCGGUGUUUCUAAAAUAUUGUAAAAUAAAAUAUUUUAAUUACUAAAAACAUUAUAAUUAUUAAAUUACUAGUUGAACAGGUCAGUAUUUUAGAUUUUACCGAUUGAAUUGAUGAAUUAUUGACUAGUUAACGAUUUCCUUCCUCAGUCAGUCCAACUACUCAUCCAAGAUCACUAAGUUGACCAAUUGAACUAUCGAGUUAGGUGAGGUUAGGUUUAGUAACUCUGUGUUCUUUUAUUUUCUAACUUUUAUCUUUAUUUUGUUGAAAACAAAAACUUCUUUAUUCACUUGAAGUUUGCACCAAUACUCGAGUAGUUAGCGAUUAUCAGCAAUAGUGUAUGUGAUGUAAAUUUUUCAUGCUCUUAUGAGUUUAGUCUCAAAAUCCUCUAAAACCCAAUGAGAAAAUUCUCAUUGGGUUACGAAGGAUUUUGAACAAUUUUCAAUGGGUUAUGAUGGAUUUUCAGUCUUAAUCUGCACUCUACACAACAAAAUUAAAUCAGUUAGUCGUGGACGACAAUUGCCGGCUAUAAUUAGUUACUUUAGUAAUGUUGUUGCAAAUUUUGAUUGAUUAAGGAAGAAUAUUUUUCAUUUUACAUAUUGUUCUGGAGGUAUCGUUCCAGCAAUUCCCAUGUAAGAAAGAUCAAUGGCUGCGACUCUAUGAUGACGAGCAUUACAAGUGAUUCCAAUCCAGUUGCAAACAGAGGUAGAAGCGGACCAGUUGGUUGGGAUGAUCCUUUGGGGAUCGAAAAUGGCGGCUUUGAAGGCAAGAAGAGCAUUCAGAUCAACAGUGUUGUUUUGGUUGUUGGCAACCGUUAUGGUAGCUGAGCUAGUUGCGAUAAAGUGCAACAGUACCAAGGCUCCAACGAAAAGAAAAUAAAUUGUCUGCAUUGCUUAUGGAGAGGUAAAUAAAACUUGAGGAAUGCCAAACAAUUAAUAAAACAUGAGCAUAAAUUGUGACAUUGGGCAGGACUUAUAUAGGCAUAUACUUGGGGUUGAGUUAAAAUUUUUCCACAACGUAUCGUAGUUGUGUUUCCAUUGUAAAACUGGAUUGUGUUUACACACGUGAAUUAGUAAAUUUCUGUUACCCAUUGUCCAUGAGGAAGUGAUAUAUUACCACAUUGUGGUAAAUCACAUUGAAGAAAUAAGUGUGUGGCAAAAAAAAUGAAAAAAAAGAAAAUACUCAUCCACAAAUGGGGUAUACCACAUGGUUGAUGAUUCCGUUAGACGUUGAUAAAUUGAAGUUCCUCAUCUGUUCACCAAGUUUCCAUUCCGAUAUAUGUUUGCUACUUUAUUGUUUUCUUCUAUCAGAUUGCUACACAUUACCAAUAGCGUUAUGGAUACUGACGUUUUGUUGUCCUUUAUUUGCUAGGAAUUAAAUGCCUACUGGGGGAAUUCUAAUUUGCUUGUCUUGUUGCUUUAGUCUAUUAGUGACAAUCACAUAACAUUGCAAUCACAUCCUUUAACAAAGAACCCCAGUCUCAAAAUUGCAAUUGAUGGACUACUUCUAUGCUUUCAAAAUUAGUUAUUUACAGACUAAGGCCUUGUUAGAUUUUAUCAUUUGAUUGUAGAUUACUACAGAACCCUUCUCCAAGUAUCAAAAAGACAGCUUAAUUACUUUCAAAAUUACAAACCUUAUUUAUCAUCCUGUCCUAUUUUUAGUUAUAUUUUCAAUUCUAAAUUUCUCGGGGUCCUCGAUUGGCUGUCAAGAUUUCCUCAGACUAGCUUUUUAUGUAAUUUCUUCAGCUUCCGCUGUUGAGUUUUUGUAGAGUAAUUGAUAUCACAAGCAAUUCCGGUGCUUUAGCAUUCUAUGUGGCAUUUCCAGGAAUGAUAGAAGGUAUAUUACUCCAAGCCCAGCUAAAAUUAUUUAUGUCUUUGAAAACUUCUAUACAAAAAUAAAUUUGAAGAAUAAAAGAAGAGAGGAUGCAGAGAAGUGUCCUAAUCCUCCAUGGCCCUAUUUUGUCUAAGGCAUUCAUUGUGUGGAAAGACAAGUUAUUUAUUGGUCAAAAACUACUCCUGUCUAAGUCCCUACACUCCAGAUUCUGUGUUUGUUGUCCUCCAAGAAACAUGGCAAACUAAGAAGUGAAGCCAUUAAUACAGUCCUUUUAACACGAAAGAAAGGCAGUUGACUGGACAGAUUAAGUGGGAGCGUUUAGAGUUUAGACCCAACUACCAAAACUCGGACAAUGACAUAAAUACCCUAUAUUCAGAGCACAUGAUCUCUUUACUCUUACCUAGAGUCCGGGGGUGGAGGGAGAGGCCCAAUAGGAUCUAGAAAAAUCGACGAGGACUGAACAGUCUGAACCAACAUCGGACCAGACAGGUGCGCUAUGCACCCAUAUGAAUUUAGAAGAAACCACAUAUAGUGACAUAUCGAUGGGAGGUAAGAUUUGAACGUUUGACUUUUCACUCCCAUCAAGACCUAAAAUCUUUGAUAAUGGCCAACUGACCAAAGGUAGUUAGUUAGAGCACAUGAUCUCUCUCGAUAUUUGUCCAACUUACACAAGAAAUCUUGAAGUUUAACAAAAAUGUAACUUAAACAUCUGAGCUCUUUUUUAUUUUCAUUUUUUGUGCUUAUCUCUAUCGCUAUCUUAUCUCCAAAUCCACUUUAUCCGCAUAACAAUUAUCUAUUAUGCUUGAAUUAAGAAAAUCUAGCUAAAAUAUGUAGCAUGGAAAGUUGGUAUUUCGAUUCACAAAUUUUUUUUGUCAAUAAUUUUAAGUUGAAUUUUUCUGUUACUAUUAUAUCAAAAUAUUAGGUAAUAACUCAAUGGCAAAGGGAGAAAUAAAUAAGGUAGAGAAAGUGAUUAUUGAGGCAUUAGUCAAGAAUCUCUGAUAUCAGUUAUUGUAGUCCCAGGGUAGAGUGAUAUCUGUUUCUAAACUUGCCCUCAAAAAUUUAAAAUUCAAAUUUGAAUAUAACUUGACAUACAACUAAAAAUAGGGACAAUAUUGAAAAAAGUGAUAAAAAACAACCUUAAUUUUAUUAAGAUGACAAAUAUUUUGAAAUAUCCUAAAAUGAAAAACACAACAUUAAAAAAAAAAGAAUUCCCUCAUUUAUUCGCCAAGUUUCUAUGAGGAAGUCUCUUUGCUACCAAGUUCAGGAUUUGAUUCCUAAAUUUGGCAGUUUGGGAUUUGGAAGGAAAUAAGGAGGGGUGGGAAGGUUAAACCAAAAUCUUUGUUCUUGCCAUUUUAGUGUAUUUUCUCCUAGUCUAUUGGUGAUAAUUAAUUUAUCAUCAUGUCCUAUGUUUAGUAACAUUCUCAAUUUUAACUUUACUUUCUUAAAAAAAUUGGUUCUUGGUCCUCGAUGGACGACUAGAUUUUGUCGGACUAGCUUUUUUAUGUAUUGUCCCGCUUUCGAGUAAUUGAUAUCACAAGCAAUUCCGGUGCUUUAGCAUUCUAUGUGGCAAAAUUGAAUUUUGGGUAUAACAUAAUGUUCCAAGAAUGAUGAAAGGAUACUACUCCAAGCUAAAAUUAUUAAGUGUCUGAAAAUUUUAAGGGUAAAGGAAGUGAAGAUGCAAAUAAGUGUCCUAAUCCUCUAUGGGCCUGUAUUAGUCUAAGGCAUUCAUUGUGUGGAAACACAAGUUUCGGUCAAGAACCACCCCACUCUAAGUCCUUAGUCGAGAAUUGAAGCUAUUCACUCAUUUCCAUGUAUUUGCCUCCAACCAACCAAGAUGAAUGCAAGUCCAACAAAAGAAGCUAUUAGUGCAGUCUUUCUACAUGAAAGGAGGCAGUUGACUGGAAACUUUUGUAUGAAUCUAGUCUAUGGCAGUGAUGGUGUUCAAACCAAACUCAUGAAAUGAAAUAAAGUGAAAAAUACAGUUUUAAUCCUCAAUAUUUGGCAUGUGUGCCAAACUGACCCAAACGUUUCAAUUAAAACAAAUUUGGUCCCCAAAUAUGCUAUUAACAAACUUUUCUCAGUUUUUAAAUUUUCCUUAUACCCUGACUACUAAGGUGAAAUGUCCUCAAUAUUUUUUUUGGGGGGGGGGGGGGGGGGGGGGGGGGGGUGGGGGAGGGGGGAACCAAUCUCAAUUAGAUGUGGCUAAUUAUCCUACAAUUGGGAGUAAACAUAUAUAGCUCCAUGCUUACUAACUUUAUGCCAAACAUUCGACAACUUUCCAUCCUCAUCUAAAAUAUUUAAAAAUAAAUAAAUAUAUAAGAAAGAGCCAAUGCUCUGAGAUUAUCAGGAUGAUUAGUUUUUAUGAUACUAUACUAAAAAAAUGGGAACACUAUGUUCUUAAAUAAUGAAUUACUUUCAAUACUCGAGUAAAUUUUACUUUAUCAAGAUAAAGGAUCCUUAUGGUCUUUUGACUUAUACUUGGUUAGAUGGGAGAGAGUUCCACUUAAAGCCAAAUAUGCGCAUAGUGCUAAACCUAGAGAGAACUAUUGACUUCGAAGUCUGAAGCAUUAUUCCUACGGUAGUGCCCUAUGGCCAUAUCUUUUUCCCCACGGUCUGGAGUCAAAAUUGGACUUAGCACCUUUCUCAGUACCUCCUCCUCAGUUAGUCUUAAAAAGGAAUUCAACCCAAGCAACCAACUAACUUGGUUUAAUUCGUACAGGGUAUUCAUCAGCUUAGAUCACAAUUAAUUGAAAUGCAAUAAUUCUUGAAUUAAAUAAUUAAUCAUAGGCUAUUCAAGAUAUUCCACUGUGAUGGCGCCCAAGUUUUUUUUUUAUUUUCGACAAAAGACUUCAACAGUAAUACUAAGGACUUGAAAACGCGGAAUAUGAAAUCCAUAACAUGACCUGAGCGAAGUUUACGAUAAAGGCAUUUAGGUUAAAUAGACUACACCAGAGCCAUUUUCAUUAUGUUUAUUUUCUAUUUUAGAUUUAGAAGGUGAGUGAAGGAUGAAGCAGAGAAAAGAAGGUGGAUAAAGAGAAUCAAAUUCUACCUAAGACUGGAAAAAUAUACUGUCAAAGAAUUAAUAAGUGGAUAACGAACCAAUUGUUAAAUUCAAAGCUAGGGAUUGACAUUAUUAGAAUAAUUGUUGUGACACUUUUUAUAGUUUGAUGUAUGUGAAAUAAAAUGGUGGUUGGAAUGAUAAAAAGAUAAUUAAAAAAAUGUAUUUGUGAUUCAAGUAAAAAUAUUUUUUCCAAAUAAUAAAGCAUCAGCCAUAUUAAUUUGCGAAUAUACACAUGCAUGUUAGUUCCUUUAACAUGCAUGACAGUGAUAUAUAGUUCGGAGAAUUUUAGGCACCUUUUCUUGUCAUUUGGGUCUAUAUGCCCCAAAUCCAGGGUGAUACUAGAGUCAAGUAAUAUUGCAAUCACUAUCUCUAGUUCAAAUCUCAGUCUUUUCAUUUUCCCUUCCCUUUGUAAGGUUUAAGCGCUCUAACUUACUCAAAAUGGUAAGAUAAAUAAAAGGAGUGCUGGGAAGUUAGACAGCUUCAUCAUUUUCUCUUCGGCUAUUCUUCCCUUUGUUUAGAUGGAAAGCACAGACAAGUAGAUUUAAGAUAGGGAUAAUUUCAGCAACCUCCUUUGAAGUUUCUGACUACUUCACUUACUUUCUCUGAGAUUUGUAAAAUUACACUAACCUCGCCUGAGGUUAAGUGUUUUGUAACAAAAUCAGUUUAAAUCAGAAAAGUACACUUAAAAAAGUAUUUUGAGGAUAAAAAUGAAAAAUAGUUCUCAUAAAUGCCCCUUUUGUAGCUAUACAAAUUGUAUUAGUAAAAUAAUGAAAACUAAUAAAAGCUAGAAAGAAUUAAUAAAAGGAGAAGAGGUUUCUUUUGUGAUGCCUUGUAGUUUAUCAGCGAACUAAGUUAAUUGUUCUCACAUGCAGGGUAUAAUUAUGAUGAUCAACUCUGAAAAUUUCAUGAUUUGCAACUAACAUGUAUUAGACAGAGAUAACAAGGAAUUGAUUACCUAUAUUGUUAUGAUUGUCAAUUUGAGAUUUUGCCUUUCCCUUAUUUCUCCUUCGAAACCACUAAAUCACUUUGCUACUAUCACAGCCUCACAAGUUUUAAUAGAAAUUCCCCUCAUGUUCAGCUUUUAUUUUCUCCAUCUUUGUCCUUAGUUUUCUUUCUUCAACAAGAUACCUUCUUCUCAUAGUGUAUAGGACUGAUUUGUUGUUCUUGUUACUGAUAUCAAUCACAAAAUAGUGCUAUUUUUGUAAUUGUAGUUAUAGUUUCUGAUUAUGGACUUCACCACAGUUAUGUUUGUUAAUCAAUUGGAAUUAAUUAAUUUAUGCCCUAAUUACUCAUUUGUCAAAUAUUAGUCUUCAAAUAAGACAUAAUGUAAUGUCUUUGGGUAUAGUAGUAAUUUCACACCACGUGAUGUAAGUAAUUGGACCCAAAUUGCUACCAGGGAAGGUCAGUGUAACUUUGCAAACCUUAGAGGAAACCGGUGUAAUAAUAAAAAAAUCUCAUAGGGAUACGAACGCAUAAUGCCGUAUAUGCAUUUCGAUGUGUGCAGGACUCAAAUUUGUUUUGGCCUAAUGCUGCGUUCGGUACUCGGAGGGUGGGUAUCACUCCGGAAGUGGAAAGCUGUUCCACCACCUUUCUUAGUGGUUCAUGGUCUAUGGUUAUGCUUUUCUUUUUCGUUUCUUUUUCUAAUAUUAGUUAAAAAUAAUGAAUUAAUUUUUCUAAGUAGUAUUUUGGUUGUUGCCUUUUUGGGGGAUUAGUAGCUUGGCAAAUAAGUAAAUGCAAUCUCGUAGUAUUUACAUGCUGAUCUGAUUGAAUCAACGAAGCACUAAAGAUUAGGCAGAAAAGAAAAUGAAAGAUUGAUUGAGAAUAUUUAUCCGUUUGACAAUUUAGAAAUCACGCAUAUUAAUAUACAGUCGCAUAAGAGUGUGGGUUGAGUUUAACACAUUUGUCACUAAUGGCCACAUAAAUAUAAAGAAGGCACUAACUUGAGCUAACUCUUUCUGCGGGAAUUAAACCGUCCAAUAUCCCCUAGCAUGAGUGAUGAACUCCAUAAUGACUUGGCCUAAGCAACUUCUUGGCUAAGCUCCCAGAUGUAAAAGUUUACAUUUCAAGUUUCACUAGUAGAAGAUCGGCAGUCUUCUUGGCUCCUGCAUACUUCUUCAUCUCCAAUCUUCAUGCUCUGGUGAAGUUUCCUGCAUUUUUCUUCCCAAAAGGCAAGGGUUAAAGAUUGAGAUUGUAAGUUUCCUUGAAACUAGUUAAGGUUAAAGUUGAAAUAAGAGGACGUCAUUAAGAUUCCCAAGUUAGAAGUUCACUUAGCACAGUUACUAGUGCAUGUACAAAAUGGCUCUCUACUUUAUAAUAGUUCUCUUUAGCAGCUGAAAAAUAAGACCUGACACGCAGUGACUUUUAGGGAGUUUUUGUACAUUUGAUGCAUUAUCAAAAGUUCGUAAUUUUAACUGUAAAGCAAUUAAUCCGUGUAAUUAUCCAGGAAUUGUACGUCAAAUGUUCAUGCCAUGUUUAAUUUGAUUCACUUUUUGGUGAUGGAUCACAUUCGGUUCUAUAUUCUGCUUCAGCUAAAGAGGCAUCGACUUAUAGCUAGUUUUCUCGCAAUCCAAAUUCAUUAACCUUGGUAAAUUUACUCUUCAUUUUUGUUAGAGAUUUCUUGUAAGUUAGAAGCAUUGGAUGCAUUAUUAGAAGUUUAGCCAAUUUGUAGUCAUGGCCUUCCCCUUGGGAUUGCCCCAACUUAGUACCUUAAGGUUCAUAUUUGGCACAUGUUGCCUCUCAAGGUUAUUUUUGUGAGUAUAGAACCACAUUGACGAGUUUUAACUGAUACUUGUGGUGGGAAAUUGGAAUCAAGUAUGUCCUCAGUUGUUAAAAUACAUUUUUCUGUACUAUAUUAUUUGUAUUUCAAUGUGCAAGUUAUCUAUCAGAUGUGCGCCUGUCAAGAAUAAAUUAAUUGAUUCUCAGUUUACAGUUCAAAAAGUUGAGUGACUGGAACAAUUUAGGCAAGGCCCAAUUAUUGGGGCAAGAACACAACUACUUUCUUGAAAUUGUGAAGCCAAAAAAAAAAAGAAAGUGGGUAUUCAAGUCAUCAAAUCCUGAACAGAUUUGAGGAUGAAUUUUCUUGUUUAUUAAUUUUUGUGUUGCUGAAUCAAUACUCUUGUCCUUAACCAACUCAAAAGUUUGACCCAAUUAAGAAAUCAGGCAUGCAUAUUUAAAUAAUGGCUCUGACAAGAAUCAAGGCAAUAUUCCCACAUUCCCUCCACUUUUAGCUGCAAUUGGUUACAACAAUCAGAAAAAAAAAAAGACAAUCUCAAAAUGGAUGCAGCGGGUAUGAAAAUGAAGACCUUGAGACCGGUGGGAAGUCUACUUGAAGUGUGCUGAAUGUUCUCUUUUCUCACAUAUCCACUAUAUUUUCUUUAUGUGGAUUAUUCUUCCAGUGUUCAUACAAAUCUAGGACAAAUCAUAUUAAGGCUAACAAAUCGAAGUAGUAAGUAUCAUGUGUAUUAUGAUCUCCAAAGUGGGGGACAUGGAUCAAUCAGUUCAAAAUGGUGAUCCAAACAUGUCAAUUGACAAAUUAGGCUCAAAAAAGAAAAAAUAAAAUAAAAUAAAAGCGAUUUUUUGGAAGGUACAUUUAAGUGGAGCUUGAACUUGAUACUUCAUUGACCUGGAGACGACUUCAUCCUAUUGAGCUAAAGCUGAUUGGUAAGUGAAAACUCAUAUACCGCUUUUGAUGUUAUUAGUGGUCAUUUUUACCUAGAGGUGACGAUUUCAAUCAAUUUCUUCCUUUACAUGGAGGGAAAACUAGUAUUGGAUUCUCUAAAUAAUAAGGGUAGGGUGGAGAGACUUCAAAAAUUAAACUUAGGAUGUAUUUGAUAAAAUUAAAAUCUAAAAUCUAAAAUCUGAAUCUGAAAUAUGAAUCAGUUAAGUGGUUGAAUUGUUAAUUAUUGGAAUCUUAACAUUUGAGCAUAUUUUGUAUUAAAUAAUAAGUAAACAGUUUAUUACUUAUUUUUUGAAGUAAGUUUUGCUUAAACAAUUAAGAACCACUUGAUUAAUUAAAAUGUUCUAUUUUUGUUAUCGAGCAUUUCUAAAUAUUCUAAGGUUUUGAUCCAUUAAAUUUAAGCGGUGAAUUAGAUUAUCAAAUAAGGCCUUAAUUUGACAUGCAAUUUUAUUCAACUUUAAACUAAUUCACCUUCAUUUAGCAAAAACAAAGUCAAGAUUGCUGCAAAAUCCAGACUUAAUUGCACGAAGGAAAAUCACCAUCAUUGCCCAUCAUCGAGUUCGUAAGACAAGGACAAAUCUGAAAAAUCAGUCGAUUAAGUUAACUUUGAGAAGCAUUAGCUUCCCCUUUUUGGGCUUUUCAAGUGGGAAUAGGACGGCCCAGAUAAACGGUUUUGUGAUUUUCCACUUUAAACCCAUGGAAUAAUAGCCGAUUGAUAAGUUUAACUACAUGAUUUUGUUCAGUUAAACUGUCCAUACAAAUUAACGACAAAAGCCCAUUUGUGGAAUAUAUUAACCCCACAAAAAUCGCCACCAAAUAGCCUGCUUCGUUAUUGUGUUUUAAAAAAAAACACUUGAUUUCGGAGCUAUUUUAUUUGCUAUGUGUUUUUCAAAAUGUUGAUUAAUCAAAAUCAGCUAAUUCUACUUUUGUGUUGAUCUUUUUCUUUGUCAUUGAAAAAAUUUAAAUCCUAAAUACAAAAGUCAACAAGAACAUCUAAAAAUUUAUUUUUCAAAAUCAAAAUCUAAAAUUAACUCAAAUAAUCAAAUGAAAAGAACCCCUUUUUUUUAUUGCACUUUUGUAUCAUUUGAUCAGCGGUUGGAGUUCAAAGCUUAAAACACCAGCUUCCAUUCAUCUAGCUACUCAUUUGAUCUAAUCUUCAUUCAUUUGAUAAUUUAUUAUUGUAAAUUUUUUAAUAAGAGAUUUAUGCAUUAGCUUAAAUUAAUUAAAGGACUAUUUAUCCAAAAUAUCUCUCUAUCCAAAAUGUACCACUUGGAUUUUUUUUUUUUAAUUUUUACUGUAAGUAGGAGGACUCGAACCCGAGACAUCUUGUUUACACUCCCUUCCCGUACUACUUGGAUUUAAAUAUGUGCUGUGUCACAACCCAAAAACCUGGAUAACUCCCACAUGUCAAUUUCUAAAAGUCCUCUAUUUGGACUUUUUCCUUCUCUCAAAUUAUCAAUCAACCUUGUCAACUGUCCCCUAAUUGCAGAAAUUUUAUUGCACGAAAAAGCCCACAAACAAUUUUUUGAGCCGAAAAAAAUUCCAAUUAUUCUAAUUCAACAUGGCACUAGAAUGGAUAGUGGUAGACUAUGCUGCAGUAGCAGAGGUUGUCACGCCUCAAAUCUGAUAAUCGUAUUUAAAAUAUUUAACUUUUAGUUUAGAGCACGGCACUAGCAUACCCUCUUAAGAGGAUACAAAGCCGCUUGAUAAACUUAUAAAUACAAAUCAAUAAUUAUAUGAAUCGUCGAAUGUGUUUACAAAAGUCCAAAAUGUAAAAAAUCACUCAUACGUCUCACUCUAAGUUCACAAUUUAUAUACAUUACUAGAGUAAAAACGUUGUGCAGGCUACAAUUUAGCAAAACUUAACUCUAAGAAUAUAGCCUGAUCAAAACUAGUUUUGAAGCCUUCCUAGAUUUGAUUCUUAUCUGCAGGAGAGGAAAUUAAGUGGAGUCAGCAUCCACUUGCUCAGUAAGUAGCCCAACAGUAUCGCUAUUGAAUGAAGCAUAUGAAUAAGAUAUAUAACAUUUAAUAAAAUUAUUUCACAAAAUUAAAUCACAAUUAACACAUUACCACUCAAUUUUGACUUUUCUAUACCAAGUGAUGCCUAAUUUUCCAAAGCUGCGCACAGGUGACUGUUAGUCGCAAAACUGAUUUAGGACUCCCAGUGUUGUUGGUUAUUAACACAAAAUUCUUCCAAUUUCUUGUAUAUAUCGCUAUCAAUUUGCACUCUGGCACUCAAAUUUAUAUCAUACUUAUAAAAUAACCCCUUACUUAUACAUAAUAUUCAAUUGGCUAGAAAACUUUUGGAUAAUUGGGGUUUGGGCAUUACAGAGGCGAUGAUGCUGUUUCUGCUGACUAUUCUGAGCGCGGAUCAACUUACAUGGCCGUCUAACAUCCAUAAGAAGGAGCCACCUAAAGUCAUUUCUGACGAUGGUCUCGUUUUGUUUGUUCUUGCUGUUGGAUAUCUACUGAAAGUAUGAAACUCGUCCGAGUUGUAAAUCGCUCGAGUCGUGCACCUCGGCCGAACUCAUGUGGCACCAGAAAUCCAUUAUAAAGAGGCAGCGCAAUGCAUUGCUGAUUGCCUCAGCGCUCAUGUUCUACUGGCUACUUUUUGCUGUAACAUGCUGAUUUUUUUUUUUAAAGGAAUGUAUGGAAUGAGUUGUUCCCAAAUCACCAAGAAUCCAGUGCAGAGCUUCGUCAGAGGAAUUUCUCAAAAUUGAGAUAUUUAACAAAUGUUCCCACCAUUUUCUAGCUUGAGGAAAUGAUACAAAUGUAUCAGUAAUUAAAAGUAGAUUACCAACUUAAUUGCCAUAUAUAUAUAUAUAUAUAUAUGUGUGUGUGUGUGUGUGUGUGUGUCAAACAUAAACACCAUGUCAUGAACUUGAGGUCUUUAUAUCUGUAAACAAUUUAUUGGUAAUACAAUAACAUAUCUCAUUCCUUCCUUGAACUUUAAGCAUUUCGGUGGUGCACCUCAAAUACAUUUGCACCUCAGGGCUCUGCCAUGUAUUGAGUGGAAAAACAUAAGUACUACUUGAAUGAAUAAUAAUCCUUGGAAUAAGCUUUAGAUAUACCAUAUGAUUGAAGAAAAAAAAGUUGCUAUUGGAUUAUUGGUUUUAUACCUGCUUCAAGGUGUGAUGCCUUUGAUAAACUGGAGUUUGAUCUUCUGCAGCGCUCUUAGAACUUCUUUCAUGUUUAUUCUCUCCUCAGGAGCAUCUGUUGUACAACUUAAACCAAGUUGCAAGACAGAUGAUAUGCAGUUAAUCUUCUUUUGUACCAGUUCAUUUUCAGGAUGAAGUAAGUCUCUGUCUAUAACUUGAAUCACAGAAUCUGGUAAGCAAUCUUGUACCCAACGCCUGAGGCUUAACGCUUCUGUGAACAUCUCAUCCUUAGGCUUUCUUUUUGUAAAUGUCUCCAUCAAUGUAAUUCCAAAGCUGUAGACAUCACAACUUGUUGAAACCAAUCCUUCCAGUCCAUACUCUAGCAUCAAAAUUUGAAACUCGUUGUUAAAGUCAAGUAUUGGCAUCGGUUCAGCAAAUUUAUGUUUUUUCUUAAAGGUUUUAUAUUUGACAUACCGUACUAGUUGUUGAAAGUUGAAACAUUAAUUUGAAUGAUAUAAAAAUUUCGAAAUUUGAGCCAAGAAAAGUCACCUGGGGCAAUAUAUCCAAAUGUAGCAAGAGUCUUUGUUUGUACCACAGAUUCUCCAUCUCCUAAUAACUUUGCAAUUCCAAAAUCGCAAACAUGCCCAACCAUGUCUUCAUCUAGGAGAAUAUUGCUAGGUUUCAAAUCACAAUGAACUAUAGGAGUUGAAUAACCAUAGUGGAGAUAUUCCAAACCAGAAGCCACAUCUAUCGUGAUAUCCAACCUUUGCAUGAUACUUAGGACAUGAUGGUUUACAUGAAGCCAUUUCUCAAGGCUUCCAUUGGGCAUGUAUUCGAGCACCAAAGCCUUAAAGUCAAGGCUAGAGCAAGCACUAAUUACUCUAGUUAAAUUUCGAUGACGAAGGCAGCUUAAGACUUCACAUUCUCUAUCAAAGCUUUUAAAUGCACCUUCUAGCUGCAAAUCGAAUACCUUUAUGGCCCAAACCAUCCCAUUUUCACGAAUUCCCUUGUAAACUGAACCAAAGCUCCCCGAGCCAAGUAAGUUACUCUCGCUGAAUCCACUUGUUAUUUGUCUAAGUUCAUGGAAGGACGCCCUUUCAAAUGUCGCCAUGGGAAGCAAGUUCUGAGUCGGAGCUAGAAUUUUCUUUCUCAACUUUAACCUCAUCAAAAAAAUUGAAAUCACCAAGGCUAAUAUGACAGAUCCUGAUGCCAACAGAACAAUCAUGACUAUCCUUUUUGUCCUUGAUUCAUGCUCAAAUGUACUUGUACAAGGUUGGAGCCAAGGAGCGCCGCACAAUGCUUCAUUUGAGAGAAAAGAUAGGUUCGUGAAAUUUGCGAAUGGCCCUCCAUGAGGAAUCGGUCCUUUCAAUCUGUUGUAAGACACAUUAAAGUAUUGGAGAUCUGAUAGUACCUGUAAUGAGUUGGGAAUUUCACCUUCCAGAUUGUUAAAAGAUAUAUCCAAAUGCCGUAACUGCAACAUAUUCUUGAUGGAAUCCGGUAUCAAUCCUUGUAGCUUGUUACGUUCCAAGGACAGGUUUUGUAAACUCUGUAGUGCUCCAAUGGUGCUAGGCAUUUCACCCGAAUAUUGAUUAUUUGAAAGGUUCAAAUAGACUAAUACCUUCAAGUUUCCAAUUUCAGCAGGCAAAGAACCUGUCAAAUAAUUUCCUGACAUGUCUAGCUCCAAAAUAUCUCUGAGGCUCCAAAAGCUUGUUGGUAUCAUAGAACCUAAAUUGUUAGAAUUGAGAUAAACAUAUCUGAGUGUUGUAACGUUUCCUAAACAAGAAGGCACCAUACCAGAGAGCAUAUUUUGUCCAAGUCUUAAUUCUCCUAAGUUCAGCAAAUUACAAAACUCACUUGGAAUAGCUCCUUGCAUCUGAUUGUCGCUUAGAUGUAUCCUCUGAAGCUUCAAGAACCAUUUGAUUGUAGUUGGAAUUAACCCUGUCAAACUAUUGUUGUCAAAGUACAGUUCUAUUAAGUUGCUCAAAUUACCAAUCGAACUUGGAAUUUCACUUAUGAUUCCACAACCAGUGGCAAUUAUGGAUUCGAGUGAGCUAGAAAGAUUUCCAAUAGACUUUGGGAGGAAGCCAUUCAGAGGAUUCUCAUCUAUCCACAACCAUGUUAAAUGUUUGCAGUUUGACAGGGAUAUGAUGAAGCUCAACUCUUUGGAUAGCGAGUCCUCAGAAAAAUUAUUUUGCCAUAUACCCAAGUAUUCCAAUAAUCUCAUGUUUCCAAGAGAAUGAGGAAUUGCACCAGUAAAAUGAUUCAUACCAAUGCUUAGGAUUCUGAGCCUAGAAGCAUUUGAGAUAGAUGCUAGUACAGUUCCACUGAAUUCAUUUCCAUCAAGGUAGAGUUCCUCAAGAUUGGGUAAGAAAGCACCUAUAGUUGAUGGAAGCUCGCCUGAUAAAUCAUUGCCCGUGAGAGAAAUAAUUUGUACAGUUGAACUAUUGAAAAGUUUCAGCGGGAUAGGGCCUCUUAACCUAUUCGAGUCCAACACGAGUUCUUCCAACUUGCUAAGAUUACCAACCUCUUGAGGUAUUAUACCUGACAAAUGAAAUUGGUAAGAAAAAAAUGAGUCAUUUGACUUGAAACAAUUUGGUGAGAAAGGGAAGUAAUGAGAAGACAGACACAUAGUGGAUGCAAGUAUUGAUCAUUAUGAUUUACAAGCCAGCAAGUUUUUGAUACAGAAUGAUAAAGACGAGUUCAAGUAAAUCCAUGCUUUUUUUUUUUGGUAAAGUUAAUCCAUGUUACUAGUAUUCAUGAACUUAGCAUAUGAUAAUAAAUAUUUUCAUGUAAUUUGAAUUAUGUGUUGGCUUGUUGUAUUUAUGUACUUUCUUUUUUCCUGUUUUUUGAACUUCAAGGAUUGUAAUAUUCGAUGCUAAUGAAAUAAUUGGUGGGCUGUACAAAUAUUUCCACUGGCACAAGUACUUUGAAUAUGAUGAUGUCUUCCAUCUAAGGACGUAAGGUAAGAUGAAAUAAUAAAAUAAAUCUUAGAGAAAACUCUUCUGAUAAUGUAAUAAUAAAAUGGAUCUUAUUUCAAAAACUUCCAAUUUUUUUGGAGGUCUUGAACCAAAGACUUCCAAUUUACAAUCCCUCCUACUUUACAAUCCAUUCCAACCCUCCCCCUAGCAAAAACAUUUCAUUAAUGUCAUAGUUUGAACAUUAUAACGGAUAGAGCGUUUUCUCAAUUAAUUGGGAUUUUGAAAAAGUUGAUUCUUGAAAAGUUAAAAUUAGAAUUCAAAUUUUAGAACUAUUGGAAAAAGUAGGCGUCUUGUAGCUUCUAAUUUUAGUUUUUCUUUUACUUUUAAAAAGGCAAAAGCUGAAAGAAAAAGAAGUUGAGAACAUUACAUGAUAGAUAUUUUAAUAUCAAAAGGUAAAAGUAGGUACAAAAAAUCAGUUUAGAACAAACUCUAGUCAUUUGAACUUUCACGUUAUUUUGAAAUUAUACACGGGACUAUGGAAAAUUGAAUUAUACUCAUGAUGGUGUCAUAAGAUAAAAUCCUGAACAUAGAAAAGUUUAGGCGUGGCAACAAAAAAUCUAAGUUUAAUUUUUUCAAGGGCGGUCCUAUAAUGCUAGUUUUCAUGUCUAAUUUGUAAUUCUAUGAAAUCAAUCUAGUGGUAAAGUGAAACUGAAACUAGGAAUGACAAAUUAAAUACAUGUAUAUACGAGUGAAAAAUAUUUCCUAAUUAAUGUCUAUCCUACCAAAACUUCAUAACUUUUUGGACAAUUUCACUUUAUCCCCUGUGGUUUAGCAUUUUUUACAUAAUCCCCUUAUGAUUUUAAAAAUUAUAUAUAACACCCUCAUUGUUUGGAUUAAAGUGUCAAAAUGACGGAAAUGAUCAUUCGUAACGGAGUCACCUAAAAUAUUAAAAAUACCCUUAUGUAAAAUUGAAAAUUAUUUAUCAAUCAAGGGAGGUUAUGUGUAUAUUUUGAAAAUCAUAAGGGGUUAUAUGAUGAAGUAUUAAACCAUAAGGGGGUUAUAUGGUCAAAUAUAAAAAUCAUACGAGAUUAGUGUGUCAUGUAUUUAAAAGGGUAAUUUCGACAUUUCUAGAAGUUCCGUUACGAAUGACUAUUUCCGUCACUUUGACACUUUAAUCCAAACCAUGAGGGGAUUAUGUAUCGCUUUUGAAACCAUAGGGGGAUUAUAUAAAAAAAGCUAAAUCACAGGGAGUAAAAUGUAAUUUGCCCUAACUUUUUUGUGAACCUAGGGCACUCUUUUGAAAGAGCUUCCUCUUAGAAAUGCUCUAAAGCCUGUGUAGGAGACUUUGUCCGCCAUAUAAUCACAUUGUAUUCAUACAUAUUUGUGCUCCUUUUUACCAGAAAACACACUUAGUCAACAACUCAAAAGGGAAAAUAAAUUGUCAUAGCAUGCGAUUUUCUACAUACUUAGUUUCUCAAGUUUGAUAUUCACUAACCUUUCACACGGUGCAAAUUUUCUACGUGCAAGAUCAGGUACCUUUUUCUUCUCAGCUUUGAUAUCUUAGUCUUCGUUCAUGGUGAAUUUUUAUUAAGUUCUCUGGUCGCUCUCUUUUGCUUCUUCAUUAUUCCUGUUAUGUUCACACACACACACACCCCCCCCCCCACCCACCCCUCGGCGGUUGUGUGGAUGUUCGAGUGCAAGUUCAGUUAAUAAGCAGAAACCUGCUCAUGCAUGAUGAACUUCAAAUUUGUCAUGGGUCACUUUUGAAUUCCUCAAAAGACUGACCUGAUUAUGGUAAUAUGGUUGCGUACAAGCAUUGCCAUUUACUUUAGUGUCAAUUCCAGAGCAUACUUAUAUCUUUCACUAAAUCCAUGCUUUUUUUUUUUUGGUAAAGUUAAUCCAUGUUACUAGUAUUCAUGAACUUAGCAUAUGAUAAUAAAUAUUUUCAUGUAAUUUGAAUUAUGUGUUGGCUUGUUGUAUUUAUGUACUUUCUUUUUUCCUGUUUUUUGAACUUCAAGGAUUGUAAUGUUCGAUGCUAAUGAAAUAAUUGGUGGGACGUACAAAUAUUUCCACUGGCACAAGUACUUUGAAUAUGAUGAUGUCUUCCAUCUAAGGACGUAAGGUAAGAUGAAAUAAUAAAAUAAUCUUAGAGAAAACUCUUCAGAUAAUGCAAUAAUAAAAUGGAUCUUAUUUCAAAAAGUUUGAAGCUUUUUACCUGUCAUAUUGGCACUCCAAAUGUCUAGUGUCUCCAAAUUAUAGAGAUUGCCAAUGACUUUUGGAAUUUCACCUGCCAAUAAAUCAUGACAUGACAAGAAAAUUAAUUAAAGGAAGUAUUCCCCAAUAUUUCUAAAGUAAUUAGCCUCUGCCAACAGCAUUCUUUUUUAUGUAAAUGUUUCAUGUGAAUUAUAAAUUUAGUCUCAAAAUCCUUCAAAACCCAAUGAAAAUUUAUUAUUGGGUUAUGAGGAUUUUGAACCACUUUCAUAGGGUUAAGAUGGAAUUUCAGUCUAAAUUCGUAAUUCAUGCAAUAAACUUACAUCAAUUAGUCAUGGAUGACAAUUGCCGAUUAUAGCUACAAAAUUUAGAAAUUUUUAUUGAGUAAAGAAGAUUAUUUUUCCUUAUUGACAAAAUAAGGAAGCAAGUUAAGAAAUAAGAAAAAUCAAACAAUUCAGUUAGAAAUGAAUAAAGAUAACGUACAGGAUGCGGCCAAAACUAAACAUACUUUCAAGUAUGAAAUAAAACAAGAAAGAAGGAUUUUUCAAAACAAAGUGAAGUUGGCAGCUUACCUGUCAGGUCGUUAUCACCCAAAGCUAAUCGUGUAACCGUGGUUAGAUUCCAAACUCCAUUUGGUAUAUAUCCUUGGAAUUUGUUGUAUGACAAGGAUAAAACUUGGAGUCCCGAGCAUUCUCCAAUGCCUGAUGGAAUUUCACCUUCAAAGUAAUUCCGUGAUAAGUAAAGCCCUUGGAGUUGUGGGAGAUAAUCGCAGAUACGUGCUGGAAGGUAACCCGAUAAGCUAUUACCCGUAAAACCAAUCUUUUGCAAUGAGGAGAGGUUAAACAGAGCCUGCGGCAGAGGGCCUGCGAGUUGGGUAUAUUCAAUUUCCAAAACUCUCAAUUUCGGUAGAGCGCUGAAUUCUUCAGAAAGAUUUCCAGUAAAAAAGUUGUGACCCAACCUGAUGGUCUCUAACUUUGUGAAGUUAGAGAGCCUGCCUGAUAAUGAACCUGAAAACCCGUUAUCCCAGAAGGAUAAGUAUCGGAGUGCAGUUAAAGCUCCCAACCAUGACGGAAAUUCUCCUUCAAAGUCAUUGCUUGAAAGUUCGAUGUGCUUCAAUCGAUGGAGACGAGAUAGCUCGGGUGGAAGGUGUCCAUGAAAGCUGUUAUUCAUAACAUUCAACCUGACGAGAAAAGAAAGAUUUCCCAAUUGUGGAGGUAUCGUUCCCGCAAUUCCCAUGUAAGAAAGGUCAAUGGCUGCGACUCUGUGAUGACGAGCAUUACAAGUGAUUCCAAUCCAGUUGCAAACAGAGGUAGAAGUGGACCAGUUGGUUGGGAUGAUCCUUUGAGGAUCGAAAAUGGCGGCUUUGAAGGCAAGAAGAGCAUUCAGAUCACUAGCACUGUUGUUAUGGUUAUUGGCAAUACUUAUGCUGUCUGAGCUAGUUGCGAUAAAGUGCAACAGUACCAAGGCUCCAGCGAAAAGAAAAUAAGUCCUCUGCAUUGCUUAUAGAGGCAAAUAAACUUGACGAAUGCCAAAUAAAUAUAGAACAUGAGCAU